AACAGAAUUCAUUAUUCAUAUUAAGAGAGUGAAAUGUGGCCUUGCAUGAAAUACUGUUCUAGAUGUAACCAUCGCACAUCUACAAUGGUAAUAAUUUCAAGGCUACACAAAACGGUGCAAAUCUUGUGGAUUACGGUAUAACAAAAGAAGCUGCAGAAAUAUCAAUGCUACUUGCAAGGUAUUCAAACUUAGCACAGGCCUCUGCGGCACUUGGGUUUCGAAACAAAGUUGAAAGUUAGUUGUCCCUUACUUACAUCGUUAAUCGACGGAUAAAAGUAGGGCACGCUUCCGCAAACCCUGCAGCCAUGUUCCGGAAUGAAGUGUGCGAGACCCCUGAUGUUGUGUCCCCACGCACCGUCCGUGUUCUGCAGGAAGGCGCAAAAACCGUCAUAGCAAGCGAUGUGCUGUCCGUUUUGGUACCAGCGGUUGGGGUCGAUAUUGUUGAUGUACGAUACCAGGAUGCUGGCUUCGUUUCCGCGGCCUUCAGUGCAAAUAAAGCUGCCUCGGCAAUUGAUCCCCAGCGCACUUGCGGUGCUUGCGCUCAUAGCCAGGGCCGCCGCCAAGAAGAUCAUGAAGGCAGCGUUGAAGCGAUUCAUCUUCGCAGAUCGAUCCAUGACCGAAUUUGAUAUUUCCUUACGAGAGGAAGCCCCAGAUCUGCUUCAGGUAGCAAUCACUCCCCACCAAGAAGCUAAAAUCUGACUAACUGGAACUUGGAAUGUUUGCAGUUGCAAAAGAACUCUCUGAAGAGCUCACGGGCAGAGAACUGGAAUGGAAGAUCUGCAAUGGAAAUGAGGUACGUUUACUCUCAACUUGGACGUUUAAAUAGCUGACAGGUCGAGUACAGUCAACAAAGCCCUUGUCGAAAUGAAACUACAAUACUGUAGUUCUAGUCGUCAUGCCUAAGCGAUCAGUAGACGAUAACUGCAGCUAUCGCUGCUACAUGGAAGUCGAUGGUCAAAUCUAUAUCAGUCAUGUCCCCAUAGGAAAGCCUCCGAAAAGAGCUUCACGAUUUCGGACAUACAGUACGGGUUUCCUUAAACUAGUGCGACGAUUUCUGCGAUCCCUUCCACGUUGCCUAUCCUCGUCCGUGCCUGGACUCGAUUCCGAGCCUGCUAUUCCGAUCAUGCCAUCACAACCCGACGGGAUUCCCUUCCCUCCAAUCCUGAUGCUCCCCCCCCCCCCCUGCUCGAGAACACCUCGAGUACACAACCACCACAUCCAAGACGAGCGAAACGCAACAGCAAAGUCAAAAAUGAUUUUGAUGAAAAUGACAAGUUUAGGUUUUUCCCUCAUACUGUGGAAACGACUACUUAAACUCACUGGUGUAUUUCUUCAAACUUACCAAAUAAAUAAUUCCUAAAAAGUGAUCAUAGACAAAAACCAGAAACCAUUAUUCGACAACCUAAAUUGCUUGCUUUGCACAAAGAAGUGAGUUCCCUUUUGAAGUUCCAUUUCUCUUCUUACACGAAAAAAUUAUGGAUGUUAUUCUCACUAAUAAAGUUAGAAUAAAUUUGCAAUUAUUAUAGAUCUUAAUGAGUUUAUCAAUACUAUAAGAGUAAAAAUCUUAUUUCCAAUGUGAAUCAUAGAGAUAUUAUUUUUAUGCCUAUAGAAGAAGUUCAUAGUCUACAUCAAGAAGUUGUGUAGUUGAAGGAAGCAAGUAGAUCAACCUCACAACCAAAUCCAAAGAGUUUUGCCUCUACAAGUAUGAGAAGAACAAAGAUUAGUAUGUUUGAGAAGUUUGAUGGAACAAGAUCAAAAUUUCAAAGAUUUUUGUAACAAGUCAAGCUCUAUAUAAGGUUGCAUCUCUUCCAAUAUUUCAAUGGAUUUAUUAAAGUCAAAUUCAUAGGUUUAGGAUUAUUAGGAAGUGAUCUCUCUUAAUUUUUACUUUUAAUGGAAAAAGAUUUGUAAUUCUAUUAUGAUUUGAAUUCAUUCUUAGAAGUAUUUACGGCUACAUUUAGAGAAAGUGAUUGAAAAAGAGUAGUAGAGACCAAAUUCUUAUUUUUAUGGCAAAGAUCACAGUUAGUUACUAUAUAUGCUACUAAAUUCCAAAACCUUACUUGCAACAUGGACUAAAAUGAUAAAGCCCUUAUCAAUCGAUUUUAAUAUGGAUUGAAGAAUAAUAUUAAAGAUUUUUUAUUGAAAAUAUUAAAGACAAAAUCUUUAGAAUAAUUUAUUGCUUAAGCCAUUGCAUGCAAUAAUCAAUUAUUUGAAAGACAUAAAGAACAAAGACUUGAUUAGAGAGGAACAAAUCAAACAAUGGUAAUAACUCUCAAGUUUUCAAAAACUUAUUCAUCAAGGCCAAAAUCAAUACAAAUUGAUAUAGUAUGUUUUAAACUCUUCAUAGAAUAAGAAAAGAUUUGAUAAUGUGAAGAGGGAUUAUACUUACAUUGUGGAGAAGCAAAAUACAGUGCUCAAUAUUGUUCAAAGAAGUAAUGCAACCACAAAAUUAGAAGCAUGGUUGCCAAAGAAGAUGAUGUGUCAAAAAAUAAGUUUCUUCAAUUACAACGGCAAUAAUGCGGCUAAAAUCUCAUAUAAUUCCUAACAAAGGUCCUAUUCUCUCCUCAAAUCUUUUAUCUUAUUUUAUAAUAGAAGUUUAUUUAGAACCAAAAAAUUACAAAGUCUCAGCUUUGUUAGAUUCAAGAACCUUAGCCUAUUUUAUAGACAAAGACUUUGUCAAAAAACAAGAGAUAUUAUUACUCAAGAAAAUUAAAUUCAUAUAUGUAGAAGUCAUAGAUGGUUGUUUGAUAUCUUUUGAAGAUGUUAUACAUGAAAUCAUUUAAUUAGAUGUAUCAAUUAAAGAUUAUAAUAACAUAAUUAUAUUUUAUGCAAUAAGAACUUCAUCUAAUCUAAUUAUUUUAGAAUUAUCUUGAUUGAAAAAAUAUAAUCCUCAAAUGGAUUGGAUUUUUCAUAACUUUAAUUUUUUUAAUAUUUUAAUCCAAAAUCCCAUUACUCAAGUAAAAAUAUAUAAGUCUAAUAUAUCCAAAUUCUUACUACUAGGUGGAAGAACUUUCAUGCAUGUUAUAAAAAAAGGGUCAUCUUUUGCAAUAAAUGCCAUGCCUAUUUUUGAUGGUAGAAAGAUGUCAAGUAAUAUUCCUAGGUAGUAUCAAGAUUUCUAAGAUGUUUUUGAAAAGAAGAAUGUAGAUAUUCUUCUAAAGCAUCAUUCUUAUGAUUAUUCCAUUGAUCUUCACAAAGUAGCUCAACUACCUUUUGGACCAAUCUAUAGCCUAUUACAAAAUGAGUUGGCUGCAUUCAAAGAGUAUAUUAAUUAAAAUUGGUUAAGAAUUUUACAUGUCAUUUUAAAAUUCCAAUUAGGGCUCCUAUCUUAUUUGUGAAGGAAAAAGAUGGAUCUUUGAGGAUGUGUGUCGACUAUCAAAGAUUCAAAAAAAUCACUAUCAAGAAUAAAUAUCCUCUAUCUUUGAUUUUAAAAUUUCUUGAUCAAUUCAAUCAAAUAAAGAUCUAUAGAAAAAUAGAUCUACAACGAACAUAUAAUUUGGUAUGCAUUAAAAAAAAUGAAUGAAAAACUAUAUUUUAAACUAGGAAUGGGCAUUUUGAAUAUAAUGUUAUACCUUUUGGACUCACAAAUGCAUCAAUUGAUUUUUAACAUCUAAUAAAUAAUAUCUUUUGUGAGUUUUUUUUAUGAUUUUUUUAUUUGUUAUUUGGAUGACAUCUUAAUCUACUUAAAGAAUAUAAAAGAAUAUGAAGUUCACAUUUUUUGUGUUUUACAAAAACUUAGAGAUAGAGGAUUAUAUGCCAAAAUAAAUAAGUGUGUAUUCUAUACUACUUAAGUUGACUUCGUAGGAUACAUCAUUUCUAAAAAAAUACUAAUAAUAGAUUUAAAAAAGAUCUAGACUAUCAUAGAUUGAAAGAUUUCAAGAACAAUAAGAGAUGUACAAUUCUUUUUAGAUUUUUUUAAUUACUAUUGGAUCUUCAUCAAGAAUUUUUCUCAAAUUGUAGCUCUACCUACAUGUUUGAUAUAUAAAGACAAACUUUAGUGGAGUAAAGAAGUCAAAAAAUUAUUUGAUGCUUUAAAAAAGAAGUUUACUUUUGUACCAAUCUUAUAUUAUGUUGACUUUUUCAAGGUAUUUUUUUAUAAAAAUGGAUAGAUCAAACUGUGCCUUAGAUGAAGUAUUAUUUCAAAUAGGAGUAGAUGACAAACUUUAUCAAGUAGCUUUUCAUUCCAAAAACUUUUAUGUAGCCGAGAUUAAUUAUGAGAUCUAUAAUAAAGAGCUCCUUGCAAUUGUCAAUUCAUUUUAAGAAUGGUAUUAUUAUUUAGAAGACACCUCGAAUCAAGUUACUUUAUAUACAAAUCAUAAGAAACUCAAGUAUUUCAUAUUGGCACGUAUUUUAAUACGAUGCCAAACUCAUUGUAGUAUGUCUUUAUAAAAAUUUGAUUUCAAGAUAACUUAUCAAUUUAAAAAAUAAUAUGGUUUGUUACAUGCUCUUUUUAGAUAUUCUUAUCUUAUAUCAAAAGAAAGAGAUGUAUUUUUUGAUUAACAAAGAAUGGUUCUCUUAAAGCUAGAGCAAUUUCAUCAUUGAGUAAUAAAAUCAAUAUUGAAUGUUGAUUCAAUCUUUGUUGAGCAAAUUCAAUCAAGCAUGUCUUUUAAUCCUCUUGUCGAUGAUUUUAAGAGUAAUUCCUCUAAAUCUCAUGAUAUUUCUAAAUUCAAUUUCAAAAAUGAUCUACUCUAUUUUGAGGGAUGAUUAUACAUUCAAAAAGAUAAAGCACAAUUAGGUGUCUUUUAAACUCAUCAUAAUUUUUCAGUAGUUGAAAAUUUUGAAUAUAAUAAGACUUUACAGCUAAUAUUGAAAGAUUUUUGGUAGGAUCAAAUGUGGAAGGCAGUCAAAGACUUUGUGAAAUUAUAUAAUCUUUAUUUAAGAUUUAAAACUCCUUGCCAUCAAUCUUAUAGACUUCUUUAGCCAUUACCUAUUUCAAAACAAUCAUAUGUAUAUAUAUAUUUUUUUUCUAUAAAUUCUAUUAUGGAUCAAGUUUGUAUGAUUCUAUAUUUGUAUUAGUAGAUUAUUUUAACAAGAUGGAUUAUUUGUAUCAUAUUAAAAAUCUAUCUUAUAUGAAGAAAUAACUAAGUUUUUUCUCAACAACAUCUAUCACUAUCAUAGUGUCGUAUUGUAACACGACUAUAUGAUGAAAAUAUAAAUGAAAAAGAUUGUAUUAAUAUUUAGCCAUCUUGGAUGUUAGAAACAGUGGCCAAUUCCAGUGCCAAUAUUCAGGGGCCAGUUAAUGUCACCCCAUUGCAAGCUAUACCACUGUACGUGACAUCAACAAUAUGUUCUAUUGCCGUCAUCGAAUCAAGUAUCUUUCGUACUAAUGGAACAAUCAGGAUCAUUUUCUAACCCUACAUGGAACAAGCCUAAUAGGUAUAUAUCGGUGGAGACACCCAGUAUGCCUAAUGAAGGUGCAAGAAGACCACUUCGUUGUUUUUGUUGUAGACAGAUUGGUCAUUAUGCUAAUGAAUGUCCCAAUUCCAGAGCCAAUGACGAUUACGCACUGGUGUAUGGGAAUUACAAGUAGUCGGGGCAUACUUAUUAGUAAUGUAAUGCUCCGUUCAAUUUCAAUAAUCGGGAUCAGCAGAUCCAAAGCCAAGAAAAAAAUUGAAGAAAUAAAUCGAGGCCCUCAAGAUUCUCUAAUAAAUUGAGUGGAAUGUGUCCAAGCUAUUCUUACCAAGAGUCGGCAAAAGGAAAAAAGAUCAAUUCAACAUUUGGGUGAGCUUGAUGCGAAUGGCCAAUUUGACCCAAUUACAAGGACAUCCAAUCCAGUUCCUAUUACGGGCCUCUUAUCCAAUAUGAGACCUGACUCAGUUGGGCAACCCAAUGAGGUCCCGAUUACAAAGGCUUUGGUUCUAUUUCAAGUUGUUCUAUUGUCUAUGCCAUUUUGGAGAAACGUCCUUCCCGUGGAAAGAUCCUCUUAGAGGUGGGAAUUCCAUAGAAGCGCGGUCUGUUGUUCCAAUUUCGAGUCGAGGGCAAAAGAAUAGGAGAUUUGGGAUCAGAGAGCGAGCUUCAAGCUUCUUCCAAAGGUGUAAGACUGAGUUUCAUAGGGUUUGGGAGGACUUUGUAAUCGUUGUUCAAAGUCAGUGUUUGUAUUGGUGAUUUGGAUUUUUUGCAAUAAAGUUAGGGCAAGUACUCUUGACUAUUUUUUGAAAUUGGAGAAACAUCUGCAGUUGAAAUUUUUGAGAUAUUUAGAUGGUUGAGUAUGCCAAGUGCAUGCAAAAUUUUGUAAUAAUGUAACGGUAUGGAUAGAGGAUAUUUGAUCAUUAGUAUAAAGAGAUAUCAGAAGUUGGCAAAUUGGGCUGUUUAGGGUUUUUGCAAUAUCUAGAGAUCUACUAAGUGGAAUAAGGUGAAUUUUGGCAUAAUAAGUUGAGGACUUAAAGACAGAGCUGUAUACAAAGUUUGAAUGAGAAUUAACAAUUGGAGAAGGAGAAAUUGUAAUUCAAAGUUUGUCAUCAACUUUCUAGGCACUGGUCAAGGGACAUCAAUGUGGAUUUAUGGCGUUUUCUUGCAAUCUGUAAGUUAGAUUGGAUUGAAACUUCUUGAACAUUUAGAAGAUUUAUAAAGACACUAGUAGUAGAAGUUUUACAACAAUCUAAUGGUCAGAUUGAGAAUUAUAGCUUGCCAAAGUUCACUGUCUAGGAUUAGGGUUUAAAAAUUAAAAAAUUAAAAAUUAAAAAUUAAAAAAAAUAAUAUUAAUAAAAAAAUAAAAUAAAACUAACAAAUUAACAAAAGAAUUUGUGCUUAUAAUAGCUUGAAGUCAUUAAAAAUAGUAUUUCUAAGCACUUUGUAUUGGGAUUAAGCAUUUAUAUUGAAAUCCGAAAUAGUUUGUAUUUAGAUGGUUGAAAUCCACUAGACUACUUGGAUAUUUACAAAACAUUGUUUUAUCUUCCACAGCCAGAUAUCCGGUGCAUUCUCAAGUAAGAUAGCACUUAAUAUGAUAAUGAAUUGACUAAAGAUAUUAUAUUAGAUAGGAGAAUUCAAUUUAAAUAAAGAUUUUGAAGAAUUAUUUUUAAGAUUUUAAAGAUAGAAAGCUCUCUUUGGCUUUUUAUUUUCAAAUUGAUGGACAAAUAGAAUAGAUGAAUCAAGUUUUGGAGUAGUACUUGAGGUGUACCAUCAAAUAUCAUCAAGAUGAUUGGACAACUCUUUUAUUAUUGGUAGAGUUUACAUAUUAUAAUUUGGUAUAUUCUUACAUUUAAUAAUUUUUUUUAUAUUAAUUAUAGUUAUCAUCUACAACUUGAUAGUUUUGACUUUUCAAAAGUUGAUAAUCUUGUGACAAAAAAUUUCACAAAUCAUUUCUCAAAGCAAUAUGCAACAAUAAAAAUACAAUUAAAAGGAGCUCAAAAAUAACAAAAGACUAAUGCAGAUGCCUAUUACAAGGAACUACCACAAUUCAAUAUAGAUGAUAAGAUAUGAUUAGUUUGUUACAAUAUUAAGACUAUUUAUUUUUAUGAUAAGAUAGACUAUUAUAAGCUUGAACUUUUUCUAUUUAUAAAUAAGUCAAUCUUAUUGCUUAUCAACUACAUCUAUUAGAAUCUAUCAAGAUCUAUCUCAUAUUUCACAUGUCUCUUCUUCAGCCAUAUAAGACAAUGAAUAUUUCUAGAAGAAGACAAAUAUCACCUCUUUCUAUAGAAGUGUCAUGAAUAUACAUAGAUAUUCUAGUAAUUAAUUAUAUAAUUAGAUAGGAAUAGAUAAAAGUAAAUAAAAGUAGAUUAAUUUCAUAAGACCUUUUAGAAAAGCUUUUUAGAAGCUUCAUAGAUUUUGCUUGACUUUAUAUGUGUUUAUAGCUGAUUGUUACAUUAGAAACUUAGUCAAUAAGUUAAUUAUGUGUAGAUAACUUACAGAACAAGUUAAUUAUGUGAUGCACAUAUAGAAAACUUACCUUUUAAAUUAAGACACGUGUCUUGCAAAGCCAACAUAUUUUGGAGGUCCUAUAAGAUAUCACCAUGUAGUUCCUAGUUAAAAAUAUACAUAGAGGUAAGAAUAAAGCCUUUUUCACUCUUGUCAAUGCUUUUCUAGUUCUUAGUCUUAUUUCAAGAUUUUUUAGUCUUCUUGUUUUUAGCAAUAGCCAUUCUAGUUCAAUAUUCUAUUACCUUUGAUUGACUUUCUAAUUCCUUUCAAUGAUAUAAGAGUAUAUUGAGGAUUUUCUUUCUUUGAGAUUCAUGUCUUUGAUAAUUUGACGAAAGUAGUACCAUAUUAUUUUUAUCUUAUUUAAGAAGUAAGUAGAUUAUUCUACUUCUAUUGUUGUAUUUUGAAGGUUGUAGACUAUCUACUUUUAAACAAAAAAUCUUGUUUUUUAAAAAUGAUCUUUUCCUUAAAAAGAAUAAAUUAUUCUUCUUUAUAAAAAAAUUUUAUUAGAGGUUGCAGAUUAGCUUCAUCUAAUUUAACUUUUUGAAUUUGUUUGAGUUGUUUAUAGAAUGAAAGCAUAGACAUACGCAUGUAAGCCAAUAAUUAUAUAUAUAAAUAGAUAGAAGUAAAUAGAAUUAUAUAAAAAUAAAUUAAUUCUAUAAUAUUUGCUAUGGAAGCUUCCUAAAAACUUCAUAGACAUUGCUUUGACUUUAUAGGUGUCUUUAAUUGACUUUUUGGAUUAGAAACGUGGUCAAAAAAUUAGCCAUGUACCACACAUGUUCUUAGCUUGAAGACCAAGCUAACUAUGUGGUCCACAUGUAAAAAAACUUGCCUUGUAAUGCAAAACAUGUGUCCUACAAAGUUAGUACCUAUUGGAGGUCCUAUAGAACAUCGCCACAUAGCCUCUAGUUAAAUAGUAUUUAUACAGAGAAGAGUGAAGCCCUCUUCACUCUUGUCAACUCCUUUCUUCUUUCUAGUUUAGUUUCAAGGGUCUGUAAUUUUUUUAUCUUUUGGCAAUAGCCAUUCCAGUUUCUUUUUUAAUUUACAUAUUGAAUUAUUUCUAUUUUGUCAUCUUUCUUUGAGAGAAGUCUCACUUUUUUAUUUAUUUUUAUCAAGUUCUUAUCCUUGACAAAUUGACAAGAGUACACUUACAAUAUCAGAGCUUUGUCUAAUCUUGAUUAAGAGUGGAUUAUCCCUUUUUCUUGAUAAGACAUAAUCAUAUUAGAAGUUGUAGAUUACCCUCUUCUAAACUAAUAUUGUCCUUAGUAUUUUCUUUGUUCUCAAGUCCUCUCUUCUAUUUGUCUUGAGCGAUAUUAGACAUCUUUUUUUUAAGUAUUAUCAUAGUAGAACUUGCUGAAAUGAAGAGUGCAAUGGCACAAAUGCAAGAGCAAUUGAGGGGAUUAAUGCUUGCGAUGCAUCAACUCAAUUUACCACCAUAAAGAACAACAAGAUUGGUAGGAAGUGAAGAUAUAUAUAUGAUUGGAGUUGCUUCAACAUCUGUACUAAAUCAUAUCCAUUUUCUUAUGGUGGGACAUCCUUCCAGUAUUAGAGAACCUAGAAUUGUCCUACCCAAGAAGUUUCAUGGCACCAGAUCAAAGUUUAGAGGAUUUAUCAAUCAAAUAUAAUUUUGGAUUGAACUUCAAUCCCAAAGCUAUCCAACUCUAGGAUCGUAAGUUAGAUUCAUUGGUACGCUUCUUUCAAGUUUAGAAUUAUCAAAGUUUUCAUCUUUUCUUGGACAAUGAGAUCCAAUAUUGGAUAAUCUAGAGGCUUUUUUGAUAGAAUUUCAAACCAAAUAUAGAAAAUAUGAUGCAAUUUGUGUUGCAACCAACAAGAUAUGUAUUUUGCGACAAUGCAAUCAAUCAAUAACGUUGUACACUUCAGAGUUUUGACAACUUGUAACUGAUAUUAAGUGGGAUGAUGCUGCACUUGUUAUCUAAUUUCUCUAUGGAUUACAAUAUGAGGUAAAAAAAUUAAUGCUCAACUUACUUAAUCCUCAAACAUUAAGUCAAGCAAUUGACUUUGCUAUGAAGUGCAACAAUUAUCUUUUUGAAUUCCAAUCUGAGAACCGUAUAAGUGGACCUCAACGUUACUAUAAUUCAAUGGCAAUACCAAUAUCUCUUCAACACAUACAUUCAGAAGUAGAAGAUAUGCAAAUUGGUGUGGUAUGUUUCAAACCUCUUACUGAGCAAGAAAAGACUCAUCAUCAUCAAAAAAGAUUGUACUUAUAUUAUGGAAAACCUAAGCACAUUACUCAACAUUGCUUAAAGAAGCAACGCAACCAUAAAAUAAGGAAUAUGGCGAUCAAAAAAGAUAGCAUGUCGAAAAAUGAAGUUAUCUAAUUUGAAUAGAGAUCGUGCGGCUCGAACCUUGUACAACGCCUAGUGAAGGUCCUAUUCUCUCUUCAAAAUCCUUUCCAUGUUUUACAAUAAAUGUUAUUCUAGGACCUAAACAUCACAAAGCCUCUGUCUUGCUAGAUUCACGAGCCUCAGUAUGUUUCUUAGAUGAAGAAUUUGCUAAAAGACAUAGCAUACUUUUAGUGAAGAAAACUAAACUUGUUCAUGUAGAAGUCAUAGAUGGUCGUCUGUUGUCUUCAAGAGAUGUUAUUCAUGAAACCCUUCCUAUAGAAGUAAUAACUAAUGGUUAUAGUAGCUUUGUAAUAUUUAAUAUCAUUAGAUCUCCUUCUAAUCCAAUCAUUUUAGAUUUAUCAUGGCUAAAAAAAUAUAACCCUAAAAUAGAUUGGACUUCUUGUAGUCUUGACUUUUUUGAAAAUAUAACUAAGAGCGUAAUUAAUCAAGUAGAAAUUUAUAAGUCUAAUAUAAUUAAACCUCUAUUUCUUGGUGCAAGAGCUUUCUUGCAUGUUGCAAAAGAAGGAUCACCUUAUGUCAUUUAUGCCGCACUUGUUUCUACUAGUGGAAAGACUUUAAGUCACAUUCCAAGCCAAUAUCAAGAUUUUUAAGAUGUAUUUGAAAAGAAAAAUAUGGAUACUCUUUUGGAAUAUCGUUCCUAUGAUUGCUCAAUUGACCUUCAAGAAAAAAUACAAUUGCCAUUUGGACCAAUCUACAAUUUAUCUCAAAUGAGUUGGUUGAACUCAAGGAGUAUAUUGAAGAAAAUCUAGCCAAGAACUUCAUACGCCAUUCCAAAUCAGCAAGAGCUCUAAUUUUAUUUGUGAAGAAAAAAGAUGGAUCAUUGCGGAUGUGUGUCGAUUAUCGAUGACUCAAAAAAAUCACCAUCAAGAACAAGUACCCACUAUCUUUGAUAUAUGGACUUCUUGAUUAGUUCAAUCAAGCUAAGAUCUAUACAAAAAUAGAUCUACGAGGAGCAUAUAAUCUGGUAUACAUCAAAGAAGGAGAAGAAUGGAAGACUACGUUUUGAACAAGGUAUGGACAUUUCAAAUAUAAUGUCAUGCCUUUUGGACUUACAAAUGCACCAGCAGCAUUCCAACAUCUAAUGAAUGAUGUCUUUUGAGAGUUUUUAGAUGAUUUUAUUAUUUAUUACCUAAACAACAAUUUAAUCUAUUCUAAGAAUAUAGAAGAAUAUGAACUUCAUGUUUGUCAUGUGUUACAAAUACUAAAAGAUGCGGGACUCUAUGCCAAGAUAGAAAAGUAUAUAUUUCACACUACUCAAGUCGACUUCUUAGGAUACAUCAUUUCAAAUGAUGGACUUAUGAUGGAUCUUAAGAAAGUUCAAACUAUUGUAGAUUGAAAGAUCCCAAAAACGGUAAGAGAUGUCCAAUGAUUUUUAGAAUUUGCCAACUACUAUCAGAUCUUCAUCAAAGACUUCUCUCAAGUUGUAACUCUACUUAUACAUUUGACUUGUAAAGACAAACUUCAAUGGAAUUAAGAAGUGGAAGUAGUAUUUGAAGCUUUGAAGACAACCUUUGUUUCUAUACCAAUCUUGUAUUGCAUUGAUUUUUCUAAGCCAUUUUUUAUGAAAACAAAUGCAUCAGACUUUGCUUUGGGUACCAGUUUACACCCACACAGCUUUUUGACAUGCUACUGUCUAAUUUGAAGUCUAUUGAGGAGAAGAGCUUAGAGACUUCAAUUAUAGAUUGUAUGAUCUGUAUGCUUAUCUAUUUUAUAGAGCUAUAGAGGCGAACAUACUUGGAUGUUGCCCAGGUGGCAAGUCACUAUCCCUUGAGAUUUUUGCAUGAAACUACUGCAUCGGCCUUGGCGUAGAAGAUCUACAAGACGAAUUUGCUAGAUAUCGAGCCAAUCAAUGUGGCAUUUCUUUAUAUCGGUCAUGCUAGUAUGCAGGUGUGCAUUGCUCCGUUUAAGAAGGAGCAGCUGAAGAUUUUAGGUCAUGCAUUCGAGAGGACUCUUGACAGUCAUGACUUUGAUGAAGUUUUGUUUAAAUAUUUUGCUACCAAGUUCAAAACAGAAUAUAAGAUAGAUGUACCUUCGAACGCACGUGCUAGUUCAAGACUUUGAGCAGCAUGCAAGAAAGUAAAAAAAAAAAAAAAUUGAGUGCCAAUCUCAUUGUCCCACUGAAUAUUGAGUAUUUGAUGGAUGAGAAGGAUGUGAAGGGAUUCAUUAAACAUGAUGAAUUUGAGGAAUUGGCCAAAUCUAUUUUGGAGAAGGUGAGAGGUCUUUGCGAGAGAGCGCUUGAUUCAUCAAAAUUAAGCAUAAAUAAGAUUUUUGCUAUGGAAGUAGUCGGAUAUGGAUCUCGUGUGAUUGCUAUUUUGAAAGUCGUAAACUUUGUGUUUGGCAAUGAACCAAGCCACACCAUGAAUGCUAGCAAGUACAUUGCUUACAGUCAUACAUUUCAAUGUGCAAUGUUGAGUCUCACCUUUUGCGUUCAUAAUUUUGAUGUUCAAGAUUUAUUUCCUUUUAUAAUAGGACUUUACUAGAAGAGACUAGUCCCAGCGACAAAAGACAAAGAUGUGGUUUCAUCCAAUAGUAUUGUAUUUGUGAAAGGCAACCCUAUUCCUAGUACGAAAUUAUUAAAUUUUUACAUGUCGAGUACAUUCUCAAUUGAUGUAUUCUAUGGUGAGAUUGGCAAAUUACCUACAAGCAUAAGUCCCACAAUUGCCACAUUUACCAUUGAUCCAUUCACUCCUACUAUGGCAAAGAGGACCAAGAUCAAAGUUAGAAUCAGGCUUGAUUUGCAUGGAAUUGUCUCAUUAGAAGCCGCUACCAUAAUUGAAGAAGAGGUUGAAAUCCUGGUCACAAAGAAUGAAGUAUUGAAGGAGGGGUUUGGUGAGAAAGUGUCAUCUCCCAUUGAUACCAAGCUCGAAGAUGUAACCACAGCCAAUGCAAAUAAUAAUUCUAUGGAGGAUAAUGCUAAAAUGGUAACUAAGACACCAAAAUUAGAAAUUGAGAAGAAUAAGUCAAAGUUUAUAGAUGUAUAUGUGUAUGAAGUCAUCCACGAUGGUCUUUCACAACCGGAAUUGAUUAAAGCCAUCGAGAAAGAGAAUGAGAUGGAAUUUCAAGACCGCAUUAUGGAGGAAACAAAGGAGAGCAAGAGCGUUGUGGAGGCUUACGUAUACAACAUGAGAAAUAAGUUGUGCAACAAAUUCCAAGAUUUUCUAACAGAUUAUAAACGUGAAGAAAUGUUGGUUAGGUAAAAGUAUAGUUGUUGAUGUAGUUAUGCACUUUUUGUUAAGUGCAUUCAUAGUCUUAAUCUUAGAGAUUGUUAUACACUUUAGAAUGUUGUUUUAGAACACUAGUGAUGUGUUUCUUUGCUGACCCACCUCAUUCAUACACUAAGAUUAAACUUUCAUGUGUUUAAAUUCUUAAUAGAUCUUUUAUAAUGAAAAGAAGUGUUAUAAGACAUAAGAGGUGAUAAAAGAGUAGCAAAGCAUGCAAGAGAGGUUUAGAUAGUAUAUAAGACUUGUGAGAAGUCUUAUAAGUGAAGUUGAGAGUUAUCAAAGAGUGAAAUCACUAAUUUACUAAUAAAGAGGGCAUUUUGGGAUUCUAAAAACUGAACAUCUUUUUCUUGAUUUUUAGAGUUUUAUAUUCUCUUUUCUUGAUUUUUUUUGAUACACCCCUUCUUUAGACAUGGCUUCAAGUGAGGGUGAGGAUUUGAAAGUGAUUGAGAAGUUUAGAGGUGACAACUUCUACCAUUGGAAGAAGAAAAUGGAGCUUUUAUUGGCUUCAUUGGAUCUUUGAGACAUUGUUGAUGAAAGUAAAGAGCCUCCUAUCAAUGAUGUUGAUGUCAAGGCAAAGUAUGAGUACAAAUGACGUGAAAUAAAGGCUUUUGGCAUGAUUGCAACAAAUCUUGAUGAUGCCAAUUGUUCACAUGUAAUUGCUUGCAAAGAACCAGCAAAAAUAUAGAAAACUCUUUGCAACAUCUAUGAGAGUAGAAACCUUGUCAAUAUUCUAUAGACAAGAAGAAAGUUCUUAAAGAUAAAGAUGGAAGUGUCAAGGACAUGAAUCUCGAAGAAAGAGAAUCCUGAAUACACUCUUCUAUCACUAAAGACAAUUAGAAAGUCACUCAAAAGGUGAUGUAAUAUUAAUUAGAAUGGCUAUUGUCAAAAAUAAGAACACUAGAAAGACUUGAAAUAAGACUAAGACUAGAAAGGCAUUGAUAAGACUGAAGGAGACUUCACUCUUGCUUCUAUAUAUAUAAUCUAACUAAGAGCUACGUGGCGAUGUCCUAUAGGACCUCCAACAUGUGUUGACUUUGCUAGCCACAUGUCUUAUUUUGCAAGGCAAGUUAUCUAUGUAUGCGCCACAUAGUUGGCUUUUUCCACAAGCUAUUACAUAAAAAUAACUUGUUCUACAAGCUACUAAUAUAUGAUUAGUUUUUUGGCCAAAUUUCUAACCUACAAAUACAUCUUAAGUCAAAAUGGCAUCUAUGAAGCUUCUAGGAAGCUUUUUUAGAAGACUUUAUGAAAUUAUUCUAUAUUUAUCUACUUCUACUUAAUCAUAUAAGUAACUAUUGAGGUAAAUGUAUAUGUCCAUUGUCGUAAUACAUGAAGUCUUGCUUGAGAAUGCUUCAGGCACUUGGUUGUGGAAGGUAGAAUAGAAAUUAUAAUAACAAAAUCUUAACUUUAAUAGAAUAUUAACUAAAUUCUAAUUAGACCAUAAUAAUGCUAAGCAAGAUUUAAUCAAAUUCAAAGAAAACUCAAAGAAUUUCAAAGAAACAAUAAGAAAUCUUAAAGAAAUAUUAAAGUGAUCACAAAUAUAUCUCAAAUAUAUCACAAUUCAAUCUUAAUUUAAUCCGAGUUAAAAUCCUAUUGGACUUUAUUCAAAAUUUAGGCCAAAAAUAAUUAAAUCUUAAACCCUAAUAAAAUGCUUAUAAAAUCCUAAUCCUAAAUCAAACCCUAAACUAUAAACCAAAUUCUAAUCAAACCUUAACCAAAUCCUAAACCAAACUCUAACUAAUCCCUAAACAAAUCCUAAAUCAAAUCCUAACUAAAUCUUAAACCCUAAAUCAAAUCCUAAAUCUUAAACCAAAUCCUAAUCCAAUCCUAAAUCAAAAUCUAAUCAAUCCUUAAAUAAAUCCUAAAUCAAAUCCUAAACUCUAAAUCAAACUCUAACUAAAUCAAAAAUCCUAAACUAAAUCCUAAAUCCUAAACCAAAUCCUAACCAAAUCCUAAAUCCUUAACCAAAUCUUAACCAAAUCCUAAACCCUAAACCAAAUCCUAAUCAAAUCUUAAAUCCUAAACCAAAUCCUAAAUCAAAUCCUAAAUCCUAAACCAAAUUCUAACAAAUCCUUAAACAAACCCUAAAUCAAACUCUAACCAAUCCCUAAAUAAAUCCUAAAUCAAAUCUUAAAUCCUAAAUCAAAUCCUAACUAAAUCUUAAAUCCUAAACCAAAUCCUAAAUCAAACUCUAAAUCCUAAAUCAAAUCCUAACCCAAUCCUAAACCAAAUUCUAAAUAAUCCCUAAAUAAAUCCUAAAUCAAAUCCUAAAUAAACCUUAAAUCCUAAACCAAAUCCUAAUCUAAAUCUAAACCAAAUUCUAACCAAUCUCUAAAUAAAUCCUAAACCAAAUUCUAAAUCCUAAAUCAAAUCCUAACUUAAUCUUAAAUCCUAAAUCAAAUCCUAAAUCCUAAACCAAACCCUAAUCAAAUCCUAAAUGAAAUCCUAACCAAACUCUAAAUCCUAAACGAAACCCUAACAAAAUCCUAAAUCCUAAACCAAACCCUAACUAAAUCCUAAACGAAAUCCAUACCAAACUCUAAACCCUAAACCAAAUCUUAACCAAAUCCUAAUAAUUUCUACAAAAGAUUCAAACCUCAAUAACUAAUGAAUGAAAUGUUGAUCUUAAUUCAAAAUUUGCAAACUUCUUAAAAACUAAGUUAAAAAUAAGAAAUUUUUUUUUGAAAGGAUCAAAAUUACCAAAUAGACGAUAACCUCAAAAACGUGCUCGGAUAUUGGUCAACCUCCUUCUUCAACCUUGAUGCCAAUCUUCCAGUGCCAAUAUCUCUCUUUUUCAUAGUUCGAUUGAUCUCAAAAUUCUCUUAUACAUAGAAAAAUAAGUCUAAUAUCUUCUUACAUAAAUUUAACUUCAAUCCAAUUAGUAGAAUGCAAGAAAUUUUAAAAACUCUCACUAGACCUAAAAUUCUAUUGUCUGAGACCUUGACAUUUUAAACCUCAAUAAUCCUCAAAUCAACUAUUAAAUCGAGCUCAAAUUUAUCAAACAUAUUGAACACAAUUAUAACCAUAAACCUACAAAAUUUCACCUGUAUAUCUAUUACAAAACUCUUGAAAUUGUCCCAAAAUAUAAACCCUAUUUUAUUUCACAAAACCCAAGUCAUCUGAAACAAACCUUGGCUUUGCAAAGCUCUUACAAAGUCAAUACAGAUCCAAAUCACCUAAAACUAAUGCUCAUAGAAAUCUCAUCUAAACUUCUAUCUAAGUCCAUUCUCUGAUCUACCAAAGAGUCUUGGAGUCGUCAUCGAGACUCAAUUUUGUGCCUCAGGGUCUGUAUUCGAUCCUAGUUCAUAACUAACCCUCUCUGGGUAUGAAUAUCUAGUUUUUUAAUGUAAUUUUUACUAGAAUUUACUCUUAACUUCCUCCUAAAGAUUUCUAUAUCAUUUAUUUUUCCAAUCUAUCUUAUUUUGCCUUAUUUUUAGCCUUACAAUGUAAGUAGAAGCUAUUUUUCUAAAAGGGCAGCAUUACUACUAAAAGUUUUACUACCUUCCUAUCUUUAUCCAUAUUUUUCUACUUUUUCUUUUAACUUGGCUCUUCUAUAAUAAGAUCCAUAUUAUCAUCUUUCACCAUAUAGUCAUGUUACAACACUACAUUAUGAUAUUAUCCCUCCUUCUAGAGACAAGUUCCACGACGAGCGAACUUCAUAUGUUGAAGAACUUCAAGUUGCGGCAAAUUAUAUUUGCUACAUACUCCGAUCUUUGCUCUCUUUGAAGAUGGCUGAUAGGUCCUCUCAACCAUCUAUAGUUUCUUAUACCAAGGCAAGAAGACCACCCUAUUAUUUGAUCAUUGUUGAAGCCUUCAUAACUUCCUUCAAAUGAAACAAUUAGAACACCAUCAAGAGUUGCUCUUACCUCUAAUAAAAUCACUAAACAUUGAGAGUCUCUUCUAAGAUUGUGAUAUCAAACACAUUAUAUCUUGCCAUCUAUUCAAGGAAAGAUAUGUCAUUCUUGAGGAUCUUCAUCUCGAUUUUGUCGUCUUAAAAGUUGUGAGAAUUGCAAUGUCUCAUUUGAUAAGUCCGCAAAUGAAAGCUCUUGAGUUGAAUCUACUGAUUGUUGGUAUUCCAUCUCAUCAUAAAUACAUAGAAGCUACAAUAAAAGAUAGAAGAUAUAAUGUUAUUUUCUUUUGAUCUUGUUUCUUUUAUAGCAAAGAUUUUUUAUUCUUCAUCUUGGUUUUGAUGGAUGUCGUUGAUAAAAGACUUCAAUUUUCUUUGCUGCAUUUACAAGAUUAUUUGAUGGCUCCCAUGUAUAUUCAUUAAUAUCAUAUUUGCAUCAAUGAAGAAGAUAUUCCAACCUAUUUAGGUGCCACCUUGAAUCUAAGACUUCUUCCACCUCAAACUCUUGAUUAUUAUCCACUUUUAUAGGAGGAGGUGGUAUUUGUCUUCUUUUCAAGAUAUUCACUAUCUUGUACAGCUCUAGAAGAGACAUGUGAAAUACAGGAUGGAUCUUUAUAGAUUUUAUAGAUGUAAUUGAUAGGCAACAGGAUUGAUUUGUUCACAAAUAGAAAAAGGUCCCAACCUACAAUAAUCUAAUAUUUCACAAGGACGAGCAGACUUGAUAUUACAAAGAAGUAACCAUACCUUGUCACUCAUAUUAUAUUGUAGUUGCUCCUUGUGAUACACACCCAAGUUGGUCUUUUGUAAUUCUAGAACUUCCUCGAAUUAUAUCUUCAUUUUCAUAUGUAGCUCUGACAAGCGAUUUGCUAAAUCUUCCGUCGCAUGAUCAUCAACUUUUCAAAAGUCAAAAGUAUCAAGACAUUGCAUGGUGUGAUUUGCUAUCUGGGAAUACACUGGGUAUCUAGCUAUAGAGAGUGUAGCUUAAACCUUUAUAUGAAUCUUAUCUCAGCCUCCCAAAACUCCUUUAUUUUGCAUAAAACUCAAAAUAUAACAAGAUCCCUUCAAAACAUAUUUUUUCCGAGAAGGGUUUUUUUCUUCUCAAAUUUUAGAAUUUCAUAACUCUUGAUCUAGCCAUUCAAUUUGUCUCAAAUUUAUAGAAUAGGUAGAAUAAACUCUUAAAUUUUAUCACAAAAAAAUCCAACCACAAAUUCACUCUCGAUCUUUUGAUAUCUAAGAAAUCCUAGCAGACGCUCUAAACCCUAAUUUACAAGCACCAGAGAACUAUUCUCUUAAUAUCUCAAGAAUCCAAUACUCAAAUGUCAUCAAACUUAUGUAAAAAGUUUACUAACAUAAAUGUACACAUUUUCUGAAAUUUUGAGCCAAAAUCUUGUCAAAUUGCUCAAGAUAUAGCUCAAGACACAACCACUAGUAAAUCGGGUCACUUACUACCCUUAGAUUUCAUGCACUAACUUCAAAAUCCAAUAACUCCUUUAUGCUUACAAGGAAUCCAGCAAAAAAUAUGCAAAAAGUGUAGCCACAAAAGUUUUCUCUCUAAUUGCAAUUGUCGAUCCUCAAUUGCUAUCUGUACGCGUGCGUUAUGUCAAAAAGAGUGACAGUAGCUCUCAAUCAACACCUUAACUUUGAGCACUUAUAUCUCCUUCACAUAAACUCCAAAUCAUACAAAAUUUGUACCAAAACCAUAGCCAAAAAUCUAAACUUGCUGAUUCUAGCCUUAAAAGCUCGAAUGGCUCCGAAAAACUAACCUUAAUCUCUAAUAUAGCCUCAGGCAAUCUCCUCAAAGUCCAUUGGUCAUGAUUUUUGACCAAUAGGAAUGGAGAUUUUCAUCAUCCAUCUCCAUUCAUUUAUAUUGGUGCCCUAAUUACUCCCUUUGCUACCAAAAUCCUUCUUCAAUCCUUUUUCUUAUAAGAUUUAUAAAAUUUAUGUUCUAAAUACCAAAUAAAAGAACCAAAAUAAGUUUUCAAAGGUUACUAAUGUCUAACAAAGGUGACUCUAAAUAUUUAGAAGUUACUAUCAACCAAAACCAAUCUUAAAAAAUACUAUCAAAAGAAAAUUAAAAUUAUACAAAUUUUAUAGUAAGCUUUUUAAAAAAAACCUCUUUUCAAGGUAAUAAUCAAAUUAUAUUCUAAAACCAACUAAAAUCUACUAACAUAGCUCUCACCGUGUUACUUAAUAAAUUAUAUGUUAAGUACAUAAUUUCAUUAUUUUCAUAUAGUAGCUGAACUACAACACGAAAACGUUGGAAAUACAUGAGAUUUUCACUCUUAGAGUUCAUGAAGAUCUGCUAUGGUUACUAAUCUAUUCACAUUUUCGUUGAAAGUAGCAUCCAUAAUCUUUCCUUCCAUAGACAACUCAAACAAAUUCAAAAGUUAAAUUAGAGGAAGGUAAUCCACAACUUCUAAAAUCAAAUUCCACAAAGAAAUAAUCCGUUCUCUUUAAGAAAAAGAUCACUGUUAGAAAAGAAGAUUUUUUGUUUAAAGGUGGAUAGUCUACAAUCUUCAAAAUACAACAAUAGAAGUGCGGUAAUCCACUCACUUUUAAAAUAAGACAGAAACAAUAUGUUAGGAGUCUUGUCAAAUUGUCAAGGAUAUGAAUCUCAAAGAAAGAGAAUCCUAAAUACACUCUUCUAUCACUAAAGACAAUUAAAAAGUCACUUAAAAAGUGAUGUAAUAUUAACUAGAAUGGCUAUUGCCAAAAACAAGAAGACUAGAAAGUCUUGAAACAAGACUAAGACUAGAAAGGCAUUGACAAGAGUGAAGAAGGCUUCACUCUUAUCUCUAUAUAUACUAUCUAACUAAGAGCUAUGUGGUGAUGUCCUAUAGGACCUCCAACAUGUGUUGACUUUGCUAGCCACAUGUCUUAUCUUGCAAGUCAAGUUAUCUAUGUAUGUGCCAUGUAGUUGGCUUGUUCCACAAGGUAAUAUAUGGAGAUAACUUGUUCGAUAAGCUACUAAUACAAGAUUAGUUUUUUGGCCAAGUUUCUAAUCUAUAAACACAUCUAAAGUCAAAAUUACAUCUAUGAAGCCUCUAGAAAGCUUUUCUAAAAGACUAUAUGAAAUUAUUCUAUAUUUACCUACUUCUACUUAAUUAUAUAAGUAACUAUUGAAGUAAAUGUAUAUAUCCAUGAUAGGAAGAAAGAUAUGUCCUCAAGUCAAGGACAAGAACUCGAUGAAAAACAAUUCAGACAAGUGAGCCUUCACUCAAAGAGAGGUAAAUAAACAAAUAUAUAUAUUGAAAGAGAAACUGGAAUGGCUAUUGCCAAAAGACAAGAAAACUAGAGACCCUUGAAACUAGACUAGAAGCAAGAAAGGAGUUGACAAGAGUGAAGAGAGCUUCACUCUUGCCUCUAUAUAUACUAUCUAACUAGAAGCCACGUGGCGAUAUUCUAUAAGACCUCUAAUAUGUGUUGACUUUCUAGGCCACAUGUCUUUGCUUGCAAGGCAAGUUUUCUAUGAGUGGACUACGUAGUUAGCUUGUCCUUCAAGCUACCAACAUGUGUGGCACAUGGCUAACUUGUUGACCAAGUUUCUAACCUAAAAGUCAACUAUGGACUCCUAUAAGGUCAAAGUAGCAUCUAUGAAGCUUCUAGGAAGCCUCUCUAGAAGAUAUUGCACAAUUAACCUACUUUUAUCUACUUUUACAUACUUUUAUCGACUCUUGUAGGUAAUUAUAUGUAUAUCCGUGACAUUACCCCUCUUCUAGGGACGAGUUCCACGAGGAGCGGUGAUUAUAUGUUGAGAAAGUCUAAUAUGCAGCGAAUUGUAUUUGCUACAUACUCUGAUCUCUGUUCUCUUCGAAGGUAGUUGAUGGGUCCUCUUAGCCAUCGAUAGUGUCCCAUUCCAGGGCGAGAAGACCACCCUGUUAUUUGAUCAUUAUUGAGGCCUUCAUAACUUCCUUCAAAUAAUACAUUUGAAACACCAUCAGCAGUCGUUCCUAUCUCCAGUAAUAUCACCAAACAUCGAGAAUCUCUUCCAAGGUCGUGAUACCAAACGCGUUGUAUCUCACCAUCUAUUCGAGGAAGAACAUGUCGUUCUUGAGGGUCUUCAUCUCGGUUGCGUCAUCUUGAAGGUUGUGACAAUCACAAUGUUUCAUCCGGUAAGUCAGCAAACGAAGGUUCUUGAGUUGAAUCCGUUGGUUAUUGGCUCUCCAUCUAAUUAGCGUCACAAAUGUAAAGAAGUUACAAGCAAGGAUAGAAAAUUGAAUGUUAUCUUGCCUCAAUCUUGUCUCUUUUAUAAGAGAGAUUUUCAUCUUGAUUUUGAUAGAUGUCGUUGAUAAAAAACUUUGACUUUAGCUGAUGCAUUUGCUAGAUUCCUGGAUGGCUCCCAUGUGCGUUCACUAAUAUCAUAUCCGCGCUAAUGAACAAGAUAUUCCAGCUUAUUUUGGUGCCGCCUCGAGUCUAAUAUCUCUUCCACCUCAAAUUCUUCAUUAUUAUCUACUUCUAUAGGAGGCGGUGGCAUUUGUCUUCUUCCUUGUAUAUCCACUGUCUUAUAUGGUUCAAAAAAAGACACGUGGAAUACAGGAUGGAUCUUCAUUGACUCCAGUAGAUGUAACCGAUAUGCAACUGGAUUGAUCUGUUUAGAAACAGAAAAGGGGCCAAGCCUACGAUAGUCCAACUUGUCACAAGAUCGAGUAGUCUUGAUAUUGUGACGAAGUAGCCAUACCUUAUCACCCACGUUGAGUUGUGGUUGCUCCUUACGAUAUAGAUCUGCGUUUAUCUUUGGUCGUUCUUGAGCUUCCUUCAAUUACAUCUUCAUUAUUGUAUGUAACUCUGACAACCGAUUUGCCAUAUCUUCUGCUGCAGGAUUAUCAACUUUUGAAAAAUCAAAAGUAUCAAGUCGUGGAUGAUAGCCAUAAUUGGCAAAAAAAGGUGUUUGUUGCAUGGAAGAAUGUACCAUAUUAUUAUAAGCAAACUCUGCCAAUGGCUGAAGGGUUGUCCAAUCAUCUUGUUGAUAGUUGAUAGUACACCUUAAAUAUUGCUCCAAGACUUGGUUUACGCGCUCUGUUUGUCCAUCAGUUUGAGGAUGGAAAGUCGAAGAUAGCUUUAUGUCCACUUUUAAAAUCUUGAAAAGGGUUCUCCAGAAUCUUGACACAAAUUGAGUUUCCCUAUCCGAUAUGAUAUCUUUAGGUAAUCCAUGAUAGCGAUAGAUAUUAUCAAUGAAAAGCUUAGCUGUUUCUUCACCUGUGAUAGAUUUUGUACAUGGCACAAAAUGUGCCAUCUUGGUGAAACGAUCUACUAUCACAAAUAUAGAAUCAUAAGAUCUUGAGCUUGGAAGAUCUGUGAUGAAAUCCAUAGAAACAGAAGACCAUGGUUGUUCUGGUAUAGGUAAUGGCUGAAGAAGUCCAUAAGGUCGAUGACGAGGAAUUUUUGAUCUUGAACAAAUAUCACAUGAUUGUACAAAGUCUUUGACAAACUUCCACAUUUGUGGCCACCAAAAAUCUCUUAUUAUGAGUUCCAAAGUCUUAUUAUAUCCAAAGUGCCCUGCUGCUGGAAAGUCAUGAUGUGCUUGAAGAACACGUAAACGUGCUUCUCCUUCUGGAACAUAUAGGCGUCCUUCAAAAUAUAAUAGAUUAUUCUUGAACUCGAACUUAGAAGGAUCAUGAGACUUGGAAAAAUUAUUCUCGAUAUCAUAAACAAGAGGGUCUGAGGACAUACUGGACUGGAUUUGCUUGAGAAAAGUUGAAUCAACAGUCAAUGUUGAUUUCAUUGCUCGGAGAUGAAAUUGCUCCGGUUUCAAGAGGACCGUUCUUUGUUGCUCAAAAGCUGCAUCUCCUUCUUUUGGUGCAAAAUAAGAACGUCUAGAUAGGGCAUCGGACAAACCUUAUUGUUUUCCUAGCCGAUAAGUGAUAGUGAACUCAAAUCUUGACAAAGACAUACUCCAACGAGCUUGACGACGAUUCAAUAUGCGUGUUGACAUGAAAUACUCGAGGUUCUUGUGAUCUGUAUACACAGUGACUGGAUUAGAAGCACCUUCUAGAUAAUGACGCCAUUCUUGAAAGGAAUCCACGAUCGCAAGAAGUUCUUUAUCGUGGAUCUCAUAAUUGAUCUCGGCUGCUGAGAAUUUUUUUGAAUGAAAAGCUAUUGGAUGAAGUUUGUCAUCUGAUCCCAUUUGUGAUAAAACUGCACCGAAGGCAAAAUCUGAUGCAUCUGUUUCCAUAAAAAAUGCCUUGGAAAAGUCAACACGAUAUAAGACUGGUGCAAAGACAAACGAUGUCUUCAAGGCUUCAAAUGCUGCUUUUGCUUCUUGAUUCCAUUGGAAUUUAUCUCUACUAGUCAAGCGUGUAAGUGGAGCUGCAACUCGUGAGAAAUCUUUGAUGAAGAUCCGAUAGUAAUUGGUAAAUCUCAAGAAACAUUGGACAUCUCUUACUGUCCUUGGAAUCUUCCAAUCCAUGAUUGUUUGGACUUUCUUAGAAUCCAUCAUGAGACCAUCAUUUGAAAUGAUAUAUCCUAAAAAGUCAACUUGAGUAGUGUGAAAUAUACACUUUUUUAUCUUGGCGUACAAUCCUGCAUCUCUAAGUUUUUGUAAUACUUGACGAACAUGUAUUUCAUGUUCUUCCAUGUUCUUAGAAUAGAUCAAGAUAUCGUCUAGAUAGCAGACGACAAAAUUGUCUAAGAAUUCACGAAAUACAUCAUUCAUGAGAUGUUGAAAAGCAGCUGGUGCAUUCGUGAGUCCAAAGGGCAUGACAUUAUAUUCGAAAUGUCCAUACCUGGUUCGAAACGCAGUCUUCCAUUCAUCUCCUUCUUUGAUCUGUACUAGAUUAUAUGCUCCUCUUAGAUCUAUUUUUGUAUAGAUCUUAGCUUGAUUCAACUGGUCAAGGAGUCCUGAUAUCAAAGGUAAUGGAUACUUGUUCUUGAUUGUGAUCUUGUUGAGUCCUCGAUAAUCAACACACAUUCGUAAAGAUCCAUCUUUUUUCUUUACGAAUAGAAUUGGAGCUCUUGCUGGAGAUUUUGAAUGGCGUAUGAAAUUCUUCGCUAAAUUCUCGUCAAUAUAUGUCUUGAUUUCAGCCAUCUCAUCUUGCCAUAAACUGUAAAUUGGUCCAAAUGGUGGCUGAGUUCCUUCUUUGAGGUCGAUUGAACAAUCAUAUGGGCAAUGCUCAGGAAGAAUAUCUGCAUUCUUUUUCUCAAAAACGUCUUGAUACUCCUGAUAUUGACUUGGAAUGCCACUUGAAGUCUUUACGUUUUCAAAAAUAGGUGCAGCAUAAAUAGCAAAAGUUGAUCCUUCUUUUGCUGCGUGUAUAAAUGCUUUUGCACCUAUCAGUACGGGUUUUACUAUAUUAGACUUAUAAUUUUUUACUUGCUUAGUAGAACUAUUAAUAACGCUCUGGGAAAAGUCAAGUUUACGCGAAUUCCAAUGUAUUCGAGGGUUAUAUUUUUCUAGCCAGGAUAAACCUAAAAUAACUGGAUUGGAUGGGGAUUUAAUUAUGUUAAAAACUAUGUAGCUAUCAUGACCGUCUAUUGUUACUUUUAUAGGAUGAGUUUCAUGAGUGACAUCUCCAGAAGACAAGGGACGACCAUCUAUGACUUCUACAUGUACUGGUUUAGGUUUCUGUACAAAAGGUAUUUUACGACUUUUAACAAAUUGUUCAUCUAAAAAACAUGUUGAGGCUCCCGAAUCUAAUAAAGCAGAGGCUUUGUAAUUCUUAGGUCCUAAAUAUAAGUCUAUUAUAAAACAAGGAGAGGGUUCUGAGGAGAGGAUAGGACCUUUAUUAGGAAUUGUACAUGUUCCAGCUGCAUGGUCCCUAUUGUAGCUGGACGAAUCCGUUUUCCGACAUGUUGUCUUCUUUGACCGUCGUACCCCUCAUUUUAUAGUUGCGUCAUUUCUUUGGACAAUGUUGAGCAGUGUGCUUAGGUUCUCCGCAAUAUAAAUAUAAUCCUUCUUGACGACGACGAAUCUUUUCUUGCUCAGUUAGGGGUUUAAAACGUACCGCAUCAAUUUGCAUGUCUUCUACUUCCGAAUGUACGUUUGGCAAAGAUGUUGAUGUUGCCAUUGAGUAAUAACGUUGAGGUUCCCGUGAAUGAUUCUCGGAUCAAAAUUCGAAAAGUCGAUUAUCACAUUUUACUGCAAAAUCGAUUGCUUGACUCAAAGUUUGAGGAUCAGGUAAGUUGAGCAUCAAUUUCUUUACUUCGUAUUGUAAUCCAUAAAGAAAUUGACUGAUGAGUGCAGCAUUAUCCCACUUGAUGUCAAUGGCAAGUCAUCAAAAUUAUGAAGCAUACACUAUUACUGAGCGAUUUCCUUGUCGCAGAAUUUGGAUCUUAUUUGUUGCAACACGAGUUGCAUCGUGUUCAACAUACAUAGAUCGAAACUCCACCAAAAAAGCUUCCAAAUUGUCCAAUAUUAGAUUUUGUUGUUCAAAAAAAGACGAAAACUACAAUAAUGCAGAAUCAGAAAGUAGAGUGUCAAUAAACUUGACUUGUGAUCCUGGAGUUGGAUAGCUUUGCGGUUGAAGUUCAAUUGCCAAUUGUACUUGAUUGAUGAAUCCUCGAAACUUUGAUCUCGUACCAUCAAAUUUCUCGGGUAAGGUAAUUCUUGGUUCUCUAGUACUUACAGGGUGUUGUACAAUUGGAGAAGGAACGUGAUUUGUUGCAGAUGUUGAAGCAGCUCCGAUCAUCUCUAUAUCCCCACUUUUUGCUAUUCUUGUUCUUUCGUGUGUUGGUGAAUUGAGUUGAUGCAUCGCAAGCAUUAACUCCCUCAUUUGCUCUUGCAUUUGUGCCAUUACACUCUUCAUUUCAACAAGCUCUGCCAUAAUGACUCUAAGAAGAAAAAUUUGUUUGAUACUGCUCAAGACAAAAGAAAAGAAAGACUUGAUAACAAAGAAGAUACUAAGAACAAUAUCAGUUUAGAAGUGGGUAAUCCGCAAACUUCUAAUACGCUUAUGUCUUGUCAAGAGAAAGGGGUAAUCCACUCUUACUCAAGAAAAACAAAGCUCUGAUAUUGUAAGUGUACUCUUGUCAAUCUGUCAAGGACAAGAACUCGAUGAAAAACAAUUCAAACAAGUGAACCUUCACUCAAAGAGAGGUAAAUAAACAAAUAUAUAUAUUGAAAGAGAAACUGGAAUGGCUAUUGCCAAAAGACAAGAAAACUAGAGACCCUUGAAACUAGACUAGAAGCAAGAAAGGAGUUGACAAGAGUGAAGAGAGCUUCACUCUUGCCUCUAUAUAUACUAUCUAACUAGAAGCCACGUGGCGAUAUUCUAUAAGACCUCUAAUAUGUGUUGACUUUCUAGGCCACAUGUCUUUGCUUGCAAGGCAAGUUUUCUAUGAGUGGACUACGUAGUUAGCUUGUCCUUCAAGCUACCAACAUGUGUGGCACAUGGCUAACUUGUUGACCAAGUUUCUAACCUAAAAGUCAACUAUGGACUCCUAUAAGGUCAAAGUAGCAUCUAUGAAGCUUCUAAGAAGCUUUUCUAAAAGAUAUUGCAUAAUUAACCUACUUUUAUCUACUUUUACAUACUUUUAUCGACUCUUGUAGGUAAUUAUAUGUAUAUCCGUGACACCUCAUGGCUCAUGUCAAGAAGGUAAAAGUACUUGCAAAUAAACUACUACAUAUUGAUAUACUAAUUGAUGAUAUAAAAAAUUGUGUUGACAUUGCUCAUAAACCUUCCUAAGUCUUACAAUUACUUCAUUGUGCCAUUUGAGUCUAUCAACAUGAAGGAACUUACCAUGAAUUAUGUCACAUCAAGACUUAUAUAUGAAAUAAUGAAGAGGAAAGAAAAGGAGCUUCAAAGUGAUGAUUCAACACUAUUCUCAAGACAAGGCAAAGGUAGCUUUCUACACCAAUAUGAUAAUUCAAAAAAAAACAUAAAGAAUUACUAUAUUUAUACAAAACUAUGUCAUUUUGCUAAAAAUUGCUAUAAGGCCAAGAGAAGAAAUAGAAAAAAUGCAAACAAUGCUAGUGAUAAUUUUGGUGGAAAUGAUUAUGCUUUUAUAGCAAGUAAAGGAGCCUCCAUAGUUGCCAUGUCUAAGUGGAUUAUAGAUUCGGAUGCUAUUAAAGCACAUGAUACCAUACAAAUAUUCAUUUGAUACUUAUGAAUCAAUUUCAGCAAUAAAAAUAUGAUUGAGAGAUAAUGGCAUGGUGCAAGCUAUUAAAAUUGGCUCUAUUAUAGUGGAGAUUGUGGUGAAGGACCAAAUCAAGAGGAUCACAUUGAAGGAAGUCUUAUAUAUACCAAAGAAGAAGAAGAACCUUCUUUCAGUGAGCAAACUUGUAUCACAUGGUUAUAAAGUUCAAUUUGACAUAGAUGGAUGUUUUGUAAAGACAUUGAGUAGACAACAUGUUACGAAAGGCCUUAGAGAUAGCAACCUCUACUUCAUCAAUUGUAAGAAAGUGAAUGGAAUUGAAGUGGCAGCAUAUGUUGAUUUUCCACAAAAUCAAGAUAAGUUAGGCAUUUGGCAUCAAUGACUUGCUCAUUUAAAUGCCAAAAGCAUGAAAGAGCUCCAAUCUAUGGUAAAUGGUUUGGAUCUUGGUCAAUUCAGCCAUAAUGCUAUGAUAUUUGCUUGUGAAGUUUGUAUCUAAGACAAAUAACAAAGGGCUUCAUUUCCAAGUGGAAUCGCAAUAUGUUCAAGCAAAUUAUUGAAAAUAGUUCAUUCUGAUAUUUGUCGACUAAUGAAGAUACUAUCAAUUGGAGGAGCAAGGUACUUUGUCAUAUUUAUUCAUGAUUUUUUAAGAAAGAUGUGGCUAUACAUCAUUAAAGCAAAGAAUGAGUGUUUUUCAAGGUUUAAAGAAUUCAAGGCACUUGUGGAGAAGCAAUAUGAGUGUAAGAUGAAAGUGUUACACAUGAAUAAUAGAGGUGAAUAUAUAUCAAAGCAUUUUGAUGAAUUUUUAAAAAAUCAAUGCAUUACAAGAGAAAUCUCUAUUCCUUACACUCUAUAACAAAAUGGAGUUGUUGAAAGAGAAAAUCACACCAUUGUAGAGAUAGCAAGGAGUAUGUUUCAUGCACAAAACCUUGGACAUGAAUAUUUCACACAAGUUGUGGUCAAUAUAGUGUAUACAAAGAAUAGAUGUCGAAUAAGUGCAUUCACAUCAAUGACUCUAUAAGAAGCUUGUAGUCGCAAGAAACCUUGUAUUUCACACAUGAAGAUCUUUGAAUGCAUUACUUAUGCAAAGAAACUAGAUUGUAUGAGGUCCAAACUUGAUGCAAAAGGAACAAAAUGUAUAUUUUUUGGAUAUUGUGAAGGUAUCAAAGCAUAUAUGCUCAUGUGUUUAGAAACCAAGAAAAUCAUUAAAAAGUCGUGAUGUAGAAUUUUUGGCACAUAAGAGUGCUUAUGAGCACUUGGAAAUGUAUCCAAGUAAGAAUAAUGGUAUGUUUGUGGAUACAUCUUUAAAUCUAGCAAUGAAAGAAGAAAAAGAUGAUGAUAGUGAAGAUGGUGGAAUCUCAAAUCAAGAUGAAGAAUCAAAGAAGGUAGAUCAUGAGGCACCUCCAAUUGCUAAAACCAACAAUAAAGACAAUCAAGAUGUUGAAGAUGAUCAUGGAGAUAAGGAGUACCAACCUUAAAGUGUGAAGAGUCAAAUUUUAAGAGAAAAGAAGUUUGCAAGUGCUAUUGGAGUGCAUGAAGGUGAAUCUUCAUCAAGUGAAAUGAGAUAUCCUUUAAGAAAUCUAAAACAACUUAGUGCAUAGUGGAAGAAUCACAUCUUUCCUCAAAUAAGUGAAGAACAUGCCAAUGUUGUACUCCUUAUUGAUCCAUUGAAUUUUUGUGAUGCAAUGAAGUCCAUGGAUGCUAUGAAGUGGAAGAAUAUCAUGGAAGAAGAAUAAAAAUCAUUCCUAAAAAAUAAAACAUGGGAAUUGACUCAACUUCCAUCAAAUCGAUCAUUAAUUGGUUGUAAGUAGGUGUUUAGAACCAAAAGAGAUGCAAUGGAUAAUAUUGUGAGAUACAAUACUAGAUUGAUUGUUAAAGGAUAUUCACAAGUUGCUGGAAUUGAUUUCAAUGAGAAAUUUGCUCUUGUGGCCAAAUUUACCACCAUUAGAACCAUUGUGGCAAUUAAGGCAACAAUGAAUUUGGAGAUGCAUCAAUUAGAUGUGAAGAUGGCCUUCUUGAAUAGAAAGUUGGAAGAAGAUAUCUACAUGGAUCAACCUCAAGGAUUUAUUGAAAAUGGCAAACAAUGCCUUAUUUGUAAGUUGAAGAAAUCCUUGUUUGGGCUCAAGCAGUCUCCAAGGACAUGGUACCAAUGUAUUGAUACAUUCUUUUUGAAUGAAGGAUUUAUAAGGAAUAAAGCUGAUUAUUCUUUGUAUGUGAUGCAAUCAAAUGAGUUCAUAUUGAUUGUCAUCCUCUAUGUUAAUGAUUUGAUCAUCUCAACCAAUGCUAUAAAAAUGAUGGAUUGGUUGAGGACAAAGUUAGAAAAAGAAUAUGAGAUGAGUGAUUUGGAAAAGCUUCACUAUUAUUUAGGAGUGGAAUUUGUGAGAGAUCAUACUAAGAAGACCAUUAUAAUGAGCCAAAGUAAGUACAUUAAAGAAGAGUUGAAAUGAUUCAAUAUGAAGGAGUGUAAGCCUAUUAGAACACCUUUGGAGGCCAAUUUGAAGUUGAUGAAGCUCACGGAAGAAGAGUUUGCUGAAAUUGAAAGACAAGUGCAAGGUGUUCCAUACAAGGUAAUAGUGGGCUCACUAAUGUAUGCAAUAGUUGGCACAAAGGUGGAUCUUGCAUAUGCGGUAAGUGUUGUGAGCCAAUACAUGUAAAAGGUUAGACCAAUCCAUUGAGCAACCAUCAAAAGGAUCAUGAGGUACUUAGAAGGUACUUUGAACUUUAAAUUAUGUCUUAGAAGUAAUAAUAUUACUAUGCAUGGUUAUUAUGAUGCAGAUUGGACUAGAGAUGCAAAUGAUAGAAGGUCAAAAAUGGGAUAUAUAUUUUUUCUUGGAGUGAGGGCAAUUUUAUGGAAUUACAAAAGAUAACCAACAAUUACAAGGUCAACAAUGGAAGGGGAGUACAUGGCAGCAAGCCAUAGUACAAUGGAGGCAAUAUGGCUAAGACAACUUUUGGAGGACAUUGGAGUAGUACAAAUAGAAGCAACUCCAAUGAAGUGUAGCAAUCAAGGAUGUCUUACUUUUGUAAAGAAUCCAAAGCAUCAUUCAAGCACAUUGAUAUUCAACAUCACUUUACAUAAGAGAAGAUUGAAAUGGGAAUAAUUGAUAUGAAGCAUUGAGCAAUAAAAGACAUGUUUGCUGAUUUGUUUAUAAAGGCAUUAGUAAAUGAUAGACAUCACAUGUUGAGAAAGGCUUUAGGAUUGAAAGCCCCUUUAGCAAUAGCAAAGUGGGAGUGUUGAAGUAAAUAAGUAAAAAUAGAAUAAAUUACGUAGUAAAAGGUAUUAUCUUAAGUAAGUUAUUAAUAAUUAAAAGGUUGACUCUUAGUGUAUAGAAAGAGCAUCCUAUAGAUAUAAGAUGAGAUCAAGGACCAAGAAUCAAAGUUAAGAGGAUAAAAUAUGAAUUAGGGGAUAUCCAAAGACUAGUUAAAAGUAAUUAGUGUUUGGCAUAGGAUAUCCUUAUGGUUAGUAAGAUGGCAAAAGAUCCAAGGACCAUAGAAUACCAUCAAGGUAUAUUAGAUGCCAAUGGAUCUUAGGACCAAGGAUUAUGUGUGUAAAAGUUAAAGAGUGGAAGUUGUCUUAUAGGGCAGCAACCACAACCUAUAAAUAAUGGGUGUUGGAAGUGAGAGAUAUCUUACUCCAUACUCUCUUUGUGUCCAAUCUUGCUGAUGAUAUGUAUUGUGAUUUUAAAGUUCUAUUUCUUCAACAAUCUUAAGGUGUUAAUUGAAUACAUUAUUAUUUUUGCUCUUUCUUGUCUUCACAUAGUAUAGGAGCUUUGUCUCUCCAAACAUAUGCUUCAUACAUCAUAACUCUAAAAUAAGAUUGAUAAUAUUAUUAUAAAUUCAACUGAUGUUCUAGAGCUAGUUGAUUUAGAAAUUAUACAUAUCGAGCUACUUGAUUUUGGUAUUUUAAAGGUUGAAGUGAAAAACACUCCACAAGUAUAUACAAGUAUACACAAGAGGAAGAACUUUAGAAAUAAAGGUUUAUAUUUAUAAUUAGAGAGAUUAAUCCUACUACAUAAUUGAUAGUUGAUGAAAAAUAAAUUGAUUUAUUGCAUCAAAUUGUUAAUAAGGUAUGUAAUACCUUUAAAUUAUUACUUUAAGUUGUUUAAAAUAUUACCAUAAAACUAAAUAUUUUGAUAUUUUUUAUUUUCUUUUAUGUAAGAUCAAUAUUCAUCUAAUUUGGAAUCUUUAACCAAAAAAAUUGAGAUGAAGUUAAAGUAAGUUAAAAAUAAAGUUUAUAUUUAUUAUAGCUGAUUUAUUUAUUUUUUAAAUGGAUGAAAGUAAAAAUGGUAAAUGGUAUUGCAAUAUUAUUUUCAUUCUAAAAUUCCAAUUAUAUAUGAAUAUUUAAAUUAAGAUUGUAUGCUUAAUAUGUCUUGUUGAUUCAUACUGUAAAUUUAUGGCAGCAUUAAACUGAUAGAAUUGGAUGAGUUUAAAACAAACAUGAGCCAAAGCAACGUGGUAAUGAUAUUUUUUUUUGCUUGGUUGUUAUAAACAUCAACUAUUAGAUGACAUAAUCGAUUGUAAUUGUUCGGAUAUGCAUAGUUUUAAAUACAAUACAAAAAAUAAUAAGUAUUUAAGGAAGUUCACUAUUGGAUAUGCAUGUUUACAAAAGAAUUUUUAUAAUUGAUAUUAGAAGUAUUUUAAAUUUGUUGAUUUAAGCCAAAAUAUUUAUAUGGAUAUUAUAUUAAUUAAGUAUAUAGAAGUAUUUUAAAUUUGUUGAUUUAAGCCAAAAUAUUUAUAUGGAUAUUAUAUUAAUUUAUUAUAUAGAUAGAUAUGGACAUAUAUAUAUAUAUAUAUAUAUAUAUGUAUAUUUGAAACUCAAAGUGCUUAUUAAACCUAGAAUUUUAAUAUGAAUACUUGUAAUAAUUUAUUCAUAUAUAUAUAUAUAUAUAUAUAUAUAUGACAUUGAUUCUUUUUCAAAGAAAAAAUAAGAAUAAUAAUAAAAUAAUAAAAUAAACAAUGAUUUUUCAUUCUUAAAAAAAAUAGAUUUUAAAAAAACAAAAAACAAAAUAAAAAUAAAAAAACAAAAAAACAAAUUGUCUUAGUUUCGUCUAGACAGGCAGUUGCCUUGAGUCUUAAAUUUUCUAUAUGUCUACCUCGAUGCUGUCAUACCUUAGAUACAGAGCUGGCCAAAGCCAAGUUGGAAUCACGUGUACUCUUGAGGCAUUGAUCAGAUUGCUGUUGCAGUAUUUUUUCACUCAACCAGCACUGAAGUUGAUAGACAACACAAAUUGAGCUAGCUUACUGUUCGUGAAUAGCUUACAUCACGUUAGCUUCUGCCGAGAACAUGCAUAAGAUAGUUGACCGAGUUAGACAGAAGGUAAUCAAAGAUUCAUAUUGGAGAGGUACUGUAAAUUGCUCAUGCUACGGUAAGAAUUUCAAGUAACGAUGAGUGGCAGUCAUUACAUAGAAUGUAGAACCAACAGAAACUCGUACUUCGAUAUGGUGGAAUGAUCGUACUUGACUACAAGAGAACCUUGCCAAACAUAGUUGCCAGAAAGCUUAAAUAAUAAUGAUCAAGGCAUGAUGCAAUCACCCUUGGAAGUAAAAUUGUGAAUUAUACCUACUCAGGAAUCGGUAAGGUAUGAAAAUCUCUCAUCUCUAGCUUCCACUCUACUUGUCCAUUCUCUUCGGUAAUUGGAAGUGCUUUUACAACGUCUGCUCCAACAGCCCGUUGUCCAUCAACUUCCACUAUGAGCAUCAAAACGAGCUCUUCAUUUCUAGGAUUGUAAGGCUCCUCACCACCAGCGUCAGGAGCUAUGGGUUCAGCCAUCUCACCCUCAACAGGUAUGCUACUGACGUCGUCGCCAGUCAAACCCAAAAUCCGAGUCCGAUCCAUUCCUCGUAGGACUGGAAUGAUUGUUUGUCGGGUUACUAGAGGCACGUCUUCGAUCACCUGUCAAGAAGGACGACGACACAAGGGUGAACUGAAAAUCAUAUGUUAACAUGUAAUGUUGGAUAUGUUACAUAUUCAAUCAAGGGGUUCAUUAUGGAUGUUUACAAAUUUUGACAAGAUGACGAACGCAUGAUAAUAUACAGUCCUCUCGGCAGCAAUCCUGCUUUCCUGGAUGGAGACAUAACCACCCGCGCAAUUGAUUACUGCAGAGCGGCAACAAGGUAGUCUACCAAAGCACUCAGAAACCGUGAAAUGUUCCACACCAUAUAGCAAUGGUAUGUAUCCUUUAGACCUUCUCUAAGCUGGAUAACUGAACGUCUGAGCUUCCAUACCAUCAGCUUUCUACAAGGAUGAGGCAUCAUUGACUUUCUUUACUGCUAUUUCUACGUCUGUUGGUGCAAUACUAAGAGUGAAUUUAGAGAAAUGGCGAUGAGAAUUGCUUUAUGGUGCUAAGCCACACAAACAAGCACCCCAUGAACACAGCAGAAUCAUUCCAGUCGCAUGUGGAAUAGCCCAGGGCUUGAACAUUUUUCUAGGAAUCAGAAUAAAUGGUUGUAAGUACGGUACAUCACUCCUGGCAUUCUAAAUACAUUAGAACGCUCAUACUAACCUGAUUUGUCACAUCGACCACAGAUGUUUCAUUUGAAUCAUCCGCUGAUCCAAUAGUCUCCGGAGCCAGGGAAGGAUCACGAACAAAUGUCCGUGGAACGUACUCAGCAAUCCACGUCAAGGUUUCGUAUGCUGGGGGCGCGUCUAAGUUUUUGCUGGUCGGCCGUGAAUGACUGCUGAAACCGCUAGCAGAUCCUCUGGGCAGUGUACGCACUGUUUCUCGCACUAACACACAUCCUGAGCCGAAUCUUCCUUGAUAUCAAUUACAAGCAGAUAUUCAAUUGCACAGAAAGAGUGCUCUAAAAACAUUAUGCAAAAGAUGCUCUAAACAAUGCGGAUAACAACAUCGAAGGCACAUGAAAAUCACAAUCUACAAUUUGAGUUUGUUUAUGAAGGUUAUGAUGGCAUCCGUGCAAGACUUCAUGCAUCUCCAGGAAGCCAAAAAAUCAGAGAAGUACUUAAACAGAGGAAUCCCAAUAAAAGCAGCUCUCUCUCUCUCUCUCUCUCUCUGUGUGUGUGUGUGUGUGUGUCUUAGUACUCAUCUCCAUUGUGCACACUUUUUCAAAAAAUUACGAUUCCCUAAAUUGGGUUUUUAACCCUUGUUUGACAUACCCUUGCCAAGAUUCAACGAAGACUACACUGUUCUGCUUCAGAAAAUCUAACAAGUUAUAUUCUCGGGUUCAAAGAACAAAACCCUAAACCCUACACUGUCGAUGGCGUUCUCCAACAUGUUUCUUUUUAAUCAUUUAAGGAUUCCCUUGCAACUUCCGUAUUUCAAUGCCGCUCGAGUAGCCUUCACAUCGCCGAUUCAUGACUACCAGGCUCCAGUUACCGCUAACUACUCACAUCAAGGCUAUAGCCAACAGAAAAAAAAAUUGCACCAGGUGCAGAUGGGCGACACAAACGGCAUCACAAAUGGCAACCAGUCCGGGUGCUUACCUCUCCAAUCCUCCAUUUGCCACCGAUCGUAUCGUGCUCGCCCUCUCCCUAUCCUCGCAAUUUUUAUCAAAUGCAUCAUCCCAUACCAACAUUAACGCGUCGAAAUUCCACUGUGAGGUUCUCGCUCGCCCUCCGCCCGACGACUUGCGCUUCUCCUUCGCCUUCCCCUUCUUUUGCUUGCUGGCAGCCCAUGCCAAUCCCGGCUGCCAUGACCCUCCACUCCCUGUACUUCUUACGCCACUCACCAGCUCCGCGAAUUGCCCCAAUUCGACCCGAGAGCCUCGAAUUGAAGACCCAUAAUUGCAAACACCGCCAAUUUUCGACAACGGAGUGACCAAUCCGGCAGCCAUUUGCAUUCUUCCAAGUUUCUCCCCACAAACAAUCCUCCUACUCACCACAAUCUCUCACUCACUCGUCAUCCGUGUGAGUGAAAUCUGUAGUUCCCCAGCGAGGUUCAUAGAAAUUGGUACGGCUGGGAAAUGUCGGAUUUCUCAGAGGCGGAUUGCGAGAAACAUGAAGAACAAAAUAAUGGAUCAAUGCAGUGGCAUCGGAUUGUCGAUGCGAGUGAGAUGAUGAUCUCCUUUGUAAGAGAGAGCAAGGAAGCGCAGCACUCGAACUUCGGAUUUGAAUGGAUAAGGCCCGCCCGCCUUGGUUGUUGCGCCCCCACUUUGCAAGGGGCUUGAAGAAGCUUUGCAUCAUGCUAUAUUUUUAUAAAAUAAAAAAUAAACACACACACACAAUUGUCAAGUGAUGUGGGAAGUUGUGCUCACCCUACAGGUUUCAUUUAAUGAAAUUUCGGUGUAAACUGAUUCUUUUUCAUGUUUUGUUAAAUGUUGAAAGUAAUCUAUGUAUAUAUUGGUUUUAUAGAACUAAAAAUAAAAUAAAAACAUAAACAUAAACAAAGAAAUGUUUGUAAUGUGGAGAAAUAAUUAUAUUAGGUUGAAUUAUGCAUAUGAAUAGGGAUCUUGUAUACCAAUAACUUAAUAUAAUCAUUGUCAAUAGUAUUUAUUUAUAAAAAAAUCUCAAUGAAAAAUAUGUUAUUGAGUUAGUUAUUGGACCUUAAUUUGAUUGUAUAUAUAUAAUAAUUGUUAUCAUAGUAGAAUAACAAUGCCCUCAAUCCUUCACAUCUUCUUUUUGUUUUAUUUCUAUUAAGACUUUAUUGUAGUUCUACAAAACUUAUUUUAUUUUGAGAUAAGCUAUAAAAAUAAAUAAGACAAAAUAAUGGCAAUCUUUGUGCACAGUGCCUCCAACGUGGUUGCAAAAUCAGUCCUUAUUGAUAUAGUCAAUAGAUUAGCCAUAUGAUGGAGAGAAGUGAUGUGCACUAGGAAUAGAGAGAAAGGCUUAUUAGGUAUAUGAGAGAGAGCUCUAAACCCAUAGCGUUACUUUGUUGCUUGUUUUUGAACUAAUUGAUAUAAGUUGUUGUUUAUUGUGUUCUAGAAUAACACCUCAGAUUUCCUUUUACAAGAAUAAUAAGGCCCCCUCUCUCUCCCCUUCUUAGGCAUGACAAAAUUAUUGUUCUCCUAAUUUCAUUAAACAUGGGUAUUUUCUUCUUUUUCUCUCUCUAAUUUCUCUUAGAUCUCUAUUAUUAUUAUUGCCCUUAAUUGUAGCACACAUGCUAUAAUUGGCCGUAGCAAACUCUAUUCCUAGUCAAAUUUGCUUUUUCUAUGAUAAUCAACAAAUCCCAAGCUUAAACAAUCCACGUCUUAGGACUCUUUUUGUCAAAUCUUGUAUUAUCAUCAACAUACAUAUUUACUCCAAUAAUUAUCUAGAUAGUAGGAAUAGGUAGAAGUGAGUGAAAGUAUGUAAUUAAUAAAAUAUCUUGUGGAAAAACUUCCUAGAAGCUUUAUAGAUGUAGAUUUGACUUUAUACAUAUUUGUAGGUGAUUGUUAAGUUGAAAACUUGGUCAACAAGUUGGCCUUGUGGCACACAUAUAGGAAACUUGCCUUACAAACUAGACAUAUAUCUUGCACAUUACACACAUGUUGGAGGUCCUAUAGAACGUCACUACAUAGGUCCAAGUUAGAUAGUAUAUUUAGAGGUAAGAAUGAAGCCUUUCUCACUCUAGUCAAUGCUUUUCUUACUUCUAAUCUAGUUUUAAGAGUCUCUAGUUUUUUUAGUCUUUGGCAAUAGCCAUAUUAGCUUCUUCUUUAAGAUACAUACUUAUCCAUUUCCUUUUUGUCAUUCUUUUUUGAUAAACAUCUCACUUAUUUAUGUACAUUCUUUGAGUUCUUAUUCUAGAUAUAUAUUCUCUUAAUAUGUUAUAUUGUUGCACAUUGAGUUUAAACAUAAUAUCACAUUAUUUUCUAACAACAUUGGAUUCUUUAAACAUAUUGCAAAUAUUUUCUAUAGUGAAAUAUUUGAAAACUAGCAUUUUCCAAAACAAUAAGAUAAUAAAAUCUUUAUAUAUAUAUAUAUAUAUAUAUAUAUAUAUUUAUCCAAUACAAAGCAAAGAUCUCACUGCUAGUGAAAUUUUAAAAUGUAAAGUUAGAAGCUUACUCAAAUGAUAUACCAAAUAUUGAUUUCGUAAGAUAAUUCUUGAUAAUAUAUUAAUAUCAACUUAAAAGAAAUGUAAGAUAAUAUGUAUUUUUUCAUUUUUUUUAAUAUUUUCACAAUAACUUAUUAAUUUCUAUUUUUUUAUCCAUUAUGAUAUAAUUUUCUUUUGAUAUAUGCAAAUAUGUUAUUUUUUUGUGUCUAAAAAUACUAAAAUAAAAUAAAAUAAAAUCAUCAAGUAAACAUCAAAAGUUAUUAAGCAAGUCAAAUGCAAAGAAUGAUGAAAAGCUUAUGCACAUUGGCAUUACUUUACAAUCAAAAGAAAAAUCAAAUACUGAUGAUAAAAUCAAAUUCAAAAAGACAGCAAAAAAUUGAAGGAAUACCAUAAAUUUUAGAACAUUAACUGAAUGAUACAGUACUAAUUUUUUUCUUAAAAGAUUUAAGGCUUUUUUGUUUUUUUAUUAAAAAAAACAAUUACUUAAAAAAUCUAGAAGCUUGUAAAGAAUUAGAAGUCAAGAAUCACUUCAUAAGUUCCUAAUUAUUAUUAUUAAUUUAAACUAAAGUAACAUGUUAAAGAAAUCAUUCAAUAUUAUGAUGUACAUUAAAUUUUUAAAAUAUAUUCAUAUAAAAACUAUACAAAGAGGGUGCAUAGACAUUAUAUGCCUAUAAAGAAGUAGGCAAAAUCGGAUUAAUAUGCUAUUCCCACAUUCAAUGAAACCUUAUGUUCUAAAUAACAGGCUAUGGUAUUUUAUAAGAUAACUAUAUCAAAGACUUAAUACAUAUUGAUAAAAGUUCUCAUAAUUGGAUUUUAAAAUGUCCUAAAUAAUUAUUAUUUUUUAAAGUUGUAGUUGUAUCAAAAAAAAAAUAGUUUUAUAAUUUGAAUAGGAUUAAAUUCCACAUGAAAUUUAGCUAUUGCAAUUAUUACCUACAUAUUGACAAUUGCCUACAGACAUAUAUAGUUUAGUGGGUUAGUUUAGAGAAGUGGGUAAUUACAGGGAUGCUCAUUUCAUUCUUUUGGUAAAUGAUGUUAGCUUAGUAGAGGACUGUCGUGGGAAUUGAAGAGUGCAUCCAGCCGUCCUUGCAGAUGUGUUUUUUUUACCAAGUUAGAAGCAACUGAUUAAUCCUUGAGAGUGGAGUGGAAUCAGUAAGUUAAGGCUAGAAAAAACAUUCACCGCCUGUUGAGACAAGUUUUGAUCACAGUUAUUGCAACUUUUCAAAGGAGCAACCAGGAUGAGGAAUUUAAUGAGAAAUACAUGAAUGCCAUGGUUGAAAGAUAUUUGCUUGCUGGAGACCAGUACCCAUCUUCCAGUGUAAACCUGCAUUUUGCAAACAUUUUUCUUUCCGAGCACCGGAUACUUCAACCUUAGCCUUCUGAAACAGUGGGGUAAUACUUUAGCCAUGCUACGCUCAUCUUGCAAAGGCUUUGUUAAAUCCGUGUUGGAGAGGGUCAAAGCGUGUGUGUUCGUUCAUUCUUCUCUUGAGGAAAACCGAGACUUUUGUGUAUAUAUAUAUAUAUAUAUAUAUGCAAGUUGGUGAUAAAUUUGAUGAGAGUCGCUUCGAAUCAGUAACUGUAACACUACCAAUUAGCGGACGGCUUUUUGGGAACUUCUGAGACCACUCCUCACGCAAUCGCAAAGUCUUGUACAAAAUCCACCCUGAAUAUGCCAAGUUGGGCUUGCUGAUUGCUUUCUGCAGGUAUUGAUUUUAGUGAGAAAGGCAGGGGUGACACCAACAGCGACAUCAAAGUGGGUGAAGCGAAUUGGCAGGGGAGAGAAGUACAGCUAAACCGAGUGAGGGAAAUAAAUUUGCAAUUGGAAGAACAAAGGACCCAUUAAGAACAAGUGGGAGUGGAUAUGAACAUGACCAGACAGUCGAGAAAUGCAGCUUUUUCAAAGAAAAGAGACAGGGCAGAAAGACAAUGGCAGUGUAAACAAAAAACUUAAUAUCUUUUAUGUACUGACUGAAAGUGAUUGCAUUCAUGACACUUUUCCUUGUGUUGCAUAGCCCUUCAAAUUUACACACAAGAUUACGUAGAAUAACAUGCCAAUGAAAAAUUGUGAUGAUCCUUGUCUCUCUCUUGCUUGAGAAAAACCAUUUCACAUGUGCCAAACUAAUACAACACCGAGUUUGAUGAAGCUGAUUGGAAAACCGUUGUGGUCGAGGCUGGAAGGUUGACGAGGUGCAAAUUGGAAGCGUCAUUUUUAUUAUUAUUAUUAUUAUUUUAAUGUGGGAAGUGAAUGAGCUUCACACAAACCCACCAAAGCUGCCAAUUUAAGCUUACUGAAAAUACAACAUAAGGUUUGGGGAGUUGACAUGCAAAAGAAAAAGUGGCUGCUUCUCAAUUCUUUGAAAUUUUUUGGUAAGAAGAUAAGAGUGGUUGACUCAUGUGUAUUUAUUAUUAUUUUUAUUAUUAUUAUUUUGGAAUAACCUACUGUGAAAGUAGGCUUGGCAAAAGAGGUGAUGGUGUGCUAGUUAAAGAUUACUUUUUUCUAUCUCAUUUUAUUUUAUUUUUGUUUCUUUGUUUUACUAGUUGUGCACUUAAUUAUGAUUAGAAUUUAUAUUUUAAAUUAUAAAUUAUAAUUUGGUAUUUUAUUAGAAUUUAUCAGUGAUUAGAAUUUGAUCUUAUCUUUAAAUAUUAGAAUUAAUAUUGAAAUAUUUUAUAUAAUUUAGACUAUAAAUUUUGUUAGAAUUCAGAUUUAGUAUUUUCUUAGGAUUAGGAUUUAGAAAUUUAGAAAUUUUAUACCAAUUUCUUAGAAUUAGGAUUUAGGAUUAAGAUUUAGUGAGGAUUAGAAUUUAAGAUUAAGUUUGAUGUUUGUAAAUAUUUAAUAGAAUUUCGUAAGUUUAAUUUUUAAAAUUUAGGAUAAAAUAGUUUUUUAAAUAUAUGCUUAUAAUAGAAAUUGUUAAAAUAUAGAGUUAUGAUUUGAAAUUGACCUAAAAUUAAGUUUAGGCUUGUUACAAUUGGAUUAUAUAUAGGCUUAUAUUAAAAUAAAUGAAUGAAUUAUAAUAGAAAAAUCAAACUAAAAUUUAGGUAUUUAUAGGUAUGGUGAACCUUGUGGCAGUAAGCAUAAGAUUAGUUUAUAAUCAAAUAAGAGUUUAUAAAAGAAAUUAGUUGUAAUUUUUAUUUUUAUUAUAAAACAUCCAAAUUCUUGAUAAUAAAUUAAUCUUUAAAUAUGACAUAGUAAAGUGGACAUGUAAAAAGUUGCGACACUUGGGUUAAUUUCAAUUUUCUAAUAAAUUCAAUUGUUGUGAGUUGUCACAAAGCAGUGAGCAAGGUUGUACAAUCCAAGUAAUGAAUCUCAUGUGUAGAUGCGAAGUGCGUAAGCAGGUUCCAUUCUGCAAAUGGAAUCACAAGUUGAUAUCUGACAUCCUAUUGCCGCGAGCAGCCGAGUACUAUUGUUUAAUCACAAAGACUCUGAAAAGAGGAGAAUAGGUAGAUGCUUGUCGCCUUCGGAGAGGGUUGCAUGAGAAGUGGAAUGGUAAAUGCAGCAAGAGUGAAAAUAUUGAAAAUAGUAUGCAGAUCAAUCCGAAUACUAUCAUGGAUAGCCUUAAAAGUAAGAAUCUAAGUCAUAAGAAUAGAUUGAAAUAGAAGACCGUGGCAACUUUGAAUUGACAAGAGUAAAGUAUACGUGCAAGCUAUAUGUUGUCAAUGCCUUCUGAGAGCACCGUCCUUGCUUGACCUCGACAUUGUCGACAAAGACUAACCCUGGUACUAAACUCCACAAACAGAAGAUGGAGAAGUUGUUUCACCCUAAUAAAUAGACUAGUGAAAAAGUUCACACUUCCCAGCUUCCUCCAAAGCAAAAUUCUGCUACUGUAACUGUUUUCGAUUGCUCCUAAGUCUUUGUCAACCAAGAUUUGAUUCAGAACAGAAAAAUGUUAAAACUCCCCUGCGUAGUAACGUACAGUGAAUUGUGUGGAUAUGAGCAGUGCACUGCUAAUCAGACAAUUGGUAUGAAUGGAUUAGAUCAUGAAGUUUCUAGUCUGACCAACGCUCAAACAGUUCUUGUUGACAUUGCAAUCUUAAACUUUGUGCAUUGUUAGCACCAUUGUGAAGUCAACAUGGAACAAUGAAGUCAACCAAUCUAAAUGAGGUGCUUUGUGACGAGGACUUAUAAUCUCAGAUUGCACCCCAAAAUACUGAUUUCUAAAGAUGAAAUGACUUUGGAUUGUGUGCGCACAAACAGUGAUUGGUGCAAUGCACUAUCAAUGUGAUGGAAUCUUGUGCCUACUCCGGGUGAGAAGAGAUAUUUUCUAAAAGACACAACAUGUGACUUCACCCUGUUAAAAGUGUAUACUUUUGAUCUUAUAAUACAAUUUGCUGAUUGUGAUUCCAAAUCACUAGUUAUUAUAUGGUACUCUCUUUUUGGCAGAAUUUUUUAGAGAAAUAGGCUCUUCAUGAAUGUAUAUAUAUAUAUAUAUAUAUAUAUACAAUUGUUGCAUCAAUUGAUUAAUAGCACAUGUUGAGAGGGUUUUGGAAGAGCUUUUUCAAGUUUGGAAUAUUUUAUUAUUUGCAAUGCUCUAAUAAUUUCAAGAAAUAUUUCCAAAAUAUUCUCUUUAUUCCAUAUGUAGUUAUGAAACCAAAACGGUUUAUAAUGUGAAUAUAUACAUAUAUAUAUAUAUAUAUAUAUUUCUUGCUAUAUACUAAAAUUUAAUUAGUUCUCAAAAAAUACUUCUGAGCAGGAUGACAUCAUUCCUACUGAAGUUUACAAGUUGACUUACUUUAUAAUUUCAUGGUUGUUUAACGAGUCAACAAUUUUAACCAACUUUAUAGUAGCUAAUAUCAGAAAUGCUAACAGAACAACUGUUUUUCGGUUUCUUAUCGUUGAAACUAGUUUGCUUUCACUAGGCACAAUGGUCGCACUACCUUCAGAGCCUUUUUUUUUUGUUUCUUUUUCGCGUUUUUUUCUAAACUGUCUAUUGAUUCUCGUAUUUCUAUGCGUAGACCUGAGACAGUUCGGCGCAGUGGAGAUGCGAGAAUCUAGAUGAGCGCCGUUCCAGCGCGUUGUGCAACAAUAUCGCGGCAUCGUCAUCGUUGUCGUCGUCGGCAAAACUGAAGGCUGUAGAACAGAUCACUUCGGUUGCACGGGGAAAGGCGCAAAGCCGCCACUGUAAUUGAACCCCGAGCGCUGCGAGGACGUGGACCCCUGCGAGAACUGUCCCGAAGCAGGCUCGAAAUCAUCGGAGAAGACGUCGGUGACCGACAGUGGCGGCGCACGGCGACCGGGAUCGUAUCCCUUCGGUAGAUCCGUGGACUUUCCCCCGCCGGGCAUGAUCUGCGCCUUCGGACCCACUAGAACCUCCAGCUUCUGCAUCACCUCGUGCAUUGAAGGUCGUUCCAAGGAUGUGUCUUCCACGCAUGACAAGGCGAUGGUUAGGAAUGUCUCUAGCUCAUCCUGGGGCGUGUCCGCCAGGGCUGGGUCUAGCAUCUCCCUCACUCCCUCCAUGCCUGAUCUGUCGAUCUGGCUGCGUACCUCCCGGACGAUGUGGCCGCCGCUUGAGACCGGGGGUUUGCCCGUUAAGAUCUCCAGCAGGACGACGCCGAAGCUGUAGACGUCGCUUUUGGGGGACAUCACGCUGGUCAUGUAGUACUCCGGAUCCAGAUAGCCCUGGUGGUUCAUGCACCGUGUCGCAGAUCAGCUUUUCGCAUGAUUGGGUUACGAAGGAAAGUGAGAAGAUAACGUAGGGGCGAAAGAAAUAGUGGUCACGCACCAUGGUUCCCUUGAUGGUUGGCUUGAAUGAAUAAGUUCCCUCAUUCGGCACCAAAACGGAGAGUCCGAAAUCGGCGACCUUCGCAUUAAGUUUCUUGUCGAGCAGAAUGUUGGGCGACUUGACGUCUCUGUGAAGGAUUGGCGGAUCUGCGUUGUCGUGCAAGUAGGCCAAACCUCGGGCUGCACCCAGUGCUAUCAGAAGUCUUCUGUCCCAGUCUAAAGGUUCAAUACCCGCUUUCCGGCCUGCAUAUCAUUUACGCAUAAUUCAGAAAACGAAACCAUAACACAGUAAAACGUUUCUGGGCAUCUUCGUUCUCAUCUCUAGCACUCUAACCCGUUCACCCCUUCGACAGGACUCGUGAUUUCUUGCCGAUCCAACGUCUACAAGCAUCAAAAGAUGCUUCCAAGAAUUCAAGCUAAUUUUUGAAAAAAAUGGCAUAAAGAAAAAUUACAACGCUCGUUACAGACGUUGGACUUGUUAAUACUCACCACGAAGCGCUUCGGUCAAUGUACCAUUGGGCAUGUACUCAUACACAAGCAUUUGCUCUUCCUUCUCGCAGCAGAACCCCACAAGCCCCACCAGGUUACAGUGAUGAGCCCGUGAUAGUAGCUCUAUCUCAUUCUUGAAUUCAGUGGCACCUUGUUUGGAACCUUCUUGUGCCCUUUUCACAGCAACCAUGGCCCCUGUGCCUGCCUGAAUACCCUUGUAUACCUGUUCAACACACAUUCACCACCAAUUCCAGUGAUGAAUUUCAUCGUACCGGCACCAUAAAAACAUGUAGAAUUCAAACUAGUGAGUACACUUGCGCAGUUACACGAGCAUGCUCCACAGUUCACAAUCUACACGUAUCACGAGCUGGUAUUUAGUUGUAAACGUGACACACCUUGCCAUACCCUCCUUCACCGAGGAGGUUGUCCUCACUGAAAUUAUUUGUCAGUCUCUUCAUGUCAUCAAAGCUAAAGUAGUUGGCUCCUUUCAACCUGGGUACCGCGCCACCUUUCAUAUUAUCCCAUUUACCUGCACAUCGAACAACCCAAGUAACAUUCAAACAUUUGUCUAAUUGCAAUAUGGUGACAUAUCUAUCAUCAAAACUCACCAAGAGGGAAUUCGAAAACAUAACAAAUAUUUAGGAUGUAGAGGAUCUACCAAAAGGAUUCAACUCCCGUUCUUUCUUGACUCUGCCUUUCAUUACGCAAGCUAAGGAGACCAAAAACCCAACGAGCAGCAACAAAGAGGCAGCUCCUACGGCAAUGCCAAUAAUGGCUAUUCUCGAGAGACCCGAAGAGGCUGUCGAAAGUGGUUCUGCAUCACAUCAUAUUGAUCAGUCAGCAUCAUGACAUCAUUCACAAAGACGACUCACCAAAUCCAUGCAAAAAAAACUUGAAACCUCAAUCCACAACCCUUAACCAUAUACUCCUUGGUAUUCCAGAAGGUACCUUCAGAAUUUUGGAUAGCUUUGACGAGUUCCGGCUUGAAAGGAGGGUAAUACUUCACUUUCUGAAGAGUAAAGCUUCUCGUGAUAAAAUCCGCAGUAACACGAUCCAUGGAUUCACCAACCAGAGGAAAGAAGUACAUAUUAACCUCAACCCUCAAAAGAGAGCCAUUGAAGGACGCAUCGUGGAUCCAGAGCUGCUCAUCUUCGAAUUGCAAUGGAGGGUUCUCAUGUUGGGUGAGAUUCUUCAGCGACGUCAAUGUUUGAUUCAAGAGAGAGUCCCACAAAGACAAGUCAUUGAUAUGUGUGAAGGUGGGCGCUCGGACCUCAAGCGUUACCACAAGAGGUCUGCUACAACGACACUGCAAGGGGUUCAAAACCAACCCGGGGUCACAAAACUGGUUCCCGCAAUUGUUCACGUUGAGCAGAGGGGAAACCCAUUGCUUUUCCAUCGCAGGCUGAGUUGCGUUACACAACUUAGGAUCUGGCUUUACAAUACUAUUGGGGUCUGUGCACAAUGGAUUACCUUGCAACCUGCAGAUUCAUAAAUAAUUCAUCUGAAUAUGAAUACAAUUCAAUAUUUGCAGAACACGUUUAAAUUGUAUUGGUCAUUGUAGCUGAGAAUAACUGACAUUACAUGCGGGUUUAGAGGAAAUGCUCAGCUACCAAUACAUGCAAUAUAUAACUCACAAAAUUUCGACAUUUUUUGCUGCAGUUCGAUCAGUUGCUAAUAUGGUUACGAUUUUGUUGUUCUGGAGAGCGACAUAUCGUAACUUCCGCCCCACAGUCACUGGAAUCGUAAGGGCCCCGUCUAUUGAGUUAUUUUUAAGGUACCUGCUCAGCGAAACAUACAGCAACAAAUCAUUUUCUGGGUUGAAUUACUCAACAUGCGAUUAAAAUCCAUCUCUAAAGAUAACAGAGCGUUUUGUUGAAUGUUUUGGUAACUUACAGUCCCUGAAGUGCCGGGUAGGCUAGAAUAUCAGCAGGCAGUGGCCCAGUCAGAUUCGCAUGUUCAAAUCGUCUGUAUUCCCCAAAAAAGAAUGAAACAACCCAGAAAAACAACCUAAGAUUCAUCAUACAUGUGAACUGGCACGUAGAUGGCAGCUAUAAAAAGUUUCAAAUUUACCAAAUAGCUUGACAACAAAGGAACAGCAGGCAAAAGACCUAUAACAUCAUCUAAUUGGAAAUAAUUCAUAAAGAAAUAGCCUACUAUGGAGUUUCAAAGAGUUUGGAUGCCGCACAUUGUUUGUAUGCGACUGGCGGACGCAUUCAACCAUGAUGGAAAAAUCUGUGAAUCGAAACUGUUGUUGCUGAAAUCACUGUCAGACACAAGUUUCGAAAGUGUCAAAGCAGCGAAUUAAAAUGUCAAUGUCGCUCGACACUGACUUGAGGUGCAUGUCAAGGAAUUCGAAUAUGGCAGAGGAACACAUACACUACAAGUGAAGAUCGUAACUGUCUGUGACAACCAACUGCAUGAGAUUUAAAGAACAGUGAUAGAUAAGCUGCAUCAAGCGUAUGGUGAAGCUUACUUACACAUACUCAAGCUUGGUGAGAGCACUGAAAACUGGCACAGUCCCAGUCAGCCGAUUGUUGGACACACGGCUAACGACGAGAACAUGAAACACAAAGAAAAGAGCAUCAGCUGACCAAAUCGGUUGACAUUACCAUUAACACAUCAGGAAUACUCUUACAAAGUGGAUUUCCUCUAAAACCAUUGUAAAUCAUCACAUCAAGGUUCUUGAAACUGCCAAAUGGAAUGAGAACCUGAAUGAUGAACCUAACAGUCUCUCAGUGCAUUUGCCAACAUGAGAGGUCAUGAAUGAACACAACAUCGAGGAAAGCGAACAAAGACAGGGACAGAGAGUUGGCCAUACAUUUGAAGCAACCCUCUGGUGCCAUUUGUGAUGAUCUUGUUCAGUGAAGAGGGAAUUGGACCGGUCAGCUCAUUGUAGUGAACAUUCCUGUUGCACAUGAAACCGGGUGGAGGCCUAAUGAGACAAGUAAAAUAACAAUCUAUUCGAAAAGAUUACAUGAAGGUAACCGCACAAGCCGAGAACUAAGCGGCUAUUACUGUUUGUAAGACAAUGGCAGUGUCACAACAAAAAUGAUACCACAUCCGUUCGCAGAGCACUGUUGACAAAUCCUCUUCAUUGGUGAGUGUCAAGAUUAAAACAUCACAAACCAAAGCUAAUGCAUCAUAAAAAAAUAGCACAUAGCUUACAGGAUCUCAAGGGCGGAAAGAUUUCCAAAAGUUCCUGGAAUCGGUCCAGUGAAUUUAUUGACUUCCAGGAGCCUGCACAACCCGAAAAACGAGAUCAAUGCCUUCGUAAAUGCUUCAAUUAGGACACAAAACAGAAGAUCAUCUUGUCCUAAACUGGUGGUCAACGUGACAUAAGACUUGCUAGACCUAAUAGUACAUGUAAAAACUGCAGGGGUAGAAUGCGAAGGAAUAAGCAUGAAACAAAUCAGGAAUAUCAAUAAACUACAAAAGCUUACUCAAGCGAGGGCAGUUCAAAAUAGACAGUGUGUGUGAAGAACUCACAUGUGUAUACAUUUUGGGGCCUUCCCAAGUUCAGGUGGAAUGGGACCAGAGAAAAGGUUGUCAUUCAAAUGGCUACAAAGCAAAACACCAGCUGGUUUAUUAUGCUGCCAACAACAUGAAUACAAAUCUUGACUAUAACAAUAGCAUUCGGAGCACAUAGCAACAGCCUCAAUAAUUUGGAGCGGAAAAUCGACCGAAAUGAAAUCUGGCAAGGGAGAUGAACAUGUCUUACUAGUGUUCAAUGACUGGCCAGGUAUCAAGUCCCAUUCUCUCGCGAUUGUUAGUUGAGACAGGCAAAGGUCCCGAUAGUCGGUUGUAAGCGACGUCAAACCACUUCAAAUGCGUAAGCGCACCAAGAGAAGGUGGAAUAGAUCCUUCUAGCAUAUUGUUAUUUAGAGCGCUGAGAACCACGACCACACACUUCACUGUCCAAUUCGCACGAAAACAUACUAUUUUGGAAAGACGCUAAAGUUUUUGAAUUGUAGAACAUACAAUAAAGUUGAAGAUGCUGUAACUAUGCUAUUAAGGUCAACUGGCCAACAUCUCUUGACAUCUCUUGACAGUAAAACAGAAAGCUACACAAAACUAAUUGACAACUGUUGGAUCGGCUAAUUUGUCGUUGAAGUUUCUUUAUGUGAGGAUCAGACAUUAUAGAACCUAGCUAAAUCUAGACACAUUACAAUGAAGUUGUAGUUCGUGACCAAAGAGAGAUUGCUUGAAACUCACAGGAAGGUCAAGUUCACCAGCUUCCCCAAUGAGGAGGGGAUUUCUCCUUUGAAACUGCACUUCUGUAAACUCCUGUAAGAAUUACACAUCUAAUUAUCGAGUGAUAUGAAACACAGCAAAAUCAACGAAACACGCGAACACCAAGUACUAGAGGUACCAACACAAUAUUUUCUCUACACUUGUCUACUAUCAGAGCUAAAGCUGCAUGAGAACAUCAAAAGUUCAAUGCGUGCGUAACUUACAGAUAGAAUAGGUUGGUUAGUGAGCCUAGUUCGUCAGGUAGAGCUCCUCUCAAAUUAUCGUUGAAUGAAAUAUCCCUGCGUGCAAAACCGUUCAACAAGAUCAGCAUUUCACGAUGUAGAAACGCCCAAGCUCACUCUACUCAAGCUACAGGAGUAUUCGUGCUUCAAACCGACUGAACGGGUGCAAUUAUUGGUCCAAAGCAAGUGAAAAGCCCCAAACGUAGUAAAUUUCCAUCAGCUUCAUGACCCGUUCUUACUGCGUUAACAGCAACCACCAAAAAAAAACCCCACUUACAGAUUCUGAAGAGCUGACAGGCCGCCAAUUUCCGGAGGAAUAAUUCCAUUCAGGUCUCUGCUCACCAAAUACCUACACAAGAACGAUGUAAACAAAACAAAUCCAUUUCAAUGUUGAAAGUGAAGAAAUGCCAAGUUUGCAGAAAAGUGAAAGAAAAGUAGAUUACCAAGAUAAUAAAUAUGAGCAAGGUUGGAGUGCGCGUACAAGGAUAUCACUCGAUUGCCUUUACAAAUAACACCCUCCCAUCUAUCGACGCAAGGAUCUGGGCCGACCCACAUAUCCGUGCCUCCACCCCAAGCCAUCUUCAGAGCUUGCAGAGCCCUUACUGCACACACACAAAGCAACCAUUUCACUGAUUUCAUUUCCCCGCGCUAACGCAAAAUUCACAGAAGACAAUCGCGAGAAGAGGUGACGUUCCUUCAACACAGACUUGUUAGAACCCCGCACUGAAAUGUAACAUCCUCCUCGCACAUGUCAAUGUAGUGAACUGCAAAACCUAAGUGUCAUACCAAACAGGGGCUCGAUCGUACUACUACGAUGCUGAGGUAGCACCUCAAAGUGCAUAUAGACGCCCACGGGAUAGACUUAAACCUGGAAGAUCUGCCUCGAACACUGCAGUGUGUUCGUCUGCUGAAAUGGUUGUAAAAGUUCAUAGCUAAGAAUUCUACCCUUUUGGGCCGGGGAAAAAAAUGAAUCUCUACGCUCUAGGUGCUGGAUCGAAAGGCAACUACGACACCCAACAGUGGACAAGGAAACUUGCUUGAAGGCCUUCUGUUUGGCCAAGUUGUGGACUUGCACAGGUCACUAGACUGUUACAACAACAAACAAACAAACAAAACAAGCAAAACAAAACAAAACAAAUGAAAAGAAACAGUACUUUCUUGUCUGGCAAUCUACUGCUGACAGUGGAAUCUCUCCACAGUCCCAAAAAAUCGGAUUAGUAAGCACAUUAGCUCCUGGUUGAUUGAAGUGAUGAGCUUACAAUCAUCAAAAUUAACCGGUUCCCCCGCAGCGAGAAACCAACUUGAGUGAAAGCAACUGGCUGCAAGGGCCAGGCAGAGGCAAAGCCUCAUGCAACGAAACAAUUCCAUUGUUAUUGUUUUCCCGGCUGCUUCAGCACCUUGCAAUCUACACCCCCAGCUCCAAACCGUCACAAGAACUUAAAGCUGAUCUCACUCGUGAAAGCAAACCCACUAUGUUUUGAAUGCAUCUGUCAUAAGACUAUCGGCAGCAUGUAUCCGGCCAAACUCCAUCCUGCGAACUGCAAUUUUCAAUCGCCUUCACGUAAGCGACCAGAAUCCUGGAUCAAUGAGGUCUUCUAAGAACUUCGAUGACGAUGGACUUCCCGUGCGCAGCUUUACUGAACUACGAUGAAGGGUCUGUCCAAUGGUGCGUGUGGCACACACACUCUCAAGCUUUCAACCCACCCUUGCGCUGCAUCACCGCAGACGCCUUCUCUUCAGAGACCACAACCCUGAGGACCUGAAGAUUAACGUCAAGCUCCUGAAUCUUCGGGUAGCAGAGUACCCUCUGAAGUACCAUCUCAUGUACCGUCCAGGUAACGAUUUGCGCCGCAAAUAACCUGAAUACACACACUGACAGCAAUCAACUUGAGCUCAAGUUGAUUGCCAGCAAUCGCAUGGACCUAUAAAAGACCUCCACUAUCACCUCGACUUGUCGAAUUCUGUCAACUGGGUCCAGAUUAAAGUAAGAGGACACUGAGAACUGCACCAGAAUAGUAAAGGGCAAGAAUAGCGGGGGAGGCAUCAAACCACAUCUUCGAUGCGGUCACGGUAAAAAUGUUCUACCGACAAUUUCCAUCCCGAAGUUACAGCGCUAGAUGCAUAUCUGGACCACAUGUCAUACAGAAAGUGUUAUAAAAACGCUGUAAAAGUAUAGAAAAAGACUAAUUUAUUUCAAAAAUAGAUUGGAACACAAUACAUCCAACUGUAUCAAAGCUUGGCAGAUUCUGCAUUACAACACGUUUUUAUCAAUGGAUCUUAUCGGUAGAUUAAACAUGUAACUGAUAUAUUAGAGUGAGCUUUGUGUCAGAGGUGGACAACAAUAGGGGAAGAAUCACUAAACAUUCAUUUUAAGCAUUGAGAUCUUUUGCACUUUUACUCCAGGUUUAGAAGGGAAGAAAUGGCUACUAGUACUAAAUUUAUAAACUAGAAAUCAUAUUCAUUUUGUGCACAAGUCUUCCAGUGCAAAAGAAUGAUAACGACAAAACCAUGUGUAUUGUCAGAUUGUUAAAUUUUAUUUCGGUGCAUUAGAAGCUUAAGCAAAUCUAGUCGUGUUUGAAAUUCUGAGUAUUUUGAUCUCUUAUCUUGUAACAAAGACACGAUAACAAUUUACAAAACUAUUUAUAAUAUCCGUAAAUGAAAAUAAAUAAAUAAAUGAUGACAUUGUGGUAGAAGUAUUUCAAAACCAAGUAUUUUUUUUUUAAGAAAAUAAAAGACUAUUCAAAUGCACUUGUGGGUUCUUGUUCAAAUGAAUUUUUUGCAUAUCUAAUUAACAUCUUAGGGAAUUGAUAUAAAAAAUGAAACUUGUUACUGUUGAAAUUUAAGAAAAGAGUAGUGUGUAGGUUUUGCUCAUAAUAAUUUUAUUUUCAAAAUGUACAAUAGUGCCUUAUUUUUAAACAAUUUUUUAAAAAAUGAUGGUCCUUUGUAUUUCCUUGUUGACCACUUUGAAUGCUAAAUAUACUUCUCUCAAAAACCAACAUCUAGCAUGUAUGCUACUGAAAGCAUGUCCUGUAUAUGAAGUUCAUUUCGUUUCAUUAAGAGUGCAUAUUACAAAAGAUUGUAGUGGCAGUAUUAUUUAGAAGAGAAUCAAAAAAAAAAAAAAAAAAAAAAAAAACAACAACAACAACAACAACAACAACACUUUAAAAAAUAUUAAUUUAAUGUAAAUAGUGAUUUGACUAGUGAAGGAACAGUAAAAACAUGAAAAACGUUGAACAACAAUUCUAUCUCCUUUCAAUAUUUUUUAAACUAUAAACGACAAAGUUGCUAUCCACUACCUCCAAGAUUUGAGUAUGAUACAACUUGUCAUAGCGUAAACUAGUAAACUACUUAGACCAGGGUCAGUGAUGAAGAGCAAUGCAGCCUGCAAAGAGCUUCUGGGUCCGAAUCAUUAAUAAACCAAAAAAUACACGAAUUUCCUAAACUAAAUAACAUAAAUAAAUAUUUAUUUUUUUAUUUAUUGAAAACGAAAUACAACACUGAAAAUGAAUAUUCAAAGCCCUCUUUGUGCAAAAACUGGAAGUUGGACCAGCCUCAACCCAAGACAAACUAGCACUAGAAUCUAACAAAAAACAAUAAAGUAUAAUGGAGAAGUAUAAUGUACAUGUCACAUAUCAAAACCUUCACAUACUUACUUUAAAAAUGAUAUUAUUCAUUGUUAUGUAUCGAAGUUUUACAAAUCUCAGUUUUGGCAUUGGUGAUGAACUUGUCUUGUCAUCCUCUAUGUCAACAAAAUUCAAAAGAAACCAAAUUGUUUUUAUAGUAAUAUUCCACAAGGUUUUUUUAUUUUUUUAUUGUUUAAUGUAUGUAGUUUCCAUGAUUUUUUUUUUAAUAGUUGAAUUUUUGAAGAACUGUUUAUUUAGUCCUUGCAAAUUUAUGAAAGUUCCAGUAUUUUUAAUAUAUUGUUUGCUCAAGACAAGGGUGUAGUUGGAUGUCUCUUGGCUUUAGAAAUGUGCAAAUACAUAUUAUUAGAGCUGUACCAUUAUCAAAUAUGAAGUUUUUUCAACACAAAUAUUUUUAAGACGUCUAAGAGUUGAUAAAGUAAAUACAUAUUGCAAAAGAAAUAAAAUUGCAUAACUUAGAUUUUCAUAGAUUUAUGAUUCUUCUUUGGACUAUUAGCAAGCUGUAGUAAAAUAUUUUUCAGCAAUUCAAAAUUGCAUCGAAAAAUUUAUAUCCAUAUAACUAAGAAUUGAAAAUUGGUGUUAAUUAUGUUUGUGUUUUAAAUUUUAUUAGGUACAUAAUUUGGAUCUGCCAAUUAAAUAAAUAAAAACUAAUGUUAGAUUGUUGUAACAGAGAAGUGUCUUUUCAACUACAAUCUGUAAUAAUAUGAGAUACACAUGGUUUCUAUAAUCUUUGUUUUCCUUAGAAGAAAUUUUGCAUGAUUUUUUUUACAUUUGCUAAUAUAUACAGAUAUAAGAAUUGGAUAACUUUUAAUUUAAAAUCAAAUCAAUAUAAUUUCAUCCUAGUUCUGAAUUGUUGUUACUUUUAUUAGCACACUAUUGUUUUAUAAAAAUUUAUAAAAAAAUAAAAUCAAUAUGCCACAAAAAGAAGUAAGUACAAAUCUUUAAAAAAAUAAUUAAAUAGUGAUGAAGAAUCUAAGGUGGAAAAAGUCUUGGAUUUGGAUUUGAAGUAGUACUAAAAUAAAUCAGAAUGACUAUACUAUAUAUUGGCAUGGAUAUAAUACCAAAGAGGAAGGUAUAAGCCAUCUGAGAAUCUUGUAAUUAUAACAAAAAUAGCUUUGCAUUUUCAUUUAUAACAUCUGUAAAAAUUAAAUAAUAACUAUAAAUGAGAAUACUAAAAAGUUGAAAGAAAAAAAAAAUAACACAGAAUCAUGCAUUAAAUUUUCAUUCUAGAAUUAUUGUUCUAACUUUCUUAUAUACUUCUUGAGUCUAAAAUUUUCUUUAAAAAUUCUUCGGUAAAUUAAAAAAUCAAAAACCCAUAGAUUUUGUUUUUUUAUUUUUUCAAAAUCAUUUGUAGUACCACUUGAUGACCCACUUGUGUUGGGAAAACCUUUUCAAUUUUAAAUCGAUAAAAAAAUAUAAAUUAAAAUAUAUAGAUAUAGAUAUAUAUAUAUAUAUAUAUAUAUACUUUAAAAAGACAAUAAGAUACAAAAUAUUUUAUACCACAACAUUAACAAUUGUUUUGCACAUAUUAGCAAAAAAAUGUUAGCUUUCUCAUUCUCGAUUUAUAAAAAAUUGAUUAUAAAUACAAAGUACAGCCAAAUGUUAGAGUAUAUGUAAUAACACAAAGAUUCAACCUUCCAAAAGUACAUAUUUUACCUAAAACUUACUCAGAUAUCCCCAAAAUUAUGAAUAAAAUCUACGUCUUAUGGAGCCGUCGGUGGAAACGUAUGCACACCGUUUGGUCAGAUGCAUUGAACGGUGUGAAGAACCACGUCACUCGUGAUUCGCGGUAAGAUUCGGCAAAGAGGAGAGAGUGUCGGCGUGGUUUCUGCAGCUUUUAGCGUUGCAUCGGGAGUCGGGGUCGGAGGGAAAACUGCUUGUUUUGUGAUUCAGGGAAGCUUUGAAUCAGGAAAACUGUUUCCUUAUAUUCCUUAACAAUUUUGAAGCAAUACUUUCUCUGUUAAGCAGUUUCUAAGGGGUAAGAAGUGGUGCCAACGACAGUCCCUGGUAUUCAGUGUUCAAAGAAUCAAGCUUCACAUACUUCCCUACAUUUGUAUUUGAUUCCAAGUAACAUACGAGUAAUCGUGCAGUUCGAUAUCGGGCCCUGUUCGCAGUGGGAAUUGCGUUCAUGGGCUCGCAACUUGAAGAUGAUGGUGUUUAAGUGAUAUGUAUCCGUUGUGAAUUUGAUGAAUUCACAACAAGGAACUUGACACAUUUCUACCUGCAGCGUGUGUCAGUCGGUCGUGGACAUAUCCCCACUCAGGGGGGUGUCGGGUGGAAUCGAGUGCGUGUUGGGCUGCAGUGGUAGAUAGGCAUUGGAAUGAGCGCUGUGGGAAGUGAAUAUGGAGGGGGGAGUGUGUUGAAUCGAUUCCUACAUUUGACAAUGUCCUGCUUCUUGCAAAGCAAUUUUGGUCUUACAUUGCUAAGAAAUCGGGUGAGUUUAAAGAUUAGAACCAGAGUGAUGAGGGUGUGAUUACUGCGGAUCGAAGUUUGUAUAUGGUGUGGAUUAGAAGCACGAUGGAGGGUGGUGUGCGAUGUGGUGCAGCUAAGUGGGAUGGUUGCGGUGAUGGUGGGUGAACGAUGGAUCCACGGUACCCUUUCAUCGUAAAUGGUAAAAAAAUCUCAGUCUGCCGAUGUUAGAGCGAUUGUGCACUGUGCAUUUGUGUGAAGUAUGGAUGGAGCAUUGGUUUUCUUGUUAGUGGCGAGUGGUUUUAGUGUAGCGAAGGGACGUAUUGAAGUGAUCUGGGAGAUGUCUGUGAUGGAUGCGAUUUGUGUGUAGGAUGACAAUAAAUUCCUCACAUGGGGUGGGGAUCCAUACGCCACGAAAGGUGUUUGAGGGGCAGUAGGAUCCAUUGUCCGUUUGGAUCUGUCGAGAAUGCAUGGCAGCACAGUGAAAGUUUGGCAUGAAUAUGAUUGUUUGUCACUGGACUUGCGUGCGGUGGUGGAAGGAAUAGGCGAGGCUGGAGGAGGGAUUUGAAGCAAAUUGGGUGAAUGGUUGACGUUGGUUUUUCCGUGGUGACAGGGCCCCACAAGGAGCAGUCAAGAUUUUUUUGAGCAUUGACAGCAAAUUUCCUGCUGUUCGUCAACUCGCAAUUGAAGUGAGCAGUUGAUGGAGAGGUGCACGCAUUUAUGCGGGAAUUGUCAAUUGAAUGAAGUUGCAGACACGAUGAUGCAUUCGUACUGAAAAAUAGUGAUACGACGAGACGUCGGAUUCAACGUGGAGAUGAUAUCCUUACGUAGUUAUGCUAAUGUUGACAGGAAUGCAGUUUGUGUCGGCUGGAUGUUGUUGAUAUGGAGAAAGUGGAUGGAGGAUCGGUGACCAAGCUAGCAGAUGUUGAUGCGGGGUGGUGGCUGCUGGUGAUGUGUCUUACAUUGCGACUUGCAGUGGGAGGGUAUUUCCAUCGCGGCAGCUUGCAGUUGUUUCACGAGUAGAUGAUUGCAUUUGUAAGUGAUUGUGCUUGUUCCACGGAAUGUGUUGUCCGUGCUCUUCAUCUGAAAUGCUCGAAGGAGACGUUUGCAUACAACGCUGGCAAGAGUGAUGGGUAAUGGAAGGUUGGGAGUAAUGCGUGGUGAAGUAGGGCGUGACGAAGAUCUGUGAUAACAGCGAGCUAGUGUUCCCGUGUGGUAGUUUGAAGAUGGAUCGUAGUCUGGGCGAUUGCAGUUUUGGUAACCAGAUGUGGGAAGCGCAUGGUUUUGGUGUAGGUGAGUGGAGAAGAUCAUGAGGCAGUGAAGAGGUGCUAGAAGGUAUUGUUGUGAAGGCUGAGAAUACCUUGAGAAUUUAAUGGAAGCUGGAAAUGAGAUGCAUGAAACCACUUGGAUAUGGUUCUUCUUCUUUAUAUAAAACUGAUGAAAGUGUCACAUUGUUUGACUCUUGGGUAAAGGUGAAGGAAAACCAUAUAAACAAAACAAAAGAAAAUGAUGGCUUGUGGAUGUGGGAUUUGAUGCAGUAGGUGAUGCUGUGUCAAAGAGGUGAGGUAUGUGUGAAGGUGAAUCAGUAUUUUUUUCCCAUGAAAGAUACCAGCUGUUGAGUGACUGGGUGGAGUGUAGUGUGAGCAAAUGCUGAUGAUGUUUGAGGAUUCUGGAAACUGCAGCCUUUCUGGGUUGUGGCAAAAUCAUGUGUGAGCUUGCUGUAUCAUCUCUGUGUGUACCAUGGAACUGUAUGAGGGUGGAGGUUUGGAUGUCCAUGCAGUCUAUUGUAUGCAAUAGUAUGAUGAAGCACAUGAAUGGAGGUUGUUGUGAUACACAGUUGAGAUAAGGAACAAUUUCUAGCUCAUAAAAAGAGAAGAGAAACAAAAGGUAGAGAACAGGAAAUCUAAGGUUUAUGGUUCUUAAUAGUAUUGGUUUAGUGAGGAAAGUCUGUUUGAGUUCUGGUUCAUCCAUAAUUAGAUUACAGUUCACUGCCCCACCUAUUGUUGAGUUUACACUAAUCUGGGUGGUGAUUUAUUAGCUGUUAUCUGAAUGUGGGCAGUCAAACAUGUGAUUGUCCUGUCUAAACAAUCUGUUUAUGUAUUGCAGAAUCCUGUUUGCUCAUCUGUUGCUGUAGCCAACUCUAAAUUUGGUACAGUUUCCCUGAUGAAGUCAAAACCUGAUAGAAACUAACUUUUCACUUGUACCAAAAUAUAGUAGAGGACUGUGUUCAUAAGAUCUCACUCUAGAAACUCACAAAAUGAAUAUAGUGAGAUCUCACCAAACUUGUAUGUUUAUACAAAAAUAACUAAACAAAAUAAAGGCAGGAUUCUGAUGAGCAUCAAGUUCACAUUUAGAUGCUGGUUUUUCUUUCAUCAGAAUCUUAGAACUCAUGGGGUUUCAUCACUUUUCCAAAUCAUGAAAUAGUUUCCAGUGGGCUUCUCAUAUUAGAUGUUCAUUUCUGCAACAAUUAUCUUUCCUGCUUUUGCUGAAGAGACAUCUCAGUGCAACCUUUGUCGGCAGCCUUUUGUAGCUAGUAGGUACUUUGGGAGCCGAUAUUGUACAAUUUAUAUGACUUGUGUAAGAGAUUCACUAUGGACCAUACAUCACAAGCCAUGGCUCCACAAAGCAUGUAAUUGACUUUUUUUUCUUUGCUUGGAUCAUUACUAAUUCCAAGAAUUUGAAAUGGUAAAGAGUGCAAUCCAAGUCUAUAGUGUGUCUUUUGAAGAGCAGCUAACCAUGGCUACAGAGGCAGGCAUUGUUUUGAAAAACUCACCUUCUAAGGUCUAAUUUAGCAUCAUUUGCCCUAGUCUAUGUCAUGAAGGUGUGCUUCCUUUUUUCUUUUUAUUCCUUUUUUUUUUUUCUCUCCUCUCACAUUUUUUUUCAUUUUUCUCUUGUUUUUAUUAUUAAAACUCUAUACUACAAAUUUUAUUUGAUUAAAGUUAGGGUUGUUGGAAAAAAUGCAUUAAAAUUCAAUGUGGUACAUGAGUGAGUGAACCAAGGGAUCCUCUGGCAUCAUGGCAAGGAAUAGAGGACUCUUUUUGUUAUCAAUUACAUUGUUUUUAACAACUCAGAAGUCACAGUUUUAAAAGUUUGCAAAAAAAAAAAAAAAAAAAAAAAAACAUUAUACUGUUUCAACAUGAAUCAAUUGUCAAACACACUUGAAUGUUGGGCCCAGCCCCAAAUUCACAUCACAAUUGUCAUAAUUAUGCAAAAUCAGUUAAGCUCCCACAUACAAUACAAAAAGAAGAUUCUCCUCCUCAAGAGCACAUGAUACAUCCCCCCAUACUUCCCUUAAAUAUGCCUUAUGCUUAGACAUGCUUGCAUCCCCAUGAGGUGCAUGGAAAACAUGUUCACAAGAUGACAAAAAAGCAACCCACCAUGGAUGAAUGGAUGGAACAACAAACAAAUGCACAACAUGGGAACAGUACCACAGCCCAUUCAAUCUGAAAAUGUCCCCAACUGGUACCAGAGCCUUACCAGAACUUGGCAGUUUUAAGGCUAUCCAAGCCACUCUUCCUCAAAGAUGGAAAGCUGAUGCUGCUGCUGCUUUCCCAUUUGGAUUUAUUUUGCCAAAUUCAUCACAUGUAUUUCUCAUUUUUAACUAUGCUCAAAUUGUGGAUAGUAACCCACCCUCCAACCUCAAAACAGAAACCCUAAACCCUAAAACGUCAUAAAAACCCUAAACCCUAAAGUGUUGGAGACACUACUACUACUUCUAAGUGUUGGUUGCAAGGGAGAGGGGGGGGGGGCAACAAGGCUGGCUGAGACAGGGGAAGUGCAGAUGGUGACAGACAGAAAAGGGAGGGGGGUUGAGUUUUGUUACCCACCCACUGUGUGUCCUACCUGGAAAGAGAGACCCCCCCCACCUUCCCCCUUCAAGGUGGCUUGGCUUGCACUAGAAGGAGGAGAGAUAGAUGACCAUUGUGAUGUGUCCCUUGCUUGCCCCAGUAGUAGUAGAAGUAGUAGUAGUACACUCCCCUGGUACUACUGAUCCAGACUGAAGCCAUUACUGAGGGAGAUAGAUAGAUAGACAGACAGGGAAAGAUACUACUCACUCAGAGUGAGACAUACUCAUGCUCAGAAAGACCCUCCCUCCCUCCCUCCCUCCCUCCCUCAGUCAUUCCAGCCCCAUUUUUCUGCUACACCCAACCUUCUGUUUUUUCUCUCUUUUCUUACCCCCCUAUUUCCCCUCAUCACAUUCGACAUUCUUGAAGAAUGCCCAAUGCUAUAAAAAAAAAAUACAUAUAAAUAUUUACACAAUGUCUUCAAAGUCCAGUGCAACAUACUCACACUCACACACACACAGGAUUCACAGCAGGGUAGAUAAUCAAUCCUCUGUAGCCUGGCUGGCAAAAACUGGAGGCUGGUGAUCCAGCAGUAGUAGGACCAUUCUGAGGGUGGAACAGUUGCAGCAUCAAUUGAAUCACAUGGGCAUGUUCAGGAUAGUAUCUGAUAUACCUGGAGGAGGAGAAAAGGAAAAAAACAAAAAACAAAAAACAAAACAAAUAGCAGCAACGGAUUUUACCAUAGCUUACCAGCAGGGGCAACAGAGAGGCAGUGAGUGAGUGUUGUAAGUGUAAGUGUAGUGUAAGCUUUGUUGUGUGAUCCCAUUGAAGGGCUGUUUUUGUUUCUCUUAUAUCCUUUCACCACGAUACCAUGGGGUACAAAAGGAACGGGUAUCAAUUUAUGAAAGCAGGCUCAGCAGUACUAGAAGUGGAAUGAAUUGCAGAAUGAGAGAGUUGAGUUGUGUUGAGUUGAGGGUCAACCCUGGGGUGGUGAUGUACUUACUGGUUGGCAUCGCAUACACAGUUCCCAUAAUAAAGGUUAGCUGGGAAUGUAAAAUAAUCAAUUAAUUAAACAACAACAACAACAACAACAACUCUUCCUGAGGACUGUCCCUGUGUGAAUAGGGCACAGUGCAUAAAAAUGGACAAUACUUUCACUGAUGUUGGGUACUUUGUGCUUAACACAUCAAAGAGAAUUUGACUCAGCUUUUUUUUCUUCUUUUAUUCAAUAUAUAUAUAUAUAUAUAUAUAUGAUGAUGUCCCAUUUUGCCCUUCAGUGAUAUUGUGUAAAACACAUCCAAUACAAACAUUUGAUGCAUCAUACAUUUUUGAGAUUUUUUGUUCAUUGAUAUUCAUGGGGACUGAAAUAUUGAGGAGCUUAAGUUUGAAGCUUGGACUACUUCAUUUCUCAGGCACUCAAAUCUAAGACUGCCAAGUCCUGAUUGUGUAAAAGAACUGGAGUAUUGUUGUACCAAGCUCUCAUCCAUUCAACUCAUGUAAACAAAACAUGCAUCAAAUACAGUAUUGCUUUCUUUUAAAUAUGCAUUUUUCUUGUCCACAUUGAUGAUUGUGAGCUCCAACAAGGGCUCAAUUCAGGAGUUUGUUGUCCUACUUGUACCCACAAGCUUGGGUAGAAUGUUGGGCCUCUUUUUCAAGGACGUCAAAAUGAUGGUAGAAGUCAAUUUUGGCAUUUUAAAACACACUAUCAAGUAUCAUCAAUUUAACAUUCAGUUUUUGAGCACAUAUUGAUUUUCCAAAAAAAUUCCACCCAACUCCAAAAUAUGAAUUGACAAUUCACCUCACCACAAUGGCAAAUCAUAACCCCUCCAUUUUUGCUAAUGAUGGUUGAGGGACUUGGCAAGGAAUAAAACUUUUUGCCUUUUUUGUCUCUUUUCUUUUUCUUACACUUUUUCCACAUGUGGUUACAUUCUUAAGUAGGAGUAUCACAAUCAGCACACACAAUCAACUUGGCAGCAAAGCUCAUACAUCUUUCCACUGUAAGAAGUCUUUUCAUGAGAAUUCUGCAAUUUGCUGCCAGAGAAAGUGGGAAAAAAAAAUAUUUACAAAUGGGACAUGUAAUCUUCCCAAUAUUGUUUUUGAAGGAAAAAAGAGAAAAGAAAAAAUGACAUAAAAUCUCAAAACAUAUGCAAAUGUUUUUUGUGUUUGUAAAAAAUUAAAAUCUAUCUAUGUAUAUAUAUAGUUAGUUAGUUAGUUAGUGUGCACAUGGACCCAUGUACUAGUAGGCAUUGUUAAGGCUAUUCAAUUUUGUAUGGACAAUUCAUUUAUGCAACUUUGCAUGGUGAUGGCCCCAUGGAAAUUGAAAGUUAGGUUAUCUAAACUUGUUGGCUAACACCCAAAGCUUACAAUCUUCAUACAUGCAUCGGUUCAAGUUGUUGAAAAUUUUAAUGGUACUCAAUUUAUAUUUGGAGUAGCCAAGAGAUUUAAAUGAUUAAUAAAAAAUGAAAGUAACUUUGCAAGGAUGAAAACAACUUCUUUGAAAUUUUAGUAAAACUUAAUUUAAGCAAUGUUUGCACAAUCAGUGUUUCAGCCUUCAUGCUAUAAAAAACAGGCUCCUAAUUAUCAAAAAUUCUAAUCCAUAUGUUCUUGUAGCUCUCAAUAUCUAUUGCUUUUAGAAUUCUGAACAUGUGCUCAAUCCUAAGGGUUGUGAUUAAAUGAUAUCAUAUUGGUGAUUACCAAUACACUCCUUGAAUGAAAUUAAAUGAGAGGUUUCUAAUAAUCAAUUUAAUGCAUUUAAAAAUAACAUUUAGAGUAUUAUGUUCUAAUGUCACAUUUUACUGAAACCAGAAAGAAUACAUGUUUGGUAUUAAGAAAGAAUACAACAUUUCCUUUGAAAAAACAUACUUCUUAAUAAAUAUCAUAUUGCACAUAACUUUUGGUGCAAAAAAGUAUACAAAAUUUUAGAAUAAAUAAUCUACAUAAUAAGAAAAAUUAAGCAAAAGUCAAAUAGACAAAGAAGCCUUCUCAUUGGCCAAAAUCAAAGAAAUUAACCAACAAAAAGCCCUGCAUAACUUGCACAAAGACCUCCAGUUUAUUAUUUAUAAACAGCUGUUUGGUAACCAAUGGCAUGGGUCUCUGCUAACAAAUAACAACUCAUAAUAAGCAGAAUUCAAUAUACACAACCUGUAACAAAUCUUUGAUAUAGAAUUUGAAGGAAUAAAAAAUAGUUACUACCACAUUCUUAUUCUUAUAGGUAAAUUGUAUCCAAAUGCAAACCAACAAUUACACAAAAUUCACAAAUUCUAAUCAUCUUGAACUGAAUAGAAAAUAUGAAUGCAUGUAGUAUUUUUUGAUCUUUUGGUAUACUUACACUCACACACACACAUAACAUUUCACCAAACAAUAUCAUAGUGUAGUGGGGUGGUAAAAGAAAGGGCCACAGGGGGGAAGGGGGAAUAGCAGGCUGAGCCAUCACUUAGUCAAUCAAUUGGAGAUGUAUAGCUGACACAGCUCACUUACACACAGCCAGCCCUUGCAUUCCUCUUCAGCCAUCAACUCAUUUCCAUUUCAUUUGUCAGUGCCCAGCCCAGUGAGUGAUGCAGAUAUCCAUUGAUGAAGCAGAAGAAGAAGAAGAAGAAGAUACUCCCAAAAAAAAGAAAUUAGAGGAAGGAGAAGAUGUUGCAAUUGGGCUUGGAAUCAUCAGUGUAAUACAUUCACACCCUUAAAUGAAUGGAUACAUACACAAAAAACAAGCCUGGCUUCCAAGGAAAUCUACCACGAUCAACUUGUGAGUUUUGUAGUACCAUUUAUGUGGUGUUGAAAAAUGGAUUUUUAAAAACCAUUCAGUAAUUCAUCUUUGAUAUUAUAGGCUAUCAGUUCAUUGAUUCUAGUUUUUGGUAGUAAGAAACAAGGGACCUUCUCACACAAGAUUGGGUGUCAAAGAGCUGGAUGUAUCCCCCCCCCCAAAAAAAUACAUUACACACACACACAUAUAUAUAUAUACAUACAUACAUACAUACAUAUAUAUAUAUAUAUAUAUAUACAUACAUAAAGAAUGUUUGGAUUGAUUACUCUCAUUCAGUGGGAACAUUACAAAAAACAUGUUUGUCAUAAAAUGAUUUUGCUCUGGUUGAUCACAUGGAGUGUGUUAAAUGCAAGGGGUUAGGUUGGUACACUCCCACAACCAGAUCAUGGUCUUGUAAGUCAACUUCACAGCAGUGGAUACAAAGGAACAAACCCUAAAUUAAACCAACAAGUUAGUUUUUUUGUGGGGUUUUAUAUCAUUCCCUCAAGCCGCUUGUGUUAAAAAGACUGUAGACAGAUGAGACCAGGGUCAGUACAUCUACCUGGCAGCAACAGUUCCAGUAUUUCAUUCACCUGGUUAUAUCAUGGGACAAUUUGACAAAGAGGGCUUUAUGAAAAUGAUACCCAAAAACAGUCAAAUGGGGGCAACAUCAAUUCUAUUUAUUCAUCCACACAUAUAAAAAUGAAAGUGUUACCCCUUUAUUCCCCAGAUAGCAGAGAGAUUGUCCUGGCCCUAAUUUUCUGUGCCAUGGGUGCAACAAAGGGAAUGAAUUAGGUGGAUGUGAAUGUGAAAAGGACCUUGGCCUUUGUAUUGUUGUUGUUGCAGUAGUUGUAGAAGAAGACCUUUUCUAUUUGCUUAGCUGUGCUCUACAGUUACAACUCAUCAAUAGGGUUGUUGUUGUUGCAUGCAUGGCUGUGCAAGGGGGCUGCAGAGCUUGACUACCAAGCUUCAUCCUCUCCUCCACAAAAGCAGCCAAUUCCACAGCCCUAACUCCUCAAUAACACACAAAAAUCUCUUCACUCCUCCAUCAAGACCAUUAUGAUGGGUCCUUUGUACAAUGAGAUCAUGCCUCUGACAACAGGAUGAUCCCCAUGGCUUGUUCAUUCUCUUCAAUACCAAAGCAACAUUUAAAUAUUGCAAGAAAAAUAAACAAGUUAAAAAAAGAGAUAAAAUAAGAAGAAGAAUGGAGGGUUUUCAACAUUUCAACAUCAAUCUGUUUCCUUUCUCAAAACAUCCAGUUCUCAAACCUACACUUUUAUUUUUAUUGUUUUUUAUUUUUAUUUUUUCAUUUACACCUGCUGGAACCCCAAAUCUAAUCUUGAAGCUCAGCAAUAAAUCAUGUCAUAUGGAGGUUAGUGUGCCAGUGUAUGAUUGCUCACAGGCUUUGGCAUUUUAGGAACAAGAUGAUUGUGAAUUUGCUUAGGCCAUCCAUCCUUGUGUUUGUGGAUCAUGCUCCACAUGUGUGAGUGUGUGUGUGUGGGGCAUAAAGCAUGAUGCUUUGGAGUGGAGUAUUUAAUAUAAAAAAACAGUGAGAUUCAUGGCAGCAAAUGAGAAAUCAAAAUUCAUAAUCCUCUACCACACAUCACCAUUGGGUGCAAAGACCCACCCACAUACCAAAUCAUUUUAUCCAGCUUGUGUUGUUUGUUGUGGUGGGUGGGUGACCUUCCAAUGGCUGUGAUUCACUGAAGUCACUUCUCAGGGCAGUGAAAACUUGAUACUGAUGAGUUCAACUCUAAGUUGAGGGGUGAGUUUAAUGCAUUAAGGCGAAGGUUGGAAGGAGUAGGCGGUGAAGGAGAAGAAGAAGAAGAAGAAGAAGAAGAGUACUCUACACGACGAGAAACCGAGCUCCAGCAGGCUAGUAAUUGGGGGGGGGAGGGGAGAUAAAAAAGCGAGGAGGAGAGGAGAGGAGAGGAGAGAAGAGCAGAGCAUUAAAUGAAGGAGAGAGUGGGGGCGUGUUGUGGGCUACAGGGCCAAUAACUCCCCCCCCCCCAUUUGCAGUCCCCCUGACUACUGCGUGUCUGCAAGCUCUGCUGACAAGCCAAACAAAGCAGAGCUCACCAAUUACUAGCCUGCUGAUGCUGCUGCUGCGUCAGGAUAGGGGCUUGAUCAGGCAGUGCUGAAGAAGCUGGACUUGAGAGCAGCAGCUAACGGUCCGACCUGGUAAAGAAUCGCAGAAAAAAAGAAAAAAAGAACAGAAAAACAUGAGGAGGCACCCCCACCCUUAAGAAGCAGAAGAAGAAGAAGAAGAAGAAGAGUGAGUGAGUGAGUGAGUGAGUAAGUGGUGGCGGAGUUGUAAUUGUAACAGCAGCAGCAGCCACACCCAUCGAUCGGCAGCACCCAACCUCAUUGACGGUACCUGCACUGACGGCGCUCUCCACUAAGGGAAGAGGAAGAGCAGUAGGAAGAGAGGGGCUCUUCACAGCCAGCCUUCCUUCCUUCCCUUAAACUUUUCUAGUGCUGAGUUACACCUCCCUUUCUGCUGCUCCUGCUGCUGCACUGUCUGCAAGCCUGCCUGCCUGGCUGGCUGGAGCCUGGCCUGCUCGCCUGGAAGAGGAGGAGGGAGGAAGAGGAGAGAUCAUCGACUCCUCGAACCUCUCCUUCGCCCCUUUCCCAACGCUCACUUGCAAACGGUCUUCUCUUCUCCGCCACGCCGAUCAUUGCACAGCUCUGAUUCUCGUCAAUCAUCACUCUGUCUCUCGCUCCCACUCCAAUUGGGUCGCUCGCGUCCUCGCUUGAUUUGCUCCCAGGAUAGCACAACGGUGCCCCAUAUCUCUCUCUUCACCCGACCUUCUCAUGCAUUCCGGCAAUGCAGCGAGUGCGUCGCUGGAGCUUUCCUCGCUGUGGGUGCGUGGGUUUUCGUAGUUUGAGAGCGAUUUUGGCGUGAAUUGGCCCACAGAGGUUGUCGUUCAGUGAGGCUACGUUUCGAGGUGUUUUUACAGCGAAAAAUAUCGUUCGAAAGUUGAUGUAUUUUGAGGUAUUUGGAUAAAACGUGUUUGGUAGUGAUAAGGAAUAGAGCAUUACUUCCUCUGAAAGCUUUGAGUUGUGGCGACAAUAUGGAUAGCUGUUGCGGCGAACACAUUGAUUACUGCUCGCUUCUGUCUGUGGAAUCGUCGAGGGUUUGAGAGCUCUUCGUCUGGAACUUCUCAUUGAUCAGACACACAGCUUGCGAAGUUAACAGGUGCAAAGUUUGUAGAGCGGACGCUUUGAUCUGUACUCGAGCUUGGUAGCUUCCACUGGUGUCAAGUGAGUGGGAGAGUGUUGGCUACUCCUUGUGCAAGGUAGCCACAGUUCAUUUCGAUUGUUCCAAAUCUGGAUCUCAUCCAAAAGGACGAAGACACACAGCUCGCCGCAUGUUAUUAUCACGCGAAGCUGCUGAUCGUGACCAAGUUGCAAGGGAUUUUCAAUCCACUCACGCUCCCCUUCUGGAGCCGAUUCGCAGAACUUUGCCGCUGUGUCGCAGUCUCUAACGAGCCCUUCGACCGCCCUAGUAUUUUGAUAUCGGAAGAGUCUGAAAUAAUCUGGCACAAUCCUGGAAUUCUAUCACACUAAUCGACCCUGAAGCAUUACACGAUAAUAACACCAAUCGGUAAGUUAAAUCGCCUUUCUCAGCUUGUACCGGAAAGGCUUCAUUUCCUGCUGUUCGGUGUUUUGCGAGGUUGAGACUGACCUCCUGUCAAACUCCGGUCAACCUCGCAAGAUCAGAUUAAUUGCUUGAGGUGAUAUUUCUGAUUUGUUUCAGUAGCGUAAUUGACACAAUAAUUGCUCUGCCCCGGAAGCAUGAUCCUUAGAUUACUCCAUUCGCUCUGGUAAGCCUCUUAAUUAUCGAUGUCGUUUAACCAAACAAUCACCCGUGAAUCGUUUUCCUUCAUUGCUUCCCAAAUUGCCCCGUGGAUACCUUUCAUCAGUUAAAUGCUUUACAGCAGCUACGAUUGUACUGGUCGAAUGCUCUCUACAUGUAAGUGCUCAACUCUAUAUUAUUUCAAUGUUUGCAGUGCCCCAGUCCACACUGGUUCUGAAGGACUCAACGGGUAUCAUUGGGUGAGGAUUGUGGAAUCAGGCCUGCCAUUUUCGUAGUGGACGAAGCUGUGAGUCGAAUGGUGGACAAGAAACUGCGGCGGUGUAGCUGAACUUCUCGAAGCUCCAGACUACAAAAAAGAAGAAGCUAAAGGCUUAAUCAGGGGCAACGAAUUUGCUCACUUCUGAUCAGUUCGACCCCACGCAGUUCAACAUGGCCUCACCAAAUUACGCAGAACGUCGAAGGUCUCACCCGAAGUCACGGCGUCAAUCUGCUCUAGCGGUGGUGGUGGUGCUCGCCAUUGUGAGCGCAUCCCUUCUCCUACCCGUAGCCCACGCCCAGCUCCUGCAUCCGAUCGAUAUGCUUACGCUGCGAUCCAUCAAGGCCACCAUGAACGAUCUCCCCGGUGGAAGCUUCUUCUCCACAUGGGUCUUCGCACUGCGAAUCAACCCGUGUCAGUCCUUCGCCGGGCUGCAAUGCGUCAAGGUCGGCAGCUUCAAUCGCGUCUCGUCGCUGUCUCUCGGCCCGCCCACCGCCGGCUUACCAGGCCUCAGCGGCUCCCUUCCUCAUUCCCUCGGCGACCUCUUCUACCUCCAGACCCUAACAAUCUCAUCCGGCGCUCUCCGUGGAUCCAUUCCCGACUCCAUUGGCAACCUUCAGAACCUACGCACCUUCUCCCUGAGCCCAAAUUAUCUCUCGGGACCGAUCCCCACCUCCUUUGCAAACCUCCACAACUUGGAAACCCUCCAGAUCCGGAAGAACCUGCUGGAGGGGCAGAUCCCGCCCGGGAUCGGCAACUUAGCAUCCCUCAAAGUCCUCGUCCUCUCCGAAAAUCGUCUAUACGGCCCUGUCCCUGAAUUAUCACAAACUCCCUUAAUGCACCUCGAUGUCCGCAACAACGAUCUCUCCGGCGGACUCCCACCUCUCCCGUGCUCGCUGCAGUAUCUGUCCGUGACGAGAAACCAGCUUUCUGGACCCAUUAAUGCCGUGGAGCCUCUCACCAGUCUCUCGUAUCUAGAUCUGAGCUACAAUGAAUUCACGGGGAGUAUUCCGAGUGCGGUGUUUGAGUUCCCUCUCUCGUUUCUUUUGCUGAAUCAUAACCAGCUCCGGGGAGCAGUGAGCGUCCCCGCGGAGGUGACGAUCUCGGUCGUGGACUUGAGUCACAACAAGCUGCAAGGAACAAUUUCUCCCUACUUGGCCGGGACCCAGAGCUUGUUCCUGAACAACAAUUUGUUUGUGGGCACAGUACCGCAGGUUGGUAAUCCCCCUUCCAACAUCUUUGAUAUCAAUCAGCUCCAUGAAUACCAUGCAUGUAGUUUGUUGAAGGAUUCCGUUCCGUUCCUUUCAAGGGAGUAACGAGUGGCGAUGGAAUGUGUGAAUGCAGGACUUUGCGAAUAAAAUGCAGGAAGCAACGCUGCAAUCGCUCUACCUCCAGCACAACUAUCUGACAAACUCGGGGGCACUGGCGAACGCCGCAUUGCCUCCAAGUGUGGCCGUAUGUUUGCAAUACAACUGUUUAGUGCCUCCUCCGCAGUCGCUGUGUCCGCCCAAUGUGGACAUGCCGGUCUCAAGGCCUGAUUACCAGUGUCUCAAAGCAAGCUCUGGCUCACCGGGAGACUAGGAUCGAUCGAUACCACCUUCUUCUUCUUCAAGCCAUUGCUCUCCGACUGCUAGCUCGCCAUUUUUUUUAGUUUUUUUUAGUUUUUUUUUGUUUGUUUUUGUGUAUAGAUGGGAACAGGGUGUUGUGUGUUUUUUCUUUUCUUUUCUUUUCUUUUCUGGUAGUUUCUGCAGACUGUCGAUGCUUGGGUGAGCGCUCAGAUAUACAACAGAGCUCUCUUUCGUCAAGCAUUCGAUCGUAACUGUUCAUGUAGAAUGAUCAAUAUUCUGUACGAAAGUUUCAACCAUUCUUACGUAGCGAACGAAACUAGGAGGAAGUGAAGUCCCCAGUUAGUUGAUCAGUUUUGGUUGGUGCACACAGGCUCCGCAAUAUCACAUUGCUAGUCUCUAGAAUUUCGUAGCACAUCUUUGGAUCGAACGUGCUCAAAAUAGUAGGCAAAAACAAAACAAAACAAAACAAAAAUAUUGAGUUGGGCUGACUGGCUGACUGACUUUUGUUCCGAGGUUCUCAAUGUUUUAAGGACAUGCUCACUUCAGUGAAAUAUAUGUAGUCUGAGAUUAUCCAUUUACCAUACAACAUUUCCACUAACCACUCGAUUGCAUAACAAUAUGAAAAAUGAGAAUGUAAAAUGAAAUCCUAAUGUGUCAAUCUGACAUUGACCAUUUUUCAUGCUCAAACUUGCAUAUAUCAUUAACCGAAUCUCUGCCAUUUAUGUCUCCAACAAGUGUCGUUUGGAGUCAUUUGACGUUUGAUUGAUUGAACGGCAGUGAGAUUCAAACUAUGUAAAUGUAAUGUGAUAUUUUUAAGCUUUAAAAUUUCUGGAGUUCAAAGAGAAAAGAACAAAGAAAAAGAAAAAGAAAGAGUAAACAUCUCAGAAUGGAGGAUAUAACAUUAAGAAUCACAAAUUUACAGUUAACCUAUUCAUACUAUUUAAUGGUGUUAGUAAUUGUUUUACUUACAACUGAAAACUUUUAUUAGUUUGUUUAGUUUCUUUAUUUUGCAAAAGAAAAAGAGAACAAAUGCAAUAUUGCAAUAGUUAUUAUAAAAAAUGGAAAUCAAUGCAUGUAAAAUUGUGAAAACUGAUGGGUGAAGAAAAAAAAAAAUGUAAAUAUGUAUUUUGAUUCUUUGUUGAAACUUUUCUAUAAUGAAUAAAAUUUUAUACAUUGUAUUUCUGUUUUCAAUUCUUUUCAAUACAAAAAUAAUCCAAUUAAGAAAUAGUUGCAAAUGACUCAUUGACUAAUUUUCAAAGCUACUUCGCUUUGAAUAACCAAAUUGUCUAACUUUUCUUGCAAAUUUGGUAAUUGUUCACUCAGUUCUCCAACGAUUUUUAUCAACAUUUGUAUCUUUUGAUUUGCUUCAUUUGUGUCUUCAAUAAUGCUUUUCUUGAAAGGGAUACCUUUCCAAUUAUCAUUUUUAAAGCUUUCAUGUUUUUUGACAAGGCGUUGGUACAUGGCAGUGGUUAGAAAAAUCCUUGAUCUUGAUUUGUUCAUUUCUCUUAACCUUGUCCUGUAUUAUGUUAUCAUAUAAAAACAAGAUAAAAUUAUAAAUUUUCAAAAUAAAAAAGAAAAGAAGAAAUUAAAAAAUCAAAAUUUACUAAUACUUUCUAUUGAAAAAAAGAAAAGAAAAGUGUUAACAACAUUAAGAAUGUGUGUUUGUAUAUUGAUAUUCACUUACUUGGAAUGCUCUUGUUGUAGAAGAAGUUCACUAAGAUGUUCAUUCAAGAAUGAAAUUUUAUGAUUUAAGGUGGUUUUUUGCGUUUCAAGCCCUUUUAACCUAGAGAAAUGCAAAUUAAAUACCAAGCGUGAUUUUUCAAAUACAAAAGCUCAAAGUCAUUGUAAUAAGAUAUUUUCAAAAGAAAAUUAGAGAUUAGAUAUACUCACCUCGCAUCACAUUCCUCCACACUUUUAUUGGUAUUCUUAAUUGUUUUUUUUAAAUCUUCAACAGCUCUAACCAUGCCAGCUUCAAAUCCAGUUGGACCAUCAAUUCCUUUUUGAUUGCUCAUUGCCUAAUCCAAUGACUUUGGGUUUUAAUGUAUAUUUUUAUUUUUAAAACAUAUUUAUGAUUGAUAAUAUAUGUUUUCACAUUUGAGUGAUUGUAAUCAACUUUGAUAUAAUAUUAACAUUGAUACCUAAGUCUAAAGUCAAUAAAAACUAGUUAACAUCUUAAAAAAUUACACAAUAAAAAUUUAUGGAAAAAAGAAGAAGAAAGAACAAGAUUUUAUUUAUUUAUUUAUUUAUUUAUUUGUUAUCAUAAAUUUCAUGCAUAUUAAAGUACAUUUUAAAAAAAAUUUUAAAAAAUUAACAUUGAAUUUUUAAAAUUCUCUCUCUCUCUCUCUCUCUCUCUCUCUCUCUCUAUGUAUGUAUGUAUGUAUGUAUAUAUAUAUAUAUAUAACAGCAUAUGCACUUGAAAUCAUUUUUUCUUUGUCUAUAGGUGAUGAUUUGUUUUUGAUGGUCUAAUUUUACCCCUACUAAAUAUCCGUAUUUAGCAUAAUUUCAGUUGUAAUUAUACAGUUUUUGAAUACAUAGAAUUACAACUAAUAGAUAUGUAUACUAACAUGAAUAUAAAUAUAUAAAAUUUUAAAAAUAGGAAAAGGAGAAAGAAAAAAAAGAAACCUCCAUUUUUGAAGUAAUAACUUUACGACAAUCCACUUUGAAUUCAAGAAUUCGAAUCAGUUUUUUGCGUUUUAAUUGAAGCAUAUUGAAUUCAAAUUGCAUAUGAUCAAUUGAAUUCUUGAGUUUGGAAAGUUCUGAUGAUCCUAUAUUUGGAUCUGUAGCUUCCUGUGAUUGAAAAGCAUUGAUUGUGCAUGCAUUAAAAUGCAUUUUAAAAUAUAUUUCUUUUCAAGUUUAUUAAAGAAAAAAUCAUGAAAAAAUGGAAUAUCUUGAUGGUAUUCGUAUUUUUUGAUGAAUUGAAUUUGUGUGUCUUUCUUUUCUAUUUUCGUUAUUUAUUUAUUUAUUUAUUUUAUGUAUAUAAAUUAUGUGUCAAAACAAUCCUUAUAAAGAGGGAUUUAAAAAAAUGGUAUAUUAAAAAAAAUUUCUAAAAUUGGGUAAAGUAUUUCAUUUUUUUUCAGAUAAAAAAACCCAAAAUUUUUAAACUUAUAAUUCUGUGAAAAAUUAACUUUUAAAAAUUUAUUUCUUUAAUAUUUACAUCAUUGGAAGGUAUUAUUUUACACAUAAUGACAUUUCCAAUAAAUAUUCAAAUAUAUAAAAUUCAUUAAAAAUCUUUCAUAAUAUCAUAAAAUUAGAUAUGGUUUCAAAAAAUUAAAGAAUUGAUUUAUUUAUCAAAAACCAGCCAGAAGUCAAAAUGGUUUAUUACUUAUUUAGUUCAUAUCCUGAUUUUACCUGAAUUUGUAUUUCGUAGGAUAUUUUGUACCUCCAUAGCAUCACGUGAUGUUCCAACUCAUCUAAAUGCUUGAGAGCAUGAUCUUUUUCAACUACUAAAUCAUGAAAUUGCGAUUCAAGAUCCAUUGUUUCUUUUGCCAAGUCUUUCAAAAUCACAACGUGUUGAGUUUGCAUGUUCUUUGUAACAUCAACCAAUGAAGUCUCUAAUGUGUUGUUUUUACCAAUCAAAUCAUUCAACCUACACAAUAAAGUAAAUAUCCUCUUUUUUUACAUUUUCAUGGGGAAAACAUUAAAAUAUAGAGCGUUGUUUAAAACAUUCUUUUUUCAAUGUAAAAUCCACAGAAAAAAUUAUCUUGAAAAGGAAAAAGACAUAAAUUUGUAAUAAAUAUUAAGAAUUUAAUUAAUGCAAGAUAAAACAACUUGGAUAAACGAUACUUAUUUUUUUCUUUCAACAUGUUAAAUUGAGUAUUAUUAUUUAUAUAAUUCAAGAAAUUACAGUUUUAAUAUAUAUACAUAUAUAUAUAUAUAUAUAUACAUAUAUAUAUAUAUAUACAUAUAUAUAUAUAUAUAUACAUAUAUAUAUAUAUAUAUAUAUACAUAUAUAUAUACACAUGAACAUCCUUGUGUGGACAUGUGUAUACAAACUUGGUACCUAGCAAUUAAGUUUCGUUUUUGACCUAUCUCAACUUGAAGGUCCUUUGAAGAUUGUAUUUGUAUAUUACAUUGAGCAUCAACUCGAUAUUUCCUUUGGAUUAAAAUUCCUUGAUCAUAAAUUGCACGUUGCACUUGUUCACUUAAUGUAUUGAUAUCAUUUUGAAGACCCACAAGUGAAGUUUGCAAUGACAACCAUUGCCUUUGAGAUUCAUUCGAUUCUUUUAAAUUUUGAUUAAUUUCAAUCCUUAAGUUAUAUAUCAUAGCUUCCCAUGGUGAUGAUGCAUCCGGAUGUGACAUAUUAGCAGUCAAUUGCUCAUAUUUUUUAUUUAGACGCAUGAUCUCUUUUGUUUUUAAGUCCACUUCUCGAUCUUUUUGUUUGAUCUCUGCAUCAAAUUUAAAGAUGAUAUUAUAUUUUGCAGCAACAUCAUCAUUCACCAUUUUCAGUGCAAUGUUUAUUUCUUGAUUAUAUGCUUGAACCGCAAGGACUUCACAUCUAAUAGAAGAUAGUUCAUGGUUUAGCUUUGUGGCCAUGGAAUCUUGUUUUUUCACUAAUUUUCUUAAUUCGCUAAUAUUUGCAACUUUUGCUUCUGCUCCUUUUUCUUCAAGGAUCACUUGUUCUAAUAGUUUUGACAUUAUUUUGGUCUCCAAUUCAUUAAUUUUAUUUUUUUUUCUUAUGUAUUGUGUAUUGACUUCCUAAAUGAAGAAAAACAAAUCUUGUAUUAGUUUCCAAUUUUUUUUUAUAUGAAUUGUGAUAUGAAAUUUGCUUUAAACUCUAUAUGUAUAGAAGAAAAACUUAUACACAACAAAAUUUGAGGUGAAUAUGUGCAAAAAAAAGUAUAUUUACCUUUAUUGUAAGUUUUAGCUUUUUAAUGUCUUCAACAGCAACUUUGAUUUCAUUUUUUACUUUUUCAACCUUGAUAAGAACUUUUGCAUAUUGUUGAUUUACUUUUGUGCAUUGAUUUGUCACAUUGUUGAUAAAUUUUGCUACCUCUUUCAUACUACUAUCGAUUUUCAAGAGUCUAAAUUUGGCUCGAUCACAUAAAUUAUUCAUCUUUCCUGUAUCUUUUACGUAUCUUGAUUUUUCGAUUUUUAUUCCUACUUUCACCUCUGCUUGUUUAUCAAUCGCAUCUCUUAGAAGCUGCAAAAUACAUACCACAUGUGCAUUGCAUAUUUACUUUUCAUGCAAACUCAUUUAAGAUUUUGCAAUAUCAAAGACAUAAACCAUAACAUUUUUGAAAUUCUCUAUAUCUAUAUAUAGACAUACACACACACACACACAUACAUUAAAGUGAAAUAUGUUACAAUUAGAUGGCAGACUUAUUAACCUUCACAGCAUUAUCACAACGAGUCAAGGCUAUCAAAGUAGUCUUCCACUGAAAAGUAAGCUGUCUUUUUUCCGCAUGAAUAGAGGCCAUUUCUAUGUCAGCUUCUUUUAGAGCGAGGUUGGCAAAAAAUGAUUCUCUUUUCUGAGCUGAGAUGUAAAAUUUCUAGAAUUAUUCUCAAGAAAAAAAACAACAACCAUCCAUAAAACAUUUCAAAGACUGCACACGUGCUCAUCAACUUGUUUCUGAACUAGUGAAUGAUUUCGCAGCACAGCCAUUAAAAAGGACCAAGGAUCUUCUGUUUCAUAAUACCCACAGUUUUCAGACACAUUCUGCCAACUUAACAUGCUUGAAAAACUAUAACCAUGGUCAAAAUGAUAACAAAAACACACUCUGAUACCACGUUAAAUACAUUGAAAGAGAAAUUUAACAGUGUUCAGUUAAUGUUGUUCAUUUCAACUGCAACACAAUCACCAUGGUUGUUCAUAGAAAGAGAGCCUGACAAACCUUCAAGUUGCCCUUUGGUCAGUUCGACUUUGUUCAGGAUUUCUUGGAUCCGAGUUUGGCAGUCGUCAAUGGCCGCAUCUUGCAGCUUCUUGAGGGACUCAAUCCUGAGAGUUGCUUCUUCGGUUGCAUAUGUGGCACGCCUGUUCAAUGCAAUAUCACCUUUGAGCUUCUCACUCAAAUCUUCCAGCGACAUCAACACGUUUGUGAUGUUAUCAAGCUCUCGUCUAGUUUCAGCUGUUUUGUCUACAAUGACUUUGUGCUCUUUGGAACGCAGCGCAUGUUGCUUCUCCAUCGUGUCUAACUCUUCCCUAGCCUGCUAUACAUCAAAGCAACGUUUAGUUACAAUCCAGGGAAAUUGCAUUCUCUAAUCACCAUGCUUCUAAAGCAGCAGACGUUGAACUGUUGCUGUUCACCACUUCGACCUAUCAAGGUUAGCAUCAUGCCAACGUGGGUAAAGACUGGCGUCCCCUAACGGAGUCUAGCGUUGGAGAAAACAACUUUUUGAAAGAGUUAUUAUAGUAUUAAAAAUGCAAUGUAUAAUACAAAGUAACUCAUCAGUAUGAAGUUUAUCACAAGAAGAAAAAAAAAGAUAAAAAGAUAAAAAGAUAAAAAGAUAAAAAAAGAAAACAUAUUGACCUUUGCAUGACCUUGAGAAGCUGUGUCAAGAGCGACGGUUGUCUUCGUGAGACUGGCAUGUAGACUAGCCAGAUUGCACUGGAGGUCAUACAAUUGCACUCCAGCCUCCUCCCGAUCCUUGGUGGCUCGCAGCAGAUACCUCUUUUGCUCAUAGAUUCUAUCUUCAAUCUCAUGCUUCUUGUCCAACAACUGCUUCUUAAGUCUCUCCUGCACCUGCAGCAAGACUUUCUCGUUCCGGAGAUCCGAGCUUUCACUGGAAGAUGCCACGCUAGCCGACAUAUCCUCUUCGAGAGAGGACUCCGGAAGAGUAGCUAGGUUCGCCAUGGCGCUUCAACUCAAACAGGGGGUAAUGGAAUGAGGAGCUGGACUUCACAGAGGAUGUCUGUAGACAAAGUGAAGCAUGCGGGUUUAUUUGUUUGUAAUAGAAUUUGCUUUGUGCGUUUCGUGAAUUUAUCUCUGUUACCCAUGCCUACGCGUGUCUGAGGAUGUCUCAGCGGUUCACUUCCUCUUGCAUUGGCAGCACCUGCACAACCUAUGGAAUGAACACUGUCAAUACGACUGAGUUCAACAGGGCCAUGGUAACAGGAGGCUUCAUGGUUAAUUUUCAACUGAUUGAGUGAAAUUUGUGGAUCCGUUGCGUCUCUUUGUUCGAAAUAAAAAUGUUGUCCAUAAGAGUUUACGCCAACAGCCUCCAAAAUCACACCGUGAUUAGCUGGAUAUAAUUCAAACUGUGCAUCAAAUUCUGCUCAAGAUUUGUAUGCUUGGGAAUUACCGCUGCAAAAUUCAAGCAGCUCCGGGACAAAUUUGGUGCAAUAUAAUUGGUGGUGGGAUCUCCUCUGUGAUCCAUAAUUAGAGAAAUCUUCCAGAAGACCAAUGAAUUUCGAGCGGAUUUCUGAACUUCACUUUCCACAUAUCUUGUAAGAUCUAAUGUUAUUUAUCUUCGUGAUGAACGUCUGUUUGAUUUCGGUUUUGAAGAGCUACGUUUCAAAAAAAAAAUAACGAUUCUGGCAUUACAGAUAUUGCCAACAGGAACCGCAAGGAAACGCUCACAACAGGAAACCCAUAAUAGUUUCUUACAAGAAUCGACUUUAUCUCCAGAGAUAAAAUGCGUCACGUUCAAAGCUACUUACAGUUCUGUCAUCAAUCCACUGGAAUGGCUGCAGCAAAUGGAACCCAACUGCCACGACCAAGACUUUCUGCAAAACAGACGCUGCUUAAUCAGAAACUACAGAGGUCCAGCGACGAACACAACGCUGGGUGGGUCUCCAAAAUUGGGCGAAUUGGAACGCACAGCCUGACAUCAGCGAGGGUCUUCUUCUAGCCACCUCGGAUUUCUCAAUCCCAAGGGAUCAUAAGAAUUUCGGCAACAGCGACAAAGAAUUUCAAAGAUUCGCACAUAUUGGAUCGAGUUUCUCUACUGAUUGCGCCAAACCCUAAAUUUAGAACUAAUUUUAGAACUGGCUGGUUUGACGACGGAAAUCUUCUUCCUGUCGAAUUAGGGCACAACCAACAGCGAAGAUCGCAGGGAACCCUGUCGAAGGAAAGCGAAUUGAAAUCUAUCCGGAGCUAUGGAAAUUGGGCCAUGGGAUGCGAAGCCUGCUCCAAUCUUAUCCGUCACACAGAUACAUCCCCCUUGGCCACAACCUUUUAAUAGAAAAACCGGACCCUAGACUUGGUGUCCGGAGUUCAUCCGUCAGAUGAGUCCCAGAUCGUGCGUGUAGGCCCUGUUUGUUCAAAGUGCGGCAUCCGGGUGCUGAUUGUGUAUAGUUUAAUCUUUUGGGUUUUGCUUGUCUGUUCACCUGCAGAAAAAACUAGCUCUCACACGAUCUUGCCCAACUCGGACUCGAUUUUGCGAAAGUGCUGGUCCUUUGGCUUUCUUAUAGUGCUCUGUUCGGUUUGUGCCCGUCUUGCUGGUAGUCGUACCUCGCAAUGGGCAUGACAAUUGCCAAAUUCUAUACCCUUAUUAAUGAGGGCGCGUUUUAGUAGCUAAAUGUUGAUAUGGGGGAGCGUAGAAAGCAUCAGUCAGGGUGCUGGUUUCAGUUUUUCAUGAUUUUGGUAAUCGAAGACUGAUUCGCAAGUGCGAAAGAUUUCGUGUCCCGGCGGUCUUUCCAGUGCGUUUUCGUGUAAUCGGAUUCAAAGGAUGCUGUGAUUGAAGUCACAUUCUAUCCUCUCACACGGAUUCUCUGCUUCACGACGUCAUUCAAAGCAACUCAACGAUAUUGCAAACUAAAUCCGUCUUUGAGCACUCUGAUACAAGUGACGCUACAAAAUUCUUAUUUGUGAGCUGCUGUGACCAUCCCUCUAGUAGAGACUUAAUUGUCGAGCAAUUUUCUGUAUAGUUUUGGGUGAAAUCUCUUGUAGAUGAUCCUGUCCUUCCUUUGAUUUUCACUAUCUGUGUCCAUUGAGUUCUAUGUCUUCCAAAGCAGAAUUCCGGCGAUCGAUCUAGCAGUUUUAUCAAUUCCGUGGGCGCCUCAUUCGUCUUGUCAGUGCAGUGUCUUCAAUGGCCAGGCUUAGAUACUAUGAUCGUGUCUGUCCUGUAUGGUGGUUACAAACUGAUGCAUUAUCUGGCGUUUGUGAUGUGCAGGACACUUUUGUAGCAAGCCAUUGAUUUGCAUAGUUACCAUUUUAAAAUUAUGAUGACUUUUGUAGUCAGGAGCUAGGAACCAUUUAUCGCGGUCUCUCUCUCUCUCUCUCUCUCUCUCUCUCGUAAAAAGGUGCAUCCAGGUAUAGCUAAGAAUAAGGAUAGAUAGCAACAGCGAAUGUUUUGCAUAUUGUAAAGUAAUGUCAAGUGUACCUGCUGAUCAACAAGGAGAGGCCAGGGUGACACUGUAGGCGACAAGCUGCGAAUAUCAUAUGCUUUGAGCAUCGUUGGCUAUGGAGUCUCUGGCUUUUACCACCUUAGCGGCGACAUCCUUCAGCUCCAGGAUAUCCAAUUCACAGCCCAAAUUCUGUCCAGAAGGUUGCGUGAAGUGCAGCCCAGUGUCUUUGUCUCUUUGGUCCUCAUUUCUCUCUUCGUUAAAGAGAUCUGAAUGCUCCUCCUCAUCGACGAGUUUCAGGGAAUCACUAUUAUAUGGAGAGCAGUUCAAGGCUGUCGAGAAAGUAUGUACAGUUAGAACCAACAGAAGGAUAUCUAUGCGAAGCGCUCGAGUGGCUUUCGUGGAUCAAUGUGGCUCCGAUAAUUCCCGGGACUCGAAUGCACAUAUGACGAAUGAGCAGGAUCCCAAACGAUUGACCAAUGGUCAUGCUACAUCUAUACAAGCACCAAUGGAGGAUGUAUCAGCGCGAGGGAUGGAGUUGAACGGAAUAUCCUCGAACAGAGUCACCACCUCUUCGGUAGUUGAGAAGACCAUUGUGACAGAAAAAAAGAACGUGGACGUUGAUGAACUUUGGCUUGAAAUUAUAGCGGAAGCCCGGCUGGAAUCGGAGAAAGAGCCUGCUCUUGCCUCGUACUUCUACUCAUCGGUCAUAUCUCACAAGUAUGGGCAUUUCCGGCCUAUGUUUACUCUUGAAAUGUUCAAACAUAGGAACAGUAUUCAGGGAUUUACUUUGCGACACCUUCUGGUUAUUUGUGCAGGUCUUUGGAGCGUGCUCUGGCAUUUCAUCUCAGUAACAAGUUGAGUAACCCCACUCUCCUUAGCACCCAGCUCUUUGGUCUCAUUGUGGACAUCUUCAACAGUGAUGUGGCUAUACGACGCGCCAUAAGAGAAGAUUUGAGAGCAGUUAGGGUCAAGGAUCCUGCAUGCUCCUCGUACUGUCACUGUCUCUUGUACUUCAAAGGCUUUCUCGCAUGCCAAGCGUACAGGGUCUCACACUGGCUCUGGAACAAUGAUCGGCCGUCUCUUGCAUUCUUAAUGCAAAGCCGUGUGUCUGAGGUGUUUCACGUGGAUAUUCACCCUGCUGCCACAAUUGGUUCCGGCGUCCUCUUCGAUCAUGCCACAGGGCUGGUCGUGGGUGAGACUGCCAUCAUUGGAAGCAACGUCUCCAUUCUGCACAACGUUACUCUAGGAGGGACAGGCUUGCUCGGUGACCGGCACCCGAAGAUUGGAGACGGUGUUCUCAUUGGUGCAGGAGCCAUUCUGCUUGGUAACAUUGUGAUAGGAGAGGGCGCUAAGAUUGGCUCUGGAUCUCUUGUGCUUAUCGACGUCCCACCUCAUACUACAGCUGUGGGAAAUCCUGCACGCUUAAUUGGUGGCAAACAAAGUCCCACAAAGUUGAAGGACAUCCCCAGUGAGACAAUGGAUCACACUAUCAAAGGCUGGUCCGACUAUGUCAUCUGAAUCAAAUUAGGUCUCCACUUAAUUUUAGUUAUAUCCCCAUUAGGAUUUCUGGGAUUUGAUGCACGUUGCACGUAACGAUUGUCAUUGCGACAUGCAUUGAUUCCUCAAGGUAAUGAUCAGUUAGUCUUUUUUGUGCCAAUUUACUCGCUGCAUAUUUACUAGUGACAACUCUUAAGCUAGUUACAGAACUGGUGUUUCCUGAAUCUGUUUUUCGUUGUCGUCUUGCUUCUGUUAGGCAUGUAAAAGUUUGAAUUUUUUUCCUGUUGUUUGUGGCUGUAACGGGAUUUCAACAAAUUCUACUGACCCUGCUUCUGAUAAUCGGAGCGUUACAGGAAGUUCCUGGUAAUGGCAUUACCGAAUCCUCUUGAUCGCUCCUGGUAUUGAUUAAUUGCUGCAUGUGCUCUGUUUUGAAUAGUAGAUAGUUCAGAGCUAUUUCAUUUUUGGAGACCAGAACAGGAAAAGAAGAAUGCUCCAGAUCUCUGAAUUGGAUUGGGUGAACUAUCAUGUGACUGGAGCUUUUUCAUUCAAUUGUGGGUCACAGAAUUCCCACAACCUGGCCAGCAACUUAGAGGAACUCAGGUUAUAGCUUACUCUCUCACUAUCGGAAACCACCAUAGAUUUUCAUUCAGUUAAAGAAGCUUCUAAAGAGUUUUACGGAAAUGCCAAAGCAAAAUAAUAAUAAUAAUAAUAAUAUAUAUAUAUAUAUAUAUAUAGGGGAAUGUUAAAUAGACCUAGGCUUUUACUAAAUUGACCCACCCAUCUUAACCAUCAUGAAAAAGUAAUGCCAUCUAGAUUCGUUUUUCCACGAUUGGAUCCAAAAUCAAAGAAAACCAACCAUAUUCAUCAUGAUUACCAUAUUCUUCAUUAUGGGUAGGUCAUUUUAGUAAAAUUUGGGUCUAUUUAACAUUCUCAUAUAUAUAUAUAUAUAUAUAUAUUUACAUACAUAUAUGUGAAAGAAAAAUUUCAAAGAUACUCUUGGGUUUCAAAAUGCCACUUGAAGCUUCUUCAAUGUGAGAUUCUAUAAGGUGAAAGUUUUUAUUUUAUUUUAUUCUAUGUAUUUUGUUUUUCUUCUCUUUUUUCUUAUGAUUAGUGUAUCAAUGAGUGCACAUAGAAGCAAAAUUAAUAAUAUUACAUAUACACUUAUAUUAUAUAUACAUGGAUUUUUUUUUUCAAAAAGUUUAAUUUGUCAAAAGUCUUGUAUUCUUGUUUAUGAUUUUAUUUUAGUCUUAUUUAUUUCAUAGGUGAACAUCUAAUAAAAAUUUGUGGCCUUUUAGAAAUGAUCAAAGAUUCAUGCAACAAUUAAAAAAAAAUUAAGUAAAUAUGAAAAUAGAAUCAUUUAAAACUUCCAAUUCAAUUUUUACAUAUUUUAUUACUUUUUGCAAUCUAAUCUAAAAAAUGUAAUAUGCAAAUUAAAAUCAUGUUUAAAUAGUAAUAGAAAUCAACUAUUAUCCACAAUAUUCAAAGUUAAUACUCAAAUAUGAAUGCAAUACUUUAAUGAAAUUUGCAAGAUAAUUUUAUGAGUUCCAAGUCUAUACAAAAUUAAUACUAUGUAGCUUUGAUAUAAUUAAAUAAUAAAUAGAUCAAAUUAAAUAAUAAAAAAUUAAAAAAAUGCAUCAUAUUAUUAUAAAUAACUAAUUUCUGAGAAUUAUUAAAGCUAUUAAAUUAUUUUACAUCAUAUUAUUGUAAUAAAUCAAUAUUUUUUAAGGUAGUGCAAUAUUUAAUAUAUGUGUUAUUAUUUUUAUCUAUUAAUUUUUUUAUAAACUUUAAUAUAUCACAAAUUAUAUUGAAUAUUUUUUUCGAAAUAAAUAAUUGAUCUAUUAUUUUAUUUAAUUUUUUAAUAAUAAAAAUAUAAAAUAAUAAGGAUAUUCAAAAUAUUAAGCAUAUUUAUUUGAUAAGUUUUGAAAUCAAAAUUUAAAAAUAAAAAAUUCAAUUACAUGAAAUAAAACAAGUAAUGUUAUUUUAAUAAAAUUUGAAUUUAUAUUGACAAAUCAUCUACAAAAUUAAAAAUAUGUUACAAAAUCGACUUACAAAAUUAACUUACACAUAGAUAAAUGAAUAAAAUCUAACUAAUGAAAAUACAUUUUUAUUUUUCUUUAACCACAAAGUAAUGUUUCAAUAAAAAUUUGAAAAAAUUAUGUAAUAUCUUGAAUAUUUUUUUAAGAAUUUAAAUAAAUAAUAAAAUUUAAAAAAUAUAAAACAAAAACAAAAAAAAUCAUUGAGAAAAAAUCAAGUUUGUAGUAAUAAAAUUCUAGACUAUAUAUAUAUAUAUAUAUAAACACAAACACACAUACAUACACACACACACACACAUAUAUAUAUAUAUAUAUAUAUAUAUAUAUGUAUAUAUAUAUAUAUAUAUAUAUGUAUAUAUAUAUAUAUAUAUAUAUAUAUUGAUUUAGAAUUUAGAAAAUUUAAAUUCUUCUAAAAUAUCAUAUAUAAGAAUUUAGAAUUGGUUUUUUUUAUUAUUAUUAUUUGGUAUUAUAAAUUAUUAUUUAUUUUGAAAUUCUAUAAUGUACAUUUUACACUUUUAAUUUUGAGUUUUAAAUCCUUAUUUUUAAAUGUAGGUUUUUUAAAACCAUAAAUAUACAUCUUAAAAUAAAAAGAAUCCAGUCUUACUUUAAUAAUAUUUCAAAUUACUUUUGAUUUAAAAUUAAAAUUAAAUUAUAUCUUAUCCACUGUCAAAAAUAAAGAUAACAAGAAUUUGCUAACUUACGUAAUAGGAUGUAUUUAGACAUGUCUAAGGAUGUUUUUUCUAAAUGAUAAUGUACUUUUUUGGGUUUUUUUUAUUUUCUUUAUUUUUUUAAUAUAUAUAUAUAUAUAUAUAUAUAUAUAUAUAUUUUCUUAUUUUCUUCUAAAAUAAAAAGAAUCAACUUAAUAUAAUCAUGAUAGUAAUAAUUUAGAAAUUUUUGUUGAAACCAAGGCAUUUACUUCUUUAAGUUAAUUUUUUUGUUUAUUUAAUAAUCUUUACUUAAUAUAUUUUAAUUUAUGAAUAUAAGGUUUUUUUCAUUUACUUAGACAAAAUAUUCAAUAGAAUUUUUAGAUUGAAAUUAUAUAUAUAUAUAUAUAUAUAUAUAUAUAUAUAUAUGCGCAUAAUUAUUUACAUCCAAAUCAUAAUAUCUUUUUUUUGUUAGAAUAUAUGUGAUUGAAAAAGAACAAAAUUGAAUUGACUUUUAGAUAGAUUUUGGAGGAAAAGAUACUAACAAACAAAUAGGUUUUAAAAUUUUCAAAUAGUUGUUUAUUAACAAAUAUUUUUCACAAUAAACCUAAAUAAUUUUUUAAAGUUAUUUUUAAUUUCUAUAAACACAGAAGUGAUUUUUAUUAUGUAUUUGUUAAAUAUAUACAUUAAUUAAAGAUUUAAUUUUUAUCAUAUUAAAAUGAACAAUCAAAAAAAGAUAUAUAUAUAUAUACAAAAUAUUAAAAAGAUAAGAAAAGAAAAUCCAAAAUAAUAAAAUAAAUAAUUUAAUAACAAUUAUUAUUAUUAUUAUUAUUAUAUAAUUUUAAUUUUUAUUAUAUCUAAUUAAUUUUUUAUUUUGUAAAUAUGUUAUAUUAUUUAUAUAACUUGACACAACUUUUGGUAGUUAGAAGUCAAAGGUUAAAAAAAUAUUUUUAAUUUUUUUUUGUUUCUAAUUACACCUAUAUCAAUUUUUUUUUAAAAAUAAUCUUAUUAUUUGAAAUAUUUCACAUAAUAAUAUUUUAAACUUUUAUUUUAUUUUUUUAAAUAAUCAUAUUAAGGUUAAGAAGGAAAGACUUUGUUGAUACUAUUAGGAUAUCACUUUAUUAUAAUUAUUGAAUUGAUUCUAAAAUAAUAGUAUUUAAAUUAAGAUAUUACCUUAAAAGCUAUUAUAGCAAGACUUGAAUAAAAAUAAAAUAUGAAACAUAUAGUGUUUAGAUGUAAAUACAUUUUUAGUAAUUUUUAAAAAUUAUAAAUUAUAAAUCAUAAGCAUUAAACUAAUUAUUUAAUUUUCGUCUUAUUCUUUAUUAUUCUAUAUACAUACCUAAAACUAUAAAUCUAUAACCUAUACAAUGUUAUUUUUUUAAUAUAAUGAUGAAUUAUUAUAAAAAUAUUUAUAUGAUUAAAUUAAAAAAAUUAAAGAUCUUAAAUUAUACAUAAUUUAAAAGUAAAAUUUAUUAAAUUAGAAUUAACUUCAAUAAAGUAUUAAUAUAGAUUAAAUAAAAUAUUUAAAAAAAAAAUAUUAAAUCUAAUGUAAGAUUUAAUAAUCUAAUUAUGUAGUAUUAUUUUAUAAGCUUCAUGAUUUAAAAUUUUUAUUAUAACAUAUUUUUUUAUAAAAUUAUAUUAAUACUUUAACUAUUAUAAUGAUUAUUAGAUUAUUAUAAUUAUUAUAUAUGUAUUUGUAUCAGAAAAAAUUAUACACUUGAAAUUUAUUAACAAAUGUUAACCAUGCCAUUUAAUAAAUAUUCAAAUCUUAUUAUAUAAUUAUUUGAGGGUCAAAUCACACAAUAAAUUACAUGAAUAUAUAUAUAUAUAUAUAUAUAUUUAUAUAUAAUAUUAAGAUAUUAAAGUCUUUUAUUUUAAAAAAAUAAUUAUCAUAUAAGUUUAAUAAUAGAAAUUUGAAAAUUGAUUGUAAAUAUUUGAUAUUUUAUUUUAUGCUUAUUUUAUAAAAUCAUAGUUUUUAAACUUUAAUAUAUAUAUAUAAUUACUAGGUUUAUAAAAUAAUAUUGUAAAAACAUGCUACAAUAAGAUCUUUUCAAAUGUUAAAGCAAUAAGGCCUAAAUACAUAGAAAUGACAUGUGUUUAAUUUAUUGAUGAUAAUUGUGCCAAGUUUUUUGUUGCUUGACUUAAGUGAGGUUCAAUUGUCUUGGCAUUGGAAGCUAUUUCUUUCCAUCCAAUGUCUUUUCUUUCUUUAUUAAAGUAUCCAAUAAUAUUUAAAUAUGUAAAUCUUAACUUCAAGGAUGUAUGAUUUAGCUUACUACUUUCUUUGGACUAUUCUUUUUAAGCAUAGAUUCUAAUAUUAAGAAUCUAUUCUAUUUUUUUUUUAAUAGUACAAUUAUUUUAACUUUUUUUGUUUAAAAGGGCAAGCUUAAAUUAUCCUUCACCUAUCUUACUUAGGCCUUAGUUGUGGUAGUGGUGUCCCAAACAUAUAUAUUUAUUCCAAUAAUUACUUAUAUGAUUAAAUAGAAGUAAAUUAAAUUAGAUUAAUUUUAUAAUAUCUUCUAGAAAAGCUUUUUAGAAGCUUCAUAGAUGUGGUUUUGAAUUUACAUGUAUAUUUACUUGAUUGAUAGGUUAGAAACUUGGUCAAAAAAUUAACAAUGUGUAAUACAUAUUGGUAGCUUGUAGAACAAGCUAACUAUGUGGCGCAUAUAUAGAAAACUUGUCUUCUAAGUUAAGAUAUGUGUCUUGCAAAGUCAACACGUAUUGAAGGUCUUAUAGUAUAUUGCUAUAUAGCUUUUAAUUAGAUAAUAUAUUUAAAGGCAAGAAUGAAGCCUUCUUCACUCUUAUUAAUGCCUUGCUAGUCCUUAGUCUUGUUUUUAUACUUUUUAGUCUUCUUGUCUUUGGCAAUAGCUAUUUAAUUCAAUAUAUUAUCAUCUUUGAAUAAUUUUUUAAUUUUUUUGAAUAACACAAGUGUGUAUUGAAUUUUCUUUCUUUGAAAUUUGUAUACUUGAAAAUUUCAUAAGAGUAUUUAUUCAUUUUUUUUAUUUUGUUUUAGAAGUGAGUAAAUUACUUCACUUAUAUUGUUGUAUUUUGAAGGUUGUGGAUUAUUUAUUUUAAAAUAAAUAAUUUAAUUAGAAAAUCCUUAAAAAAAAAUAUAUAUAUUACUCUUCUUUAUAUAAAUUUUCAUUUGACAUUAAAGGUUACGGAUUACUCUCCUCUAUUUUGACUUGUGGAUUUACUAAAUUAUUUGAAAUGGAAGGAAAAGUCAUAGAUACUAUACUUGAUAGAAGUAAAAAUAGAUUUAUAACUAUUGCAGAUCUUCAUAAGCUUAUCAACACUCUUAGGAUGAAAAUUUUACGUAUCACUAAUACCAAACAUGGAAGCACUAUUCUUCUACAUAUGGAAGAAGUCUAGAGUCUAUAUGAAGAAGUUGUACAAUUGAGGAAAGUAAAUUGAAUAGCUUGAAAAUUAAAUUCAGAAAAGUCUUGCUUCUAUAAGCAUAAGAGAGGUAAAGAUUAGUAUGCUCAAGAAUUUUGAUGAAACAAGAUCAUAAUUUCAAGGAUUUUUAUUACAAAUUAAGUUCUAUUUAAGCUUGCAUCUUUUCUAAUACCAUAAUAGAUUAACUCAAGUUGAAUUCAUAGACACAUUUCUUUCUAGAGGUAUUCUUUUUUGGUUUGCACCUUUGAUAGAAAAAGAUUUAUGACUCUUUUAUGAUUUGAAUUUAUUCUUAGAAGUAUUUCUUGUGACAUGGAUUGGAAUGACAAAGUCCUUUUCAAUCAAUUAUGAUAUGAAUUGAAGGAUAACAUCAAAGAUUUAUUAUUAAUAAUAUCAAAAGUAGAUUUUUUAGAAUAAUUUAUUUUUCAAGCCAUUGCAUGCAUUAAUUAAUUAUUUAAAAGGUAUUAAAAACAAAGAUUUGAUUAGAAGAGAAGAAAUCAAGUAAUGAAGAAAACUCCUAAUCUUUUAGAAACUUAUUCAUUAAGGCCAAAAUUAAUGCAAAUUGAUACAAUAUGUUUUAAAUUUCUUACUAAGUAAAAAAAGACUCGACCUUAUUAAGGUCUAUGCUUAUAUUAUAAAAAAAACUAAGCUCAUUACUCAACAUUGUUUAAAGAAGCAAUACAAUUAGAAAAUAAAGAACAUGGUUGUGAAAGAAGAUAAUGUAUUAGAAAACAAGUUUCUUUAGCUAUAAUAGGGAUUAUUCGGCUGGAAUCAUGUGCAAUACUAAGUAAAGGUUGUAUUUUCACCUCAAAUCCUUCACCUUGUUUUAUAAUAGAUGUGUGUUUAAGACCUAAAAUUACAAAGUCUUUACAUUAUUAGAUUCAAGAGUCCCAACUUAUUUUAUAGACAAAGACUUUGUCGAAAAAUAAGAAACAUUGUUAAUGAAGAAAACUUAAUUUAUACAUGUAAAAAUCAUAAAUGAUUGUUUGUUAUAUUCUAAAGAUAUUAUCUAUGAGAAUUUAUUUUUAGAUAUAAUAAUUAAAGAUUAUAAUAGUAUAAUAAUAUUUAAUAUAAUAAGAUCUCUUUUCAACUUAUUUAUAGAUUGGAUUUUUCAUAAUCUUAAUUUUUCUUAUAAUUUAAUUCAAAAUAUUGUUGGUGAAGUAAAAAUAUCUAAGUCUUAUACAUCCAAAUCCUUAUUGGUAGAUGUGAGAGAUUCUAUUCAUGCAAUAAAAGAAAGAUCAUCUUUUGUUAUAUAUGCCACUUUUAUUUUUAAUGGUGCAAAGAUGUCAAGAGGUAUUUUUAGCUAAUAUUAAGAUUUUAAAGAUAUUUUUAAGAAGAAAAAUAUAAAUACUCUUUCAAAGCAUUGAUUUUAGGAUUAUUUAAUUGAUUUCCAAAAAAAUCUCAACUACCAUUUGUACCAAUCUAUAGCUUAUUGCAAAAUAAGUUGGCUAUACUAAAGGAGUACUAACAAAAAUAUGGCUAAGAACUUCAUAAACCAUUAAAAAUAUUUUAUAGGAACUUUUAUCUAAUUUUUGAAGAAAAAUGAUGGAUUUCUAUGGAUGUACAUUGACUAUUGAAGUUGUAGCAAGAUUGCUAUAAAAAAUAGGUAUCUCCUACAUUUGAUUUCAAGACUUUUUGAUCAAUUCAAUCAAAAAAAGAUCUAUAUAAAAAUAGAUCUAUAAGGAGUAUACAACUUGGUUUGCAUCUAAGAAGAUAAAUAGAAGACGUUAUUUUAAACCAAGUAUGGAAAUUUCAAAAAUAAUAUUAUUCAUUUUAGACUCAUAAAUGAAUCAAUUUUUUUUCAAUAUUUCAUGAAUGAUAUUUUUUGUGAAUUUCUUGAUGAUUUUGUUGUUUGCUAUUUAGACAAAAUACUAAUCUACUUUAAGAAUACAAAAAAAUAUGAACUUCAUGUUUUUUUUGUGUAGAGAAAAUUUAGAGAUACAAGAUUAUAUGCCAAGAUAGAAAAGUAUAUUUUCCAUACUACUCAAGUUAAAUUUUUAGAAUAUAUUAUUUCCAAAGAGGGAUUAAGGAUGGAUCCGAAGAAGAUCCAAAUAAUUAUAGAUUUGAAGAUUCAAAGAAUGGUAAAAGAUAUAUAAUAUCUCUUAAGCUUUGCCAAUUACUAUCAUAUCUUCACGAAGAAUUUUUUUAUAAGUUCCAGCCCUACUUACACAUUUGACUUGUAAAGAAAAACUUAACUAAAGUAAAGAAGUAAGAAAGAAUUAUUUGAUGUUUUAAAGAAAGAAUUUACUUUUGUACCAAUCUUAUAUUGAAUUGACUUCUUCAAGUCAUUUUUUAUGGAAACAAAUAUAUUAGACUUUAUCUUUGAUGAAAUGUUGUCCUAAAUGAGAGUAGAUAAUAAACUCCAUUGAGUAGUUUUCAAUUCUAGAAAAUUUUUAACAAUAGUGAACAACUACAAAAUCUAAAAUAAAGAAUUUUUUGUAAUUUUGGAUUUUUUUCAAAAAUAAUAUCAUUAUCUAGAAGGUGCUUUUAAUCAAAUUAAUAUUUUUUUAUAGCACAAUUUUUUAUUUAGGAAUAUAUUAGAUAUCUAAUUGUAGAAAAUUUAGCAUUAACUUAUUAACAAAGAUCUAAUGAAUGAUUCACUCUUAUUAUAGAAGAUAAAUAAAUAUAAAAAUAUCAAAAGAUAUUUGUUGUUCUCGUUGUGUUCAAGCUUCAAUAUACCAAAACAAUUGAACUAAUAGAAGUAGGUUCGAAUACGGGGAAAGACUGGUUAUAUGAAUUAGGUCUGUUAGUGUCACAAUUGACUGUACUCUAGCUAUCUGAAAUCAAUUAUCAAACUACAAAACACCAAGGCUUACUAUUUCCAUCUUAAUUCAACACAUAAUCCAUUCUAUGACUAUCAAUUCAACAAUACUUCCAUAUUCUUAUUAGUUCAUCUUCUACUUACUCUCUUUGAGGUUUAUAUAUAUUCAAUUACUAAUCUCUAGCUUUCUUAUUAUAUUCAAUUUCUCAAUUCAUCACACAAAAUUCAAUAUCUUCACUUAAUACAACACAAUUCGAUAAUCUCAAUUCUCAAGGUCAUAGAUUUUUUCCAAAACGGUCAGUCCAAAGUCAUAUUCCACAAUAUUCUAAUUACAGUUUCAAUAAUACUUUUCUCAAUCACAAUUCUUCAUAAUCAAAUAAUAAAAGCAAAAAAAACAAAGAGGUAGCACCAAGCUUACUUCGGCUUACGACUUUCAUAGUCUGGCCCCGAUCUCCCUUUUUUCAACCUCUUUAUCCUACCAAAAGAUGGACCAUCAGCCAGCACAUUCCAAAGGUUAUGAUCCUUUGAAUUCUUAACCAUUUGUUCCACUAAUAACCUACUAUUAUCACCUAAACUGCCUAAUCAUAAGUCUAAUUCUCAAGGUUGUCAAUAACCAACUAGUAACUUACUACAAAAUUUAUUUACAUAUUCUACAUAGCCCCACUCUUAAUUGUGCAGCACCCUCGCAAAUAUUAUUUAGCCUCAACUUAUAAAGACGUAAGAACAUUCACUUUUUCAGUCAAUGGCAUUGGCUUACCAUCCUUUGAAUUGGUGACCUCCUCCUCUGUUAAAUCUUUGUUGUUUGCUUCGGUGUUCGAUGGUUCUCCAUCCAAAUGUGCCAUCAGAUCUUCAUUCAACAAACCCAAUUUCCAUACUUGAGACUCAAGACGACAAUUUGGUUAUUGCGCUCCCCCAACAUCUUCUGCCAUUCUUCUAUCGGUUUCAAAGGUAUCUCCGAAGGUAUUGUUGCUGAAACUAGCAUACUGAUCCACAUUAAAUUAUUGGCCUCCUUCUCUAAUGCGGCUAGUUUAGUCUAUAACAUCGUAACCUCUAUUUGCAGCCGCUCUUGCUAUUCCUUCGAAUCGGUCUCCAUCCUUGCUUUCUCAAACACCAUGUUUACCAUCUUCUCCUUUUUCACCAUCCACUUCUCUUUAACCACAAAAGAAAACACGAUGCUUGUCAAGAGCACCCCUCCUACUUUUUACUAUGGUCCAAUCAAUUGGGUCGACUCCCUCUUUUUUUCCAUGAUUCGUCAUGAUGAAAUACCCUACUAACUAGGUCUGAUAACUAGUCUUUACUACCACAGUCACUAAUUCCAUCCAUAUUCCUCACACUUCUUAUCACCUUACAUUUACUAUCCUAUAAUCAUCAUUAUUUAUCUCCCCUCUCUUUUUUUAAUAGAAAAUCCAUCCCAAAUUUAUAUAUAGUAAAGUUUAAGCCAAUUGCCAUUGAUCCAUGUCAUAAAUUUAGUAUCCAUAAAAUCUUCCAAUUGUACUAAACCAUUUGGAAAUCCGUCAAUAACUCGAUAUGGCCCAUGCCAUCGAACUUGAAAUUUUCCUAGAAAAUUUUUAAAUUGACUAUCAUAAAGAAGUAUCAAAUCAUUUGGCAUAAAAGCCUUUGGUCUUAGUUUACUAUCAUAAUAAUUCUUCCUUCAUUUUUGUCUAGUUUCCAUUAUCAUUAAUGCAUUGGCUCUAAUUUCAUCCAAUUUUUUCAAUUCUUCUAAAUGGUGCCGUUGUCGUAUGGCAUGAUUUGCUAUCUGGGAAUACACUGGGUAUCUAGAUGUAGAGAGUGUAUCUUAAACCUUUAUAUGAUUCUUUUCUUAGCUUCCAAAAAACUCCUUUAUUUUUGUAUAAAACUCCAAAUAUAACAAAAUCCCUUCAAAACAUAUUUUUCCCGCGAAAGGUUUUCUCGCCCCGAACUUUAGAAAAUCAUAACUAUUGAUAGAACCGUUCAGUUUGUUUCAAAUUUACAAGAUAGGUAGAAUUUACCCUUAACUUGUACCACAAAAAAAACCAACUGCAAAUUCACUCCCGAUCUUCUGGCAUCUAAGAAACCCUAGCAGACACUCCAAACCCUAAUUUACAAGCACCCGAAACUAUUUUCCUUAUAUCUCAAAAAUCCGAACUCCAAAUGUCAUAAAACUUAUGCACAAAAUUUACUAACAUGAAAUUACACAUUCUUUGAAAUUUUGAGCCAAAAUCUCACAAAAUUGCUCAAGAUAUAGCUCAAGAGACAAACACUAGUAAAUCGGUUUACUUACUACCCUUAGAUUGCAUGUGCUGACUUCAAAAUCCAAUAACUCCUUCAUCCCAACUUGGAAUCUAGUAAGCAGUAUGUGAAAAGUAUAGCCGCAAAAGUGCUCUUUCCAGUCGCGGUCGCCGAUCCUCAAUUUCCAUCCGUACGCGUGCGUUAUGCCCAAAAGAGUGACAGUAGGUCCAAAACUAAUACCUUAACUUUGAGCGCCUAUAACUUCUUCAUAAAAACCCCAAAUGACACAAAACUCGCACCAAAACCUUAAUUAAAAACCUAAACCUUCUGAUCCUAGCCUUCAAAGUUCGAAUGGCCUCCGGAAACUAACCCUAAUCUCUAAUAUGGCCUCGGGCAGCCUCCUCAAAGCCCAUUGGUCAUGAUUUUUGACCAAUAGGAAUGGAGAUUUUUAUUUUUCAUCUCCAUUCAUCUAUAUUGGUGCCCUAAUUCCUCCCUUUGCUACCAAAAUCCUUCUUCAAUCCUUUUUCUUAUAUGAUUUACAUAAUGUAUGCUCUAAACACCAAAUAAAAGAACCAAAAAUAAAUUUUCAAAUCUCACCAAUGUCCAAUAAAGGUGACUCUAAAUAUUUAGAAGUUACUAUCAACCAAAACCAAUCUUAAAAGCCACUAUCAAAAAGAAAUUAAAGUUAUACAAAUUCUAUAGUAAUCUUUUUAAACAACCUCUUCUCAAAGUAAUAAUCAAAUUAUAUCCACAACCAACUAAAAUCUAUUAACAUGGCUCUUAACAUGUUACUUAAUAAAUUAUAUAUUAAGUACAUAAUUAUAUUAUUUUCAUAUAAUAGCCGAACCACAACACGACACCGUAAUGAAUCAUGAUCUCCCAAUCUAUUAUCUAUAGCAAUUUGUAAACUUUGGACUUCCAAUUCAAUAGGUAAUAUUGCUUCUUGGCCAUAAACCAAUUAAAAAGGGAUAGCAUUGGUAGUAACUCUAUAUGCAGUACGGUAUGCCCAUAAAGCUGCGAACAACUUAGUAUCCCAAUCUGUUCCCGCUCCUAAAACUGUUCUUAUUAAGAUUUUACAUAAAAUUCCAUUAGUCUUUUUCGUUUGUCCAUUGGCUCUAAGGUGAUACAAUAUAGUCUUACGAUGUUUUAUCUUGUAUUUAGCCAUAAGUGCUUUGAUUGUACUAUUUAUAAAAUGAGUUCUUCGAUCACUAACCAAUUCUCGUGGACAAUCAAACCGUAUAACAAUAUUUUCAUACAAAAAGUUGCUACUAUACUUGUACUAUCGGUUUUCGUAGCUACGGCUUUAGCCCAUUUUAUUACGUAAUCCAUUGCUACCAGUAUAUAGCAUUUUUGUUCAUUUCUCGAGGCUCAUGCAAUUGGUCCCACAAAAUCAAUUUCCCAUUUUUCAAAAGGCGCUUGAGCCAAAAUUGGUAUCAAUGGCAUUGUUGAAGUUCCAAUAGAUCGACCUAUUUUUUGACAUAGGUCACAAUGACAAACGAAUUAGUGGGCAUCUGCAAACAUUGUUGGCGACCAAUUACCAGUUUGUAAAGCUUUAAGAGCCGUAUUGUCCCCCGCAAAAUAUCCACCAUAACUAUCCAAGUGACAAUCUUCUAAUAUAAUACUCACUUUAGUCUGAUAAAUACAAUGUAGCAAAACUCCAUCCUUACCUUGUUUAUAUAAAGCUUCACCAAUCAUCAUAUAAGGUGCACAUUUUAAUAUUAAGCAUUGUUUAAGCUUUUCAUUAAAAUUAGGUGGGAAGGUUUGAAAUGUCAAGUAUUGAAUUAUUUCUUUAUACUCUCGAGUAAUUACAUCUACCGCAAACACUUCUGCAUCAAGUAGAGCAUCGUUAAUGGAUUUAUUAUCCAAUAUAUUGGAUAAUCAAGAUAAAUGGUCCACAUUGGAAUGUGAUUUUUUUAGUCUUACUUGAAUAGUAAAGUCAAAUUCCUGUAAGAAUAAAAUCCAUCGUGCAAUACAACCACUCAAUUGAGGCUUAUUAAUUAUAUAUUUUAAAGCAUCAUGGUCAACAUAGAAAACAAAUUUAUAAUCAAGAAGAUAAUGUCGAAACUUUUGUACGGAAUAAAUCAUCUCCAAUGCUACUCUUUCAAUUGUUAUAUAAUUUUUUUUAGCUACUACCAAUUGACGACUUGCAUAAUAAAUAGGUGAUGAAAACCUCGAUCAUCUUUCUGGCUUAGUACAGAACCAAUGACGACAUUAGAUGCAUCCACAUAAACUUGUAAUGGUUUUGUCCAACAAGGUUCCACCAAUAUUGGUGCUGAAACCAAUUUCUGUUUCAACAUUUUGAAUGCAAUUGUACAUUCUUUUGUCCAAAAUGGAUUGGUCUCAUUGAUUAGUAGUUUCUUCAAGAGAUUUACCAAGGGAAGGCAUAUAACUAUGAAUAGAUAGAUAAAUCACCGAUAAUAACUGACAUGGUCGACAAAAACUUGAACAUCCGUAAUAGUGUUUGGCUGCUUUAAUUCUACUAUAAUCUUUAUUUUAUCUGGAUCUGUAGCAAAGCCUCCCAUCAAAACUAUAUGAUCUAAUAGUUUACCAAAAGACACACCAAAUUGGUACUUUUCUAAAUUUAAAGAAAUUCCAUAUUUAGCAUAUUGAUUCAAAUAUUGACCUAGAUAUUCUAAAUGCCUGAUUCUUGUACUAAAUGUAUAGAAAUCAUCUAGAAAUAUUUCCAUUUAAAAUUGUAGAUAAUCUUGGAAUGCUUGCAUCAUUAUCCUUUGAAAUGUAGCUAGUACAUUACAAAGCCCAAACGGCAUAAUCUUAUAGGCAAAGGUCCCCCAAUCCGUAGUAAAAGUAGUUUUUAACUAAUCUUCUUUUACAAUUUUAACUUGAUUAUAACCGGAGAAUCCAUCAAGAAAUGAAUAACAUUCACGUCCAGCGACAACAUCUAAUAUACUAUCUGUGAAUGGUAAAGGAAAAUAAUCCUUGUUGGUAGUCACAUUUAAUUUGCAAAAAUCUUAACAGAUGCAAAUUUUUCCAUUCUUUUUUGGUACCAUAACAAUUGGUGAAACCUAUUCACUGAAAGGAACUGGAUAGAUAAAUCCAACCUCUAAGAGUUUAUCCAGUUCUUCUUUUACCAUAAGUGAGUAUUUUGGAUCAAGUCGAUGUUGUCUUUGGCGUACUGGUGUAGUGUUCUCCUCUAAUAUAAUUCGAUGCUCACAAAUUUGAGCUCGAAUUCCAACAAAUCUGCAUACAACCAUACAAAAAUAAUUUUAUGAAUUAAGAAAUAAUCCACCCAAAUUUCUUUCUCUUUGCCUUUUAUAUCGUCAUAAAUCUGAAUGAUUUGAGGAGCCUUUCAUGUACCCUAAUUAAUUGGUUGACAUCGUGGAAUUUGAGGAGACUCUGGAAUAAUAUUCUGCUCUAUUUUAGAAUCUUUCAUAAAAUUCGACAAAUUAGAACUUUCCAACUCCAGUUCCAUAGCACUAACAUGAUUAAUAUCCUAUCUAUUCAUCUAAUAUGCAAUCAUAUGAUCAGAAUCGUCAAUAACAUCUAGAAGAACUAAGUACUCUCUCAGUCCCCUGCACUGGUAUUUUAUUCUAGUGUACUUGACAACUUGCCCUGUAUCACCAUAAAUUGAAUCAAAUGCACCAAUUUUUUCUUUUAUAGACUCAUCUUCACAAUCCGACGUGAAUUCUAAACUGACAAAUUGAGUUUCUCCAUGAUAUUGGACAAGGUACAUUUGAAGCACAAUUUUAUCAUUACCUUUUUUAAUUGUUAAUGUACCAUAGCUCUAGUCAUUUUGAGCUUUAGCUUGAUACAACCAUGGUCGCCCCAAUAAAAUUGGGUAUGAUAAUAUAGAGCUUCGCAAUCAAAAAAGAAUAUAAUCAAUUUUAUAGGUAAUCUUUACAAUUACUAUAUCAAUACUUCGUAAAAUAUCUAUAGGUUUAACUCUACUGAAAUCAGUCAUUCUCAAAACUAUUAUAGUAGGCAAUAAGUGAUCCAAACCUAACUCCUCUAUUGUAGCAACAUUCAUAAGAUUUACAUUAGAUCCUCUGUCUACUUGCACUCCCGAUACUAACGUUCCAUCAAUUGAGACAUCAAUCGUUGAUGCACCCAGAUCGGGAUUCAAACUUACUUCUUGGAUUUCUUUAUUUCAAGAUCUGCGACGAAUUAAUGAAGAAUUCAAGAUAGUUCGACACUCAGGUGCUACCGCCAAUAAUUGCUUCAUAGAGAUCGUGGGUUGUAUGGUACCCAAAUCUUUUAGAAUAUCAUAUGGUUCUGUAUUAGUGGUAAUUUCUAAUGUCUGUUUCUUCUUUGCAGUCGUAGACACCGAUGCAUGUAAAUUGGUUUUUUCUAUAAUGGAAAUUAGUAUAGCUACUAGAACUAAAUUUGACGAAGCAUGUAAAAUUGAUUCUUUCAACAGGUAAGAUUGUUCUCCUAAUUGGGUUGAUAUUCAUUCUUUGGAAUUCAUGCCUCUGAGAGGAUCUUUCAAUGGAAAGGACGUUUCCCGAAAUUGUGUAGAGAAUAGAAUAACUUGGAAUAGAAUCGAAGCCUCCGUAAUCGGUACCUCAUUAGGGUGCACAACCAAUUCAGGUCUUAUACUGAGUAAGGAGCCCAUAUUAGGACCUGGAUUGGAUGGCCCUGUAAUUAGGUCUAAUUGACCCCUUGCUUCAAGAUCACCCAAAUGUUGAAUUGGUCCUUUCUUCUUUUGUUGACUUCUUCUAAGGAUAGCUUAGACUACUUCUACUCGAUGAACUGGUGAUUCUUGUGUCCUGUUAUUUUUUUUCUCUACAAUUUAUAUAGUUGAUUGUAUCUUCUGAUCAUGAUUAUUAAGAUUAAAUGGAACAUUGCAUUGAUAAUAAAAAUGACCCGAUUGCUUGCAAUUUCUAAAUACUGAAGCAUAUUCGUUUAUAAACCUUGGAUUAGGGCAUUUACUGAUAUAAUGACUAAUUUGUCGACACCGGUAGCAACCUAGUGGUUUUUGGCCCAUACCAUCAAGUACACUUCGAGUCUCCACUAGAAUAUAUGUAUUAGGCCAAUUCCAGGUAGCCAUAGUAAAUGAUCCUGGUUGACCAGUUGCUACAGGUCAAGAAUUGGACUACUGAAUUGGUAUAGUUUGGAGAUUACCUCCUUGAUUAUUUCCACCGUUCUACAUAUUUGUUCUAUAAACCUGAUUAUAAUUAGUAUUUUGAAAAUUCCCAAAGCCUUGAUUAGGUCGAUUUGGAUGAUUACUAUUCUAACCACACAUAUUUCCAGUCUGUACUUGAUUAAUAUGCCAUUGAGUUGGUUGUAUUAAUGUCUGGUUAUUGAACUAUUGUUGCUUUUGUAAAUACCAGCAGUUUUGGAUAGGGUGCUUUCUUCCACAAAAUGGACAUUGAAUACCCAUUUGUCUAGGUGAUGGACAUUCUGUAUCAAAAUGACCUUGUUCCUUACAAUUAUUACACCAUACAUUAGGUCUCAUAUUAAAAGGCUUAUGUCAUUUUUCCUUAUCUUUAGCCAAAUUCACGGCCAAUUCUUCCAUCUUCUUUAUUAGAUUUAAUAACAAGGCUUCAUUUGGAUCUUUAAUAGUCGCAUUUGUGAACAACUCCAGUUGUUGAUAGUUGUUGGCGAUGUAAAAUAAGACGUCCUUGUUAUUGGUGUUAUUGCUUGGAGUGGGGUAGCAUUAAUUGGUUUUUGCAACAGGACAUUCUUCACAUUGGAGGCAGCCAUUUGUGGAUAAUUAUCCAUCGACACAUUUCUCCAUUGUAUUUGUUGGCUUCUUGAACUUGGAAUCAUCAUGGCCCCCACUAUUAACAAUUGGUCAUAAUGACAUUCUUCCCACAUCUUUGCUAGUGCCAACGAUGCCUCUACCAUAGCUGGUCAAGCCUCUUUUACAAAAAAUUUUAAUUCUGGUGGAUGCAAACCAUUGAUUAAUAUCGACAACAUAAACAAAUUUGGCUUUUGAUUAUUUGACCAUUUACAAAGUAUAUCCGUGAUCCGGCCAUAAUAGGACUCUAUUGAUUCUCGCACAAACACCCUACUAUUCAUAAAACUUUCUCAAAGCCGAUCUUCAAAUCCAAUUGGUCUAAAAUGGAUUAGGAAGGCAUUCUUCAAGGCCUCUUAAUUGAGAAAUCUAUCCAGUGGUUGCCGAUUAUACCAUUCAAAAGCUAUAUCUUUUGAAGUUGCUGGUAAUGAUCUCAACCAAAUGUCUUCAGUUCUACCAUUAUUAGCCAUACAGAUUGUCAAGAAUUGAGAUAUAUGGUGAUCAAGAUCAGAGCCUAUCCAACCACUAAAAGUAGGUAAUGAUGCUACACUUGUAGUGCGGUCUCCUACUGCUCCCAUUUAUACCGCAAUUGGUACUUUUGGCACUCCUGCGGCCAUUGGUGUUAUCACUGGUUUCUUUGCUAUUUGAAUUUAAAUUUUUCUUCCUUUGGUUUUACUUGGACCUAAAGUUCUUUUUUGAAAAUCCCGUAGGAGAUUUCUUAUACGUAAUUGCUCUUUUCUUUCUUUUGCUUAUCAAUUAAUUCUUUGAUAAUCCUCUAUUUCAUGAUUAUUACUCAUAAUCUUUCAUUCUUCUUUACAAAAUCAAUACUGCCUUGAAUUAUAAUUCACAUAUUUGUAAUCCUAAAAUUAGUUCUUUUUACAUUUUCAUUCAACAUAUAAUUCCAUCUUUCAUACAAUCAAAUUCUAAUAUUUCAUAUUAUUAUCAUUUUCCUGGUAGCGGUGCCAAAAUGUUGUUCUCGUUGUGUUCAAGCUUCAAUAUACUAAAGUAAUUGAACUAAUAGAAGUGGGUUCGAAUACGAGGAAAGACUGGUUAUAUGAAUUAGGUCUGUUAGUAUCACAAUUGACUAUACUCUAGCUAUCUGAAAUCAAUUAUCAAACUACAAAACACCAAGGCUUACUACUUCCAUCUUAAUUCAACACAUAAUCCAUUCUACGACUAUCGAUUCAACAAUACUUCUAUAUUCUUAUUAGUUCAUCUUCCACUUACUCUCUUUGUGAUUUAUAUAUAUUCAAUUACUGAUCUCUAGCUUUCUUAUUAUAUUCAAUUUCUCAAUUCAUCAUACAGAAUUCAAUAUCUUCACUUAACACAACACAAUUCGAUAAUCUCAAUUCUCAAGGUCAUAUAUUUUUUCCAAAACGGUCAGUCCAAAGUCAUAUUCCACAAUAUUCUAAUCAUAGUUUCAACAAUACUUCUCUCAAUUACAAUUCUUCAUAAGCAAAUAAUAAAAGCAAAGAAAACAAAGAGAUAGCACUAAGCUUACCCGGGCUUACAACUUUCACAGUUUGGCCCCGAUCUCCCUUUUUUCAACCUCUUUAUCCUACUAAAAGAUGGACCAUGGACCAGCAGAUUCCAAAGGUUAUGAACCUUUGAAUUCUUAACCAUUUGUUCCACUAACAAUCUAUUAUUAUGACCUAAACUGCCUAACCAUAAGUCUAAUUCUCAAGGUUGUCAAUAAUGAACUAAUAAUUUACUACAAAAUUUAUUUACAUAUUCUACAAUAUUCUACUAAUAAAACCUUUUAUAUUUAAUAAGAUUUAUAUGUAAGGCUUUUUAGAACAUCUAAAAAUUUCUUAAUAUCUUUUUCAAUACUAAAUCAAAUCUUAUCAUUUCUUGAUAAAUUAGAUCUUCAAUAAUUCCAAAAAAAAUCCAUAAUCUCUUUUCAAAAAUUUAUCUUUAUAUUUUAAUUUUAUUAUAGCUUCAUACCUCUAUAUUAAAAAUAUUUAUAAAGACUUGUUUCUAUAAAAAUCCCUUUACUUUGUAUAAAAUCUUCAAAUUGUAGCAAAUCCUUUUAAGCCAUUUUUUUCCUAUAAAAGAUUUUUUUUCUUCAAAUUUUAAAAUUUCUUAUCUUUAGAUCCAAUUUUUUAGUUUUUUUUUUCUAAUUUUUUAGAUAAUAUAGUAUUUAUCAUUAAGCUUUACUACCAAAAAAAUAAAUUGUAAAUCUAUCAUAAAUUGUCUAAUAUCUUAGAAAUCCUAAUAGAUAUUCUAAAUCCUAAUUUAUAAGCAUAUGAGUACUAUUUUCUUCAUAUCUAAAAAAUCUAAAAUUCAAAUAUCACAAAAUUUGGUGUGUAGCUUUAAAACGUAGUAAUACUCACUUGUAAAAAAUUUUAGCCUGAUAUUUUAGCCAAUUUUAGCCAAUUUUAGCCAAAACUUAAAUAUCACAAAAUUUGGUAUGUAGCUUUAAAACGUAGUAAUACUCACUUAUAAAAAAAUUUAGCCUAAUAUUUUAGCCAAUUUUAGCCAAUUUUAGCCAAAACUCAAAUAUCACAAAAUUUGGUAUGUAGCUUUAAAACGUAGUAAUACUCACUUGUAAAAAAUUUUAGCCUAACAUUUGUUCAAAUGGCUGAGAUAUGGCUAGAACAAAAUCCUUCACGAAAUUGGUUUACUAACAAACCUCAAUUUAGAUGCAUUAUCUUCAAGUAGUUGUAGCUCCUUCAAAUCAACUCCAAAUCUUUCACUAUUUAUAUGCAAAAUAUAGUCUUUUAAAUAAAAUUUUUAAUUAUACAAUAUAAUCAUUAAAAGUCCUUUAUAUGCAUGCUCUAUGUCUCAAAGAGUGACAAUAGGUAUAAAAUCAAUACUUUGACUUUAAGCACCUAUAUUUCCUUCACAAAAAUUCUAAAUCAAACAAAUUUUUUACUAAAUCUUUAUCUAAAAUCCUAAACUUGACAACUUUAACCUUUGAGGUUCAAAUGUUCUUAAAAGAAUAAUCCUAAUCUCUAAUAAGGCCUUCAAUAGCCUCCUUAAAGUCCAUUGGGCAUGACUUUUGGUUAAUAGAAAUAGAAGUUUUCAUCUUCCAUUUCCAUUCAUCCAUAUGAUUGGCCUAACUAUCUUUUUUUAUACAAAAAUCCUCCUUUAAUCUUUUUUAUAAUAAAUUUUAUAUAAUAUGUGUUUUAAACAUCAAAUAAAAGAACCAAAACAAGAUUUCAAGAGUCACCAAUGUAUAAUAAAGGUGAUUCUAAAUAUAUAAAAAUUAUUAUCAACACAAAAUCAGCCUCAAUAUUAGCCCUUUUAAACUAACUACUUUAAAGUAGCAAUCUAACUACAUUUUGUAACCAACUAAAAUCUAAUAACAUGGCUUUUAUUACAUUGUGUAAUAAAUCAUAUAUUAAAUAUAUAUGUAUAUUGUUUUUAUAUAGUAGCUGAAUUAAAAUAUAAUAUUAUAUAUACAAAUUACAAGAAUGUCAAGCACUUUAUAUGAGCAUAUAUGGUGAAUUAUUGCCAAGCUUGUUGAAGCAUGUCAUUAUCAAAAUAUUAUUUUAAGAUCACUUAUUGACUCAAAAAAUAAUAAGAUUUACUAGACAUCCUUUCUAGAUUUAUUUAUUUAUUUAUUUAUUUAUUUUUAUUUUUAUCUUGCAUCAAAAGAAAAAAAUAUAGCUUUUGAUCAAUAAAGAAUAAUUUUCUUAAAGUUAUAGAAUUUUUAUCUUUGAGCAAUGAAAUUAGCAUUGAUUGUUGAUUAGUAUUGGAUUAAAUAUCCAAAUUUGGCCCUAUUUGUCACAAACAUAUAUAAUUACUUAAAUCAAAUGAAUUAGAUAGAAGUAAAUAGACGUUUAGAAAUUUUAUAAUACCUUUUGGAGGAAUUUUUUAGAAGCUUUAUAGAUAUAGAUUUGACUUUUUAUAUUUUGAAAUUAUUAAUAGGUUAAAAAUUUGGCCAAUAAGAAGACCAUGUAUUAUACAUGUUAGCCAUUUAUAGUAAAAGUUGACUAUGUGGUGCACUUAAAAGAAACUUAUCUUACAAGUUAGAUAUGUGUUUCAAAAGUUGGACAUGUGCUAGAGGUUCUAUAAUAUGUUAUUAUAUAGCUUUUAAUUAGGUAGUAUAUAUGGAUGUAAGAAUAAAGCCUUUUUACUGUUGUCAACAUCUUUCUUGUUUUUAGUCAUAUUUUAUGAAUCUUUAUUUUUUUUAUUUUUAAAAAUAAUAAUUCUCAUUUUAAUAUUAUACUAUAUUUAUGUCAAUGUUUUCUAUUUCCAAGUGACACAAGAAUGUAUUAUUAUUUUGAUUCUUUGUGAUUCAUGCCUUUGAAAAUUUGACAAGAAUGCUAAUUUAUUAAUUUUUUUGUUUUAAAAAUCAAUAGAUCAUCUUAUAUCUUUUGUUGUAUUUUAAAGAUUGUAAACUAUUCACCUUUAAAUUAAUAUUUUAUUUUUUAAUAUUAUUUUUUUAAAAAAUAAAGUAUUUUUUUAUAAAAAAAUUUAUUUAAAAUUAGAAGUCAUAGAUUACCUUCUUCUAAUUUGAAUUUGAAUUUUUUUAAAAUUAUCUAUUAUAAAGAUAGAAAAUAUAUAUAUAUAUAUAUAUAUAUAUAUAUAUAUAUAUUAUAUUUAAUAAAAAUAAAAAUAGAUUUAUAACUAUUAUAGAUCUUCAUAAUCUUAUCAAUACUUUUAAGAUAGAAAACUAAUAUAUUACCAAUAUCAACCAUAGAGGUAUUAUUUCUAUAUCUAUUAAAAAAAUUAAUCAUGAAGUUUAAUAUCUAUGCCAAAAAAGUAUAUAAUUGAAAGAAGCAAAUAGAUCACAUUUACAAUUCAAGUAGUCUUGCUAUUAUAUGAAGGAAGCAAUGAUCAAUAUGCCAUAGAAGUUUGAUGGAAUAAUAUUAAAAUUUUAAGCUUUGCCUAGAACUACUUCUUUUUCAAUACCUUGAUAGGUAUAUUAGCACACUCUUAUAUAGAAGUACUUUCUUGAUUUGAAUUUUUUACAAAAAACUAUUAACGAUUCUUGUAUAAUUUAAAUUCAUUCUUGAAAAUAUUUACAUCUAUAUUUGAAAAAAAUAAUUAAAAAAUAAUAAUAGAGACCAAAUUUCUUUUUUUAAAAUAAGAAUUAUGUUUAGCCAUCAUAUAUGCUGUCAAAUUCUAAAAUCUUACUUGAAACAUGGAUUGAAAGGACAAAAUCCUUAUCAAUCAAUUUUAAUAUUUUUUAAAAGAUAAUAUUAAAGAUUUUUUGUUGAAAAUAUAAUUAAAAAAAAUUAUUGAAGUAAUUUAUUUCUAAAGCCAUUGCAUACAAUAAUUGACUUUUUGAAAGAUUCUAAAAAUAAAGAUUUGGUUUAAGUGAAAUAAAUCAAGUUAUAAAGUUAUUUCCUAAAUUUUUAGGAAACUUAUCCAGCUACAAUAAGAACUAUGUAAUUAGAAUCUUAUGCAACAUCUAAUAAAGGUCAAAUUCUCUCUUCAAAUCUCUUUGUCUUAUUAGAUUCGAGAGCCUCAGUUUUUUUUUUUUUUUUUUUUUUUUUUAAUAAACAAAGACUUUGACAAAAAACAUGAGACAUCUUUAAUCAAAAAAACUAAGCCUAUGCAUGUAAAAAUCAUAGAAUUUGUUUUUUGCUCUUUCUAGAAAAUAUUAUCCAUGAAAGUAUUUCUUUAAAUUUAGUGAUUAAUAGAUAUAAUAGCUUAAUAAUAUUUAAUAUUAUUAGAUCUCUCUCCAAACUAUUUAUUUUAUAUUGAUUAUGACUAAAAAAGAAUAAUCCUAAAAUAUAUUAAAUUUUUUAUAACCUUAAUUUUUUUCUUAACACAAUUCAAUCUUUUUUCAUCCAAAUAGAAAGUCAUAAGUCUAAACCAUUAUUAGUAUGUAUAAAUACUUUUAUACAUGUUACAAAAUAAGGAUCAUCUUUUAUUACUUAAGCUAUACUAAUUUUUGAUGAUGAAAAGUCUUUAAGUGGCAUUCCAAGAAAAUAUCAAGAUUAUCAAGAUAUUUUUUAGAAAAAAAGUAAAGAUAUUUUUUAAAUCAUUAUCUUCAUGAUUGUUUAAUUGAUUUUAAAAAAAGAAUUCAACCACCAUUUGAACCAACCUAUAGCUUAUCACAAAAGAAAUUGGUUGCACUUUAGAAGUACAUUGACAAAAUCUAGCUAAGAACUUUAUAUAACAUAGAAAAUUUUUAGUAUAAGCUUUCAUCUUAUUUGUGAAGAAAAAAUGACAUAAUAGAAUGAUAUAAUAAAAGAUGAUCAUUUAAGAGUUUUUAGAUAAUUUAUCAUUUUUUGUCUAAAACAUAUUUUAAUCUAUUAUAAGAAUAAUAAAGAACAUAAAUUUCAUGUUUAUUAUGUAUUACAAAACUUUAAAGAUAAAAGACUAUAUACUAAGAUGAAAAAUUAUGUAUUUUAUAUUACUCAGGUUGAAUUUUUAGAACAUAUUAUUUUAAAUAAUAGUCUUAUGAUAGAUUUUUAAAAAAUUUAAACUAUCAUGAAUUAUAAGAUUUCAAGAAUAAUAAAAAACAUCUAAUAUUUUUUGAGAUUUAUCAAUUAUUAUGACAUUUUUAUCAAAAUAUUUUUUAAAAAUUGUAGCUCUAUUUAAGUUUAAUCAAUGUUAAUUUUAUUGUUCAAAGAUGAAAUUGCUUUGGCUUUAAAAAAUUAUUUAUCAUUGAUAAAAAUAUACUUUUUAAAAUUAAAAAUUAAAAAUUUUAAAAAAAAGAUGACAAAUCUUGUUAUUUUUUUGGUCCAUAAAUGGAACUUAAAUUCAAAUUUUGACAAAAACAUGCUUCAAUAGCCUUGGUAAAAAUUUAAAAUAUGUGUUAUGAAAUAUUUAAGAUUCUUAUGAUCCAUAUACAUGAUGAUUGAACUAAGAGCGUCUUCCAAACAAUGACACCAUUCUUGAAAUGAAUCCACAAUUAGAAGAAGCUCUUUAUUAUAAAUCUUGUAGUUGGUUUCAAUUGCUAAAAACGUUUUCAAAUAAAAAGCUAUUGGAUGAGGUUUUUUAUCUUUUCUAUUUGUAAUAAUAAUGCAUCUAAGAUAAAUUUUAAUGCAUUUAUUUCUACAAAAAUUUCCUUGAAAAAGUCAAUACAAUAUAUAAUUAGUAUAAAAAUAAAAACUAACUUCAAAGCUUCAAAUAAUACUUUUGUUUGUUUAUUCUACUUAAGUUUGUCUUUACAAGUUUUUAUGAUUACAUAUUUUUAUUAGUAAAUUAUUUUACAAAGAUAGUAUAUUUUAUGAAGCAAAAGUUUUUUUUUAAAUAAUAUUUUUUAAUAUCAUGGAUUAUCAAAAGAUAUUAUAUUAGAUAAAAAAAUUUAAUUUAUAUCAAAGUUUUGAAAAAUAUUUUUAAAAAUAUUGAUAAGAUUAAUAAAGAUACAAAACAAAUAAAAAAAAUUUUGAAGUAGUAUUUGAAAUGUAUUAUCAACUACCAUUAAGAUGAAUGGACAAUUCUUUUGUCAUUGAUAGAGUUUGCUUAUAAUAACACAAUACAUUUUUCUACUCAAUAAAUACUUUUUUAUGUAAAUUAUGGUUACAGUCUACAACUUAAUAUUUUUGACUAUUCAAAUUAUCAUAAUCCUAUAGCAAAAAAAUUAUAAAUUAUAUAUUAGAGCUACAUGCAAUAAUGAAGGAAAAAUUUAAUAAAGCUAAAAAAUGACAAAAAAUCAAUAUAGUUGCCUAUUGCAAAGAAUAAUGUUAGAUCUACAUUAGUGAUAAGAUAUGAUUAUUUUAUUGUAACAUCAAGAUUAGUUACUCUUAAGAUAAGUUAGAUAAUCAUAGACUUGGAUUGUUUUUUAUUUGUGAAUAGAUUAAUCCAAUUGCAUAUUAAUAUAUUAAAAUCUAUAAAGAUCUAUUUUAUAUGGAACUUUUUUUUUGAAGCCAUAAAAGCAAUGGAUAUAUCAAAAAAAAAGAUAAAUGUCACUUCUUCUUAGAAAAAGUAAAAAUAAUUAAGAAUUUAAACUUGAAGAAGUCUUAAAAUCAAGGCAAUGCCAAAAUAGAUUAGAAUAUCUUAUACAUUGGUACUAAUAUGAUAUUUUUAUAAAUGCACAUAAAAGCUAGCUAUAAAUCUUACAAAUACAAUAAACAAAGUUAAUAUUUUUUAUCAACAACAUCCAUUGAAAUGAAAUGCAAAAUCAAGCAAUACUUUGCUAUUUAAAAAAAAAAUCAAUAAAAAUUGAAUUCUAUCUUCUAUCUUUAUAUGUGGUUUUUUAUAUAUUUGUAGUACUAAAGAGAUGGAAUAUCAGCAACUACCAAAUUCAAUAUAAAACUAUUAUUUAUUAAAUUAUCAAGCAAAAUAUUGAGAUUAUUAUAACCUUCAAGAUGACAUAAUAGAAAUGAAGACCUAUGAGCUCUCAAUUAUGCUUCAAAUAUUAAAUUUUUAUUUUUUCUUAUUUUAUUGUAAUUGAACAAGGUAGAUUAUGAUUUAUAUAAGAAAAAUAUAAUUUUGUAGGGUUUGGAAGAUUGUAAUAUUUGAUGGUACAAAUCAUAGCCUAAUUCCUUGAAUUGGGUUAAUUAGGACUAAAUUGAUAAGAUUUAGAAAAUCAAAAUAGCAAUUUAGUUAAUUAUAAUAAUUUAGAGGUUGUUAGUCAUUGCUAUAAGAGUUGAUUGGAAGCUUAUAAUUUUACCUACAAUCAUCUCACAUGAUUUAGAAGGAAUUAAACUUAUAAUUUUCUAAAAGAUUUUAGUGAAGGUUAGCAAUGGCAAUUUUGAAGUUGUCAUCCAAAUUCAACAAAUCCAAGUAGCAAAGGGGCUUUUCAAAUUAAUAAAAGUCUUUCAAAUGCAAUGGCGGCAUUAGAUUCAUUCUAUGGAGUGAAAAAAAACAAGAUCAGCACCUUCUCUACCAAAAUUUAAGUGUAGCCAUGAAGAUGUCAUUUUUGAAGGAAUUUUCAAUAAUUACUAAAAUCUUUGGAGAUAAAUAUCUUUAUAAAAAUUACAUAUGAUCAUAGAUAAAGAUAUGUGAGUAAUCGAUCUUAGUAUAAAAAGAUAUUUUAAACACAAUGGUGAAGUUAGAUUUAUCAAAAAGUAAUUUUUUGAUCACUUAUAGUAACCAUCAGCCUUGAUAACAAAAUUAGUUCUUUGAAGAAUAAAGGCCAUUGUCAUAAUGUAAUACAACUAUAUACUGAAAUUGUAAUCAAAAUUAAUUUUUUAAUUAAUAUAUAAUUAUUUUGGUUCAAUAAUAAUUCAAGGUAUCUAAAAAUGGCUUUUAUAAAAGCCUCUUAAGUUAUUUUCUUAUCUUAAUAGUUAGUAGGUUAAAGGUCAGUUACUACUUAUAUCUUCUAGGCUGUAGAAACUCUUUUACUACCUUAGAAAGACCAUAAAUUAAUAAAAUCAGGUUAGAAGAGGUAAAUAAUUAGUAUGAUUGAUACUAGAGUUAAGUUGAGGGUAGGGUUGGACUAAAAAAUCCUUAGGAUAGGUUAGAUUUUUUACCUGGGGGUCAAUUAUUUGUGAGCCAGGGUCCAAAUCAGACCUCCAGCCACUAAAACGACCGCCUAGGGCAAAAUAGGUUUUUAUUUGAAUAUUGGAGAUUAGAACUUGUUUCAAAGACAUAAGACUAGUUUUGAUAGAAUUUGUUGAAAUUGAGCAAUUGUUGUUGAAAGUCAAGGUUUGUAUUAGAAAUUUGGAAUUUAUGCAAUGAAAUUAGAGCUAGCACUCUUGGCUUGUAAAAUUGGUGUCACAUCUGUGGUUAAAAUUUUGAUAAUGCUUGGUUAAUUAGGUUUUCUAAGUGUAUGUUAAAUUUUGUGAUAAUCCAAUGGUGCAAAUAGAAGAUAUCUUGGUUUUGAUACAAGAACAUACCAAAAGUUGGUAGUUUGGGAUUGAAUAGGGUUUCUAUGAUAUCUAAAAAUCUACUAGUUAAAUCAAGGUAAUAUUUUGAUAAGUAUUGGAGGACUUAAAGAACAAGUUAUAUACCAAUUUUGAGUUGAAGUUAAUGAUUGGAGAAGGAAAAAUUACUCUUGGAACUUCUACAUCACCUUUCAAGUUGGCAGCCAAGUGACAUUAGUGUAGUUUUUUGAAGUUUUUUUCACAAUAUGUAAGUUGGAUUUGGCUGAAAUUUCUUGAUCAUAUAGAAGACUUAUAUUGCCAAUUGCAUGCAAAUUUAAUACCAACUAGACGAACAAAUUAGAAGUUACAACUUGUCAAAACUCACUAAUUAGAGUUAGGACUUUAAGAAAAAUCUAAAUUGUUUAAUUUUAAAAGUAACAAUAUAAUUGGAGUUUAUGUAUGAUUGAAGUUAAUAAAAAGAGUGUUUUUUAGUACUUUUGAAUUAAAAUUUCGAUUAUAUUCUUCUCAUAUGGAUAAAAUCUAUUAGGAUUAUUUGGAUACUAGUAAAACACAACCUUACCUUCCUUAGCUAGAUGCUUGGUGCAUUUCUUAACAAGUCAACAUAUAAAACGACACCAUAGAUUUAGAUUAGGAAUCUUAGAAAUCAAUAAUGGAGAUGUGGCUACCUCUCAUGAGCCUCUGCUUACUUGAAUAAGAAAGUUUGAUUGCCCAAAUUGUUGGUUUCUCUUUUUUUUUUUAUGAAGAACAAAGCCAUAUUAAAUUUUUGUCUCAAAUCCUAAUUUUAAUUUCAUUUGGAUUCUAGAUCUCAUUAUGAACCUUGUAAAUUUGAAGGGGCAUUGAUUUUGUGUAUGGAUGGUGCUUGUUGUAGUUUCAAAGGCACCACAUUGAAAUUAUUGGUUUCCAAACACUUCAAUAGUCAAAGGGUUUAAAAGGCCUCAGAUUUUCUUCAAUCAGUCUAUGGUUUUUAAAAUUUUGAAGUGAAUUUUUUUAAGCACAUAACUCUUGUUUUUUUUUUUUUUUUUUUUUUUUUUUUAGCUUUCCAACGAGCUAAGGCUUGCUUGAUUUGGAUUUAGAACAAAGUUUUGGUGAAUUGUUGAGUGUGAGGGGGUCAGCUUCCUUGGCAGUUUGGUUUACUCAAUUUUGGAAAGAGAAUCCUUAGUGCCUUAAAAUUGGAUUAUUCUAAAAAAUUUAGAAAAAUAAGGCUUUUAAGCUGAGCUUCCAAUUGAAGUAGUUUUAUAGAAAUUGAAGUUGAUUUAAAGUUUUGGUGAAUUUCCAAGUGAAAGGAGAUAGGAUGUAGGGGCAGUUCCAAUUACUCAAUAUUUUUCAUAGCUACAAAGAUUUUUAAAGGAAAAACUUCUUCAAGUUAGAUUUUCAAUCAAGUAAGAAUCAUUAGAUUUAGAGCUCAUCCAAAUUUUUGGAAAAUUUUGGAAUAGAAAGAGGUUUGUUGCCCUCAAGUGGAGCAUGGUUGAAGUUAGUUCUCUCUAUCUUUACCUUGUUUUUUUUCUUUUUAUUCUUCAUCUUCCAACUUUUAACCUUAUUUUAACUCAAAUUUUAACUUCUAACUUUCAACUAUUAAAUUUAUUUUAAUUUUUCUUAUUUUUAUUUUACUUUUAGUUUUUUUAAUCUUUUAUAUACAUGAUAACUUUUAUAUAUUAAAAUAAACCAAUAAAUUAUUAUUAUCAUAAUAUAUAUAUAUAUAUAUAUAUAUAUUAAAAUAAAUAAAUUAAUUAAUUUAAUUUAAUUUUUUAAUAAAUAAUAAUAAUAAUAAUAAUAAUAAUAAUAAUAAAAUAUCAAUUAACAUUGAUAACUAUUGUUUGAAAGGUAAUAAGUUAAAUUGAUUUACAAACACCUAAAAUUAAAUUAAUUUAGAAAUUGUACAAUUGAAAGUUUUCCAUUCUACCUCUUGAACCUAUUGUAUAGCAUUAGUUUCAUAUAGUGGUGGAAUUUGGGCUCACAAGACCCUCAUGUAUAACAUAUAUUUCUUUAAAUAAAUAGUAAAAUAGAACAUAUUUUAUAUAAAAACUUUGAAAGAAAUUUCUAAUAUUAAGUGAUAUUAUUAGAAAUAAAAACCACUUUUAUGGUAUUUUAAAUAUUUCAUUUAAAAGAAAUUAUAAAGGUCUUAUUAAUGAUAAAAUAUCAUGGUGAUCUUCUUACCUUGAUAUGAAGUAUUAUUGAUGGCUUAGAGGACCUAUCAACCACCUUCAAAAAGAACAAAGAUUAGAGUAUGUAGUAAAGACAAUUUGUUACAUUUCUUUAAUAUAAAAUUAUUUUUUGUUGUGAAAUUUGUCUUUAUAAUAGUGGUAAUGUUAUAGACAUACAUAUUUAUUUAGAUUAAAAGAAUAAAAUAGUAAUAAGUAAAGGUAAAUAUAUUUUAUAAUCUCUUAUAAAAAAGUUCUUCAAAGCUUCAUAGAUGCAGAUUGACUUUAUACAUGUUUGUAGGUAAUUGAUAGAUUAAAAACUAAGCCAAUAAUUUGGCCAUGUAUUACACAUGUUAGUGAUUAGUGGUACAAGUUGGCUCUAUGUUGCACGUAUUUAAAACUUGUGAUACAAGUUGGCCUUAUGGUGCAUAUGUAAGAAACUUGUUUUACAAAUUAGAUAUGUAUCUUGUAAAUUAGACAUGUAUUAGAGAUCUAAUAGAACAUUAUUAAAUAACUUUUGAUUAGAUAGGGUAUAUAGAAGCAAUAAUAAAGCCUUCUUUACUAUUAUUAAUAUAUUUUUUAUAUUUAAUCUUAUUUCAAGAUUUUUUAAUUAUUUAUAUUUAUUAAUAGCCAUUUUAAUUUAAUUUUAUAUCAUUUUUGAAUGAAUAUUUACUUUUAUUAAGUGAUAUAAGAGUGUAUUAAUCCUUUGAUUCUUUGAAAAUCAUAUGCUUGUUAAUACAUCUUGUAUCUCUUAAAAAAUUAGGAUUUAAUUAAAAAUUGAUGAAAAUUUCCUUAAAGUUUGUGAAAGAUUAUUUAAGAAUUUAUUUGGAAUUAAUUAGACUAUUAUAAGAUAUAUUUAGAUUUUUUAAAGAUUAAUAGAAUAUAUUUAGGAUAAUUAAAAGCUUACUUAUAUUGUUUAAGAUUUCUAAAUGGUAUUUCUAAACACCUUAUGUAUUAUUUUAGGUAAUAAAUCUAACUUUAAAGUAAGAUCAAAUCCUUCUACAAUUAGAUGUUUAGUACAUUCUUAAGUCCAUUUUUACAUAACAAGACACUAUUUUUGUUUUAGAUUUGAUUUUGGGUCACUUCUUGCAAGGCAUUCAAAUAAAUAAGGACUUUUCAAAGAUACUAUAUCUUGAAAAAAAACAUUAAGCAUAAAAAAUUUGAGAAAAAUAAAACCUACCAAUUGAAAAAGAAAAUUUCUAAUUUUUUGGAUAUUGGCCAUUUUUUUUCUUUUGUCUUGAUCUUAAUCUUCUAACAAGAAUUAGUCUUUGUUGAAUCGUUUAAUUGCUUUUCAAACUUAAAAAAUUGUGGAAACUCAAUUUUAAUAUGUUCUUAUAAGCUAAUUCUUCAAUUAAACCAAUGGAAUUGUUUUGGAUCACAAAAAAUCUUAAUAACCCUAGAAAAUAUAUAUUCAAGAUGCUAAUCUAAUUAAAUUCCAAUACCUCUCAAUAAAAUUUUUUAAUUGACCUUAAAUUUAUAAAACAUAUUUAAGACAAGUAUAAUUUCAAAACUACAAAAUCUCACAAAUCCAUUCACUAUAAUAUCUACAAAUUUCUCAAAUAUGUAAUUUUUUUUUUUUUUUUUUUUAAAUCCAAAAUCAUAUAAAUCAUUUUUGACUUUGAAAAGCUCUUAGAAACUCAAUAUUAAUCUAAAUUAUUUGAAACUAAAAUUAAAAUAAUUCUUCUAAAUUUUUUUUUUCUAAUCUUGCUCUUUAAUUAGCAAAAGAAUCUUAAAAUUGCCAUAGAUACAUAGUUUUGUACUUUGGACUUUGAUUUUGAUGUUAGUUCAGAAUAAGUCUUUUUUGAAUAUCAAUUCUUGAUUUCUUAAAGUAAAUUUUACUACAAAUAACUCUUAACUCAUUAUAGAGAUUCUUUUAUAGUUUAUUUUUUUAGUCUACUAUAUUUUACUUUAUUUAUAGAUAUAAAAAGUAAAUAGAAGUUUUUUUUAAUAAAAAAUAAUAUUAACAUUAAAUAUUUUUACUAUCUCUCUAUCUUUUACUUAUGUUUUGCUAUCAUAUUUUUCAAUUAGAUUAUUUUAUGAUAAAAUCCAUAUUUUUAUCUUUUAUUAUAUAGUUAUAUUAUAAUAUAUUAUUAAAAUAGACUAUAAGCCAAUUAGAAUAGUAUAAUCAAUAAUCAAUUUAGAAAGCAUGGUUAAAAAAAAUUAUUUCUAUUCUUUUUUCUUUUCUUAAGAAAUAUUUCUAACAAAAAAUCCAAAUGGGUGUUAGGGACAUAGUCCUUAGAACCUUCUAGAGACAAGUUUCUAGAACCUUCUAGAGACAAGCUUCUAGAACCUUCUAGAAGCAAGUCUCUGGAACCUUCUAGAAGCUUCUUAGUUAGUAGAAGAUGUUAGGCACAUAGUCCUUAGAACCUUCUAGAGAUAAGUUUCUAGAACCUUCUAGAAGCAAGUCUCUGGAACCUUCUAGAAGCUUCCUAGUUGGUAGAAGUUGCUUGAGAAGCUUUCUAAAUAGGAGUAUAUAUUGGAAUCGAAGCUAAAGAGUUCUUCAGUCUCGACAACACAUCUUUUGGAGCUCUAGCUCACCUCUCUGGUGUUGUUCUUGUAUUCAUCUGAUUAAUCUAGUUCUUGCCAGUUCUUCUUGAACUUCUUGAUAGAUAUCAAGUCUGUAUUCUGUGUCCGUGACAGUUUGUCGAGACUUCACUCACCUCAGAUAUGAGAGCUAGUUUCUUCUUUGUUAGAGUGUGGAUUACCCCUCUGCUUAGAAGUGUACUAGCACUUUAGAGGUUGCGGAUUACUCUCCUCUAAACUGAUACUUCUUUUGUUACAAUAUUGGAGUCUUAUUCUUCUUGGAGAGAGUGGAUUACUCCUUUUCUUCAAGCUCUUAAGGCAUUUUAGAGGUUGCGGAGUACCCUCCUCUAAACCAAUAUUGUCUUCUUGUAGAGUCAUUUCUGUCCUUCUCUUAGAAUGGUCAAAGGCCAAGACAUUAGUAUGACGGAAAGUUCAGAGUCCAAGUUAGAUACUAUCAUGAAUGCCCUCGCUACGUUAUCGCAAAGAACUGCAGAGAUUGAAGGAGUCGUGGCAAGGCUUCAUAAUGAUGGAGCAUCUGGGAUGGCACAAUCUAGGUUGCACCAGCCUCAAACUUCUACACUUGGAGAAGCAACUUUAUCUCAGGUUCGACAAGCACCGUUGGUUCUACAACAUAAAAAACCCCGAGUUAGCCUUUCGGACAAGUUCGAUGGUACACGUUCUAAAUUUCGAGGAUUCGUCAACCAAAUCAGGUUAAUAACAAUUUUACAGCCCGAACGCUAUCCAACGGAGGAGUCACGUGUUGGGCUUGUUGAAACCUUACUUACAUGACAAGCUCUAUCAUGGUUUGCUCCUUUAUUUGAGAAACGAUCAUCCAUACUAAAUAUCUUUGAAACCUUUUUGGAGGCAUUUGCGGAAGCAUUUGGUGAACACGACAAGGUUCAAUGGGCUAUAACAAAGAUCCGAUCACUACGACAAGGGGUGCGUUCUACAUCAGUCUAUGCAUCGAACUUCAGGCAAUUAGCAUGCGACAUCAAUUGGGACGAAGAAGCGUUGAUGAGUCAAUUCUAUUGGGGUUUAAGGGACGAUGUGAAGGAUUUGCUGUUAACUCUUCCUGAUCCGCAAACGCUCAACGAAACUAUUAGCCAAGCUGUGAAGUGCGAUAACCGCCUAUUCCAACGUCGCCAAGACCAACGUUCAAGACAACAUAUGGUUUGCCACACCACAACUAUGUCGGCAAGCAGCGUGAAUUCACAUUCAGAGGUAGAAGACAUGCAAAUUGAUGCGGUACGUGUCAAAUCUCUUACUCUAGAAGAAAAAAAGCGGCAUAUGGAGGAAGGUCUAUGCUUGUAUUGCGGUGAAGAAGGCCACAAAGUUGGAAACUGCCCCAAGAAGCAAAAUCGACGUAUUAUCAAGACUAGGGGCGCGUUUAUUCAGGAAAACGAGGAUGCCCAACCACAAUAGGAACCGUGCAGUUAGACAGUGAAAUAUCGCAACAACAACCAGGUUCCUUUCUUUCCGCUCAACUUGCCCUUUGUUUUACAAUCCCUUUGCUUAUUGGCCCUCAGAAACUGAGAACCUUAGCAUUAUUAGAUUAAGGAGCAUCUGCUUGUUUCUUAGACGAAGAAUUUGCAAAGCGUCAUAAGAUCCCUUUAGUACAAAAAUCCCAACCUAUUCACGUUGAGGUCAUAGAUGGACGACCUUUAUUGUCUGGUAGUGUCACCCAUGAAUCAGAACCUAUAGAAGUGAUGUUUAAGGACCAUAGUAGUCAUAUUAUUUUCAAUAUUAUUAGAACGCCAUCAAAUCAUGUUAUUCUUGGUCUUUCUUGGUUGGAAAAGCAUAACCCAUCCAUAGAUUGGAAGUUGCGGAAGAUGACCUUUCCUACAAAACCACCCAAGAGCAAGCCUAGUAGAAAACCCCGAAUAGAGAAAUCCUUAUUUAUUGGAGCAAGAGCGUUUAUAAGAUUGUCUAAGGGAGGCACACUGUUUCUCAUUUAUGCGGCUCCAACUACCGGGGAGAAGAUCUAGACAACAAGUAUACCGGAGCAAUAUAAGGAUUUUAAAGACGUGUUUCAAAAGAAAAAUGCCGACAUGCUACCGGAAUACAGACCAUAUGAUUGUGCCAUAGACUUAUAGGAAGGAGCACAACCGCCUUUUGGCCCAAUCUACAAUCUAUCGCAGAUGGAGUUGGCAGAGUUGCGCAAGUACAUCGACGAGAAUCUAGCCAAGAACUUCAUCCGUCAUUCAAAAUCGUCAACUGGAGCACCCAUCUUAUUUGUGAAGAAGAAAGAUGGCUCAUUGCGGAUGUGCGUGGACUAUCGAGGCCUCAACAAGGUAACAAAGAAGAAUCGUUACCCGUUACCCUUGAUUUUUGGUCUCUUAGAAUAACUUGGACGUGCAAGGAUCUUUACAAAAAUUGAUAUAAGGAGAGCUUACAACCUCGUACGAAUCAAGGAAGGAGAUGAGUGGAAGACAGCGUUUCAUACAAGGUAUGGCCAUUUUGAAUAUAAUGUCAUGCCCUUUGGUCUUAUCAAUGUUCCAACGGUCUUUCAACAUAUGAUGAAUGACAUUUUCCGAGAGUACCUUGAAAAUUUUGUUGUCAUCUAUUUGGAUGAUAUUUUGAUAUUCUCCAAACAUGAGGAAGAGCAUGAAAAACACGUUCGUUUGGUAUUGGAGAAACUACGCGAGUGAGGAAUAUAUGCCAAGUUGGAGAAGUGUUUAUUUCACUAAAUAGAGAUGGAGUUUCUGGGGUUCGUUGCGACUAUGGAAGGCUUGAAGAUGGACCCCAAGAAGGUGGAAGCAAUCGUGUCUUGGGAGGUUCCGAAGACGGUUAGAGACGUACAAUGCUUUCUUGGUUUUGCCAACUUUUAUCGAAUCUUUAUCAAGAAUUACUCUCAAGUUGCUGCUCCUCUCACUCGGUUGACAUGCAAGGAUAAGCUGGAAUGGGGACCUCUAGCAGAGAAGGCGUUUCAAAACCUGAAGACCGCAUUUACUACGGCUCCAAUCUUGGUACAUCCAGACUUUACAAAGGCCUUCUAUUUAGAAACUGAUGCUUCGGAUUUUGCUUUGGGAGCUGUACUUUCACAAAUGGGAGAAGACAAGAAGCUCCAUCUGGUUGCAUUCUAUUCUCGAAAGUUCUCUGGUGCUGAAAUCAAUUAUGAGAUCUACGAUAAGGAACUUCUUGCUAUAGUGGAUUCUUUCCAAGAAUGGCAUCACUUUCUUGAAGGAGCUGCACAUCCAGUGUCCGUAUACACAGAUCACAAGAAUUUGGAGUAUUUCAUGUCGGCUCGAGUUCUAAAUCGACGUCAAGCUCGAUGGAGUAUGUUGCUAUCUAGGUUCGAUUUUAUUAUCACUUAUCGACCUGGAAAGCAGCAAAGACUAUCUAAUGCCUUAUUGAGGAGAUCGUAUCUUAUACCAAAGGCUGGAGAAGCAGCGUUUGAUCAACAAUGUACGACAUUGUUGAAGCCAGAGCAAUUUUAGCUUUGUGCUACUAUUAUGCCAAUUGAUGCUGACUUCCUGAAUCAGGUACGUGUCGUAACCAUUGAAGAUUCAGUAGCCAUUGAUAUUAAGCAGCAUACCAAUGACGACAAGUUCAAGGUGGAGAGAGAUCUUUUAUACUUUGAAGAGCGGUUAUAUAUCUCAAAACGACCAGCACGACUCCGAAUUCUUCAAUCUCGCCACGAUUUUCCAGCUGCGGGACAUUUUGGAUUCAACAAGACCUUGGAGCUUAUUUCUCGAGAUUUUUGGUGGCCCCAAAUGUGGAAGGAUGUGAAAGAUUUUGUCCUCUCCUGCGACAUCUGUUCAAGAUCCAAGAAUCCUCGGCAUCGCCCUUAUGGACUCCUACAGCCAUUGCCGAUUCCACGUCGACCAUGGUCUUCAAUUUCCAUGGACUUCAUCACGGACCUGCUAUCAUCGAACUCAUUUGCCAGCAUCUUUGUCGUGGUAGAUCGGCUUACAAAAAUGGCGCACUUUGUCCCUUGCAAGAAGACAUCAUCUAGUGAAGUCACAGCAAGGCUCUUUCUCGAUAAUAAGUAUCGAUAUCAUGGACUACCAGAUGAUAUCGUAUCAGAUCGAAGAACCCAAUUCGUAUCAAAGUUUUGGAGAUCUCUCUUUGAGAUACUGAAGGUAGAUAUCAAGCUUUCUUCAGCUUUUCAUCCUCAAACUGAUGGUCAAACGGAACGGGUGAACUAAGUCUUGGAACAAUACUUACGAUGUAGCAUCAACUAUUAGCAAGAUAAUUGGACCACAUAUCUACCGCUAGCCGAGUUUGCAUAUAACAUCACCCUCCAUGCGUCGACUCAAUACACACCAUUCUUUUCCAACUAUGGGUAUCAUCCGAAGCUUGAUUUAUUGAUUCCAUCAACAAAUAACAAUCCAGCAGCUGAAGGAUUUGCGAAACAACUAUCAAAGCUUCAAAAUAUGUUGAAGCUUCAAUUACAAUCCGCUCAAGAGUCCUACAAGGCGUCUGUCGAUAGAUUUCAGAAUCAAGCACCUACUUUCAAAAUUGGAGAUAUCUUCGACGGAAUAUGGAGACCAAGCUACCAUGUGAUAAGUUGGACUAUCGAAGAUUGGGACCAUUUAUCAUCCAAAAGCAAAUCAAUCCAGUGGCGUACCGUCUGGAAUUACCAGCUUCUAUGAAGGUACAUCCAAUCUUUCAUGUUUCUUUGUUGGAGCCUUAUCGAGAGUCAUCUUUUCUUAGAAGAAUACAAUGUCCGCCACCUAGUAUUGAGAUCGAGAACCACGAGGAAUACGAGGUUGAAAAGGUGCUGGAUUCUCGGUGAAGGUGGGGUAAGUUGGAGUAUCUUAUUCAUUGGUGCGGCUACGACAUUAAUGAGCAAACGUGGGAGCCAGCUGAAAAUCUCACCAAUGCGCCGCAAAAGGUACAGGAGUUUCAUCAACAACAUCCUCAUAAACCUAAGCCGGUUCGACAAUAGCUUCUUUCUGAAGCUUGCUCACCCAAGAAUAUAAGAAAGGGGAAGAGCACCAUCAAAAUUCGUAGUUGAUGUAGUUAUUUUCUCCAAGAUAAAAUAGAAUUUUUUCAGUAGCCAUAGUUUGGUCUUCUGAUAUGGAUAGCCAAGAGAUAGAUACUAUGCUAGUCAGAUUAUCUCAACCAACUAGUUCACAAAGGCGACCCCGAGAUGAAGGACCACCUGCACCACGACGACGACGGAGGAUACCAAGUAACCGAUUACUGGUGAUUGUAUUUGAGUUCGAGCCUGCUUACGAUGGUCAACCAGAAGGUAUAUUUGCAGGACAAUUUCACAAUGAAGACACGAAAGUUCAUGCUUGGUCAGAAGUUGAAGGAGUGGGCCACUACCGUUGGCUUCAAGGGCCGAUGAACCACUUACCUCGUGAACAACAAUUGGAGUUCAUAACAGAUAUUAUGCGACAGAUCUUCAUUUUCUUGCGUUGGUACUGAUUGACAACAACAUUGCUUCUCAGAGACCUCGAAGCUAAAGGAGGGGGUGAUAUUAGAGACAUAGUCCUUAGAACCUUCUAGAGACAAGUUUCUAGAACCUUCUAGAGACAAGCUUCUAGAACCUUCUAGAAGCAAGUCUCUGGAACCUUCUAGAAGCUUCUUAGUUGGUAGAAGAUGUUAGGGACAUAGUCCUUAGAACCUUCUAGAGAUAAGUUUCUAGAACCUUCUAGAAGCAAGUCUCUGGAACCUUCUAGAAGCUUCCUAGUUGGUAGAAGUUGCUUGAGAAGCUUCCUAAAUAGGAGUAUAUAUUGGAAUCGAGGAUAAAGAGUUCUUCAUUCUCGACAACACAUCUCUUGGAGCUCUAGCUCACCUCUUUGGUGUUGUUCUUGUAUUCAUCUGAUUAAUCUAGUUCUUGCCAGUUCUUCUUGAACUUCUUGGUAGAUAUCAAGUCUGUAUUCUGUGUCCGUGACAAUGGGAGGUUAUUAGCAUUAAACUUUGACACGAAUUAGUUGUUAAAUUUCUCAUUAUCAACAUCAUUUUACUUAAUUAUUUUCUAUAUUAAAUAAAAUAAUAAUUGGUUUAUCUAAUUUAUUGGCAAAUCCAAUUUCUUUAUAGAUAUGGCAAUCUCAAAUCACCACAACAUGCCAAUUGGAUCUAAUGUAAUAGAAAUCCAAAUUUGACUCAACUAUCAAAUAGUAGUACAAAGAUAUGAUAACUCUUGUUUGGUAAUUUGACAAUAGCACAAUAUUAAUUGAAUAAUCAUUCAACUCCAUCUCAUUAAUUCAAUGUACUCCAAUUAUUGUUUUUCUUAGAUUUGAUACACUCACUACUUCCAUCCUAAUGUAAUCUCCCAAAAUAAAGCAAACAUUUAAAGUCAUAACUAAAAAAGAAUAAGAAGAUAUUCGUUCCAACUAACAUUCAAUGGUGACAUCUCCUUGAUUUGAAUGUGUUUCCUAUUGGAUUUCAAUUGCCUUUAUAAGAUAUUUGGUUUCAACUACUAACUAAAUUUUAACAAUCUAUUUGGUAUUCUAUGCUAGUCUAAUAACCUACUAGUAACAUUUCUAAAAGCUAAUUAUCCAACUUAAGAAUACAAAAUAUCAAAAAUUAAAAAUUUCAACUUAUUAACUAAAUUUUAGAUUGUUAAAGAUAUCUAUUCUAUUUAUUUUGUUAUUUUUCCUAUGUAGCUUAAUUCUUCUAAUUCUAUUAAUUUAGCCUAGUUUCCUCAACUAUCUAUAUUAGUAACUACUAUGAUUCUAAUAUAAAAAUCAUAUUAUUACAAACCUUGUUCUUAAUUUUUACUUCAAACAUUAUAUUUAUUAAACAAACCAAAAUCUAUUGUUUGUUGAUUUUUUCUUAUUUAAUUAAUGGAUUUAAUUAUUUUUUUUGAAUCAAAAUUAUCAAAAAAAAAUCAGGUUAACGUAAUUUAAAUAUUCACAGUAUAUUUUAUAAUUUCAAACAAAAAUAAAGUUUGAGUAAAAAUGGAUUGUUUUCAUAAAACAGACUGUACUUAGUAAUUGAAACUCUUCAAACAAUAUUUUUCCACAGAAUAUUUAUUGAGAUGCAUCAAAAUAUAUAUAUAUAUAUAUAUAUAUGAAAUAAUUACAUGCAUACUCACUUCAAAUCUAAAAAAAUAAACUAUGUCAUUAUUGAGUAUUAGAAACUUUGCAUGUCUAAGAUAAGUAUCAAAGUCUAUUUUCACAAAUAAAAAAUAAUGAAAAUCAUUUAAAACAAAGUAACUUAGAUAUAUAUAUAUAUAUAUAUAUAUUUAUAUCAUUGCAUGCAAGUAGAGAUGCUUAAACCUUGCAUUUAAUAUAAUAAUGAUAGAAAUAUCUAUAUAAUAUUUUUACAAUUUUUUACUAUAUGAUUGUUAAAUAAAAACAGCAUUUUUAUUUUAAAUAUUAAAAUUAGCAUGCGUGUAUGUGUGUGUAUUUAUAUCUAUAUAUAUAUAUAUAUAUGAAAGUAAGACCAUAAGUUGUAUUAUAAUAAAUGUUUCAUAUCACAAGCUUCUAAAUCAGCAAACUAAAUUGUGUAUUUAUGUAAAUAUGUAUCUAUGUAUGAAUGCAAGUACAUUGACUCAUUCUUUACAACCCAAUGAAAUCACACUUCAGAGUAACACUGCAAAACCAUGAGAGAUUUGUUAAAUCCUCAUAAGAACAAGCACGAAAUGGAAGUUGCAAUUUAUCAAAUAAAAAGAGAAUAAGAAUCAAAAAUAAUUUUUUUCACAAACUACAAAUAAAUAAAUAAAUAAAUAAAUGAAGCACUCCAUCACAUAUGUAGAAAGAUGCUCAUACUUGUUGGGAAAAAGGAAUGAAUCUCUCACAACAUCUAGAUUACACCCAUUUAAUUUUUACCCUCUUCUGGCAUUUACGACAUUCAGGACAAAAGAGAAUCCCUAUCUAUAAUAUUUCAUUUUGGAUAUACGUACAGUAACUCCUCUUCAGUAUACAUACAGAGUAGAAUACACAAAUCAGAGUACGAUUAUGUGAUAGCAUGCAUUUGGCAGCAUCUGAGCCAGACGUUUUGGAUGGGGGGGGGAUAUCUGAUGGACUGGGUUAUCCUGUUGAGGGCCACAAAGCCAUUCUGGAGUUGUGGGCUUGACAACAUACACAUUGUCUAAUUUUAUUAUUCCCAUUAAUAGAAAGACUUAAAGACACACUAUGGACCACAGUGCUGUAAUCACAUGUAUUUAUUAUCCUCAAAACUAGUCCUCUUCAUUGCACAUAACUAGGUUCCCUAAAUCCCCAUUUUCCUAAUUCAAAUAUUAUACCUGUUCUACCAUUUUCUUUACACGUAUGAGUAUUUUAUUUUAUUUAUUUUAUUUUUUGACAUUUUAAAUAGGGUUGAAUUUUGGAUUUACUUUAUCCUAGAAUUAGCUACUUCUUAUGCUAAAUUGACAGAUAUAUAUAUAUAUAUAUAUAUAUAUGUUUAGCAGAAUUGGAAGUUUUAUGAAGGUUUUUGUUCUAUGUUUCCAUUGAUUGUGUUUACUCUAUAAGAUUGUUUUUCAUUUACAUGUAUUCUUGUAGGUUGAUUGAGGGUUUAUGCUCUUAAUUGCAGUAUUAAGAAAUGUAGUGUGUGUAUUUAUUAUUCUAGAUCGGCUUUAUUGAUGCAAAAAACAUUUUUCUCUUAAAUUUUUGUCAUUCUAAAUACACAAGACAGUAAGAAUUUUGUUCACGUAUUAGAACACUAAUAUGAAAUACCAUCACUAAUAUGUAAUAUUUACAAGUUGACUAUGCUAACAAAGGUUUGAUACUAAAUAUAUACAUUAAUUUUGAUUAUGUAUGAGUGCAGCAGCGAAAUUGCAUGACUGUCCAAUAUCACGUAAAAAAAUCGCCAUUUAAACCUUGUAAUAUUGUUUAAGUAUUUCUAAUAAAAUCUGAUGCACAUUUUAUUUUUUUCCUUUUUUUUAAGAAUUGUGUUUUUGUGUUAAUUGUUGUGGGUGGUAAAAAGCAACCAUACAGAUGGUGCAAAUACUUUGAGCACGAGCACUUUUGAAUAAAAGUGUUACACUGCAGAGGAAUUUUUCUGUGGUAUUUCUUUUCGAAAGUAUUUUGAAUAUUUCAAGUGGGUUAAAGGUUACAAGUUCCACAUUGUAAGUUUCAAGUUGAUAAAAAUUAGCAUCAUUGAAUAGAGUACUGUUUACUUUUCACUUAAAGUAUAAAAGUGACAGAAAAAACAAACAGUGUUGGACAUGAAGUUUUUUCCAAGUAAAGAUCAAUACUUUUUGAGUUUAUAAAAUUUUCCAGUAGGAAAUUGUUAACAAAUUCAAUAUACAAUCAACAUGGUAUAAUGUUGAUUACAAACUACCUAAUGUCUUCAGUGUCCUUUGUGCUGCAGAAAGUUGAAUAUUUCAUAAGCAGAUACGAAAUGAACUUGAGAUAAAUACAAUGAACACAUCUGUUUUUCAAAUGAAUGUUAAUUUCAUCAGUGAAUGCAGAAAAAACAACAUGAAUUGUGGAAUGAGUUUUAGAAGCAUCUAAUAUUGAUAGAAGUAAGAUUUUUGAAAUUAACAUUUGUUUGGGGCUAUCACUUAUAAUUCCAUUUACAAUAAUUUUUGAACUUUUAUAGUAAUAGAUUUUGUUUAAUUUUUAAUUUUUUUUAUUACAUUUUAAAUUUCAUUCUUUUUACCAUGGAUAUCAUUUUCGUAAAAUUUGUACUUAAUUUUAAUUACAAUCAUGAAGGAUACAAUGUUAAUGUGAGAACUUACCAUUUUAUUUUCUAAUUAUUUUCUCAAAAAAUUGAGUGUUUAUAUGAUAAAAAUUUAUUUAGAAAAAAAUAAAAUAAAAUCAAUGUGGUAUGUGGUAAUUUGAUAAGCAUUUCAUUAUUUAGAAAAAAUAAAAUAAAAUCAAUAGAAUGACAAGUGUUGUUUAUUAUUUCAUUAAAUUUUUUUCCCCAAACCCGAUUUCCCUCAUUAUACACGUAUAUAUAGAGAGAACUUCUACAAAGUCAUGAACAAUCCUUGUAAUUGGAAGUUUAUUAUUUUACAUUUCUACAACUAUUUUCAAUUAAAUAAAUAAAAUGAGAUGAAAUGUAUUAUUUAAAAAAACCUACCACAUCAUUCCUUCUCAAGAGUAGGUCCAUAUGUGCUCCCACCUGCCAAGCCUACAAACCAUAGCCUAGAGCCACCAACUUCAGUUGCAAUUUGCUCCCGAUUAGAGGGGUUAAAAACGACUCUCUAACUCUGUCAUGUGGGUGUAUGAUUAGCCUCAAUUUAGGGGAAUUUAUUCUUUCCUUCCUUCCUUUCCCCUCUUCCUCUAUCCUACCAAUUCCUCAUUUAUAGUGAAUAAUUAUCCUUUCAUUUUAUAUUUUAAAUAUUUUUUAUUGGCAUCUAUUGUAGGUUUGGGACCACACAUAGAUGCUUUUUUAGAGGCGUGCCACAACUGGACCAAAAAAACAAAGGAAUCCAUUCCCAAGGAUAAGUCUUUUGCUGGCAAGAAAACUCACUUGUUUUGUUGUCAUUUUCAUUUUAUCUCCCUAAAUAUAAGAAAAAUAAGGUCAAGGUUGAUCUGGAUACUCUUCCCACAAUAAAUAAAAAAGAAAUAAAAAAGUAAAGAAAAAAGUAGACGAAGAUCUGGGGCUUUACUUUUAGGGUUUUGGAAUGACUAAGUGAUGUCCAAGGAUGAAGGUGAGAGACCAUGCAUAGUAAAUGGACUUAACAACAAUACAUCAUCAAACUAAGCACAUGCUAUUCUAUUCAUGAAAAGAAAAGAAGCAUCUCCCAAAUGGCUCCAAUGAUAAUCCAACCUUUGAAACACACAAUACCAAUCAGGAAAAGUGCCCUCUAAAAGAUCACAUUUGACAAUCCCCGCCCAACCAAAAGGACACUUUACAUAUCUUUGAGUAAAGGGAGUCAUAGUUCUUUUAGUGAGGAGAACUCAAAUUUGGGCAUAUAGAGAUAUCUAAUCUCACAUAAAUGCAAUCCAACUUUAAAGUCGGGUUUGGAGGAAAGUUCCCAUGGGUUCUGUUCACACCUGGUCAAGCAGAGGAGGUACAGGGGUAAAACGAAAAAAGUGGGAAGGGGUGAAAAGGAAUAAUUAACGAAUCUACCUGCCUUUCUAAGGGGAAAAGCCUUUUUCUCCGGCCAGCUCUUCAACUUUUCUACCUUCUCCUUUGCUAUGGUUAGCAGUAAAUCAUCACUGGGUAAAUAGUAACUCACCACUUGCGGCGGUCGGGGCCCUCAGUCGCGCCUGGCUCUCUCUCUCGAAUUGCAAGUCAUCCUCUUCGUCGUUGCGAUGCUCUCUCUCUCUCUCACUCUCACUCACUCACUCAAUCUAUCCAGUUUUCUAUUUCGCUUGUGAGGAUUGGCCUCCCGAUCCGCACCGACCGGUUGAGAACUCGUUUUUCUGGUUCGUUUGGCACCGAAGUUCCUCAAACUGGUGAUUAAUUGCGUGCGCAAUUGGCUGGAGAAUUGUUUCGCUGUUUGCACCUCCACUCUCAGUCUAGGAUUGGACGUGAGCUUGUGUUUAGAAGUUGGUAGCUAGGAUAUUAAAGUUCGGGGGCGAUUUUCUCGUGGAUUGGUGAAGGUAUUGUAGUGGGAAACGGGAAUUGUUUCCUGCUGCCAGUGUGGUAGACUUGCUGGAGGAUUUUUGAAGUGAAUUAUCGAGUGGGAAAAUUGAUACAGAGUUGUGCAGGUAUUUCAGCCUUUCUUCGAUUUCUCUCUAACGAAAUUCGGAUAGUUUUCUUGGUUGUUAGCUUCGCAGUGUUGUAGUCUCCUUCCGUGCCUUGCUGAGAAGAAUUGCCGUCAUUCUUCCUGGGACUUAUAUUUCCCGUUGACGAACGUCACAAACACAAGAGAGUCUUUAGAUUUGUUUCGUUCUCGCUGCUGUUGUAUGUGACUAGCUCUGAAUUUUUCGCAGCUGGAGCUCACGCUCCUUGCCUUCAAACGCGUGGGAGAGGUCAGUUUGAAGAUUUUUCGAUGUUGCAGGCAUUUUGGCGUUUUAUUUAUUUUUGUUGUGUUUGGCUAUAUGGCAAACCUCGACGAAUUGUAGCCCUUGUGAAUUGUGCAAUUGUACUGGAAGUUUUAUUUUAUUCUUGUUCAAUUUAGUUUCCAUCGUUUCGAAGACUAGUUGCUGUAGUGGUUUUUUUUGUCCUCCGCUGAUUUAUGAAGUUUACAUGUCUUGGAUAAUUGCAUUUCAGGUAAACUCAGCAACAUGACUAUGCAAGUCAACUCACUUCUGCCUCAGGGGCACAGGCUGUGUGCAGAGACAUUCACUAUGCAUCUUGGUCUUGGACAUCCUUCGAAGCCUUUAGUGCAGUCCCCUCUGACUCAAUGGCAUCAAGAGUUUACCCUGCAGUACAGCUCUAGGAAAUCUCACUCCAUCAAGCGUCGUCCUCAAACCGUUACUCCUUGUGCCACGGUUGAGGUAAGAUGCUUAACAUUAUACUGAUGAUUGCCUAUGUAGGAAGCAUUCCCCCCCGUCAUCAUUUUUGACAUAUACUCGGUCAUGCAUGUCGGAGUGCUCUUGUAUUUUGUAUUUUGUAUUUAUUCAUUUUUUCUGAGCUUGUCGCAUGCGCAUUUUCAAAAUCUCCCUUUAAACUGGAGUCUUCCCCUAAUGAUAAUGUGGCUGUGUACGGGUCAAAAUCCAAUGAGUACGUGUCAGCUGAUGAUUUUUCUCACCUAGAUUGUUUGCGUGUCAGCCACGGCAGUACUUCCAAGGAGAAAGGAAGUGUGCACCUCUGUUUGAGGGUGCCAGCGAGAGCUUACCGUCCGAAAGUUCUGAGUGGAGAGCAGUUCCUGACAUCUGGAAGACUGCUGCGGAGAAGUACGGUGAUCGCGUCGCCCUUGUUGAUCCGCACCGACAACCUCCUUCACAAAUCACUUACAAGCAGGUAUUCUCCCGAUCCAAAUUGAGCUCUUUAUUUUUCAUGUUACAAGUAGCUGGAAAUCUUUUGCUCCAUUUUUUACCACUGCGAAUUUUCAAGGGCGUGAUAAAAUGCCUUGCAUUGUGAGAACUCAAUUGUUCGCGCAUUGAAGAUAUUAUUCACUCUCAAUUUCGAUAUUACUUUUUUUUAAGGAACACCCAUGCUGACCCGGAGUGAGAAUUUGUCGUGAUCCGCAGCUAGAGCAAUCAAUAUUGGAUUUUGCUGAGGGACUUCGGGUUUGUGGAAUUCGUCCGGACCAGCACAUGUCACUCUUUGCUGACAAUUCUCAUCGCUGGUUGAUUUCAGACCAAGGUUUGCACUUUUUACAUUUGAAUAAGAACUUUGAAGGGGAACCGAAUUAAUUUGGUAUACUAAUGUUACCAAAUCAUGUUUUCUUGUGAUUUCCCGAAUUAGUUAGAGACUAGGAAUUCAGAGGUAUAAGGUGCUCAAGUAACAUUCAACACUAGUCGAGAACUAAUACUUAGACACCACUGUAAAGGGAAGUUGACAUUUCCCAUUCAUUGGUUAGGAGCCGUGUGCUAACUAUCAUGAACCUUAGAUUGUGGAUUGAAGGUUUAGACUCUGGUUGACAUUUAUGCAUAAACAGCUCUAUGGGGUUUUGAAAUAGAAUUUCUAUUUUACAGGAAUUAUGGCUGCGGGGGCUGUUGCUGCGGUGAGAGGGUCGCGAUCUUCAACCGAUGAAUUGUAUCACAUUGUCACUCAUUCUGACAGGUAAGUAAGACUCGAAAAUACAGUAAUUUUUACUCUUAAUUGCUCUCGCAAGAAAUCAAGUAGAUAAUGUGAAUUAAAGGUUAUGAACGGCACAGCCGUUACAACACUAAGCAAUUAACUUAGCCCCUAUCGUUUUGCUCGCCUCAUCUGUUCUGUGCAUCAAUCAUACUUUGACUGAAUUUCGAUAAUUUAUUAUUGUCGCAUUAAUGCCGAGUGUAAUAGUAGUAAUACUUCCAGGAUUCUGGUUGCUGAUGGUUACUAGUACAUCAAGAGUCUGGACAUUUGAUACUGUAGUUGAACCUGAUCUUGAACCUAUGAUAUCGCAGUGUCGCAUUGGUCGUUGACAACCUUGAGAUUUACAACAAAAUUGCGGAUCGUUUGAAGGGAAACACUGUGAUUAAGUUCGUAAUUGUGCUUUGGACUUCUAAAGACACAUUGAAAGACCUUAAAGAUGGAAGUGAAGUUCCAUUCUAUUCAUUUGAUGAGCUUAUGGCUUCGGGAAGAACAAGUCGGCAAGCUUUGGCCGCUGUCGCUAGCUCAGGUGUCCACAUCACGACCGCUCUUUUCAGUCUUUCUUAUUCGUAUCGCAACGGUGCAUGCUUUUAGCUAGUCCUUUCAUUACCUGGUCCUAAGCUAGCAUUUUCAUUUGAACUGUAUUUACUUCGUAUGUCCUGGCUUGAAGAGCAGCUGGUUGUAACUUUGUUAAUGGAGUUUCUUGAAAGGUAUUGUUUACUGGUUAUAAGUAUGUGCGAAUUCAACCAAAGAACAUCAAUCAGUACUAGAACCACUGAGAUGUGAAUGCACGUAUCUGAUUCCAUCGAGGCCAUCAGUUUUCGGCAUCGUGUAAUUACAUUCUUGCUUCAUUCAAAGAAAAGAAAAAAAUGAUAUUUUACGAAAUUAUGUUAGGCGCAUUUUGCUUCUCCUCGACAUUUUCAAGAGCUUGUAUGUCAUGUGUUGGCAGUUAAAUUGGUGUUGGUUUACACAAAUUUCGAAUGUCUCCUAUAUUGCGUUACUUGUAGAAGGAGCAUUCUUACCACUCUUAAACUCCAUGAAGAGCCUUCAUAGAAUGGAAGAGAUGGAAUGUUCAUGAACUCUCAUUAAGCUUAAUAUGAUAGUCGUUGACUACUGAAGUAAUUAACUUGAUUUGUGUCAGGUGAGAGGGUGCAGUGCGAUGUUAUUCACCCUGAUGAUGUGGCGACAUUGGUAUACACAAGUGGCACGACCGGGAACCCUAAGGGUGUUAUGCUUACGCAUGCCAAUCUUCUCCAUCAGGUCCUCUCAUCUUCCUUACCUGUGCUCGAAAAACUGAUUGUGGCAAUUAAAACAAUUACCUGGGAGUGGCUGAAAUACUCGAGAGGGUUAGAACUUGAUGUAUACUCCUGUGAGCUUUAUUUUCUGAAGCAUGUUGGUUAUCGGUCAUUGAUCAACGAAGAAUCUUGGCUGGUCUCUAUGGAGGAUGAAUAUUAGUACCGACAUAGCCAGCCACUGUUUUUGUGAUUUCUUCUCUUGCUACAGCGACAUUAUUUGCGAGGGACCUUUUAAAUGUUCAUUGUCAAGGUAUUUGGCUUCUUGGACAGAUAGUACACUUGGGGUCGGUUGUGCAACCAGGACCGGGCGACCGCUUCCUAAGUUUGUUGCCACCGUGGCACAUGUACGAACGCUCUGCUGAGUACUUCGCUCUAUCUCGUGGCGUUAGUCAAGUGUAUACAAGUGUAAAGACCUUGAAGGUACAGCUUUUACUCAACCUGCUCUUGGGGUUGCUAUUUCAUUUUUUUGUAGUUUCUGUUUUCUGCCAUCUGUCCCAUACCAGAGAGUUUGACGUGUGAUUUUUUAAGUAUCAGCGUAUAUUCUUAACAAGAAAAGUAGGUGAGAAGUGACGUUCAGCAAUGUUUUAUGUUCAAGGGUUUACAUACGUUAUUUUGAUCUUCCUUUGUCUUGCAGGAGGACUUGGCACGGUACCCACCAGAUUAUUUUGUUGCUGUUCCACUGGUGUUUGACAUUCUGUACAGGUACUCAUUGAAAUCGUUUGUUUAUGUUUCAUUAGUAACAACUUGAUAUGUUGGAACCUUAUACUAUACCUGGUCUUAGACUACUUUCUGCAUACAAUAGAAGUACUCUUGUAUGUGAUAAAUUUGUGAUUUGCAAGUUCCUUAUAGUAUCUCUCAUGUGAUGCAUGUCAAUUGAGCAUUAAGUGUGCAUUGACGUAAUUAAGUUCAUGAUUUGGAUGCAGUGGAGUUCAGAAACAAAUAGCUGCAGGCUCCAAGUUCCGAAAGCAAAUCGCGCUUACUCUCUUGAGCCUCAGUCUCAAGUUUGUCGACAUCAAGCGGAAACAAGAGGUUAUUUACAUUUCUUUUGUUCGAUACUAUGAGUGAAUUGUAUAGAUUUCACCAUCUAAUAAUCUGGAUGCAGGCCUAAAUUCUGAGCAAGUGCUAAUUAACUUCUCAGAGUGCGGUGCUAAAGUUUCGUGGAUAGUAUGGGGCAUCGCAGGUUUAUGUUUCUGGGCAGAAUGUAGAACAGAUUCGUAAUUUUGAAUGCUGAACCGGUUUCUUUCGUUCCAAUCGAAGUUUCGUUAUCAAAACAUGCCGUGUAGUGAUAGAAACAUGUGUUGCAGAUUAUUAUCUACGUGUUAAUAACGAUCUGUUUGACAUUUGUAUUAGCAUGUGUUUUGGGUUUACAUCUAUUGUCUUACUAAAUUACAUAUUGUCGUUAACAAUUUGAGAAAAUCUGCCAUCUUGCUAAUCUUCUUAUUGUUCUAAUUAUGAUCAUUGUUUUGAUGAGGAUAGGGUCGAGAUGUCACAAAAGGGAGAGAAUCAUUCAGUCCAGUGGCGGCAGCCAAGGUCUGGGCAAUCGCGACAAUUGGUGCACUACUGCUGCUGCCAUUUCACCUACUGGCUCAAAAGCUUGUGUACUCUAAAAUUCUUGCUUCAAUUGGAAUUAAGAAGGUGUGUUUGAGAGAACUCUGAGUAUGCGCUGUCAUUUGCUUUGACAUGUGUAUGUAAAGGGCUAAUUGGUGACGUGUGAACUUUAGCAUUUCUCUGAUUAUUUUGAUUGAAUUUUUUUCUCAUACUUAUACUGAUCAUUUCCGUCACCCUUACGUAAAGGAAGAAUGACAAGCAUGAUCUUUCAUUGUCCUUCGCAGUUUGGCUUGUUUGCAACCUAGUGCCUGAUCAUUAGAGGGUACAGUCAAUCUCAACUACAUUCAUUCCCCUAAUUUAAGUCACUGGCUAUGUUUUGCAGGCAGCAAUCAGUGGAGGCGGUAGCCUUCCCCCUUAUGUGGAUAGAUUUUUUGAGGUAUGUUGGUUGUACCUACUGGCCUCCAUUCUGACCUUGCAAGUCUUGAAUAUCAACUAUUAUCAUUAUUAUUACUAUUAUUUAGCAAUGUUGAUAAUUGAGAUUACUCUUUGUGUUGUCUAAUGUCUCGAAGAGCUUGACACGUUCCUGCAAGUGAAGUGCAGUAGUCAUGUUAAAAGGGAAAAUUAGGUGAGUUGGAGCAGUUAGUUUUUUGAAUUUUUUUUUAAAAGUAAUUAUGUCGGUAACUUGAUCACUUCCAGGCCAUUGGUAUCCGGGUUUUGAACGGUUACGGUCUUACAGAGACAUCUCCAGUUGUUUCUUGUCGGCUACCAUCAAAUAAUGUGAGUUUCACCAUUUUCGUUUUUUAUUCCAGGGUAUUGAAAUAUGUGCGUAGUCACUAACAAUUUAGCUUAAAGGACAAAUUUUCUGGUGAAGUGAAGCUGACACAUAUAACUCCGGUGCAGGUCUUAGGUACAGUUGGAGGGCCCAUACCCGAAACAGAAAUCAAAGUCGUUGAUCCUAACUCUGGUAACAUCGUUCCUCCUGGCAUCAAAGGUUCAGUCAAAAUCCGUGGUCCUCAAGUCAUGAAAGGUUACUAUAAGGUUUGUUUCUACACGACAGCUGCCUUUCAUAUGUAGAUUUUAAUCUAGAGUUGGUUGAAUAGACCUUCUUGCCUUCACUCUUGAUCCAAGAAAGUUGACAGGGUUUGCAAAAAUCAUAAAAAUAUCUCAUGUCUUUGCUUUCUCUUUGCGAAUGGAUGUUGAGGUGUUGUCUCUGGUUGAAAUUGACAUAUUUAUAUGUUGGACCGCUGAGAUAUUUUUGUUUGUUGGAAGUCCACUUAAGUUUGAGUUUGUAUACCUAAAUUAUGUGCUCUUGAUUAGAUAAUUCAAUUUGAUUAUAUUCUUUUAAACUGGUGCUUUUUGAGGGUUUCUCCACUCUAUAGAGAAGACUGUAAACAUUUGCAGGUCGUUUCACCUUCCCUGACAUGGUUUUUUGACUUAUCACCAAUAUGUCUUAUACAUGGUACAGAAUCCCGCAGCAACCAGUAAAGCCAUAGACUCCGAUGGGUGGUUUGAGACAGGCGAUCUGGGGUGGAAAGUUCCAUCUUCACCAGUAGGGCCAGCACGGAUGUGUGGGGGUCUUCUGGUCUUAGACGGCCGUGCUAAAGACACUAUUGUUCUAUCAACGGGUGUGCAUUUUCUCACUUAAGCCUCUUUCAAGCAGACUUCUGUUGAAUGAUUUAUUGUCUAACAUGAUGUAUGUACUUGCGAACUCUUGUGUACUUGUAUACUUGGAAGUAGAUGCCUAGGAUGCUUUCUGCUGCGUACAAUUUGGUUUGUUUUGCGAGUUAAUGAUUAGAUGGGCACCUGAGUAAAUGUUGCGUAACUUCGAAUGCGGAUGGGUUGAUGUGUAAAGGUGAGAACGUUGAACCGCAAGAAAUUGAAGAGGCAAUCAUGCAGAGCAAGCUUAUACAGAAUGUUAUGCUUGUGGGGCAAGACAAGCGGAGGUUAGGGGCGCUCAUAGUGGGCAACAAGGAGGAGCUAGAAGCUGCGGUAAAAGAAUAUAAGCUCGCUAAGGGUGAUUCUUCAAAGCCUAUCAAGAGUGACAGGACGAAUGUGAUUCGCCGAGAAAUCAAUCGGCUGUAAGUUUUUGCAUGGCCGUUAUCUUGAUGGCAGUUUUCAAUUUACAGAGUUUUUUUGGCAGGUAAGAGUUUCUUAUCUUCUAUAUGCUCUGAGUGCAUAAGAGGUGCUCCUCGCUCUGCUUUGUAUUUACACGUUUCUUGUGUUGUACAGUUUGGCAAAUUCCUCCUGGCCUGUAGGUCCAUUUGCUCUCAUUGAAGAAAGUUUUACGGUAUGAUUCAAUCCCAAGUUGUUUUUUGUGCCUGAAUCGAUGUGAUAUUUUUUAAGGGAUUAAAUAGUGUAAGAAAUUUAAUUAAUUGAAAUUUAAGCUUUUGUUAUUAGUGUGCUUUAGGAACUAGUGUUUACACUGUUUUGUGUAUUCACGCACAAAGUGUAAAUAUGUUUACCACGCAGAUCGAAAAUGGGUUGAUGACGCCAACAAUGAAAGUGCGGCGAGAAGUGGUCUACGAGCGCUACAAGGAUGAAAUAGACGGACUCUUCAAUGCUAACAAAGAUAUAUAACCUUCUCAUUUUUAUCCUCUUUAGUAGCUGGAAUCUGCUCUAUUUGAUGACAUCUGUGGUGUAACUCACGAAAUCAUGCUCUGUACAUUAUUAGUUGUCAUGUUCAUUGUCUACGAGUAAUAUCAGGCGUAGGUGUGCAGUAUGUCUUAGCCUUCUUGUGGCUUUAACCACAACUGGAUGAUAGUGCAUUGUAAAUGGUUGCACGAAGCCCAAAGGCUUAAUCUUGUCACAUACAUUCUAAUGCUUCGAUACAAACCUGCUCAAUGUGAUCAGCUUAGCUGUACCUUCCGACGCAGUUCCUGAAUUUAUCGUCCUCUUCAAUUGUGAACGAUUCUACGAAGAAUUUCAGGAAAUCAUAGUUGGAGUGUUUUGCAUUCUAAAAACCGUAUUAUGAGAAUCAAUGGGUAAACCUCAAAAGUAUGUAAUAAGAUUAUAUACAAUCUUUUACACAUAGUAAAAGCUUGAUAUGUGUGUGGGUUCGUUUGUUAUUUAUUUUUUACUUGUUGCAUUGAUUUUAUUUUUCUAGAAACAAUAGAUUUUAAUGUUGAUCAUAUAUUUAUUUAAUGUUCAAAUUAUUUGUAUGUAUUAUAUACAAAUGCGGUUUUUUUAGAUUGGAAAUUUUAGUACUAUUUUUAAGUAUCAAUUAUUCAAAUAAUUUAUUAUCAUAAAAAAAAAUGUAAUUUAACAAAUGAAAGUAUAUUAUUGUUUAAAAAAAUAGUGCAAUAAUUUUUUUUCCUUUCAAAUAACUUAAAAAAAUAUUAAAAAAUAAUUAAUGCUUUUAGUAAGAAAUAAAAUAAAAAGUAUACAAAAAAAUAUUAUAGUUUAUGUUAAGUAUAUUUAUUUUUAAUAAAGGUUUAAAUUUAUUUAAUUUAUAAGUAACUUUUUUUGCUUAAUUAAUGAGACAAAUGUUAAAACAAAUAUAUUUAGAUAAUCUGAUUUAAUAGUUUUUUUUUAAUACAAGAUACACCAAAUCCAACCUAUAAAAUGCCAAAAUUGGUAGCAUUUAGAUUUACAUUAGAUAUUUUAGUCUACAAACCAAUUCAUGAUCAAUAAAGCUUUACAACAUUUUUUUAUGUACUUGGAUUAUAAAGAAGUCUAAUUUCAAUUGGUUUGCUGACAGAUAACAAAUGUGCCAUGGUAUUCAUACAUAAAUAAUUUUUUAUUCUAAACAAUAUCCAAGACAUAAAAACAUUGGCCUUAGAAGACAUAGAAGUAAAUAGCAGCUUAUAUAAUAUUGAUGAUCACAACAAUUUGAUGGACUUAGUACACAUAGAUUUUAUCAGAGAAGACUUAUAUACAUGGCACAAGCAAUUUGGCCACCUAUACAAUACAAGAUUAUAUCUGUCAAAAACACAAGAAAUUAUAAGAAUUCUAUUAUUCUCUUCUACAAAUUAUACAUGUCACAACUAUCUAUUAAAGAAACACUACCAAAGAAGUUUUUUUAAGGCAUCAAAAUAUUAGGCAAUUGAAGUACUUCAAGCAAUCUUCUCUGACUUGGUUGGUUUGAUGAGAUGUUAGUCACUAAGUGGUUUUAGAUACUAUAUUGCUUUUAUGGAUAAUUAAUCUAAAAAAAACUGAAUUUAUUUUAUGCAAUAAAAAAAUUAAAAGAAUUUUAAUUUAGAAUAGAAAUCAAAACAAAAAAAUAAGAUUAGCUACCUUAAAACAAAUAAAGGUGGAAAAUAUUUCUCUACUGCAUUCACUUAUUACUUGAUGAUUCAUGGAAUAAGAUAAAAAUUCAAUAUGGCUCAAAUCCUAUUUACAAGAUAUAUGUUUAACUUACAAGAUAAGUUUCCUAUAUGUGUACUACAUAAUUACCUUAUUCUACAAACUACUAACAUGUGCAACAUGUGGCUAACUUGUUAGUCAAGUUUCUAACCUAUCAAUCACCUAUAGACAUGUAUAAAGAUGAAAACAAGUCUAUGAAGCUUCUAAGAUACUUUUCUACAAGAUAUUAUGAAAUUAAUCUACUUUUAUUUACUUCUAUCGAUUCAUAUUACCUAAAUAACUAUUAGAAUAAAUAUGUCUAUGUCAUUAUUCUCCCUUUUAGAAAUAAGUUCCACGAGUAGUAGUAAUCACAUGUUGAAGUCUAAGAUGUAACAAAUUGUAUUCGCCACAUACUUUCAUUUUUAUUUCCUUCAAAUGUAGUUGAUAGGUCAUCUCAACUAUUCAUAAUGUCCCAUUUCAAGCAAGAAGACUAUCCUAUUAUUUGUUUAUUCUUGAAGUCUUCAUAACUUCUUUUAAAUAAAAUAUUGAUUAUACCAUCAAAAGUCAUUCUUAUCUCAAUAAAAUCACCAAAUAUCAAGAGCCACUUCCAAGGUUGUAAUAUCAAACACAUUGUAUCUUGCUAUCUAUUUGAGGAAGAAUAUGUCAUUAUUAAGGGUCACCAUUUCAAUUACAUUGUCUUGAAAGCUAUAACAAUUAUAAUGUCUCAUCUGGUAAGUCAAUAAAUAAUGGCUCUUGAGUUGAGUCUAUCAAUUGUAGAUUUUCUAUCUUGUUGGUAUUGUUAAAAUACAAAGAACUCACAAAAAAGAAUAGAAGAUAUAAUGUAAUUUUUAUUGAACAUCUUAUUUUUUAUAGUAAGAAAUUGCUUAAUUUUUCAUCUUGAUUUUAAUGGAUGCCAUUGAUAAAAAAAAUUAAUCUUUAAUAGUACAUUUAUAAGAUUUUUGGCUUGCUUCUAUAUGCAUUCAUUAUUUUAUAUCCAUGGCAAUUAUGAAGAUAUUCCAAUCUAUUUUGGUAUUGCCUUGAAUCUAAACUUUCUUCUAUCUCAAACUGUUGAUAAUUAUCCACUUUUAUUGGAAGCGGUGGCAUUUGUCUUCUUUUUAAGAUAUUUACUAUCUUAUAUGGCUUUAGAAGAGAUAUGUAAAAUAUGAGAUAAAUCUUCAUUGACUUUGGUAGAUAUAAUUGAUAAGUAACUAGAUUAAUUUAUUUAAAAAUAGAAAAUGGUCUAAGGUUACAAUAAUCCAAUUGGUCACAAGGACAAAUAGUCUUGAUAUUGCAAUGAAGUAACCAAAGCUUGUCAUCUAUGUUGAAAUAUGGUUGUUCCUUGCGAUAGGCAUUUGCAUUGAGUUUUUGUAGUUUUUGAGUUUCUUUUAACUAUACCUUUAUUAUUGUAUGUAACUCUAACAAAUAAUUUGUCACAACUUCCACCAUAAAAUUAUUAACCUUUGAAAAGAAAAAGGUAUCUAAUUGUGGAUGGAAACCAUAAUUGACAAAAAAAGUUAUUUUUUAAAUAGAAGAAUGUACCAAAUUAUUAUAUAUAAACUCUGCUAAUGGUAAAAAAAUUGUCCAAUUAUCUUGAUAUUAAUUGAUGGUAUAUUUCAAAUAUUACUCAAAAACUUGAUUUAUCUAUUCUAUUUAUUCAUCAAUUUAAAGAUAAAAGAUUAAAGAUAAUUUUAUAUCCACCUUCAAUAUCUUAAAAAAUAUUUUCUAAAAUCUUGAUGCAAAUUGUGUCUUUCUAUCCAAUAUAAUAUCUAUACUAAUUGUAACGAGGCAUGGAUAAGAUAAUUGUACUAUUGACAUAUAGAAAUAGAUAAUUGGAGCUAUUUUUGAGAAGUUUUUAGAAUUAAAGCCAGGUUGGUGGUCAAUAUGGGGCCGACCAUGGAAUAUCUUAGAAGAAUUAAAGGUGGUUAUCUAGAUAGGGCCUAUCUCUAGAAUCUUCUAGAAGGAUAGUUAUUUUGGUGGAGUAUACCAUUAAAGAUAUUCUAGAAAGUUCUAGAAUAAUUGAAAAAAUUAUAAAUAGGACUAACUGACGCCAUUUGAAGGAUUUGGCCAAGUAUUGCUUUGGUUCUUUUCUUUUAGUAAAGUUUGGUUUGUAUUUUUUUAUUUUAUUCUAUUUCCUUCUGCUUUAUUUUAUCUUUUAUAUUUUAUUCUAUUUAAUUUUAUUCAAUUUUAUUUUGGUUUGUUUUAUUCUAUUUUAUGAUGGAAUAUAUAUUGCUAUAUAUUGGAAUGAUUUUAGAUCUUUAAGAGAAUUUAAUCUCGUUUCAUUGAUAUCAGAGUGAGAUUUAAUCUGUUCUUUGGUAGUAUGUUAAUAGCCACCAUGUAAUUAGAGGUUAAUUCUUGUGGUCAUACCAGUUAUUAUUUUGGGACUAUCACAAGUUACUUUUAAGAAAUCAAUUGGAAAGAUAGAAGGUAUUAUAAUGGCAAAGUUUGGUAAGAAAAUAGUAAUAUGGAAGAUAUAGUGGAGCCAUCCUGGAUGGUAGCUUAGGUGCAACAUCUUCUAGACUAGAUAACUACUUUGCAAUGACAAAUAGAAGCUUUUAGGAUAGGAAAGUUGACAUUUUCUAGGCUAAAAUUAAAUAAGUUCGAAACAUAUUCUAAAACUUCAACACAAGAAGACAUAUGCCAAUGGCUUUUGUGAGCUCUUACAAAUCAUGUCAAUAUAACUGAGCAUGCAAUGCAACAUCUUUUGGAUUAUUACAGCCAAUUCCACUAUCUAUGGCAUGUUGGGAGCAAAUGACAAUAGACUUCAUUACGUAUUUGUGACAAACGUCUUAUAAUCACACCAUAAUUGUUGACUUUGUGGAUGGAUUGUCAAAAAAACUUCAGUUGGCUACAAUGUAAUUUGAUAUUGAUGUGUUAGUACUUGCAUGGAUCUUCUUUGAUAAUGUCUUUAAUCACCAUGGAUUAUCUUAUGUCAUUAUUUCAAAUCAAGAUCCAUGCUUUAUGGGGAGUUUUUGGUAGGCCUUGUUUAAAUUACUUGGUAUACAACUUUUUAUGUCCAUAGCCUUCUAUCUUUAAACAUAUGGAUAAAUAAAACAUGCAAAUCAAACCUUAGAAAUUAUGCUAUGGAAAUUUAUAGCGAUUCACCAUAAUUACUAAGAUGAAUAUUUGACACCCUUAUCGAGAGCGAGGCCAUCAAAUUAGAGGUUGUCCAAAUAUCAAAGUACAAGUAUCAGCAAUCAAGGUGGAUUCACAGUCUCAAAAUUCACUAAGCCAAUAAUGAGUUAGAGCAAAAAAAACAGGGCUCUCCAAUAAAGUCGCCAAUGCCGUGCUGUAAUUACUUAUAGUAUGUAAAAAUUAGUUAGAAUAUAUAAUAUGUUCAUAACUCUUGGUAUAUGUUAGAAUUGCUAAUAGAUUAAUUUAAAUAAAUUGACUAUAAGAAACUUUAUUUUGAGUUUUAUUUAUUUUUAUUAUAGUAUUUAAAAAAAUAUAAGACCUAAAUGUUUAAUAUGAAGUCUUAAGAGGAGAUUAGAGCUUAAAGAUGAAAAUCUAAACUAGUAGGAGGCAUAUUGGAAGAGAUGAAAACAAGGCAUGGUUAGAUGAAGGCAAGGAAUAGGAAUCUUCAUUCCUAUUAGUUGAAGGCUGUAUCCAAUGGACUUCAAGGAGGGUUCCUGAGGCCUUAUUAGGGAUUAGGAUUUUUCUUCAGAGAGCAUUCAAGCAAUUGAAGCUAAAGUCAAUAAGUUUAGAUUUUUGGAUACAAAUUGGAUAUAAAUUUUGAGUGAUCUAAAGUUUUUAUGAAGGAGUUAUUGGCACUCAAAGUUAAGGUAUUAAUUUCAUAUCUACUAUCACUCUUUGGGACAUAACAUACGUUUAUAAAGAAAAACAAAGGAUCAAUGACUAAAAUUAGAGAGAGCACAUUUUUAACUACACUUUUUAUAUACCAUUUGAUGAAUUUGGAGUUUAUAUGAAGAAGUUAUAGAGAGUUGAAGUUAGCGCAUUCAAAUCAAAAGCAAUAAAUAAGUGAUUUUAUUCAUAAUAAUGGUUGGAGCCAUAUCUUAAGUUUCUAGAUAAAUUUUUAGCUCAAACUUUUUGGACAAGGUAGAUUAUUGAGUUAAAAAUCUAUACAUAUAAAUUUUGUGGCAUUUAAAUGCUUGAUUUGUGAGAUAUGAAGAAAAUUAUACAUAGGUGUAUAAAAACUAGGGUUUGAAGCUAUUGUUAGGAUUUCGAUGAAAUCUUAAGAUCCGCAAUAAAUUUGUAGUUGAAAUUUGUUAUAAUAGUUGUUAGAAUUAUAUUAAUACUUUAUGUAAAUUUUGAGUAUAUUUGAACAAUUAGAUUGAAAGAUAUGAGUUUUUGAAGUUUGAGAAUAAUACCUCAUAAGGAUAUAUAAGGAUUUAGAGUUUUUUUUUAUCAUAUUUUGGAUAUUUUUGGGAACCUAAGACUUAUAUAUUUGGUGUAAUUACUCUUAAAAGUAUUAUACAUAUAUUUAAACUUGGUCUUUUUUUAUUUCAAGACUUGAUUGAGCAAUUAGUGGGAGCUUGGAAUCCAAUGUUUUUUUGAGGCUUAACUCUCUCUACCUUGACACCGGAGGCUAAUAUUGGGGUAGCUAUUGUCUCUAAGAGACAAAUGGCAUAGCCUUAGACAACUAUAAAAAGAGUCAACUGGUGCAUCUAAAAAGACUAUUAAGGGGACAACCAUGUCGAGUGCUUGUAGAUUGUGGCUCUACAAAAAAUUACAUCUCAAUUGAAAUUGCCAACUAAUUUAGAAUUAAAACUAAAGAAAUCAAGGAAGGAAGUAUGUACCUUGCAGAUGAUCAAGACAACAUAUUGAGUGAGACGUAUAGAGAAGAAAUCUUGAGAUUGAUAGACACCUACAUCUUAAGAGAGAGAUUCAAGUUGACAAAGCUAAGGUAUGAUGUUAUCCAUGGUAUACUAUGGCUAGAGAUGGAAAAUAAGAAAGUUGAUUGGGUAGCAAGGACAAUCUCUUUUAAAGAUGGAGGAUGCAAAGUGAUUCUUUGGACCUUUACAUCAAGUGAAGAGGAAAGAUAGCCUACAACCAAAGACUUAUUCUAGAGACGACCUUUAUAAAGAAGUAACUAUAGCAUUAGCAAUCGGUAUAUAUGGUGGUUUCAAAAUUCAUGUCAAUGGUAGAAAAGACAAUCAAAGGAAUAGAAUGGGCAAAACAACUCAUAUAAGAAUAUCAUGAUGUCUUUUCAACUGAUCUACCUAGUUGCAUACCUCUUGAUUGAGGUGCUUCCUUUAAAAUACAACUAUUGCCUAAAAUCAAACCAGCAAGUUAACUAAUUUAUUACAUAGUACUAAAAGAACUUGAAGAGUUGUAGAAGACAUUGGACAAAUUUUUAGAAAAAUACCUCAUUCAAAAAAAAUACAUCAUCAUAGAGAGCACCUAUAUUCUUUGUACCUAAGAAAGAUGGUGGAUUUUGCCUUUGUAUUGACUAUCAAUGUCUUAAUAAGUAAACUGUUAAAAAUGCAUAUCUACUUCUAGAUGUGAAUGAUUUUCUUAACCAACUUUGAAGUGCAACGAUCUUUAGUAAAUUAGAUCUUUGAAGCGGCUAUUGGCAAAUACCUAUUACAAGAGAAGAUGUAGAAAAGAUGGCAUUUUGUACGCGCUAUGGAUAUUUUGAAUGGCUGGUUUUAUACUUUGGCCUUACCAAUGCUAUACUCUCUUGUAUGGGUUACAUGAACAGAUUGUUUUUAGACUUUUUGGACAAGUAUGUAGUUGUCUUCAUUGAUAAUAUCCUCGUAUAUAAUAAAAUCCUUGAAGAACAUAAACAAUACCUACAAUAUUAUAAUAUGUAAAGUGUUACUUGAGAAUGCCCUAGGCACUUGGCUGUGGAAGGUAGAAUAGAAAUUAUAAUAACAAAAUCCUAAUUCUAAUAGAAUACUAAAUAAACUUUAAUAAAACCUUAAAAAUUUUAAAUAAGCUUUAAUCAAAUUAAAAAAGAAACCUUAAAGAAAUUACAAAAGAAACAAUAAAAAAUCUAAAAGGGGUUGAAAGAUAAUCUACAAUAAAUCUUAAAAGAAUUCUUAAGAAGCUCUAAAAAGUAUUAAAAUAAUUACAAUAUAUCUUAAAUAAAUCUCAACUAAGUUCUAAUUUAACCCUAGUUGAAAUCCUAAUAAACUUCAAUCAAAUCCUAGAUAAAUCUUAAAUCCCAAAUAAAAUCAUAAUUAAAUUUUAAAUCCUAAACUAAAUCCUAGACAAAUCUUAAUCAAAUCUUAAAUCCUAAAUCAAAUCCUAACCAAAUCUUAAAUCUUAAACCAAAUCCUAAACCAAACUCUAAACAUACCUUAACUAAGUCUUAAAUCCUAAAUAAAAUCCUAAUCAAAUUCUAAAUCUUAAACCAAAUCCUAACCAAUCCUAAAUCUUAAAUCAAAUUCUACACAAAUUCUAAUUAAAUCCUAAAUCCUAAACCAAAUCCUAAUCAAACUUAAAAUCCUAAAUUGAUUCUUAACCAAAUCCUAAUCAAACUCAAAAUCCUAAAUUCUAAAUUAUAUCCUAUCAAAGAUAAGAACUUGAUAAAAAUAAAUAAAUAAGUGAGACUUUUUUCAAAAAAAGAUGAAAAAAUAGAAAUGACUAUAUAUGUAUAUUAAAAAAGAAAUUAGAAUGGCUAUUUCUAAAAGACAAGAAAAACUAAAGAUCCUUGAAACUAAACUAGAAGCAAGAAAAGACUUGACAAGAGUGAAGAGAGCUUUACUCUUGUCUCUAUAUAUAUUAUCUAAGUAAGAGCUACAUGACAAUGUUCUAUAGGACCUCCAAUAUAUGUUGACUUUAUAGGACACAUGCCUUGACUUACAAGGUAAUUUUUUCUACAUGUGGGCUACAUAAUUAGCUUGGUCUUUAAGCUAAUAACAUAUGUGGCACAUGGCCAACUUGUUCACCACGUUUAUAAUCCAAAAAAUCAAUUAAAGACACCUAUAAAGUCAAAGCAACGUCUAUGAAGCUUCUAAGAAGCUUUCAUAGAAGAUAUUAUAGAAUUGACUUAUUUUUACUUACUUUUACUUACUUCUAUCUAUUUAUAUAUGUAAUUACUAGCUUACAUGCAUAUGUCUGUGACAUUAUCUCCGGUAGUUUAGAACCUUAAUAUCUUAUAAUUAAACUGUUGAUCUUAUUUAAAAUUUUUUAUACCUCUUAAUUUCUUAGUUACAAAGAAGUACAAUAAAUUUGAUGAAAAUCGCACUUAUCAAAUAGAAUCUUCGGCAUAAGAAUCAAUGCUUAUAAAAACUCUAUCAAGUUUGCUAUCAAAUCCCACUCUUCAAUCUCUAAAAGAAUCCUAGAGUCAUUAUAGGUGUAUAGUUUUGUGCCUUGGAAUUUGAUUUCGACCUAGGUUGACAACAGCUCCUCUCUGGUUUUCAAUUCUUGGCUUCUUGAGGUAAAUUUUACAAAAAUCUAUUCUUAAUUCCUUCCUACACAUGCUUAUAUUACUUAAUUUUCUAAUUUACUUUAUUUUGCCUUAUUUAUGGCUCUAUAAAAUAAAUAGAAGCUUAUUUUGUAAAAAGUAAUAUUAUUAAUUUUUAGUUUUACUACCCUUUUGUCUAUUAUCUAUAUUUCUAAGAUAAAUAUUUUGAAUUAAGAUCUUCUAUAAUAUAAUAUUUUCUACAUUCUUUCAUCUAUUAGCUAUAUUAUAUGACAACAUCCACCCUUCCUUGUAUCUGUGCAUCCUUCGGCAUAAGCAAAUGAUUCUUCAAAAUAUUGAUGUAGAAUGCUCUUUAUCUUAUUCAAAUUCUUGAUCUUCAAUUUGCUUUUCUACUCCCAUUUCAAUAUCUUGUAUUGGAUUUUAUUCUUCAUCAAAAAAAAUAUCUUCAUAUCUUUAUUUAAAUAACUUCAUUUGUUUGUCUGCUAUAGGUAUCUUCAAUUCUGUACCAUCAAGUUCUUAUAAUAAGUAUGUUUCAUUAUUAUAUGCCUUUUUGAUAAUAUAAGGUCCAAACUACCUCUUUGAAAACUUCUUUGUUGUGCUAUGUUGAUUAUCUAAGCUACUAUCAUAAACUAAUAACCAAUCACCAUCUUUAAUUGCCUUAGGUUGUAAUCAAUGUUUUUUUUAAUCAAAUCUUUCUUUAUUCUUUUUCCUUGCUUCUUUCAAUCUCUCUAUUGCCACUUUAAUAUCAUUAGGUCUUCUUUCUAAUUGUUGAAUCUGUAAUGCUAAAGGCUCUUCUCUAUUGAGAUCAUUCUUCUAAAGUAAUACACUCCGUGUAGAUACUUUAUCUUUUAUUGGCAUUAUUGAUUUUUGUUCAUAUAUUAAUUCAGAAGAUAUAUAACCUGUUAUUGAACUAUGAAUUGUACGAUAUAUCCAUAGUAUAAAUGGUAGUAGUUUAGGCCAUUCAUGUGCUUUGCUAUUGUAUGCAUUUAUUAAUGCCUUAACAAUAGGUGAAUGUCCAUGCUCACUUUUAGCAUUAUCUUUUGGAUUAUAUGUUGUUGUUAAAGAAAUUUUAAUUCCUAUUCUAUUAAAGAAUUCUUAUGCUUCCUUCACAUCCAAUUUAUGCCUAUCUACUAUAAUUUUUUUAAUACAACCAAAGUAAUAAAUAACAUCUUUUAAUAGAAUUUGACAUAUAUAUUUAAUAUUCUUUGUUUUUAAUCCUUGUCCUUCAACUAUAUUUGAUAAAUCUUCUUGUGCAAGUACCAAAUAUUUUAUUUGUCUAAGUCCCAUAGGCAUUUCCACUAAAUCCACCACCCAUUUAUAAUAUAAAGUCAAAAGAUAUGUUAGGUGUAAUCCAUCUUGAUGUCAAAUAUUUGAAUAUACUUGGCAAGUAUCACAAGAUCCUACAAAUUUUUCUACAUCUUUGUAUAUACCCUUCUACCAAUAUUUUUCUCUCAACUUUAUAAAUUUUGUUCAAAUACGUCAAUGCCCUAUUCAUAAACUUUCAUAAAAUUCUUUAAUAAUCUUUUGUUGAGCUUCUAAACCACAUAUCAUUCUUUUUGGUACUUCUCCUCUCCUCUUUAGAUGCUUCGAUAAAUAUCCAUAAUGUAAAAAAUAUCCAUAGGCUUUCUUACGAAUUUUCUUGAAUUCUUGAUCCAUCUAACUUUCUUGUCACUUUAAUGUGCUUAAAUACUCCUCAACAUCUUUCCAUUCACCUUCAUGUAAAUCUCUUAAAAAUAUUUUCAAUGGUAUAUUCAAACAUAUACUUUUUUCCUUUGAUAAUGCAUUAAUAUAAAAUUUUGUACCUACAUCAUCUUUCAAAUAAAUCAUCUCUUUUUUAUCAUAAUACCUUGCUCUUAAUAAGAUAUCUGCAAUUGAAUUUUCUUUCCCUACAAUGUAUUUAAAUUUUGAAUUUAUAGAUUUGAUAUAUGCUAUCUACUUUAAUAUAAGAAUAUUAGGAGUUGAAUAACUUGUAAUUAUGCCUAAUAAAGAUAGAUAAUCUAUUUUUAUAACUAUUGAUGUCCCAAUGAAGUACUCUUUUUUAUUUUUCAUAGCUAUUACUAUAUUCCAUAAUUCUUUUUUGAUCUGCAUAUAUGUCCUUUAUCUAGCAUUCAAAACCUUUGCUCCAAAUCUUAUUACAUAUUUAUUCUUUUAUUGAUUAUCUUAUCCAAUUAUCCAACCUAUUCCAAUUGGACUUGCAUCAACUGUUAUUACCAUCGAUCUUCCACUUUCAUAAUUUACUUUCAAAGUUAGAAGUAAAAAAAGAAUUUCUUUCAAUUUUUCUAUAGCUUUUUUUUCAUUCUUUUUUCAUUGAAUUUUUUGAUUAUUUCUUAACAACUCAUAGAAUAGGUUUACUAUAUGUGCAAAAUGAGGUAUCCAUAUAUGAUAGAAAAUAUAUGCUUCUAAAAAUCUUUUUUUACUUUUGUUGUAUUUAUACAUUCUUUUAUUUUUUUUUAAUAAUAUCAACAUUUUCCAUACUUGGCUUAUAUCCACAUAAUCCACAUAUGUGUUCUACCACUAAAACUUUUUUUAUUUCAAAUAUUGAUUUUGCUCCAGAUAAGAUUAAAUGAACUUCUUCUAAUCUUUUCAAAAUCUUCUUAUAAUAAUUAAUAUGAUUUGCUACAAAUUUUCUACAUCUUUUUGAAUCCAAAGUCUCACCUUUUUUUUCUUCUUCACAUUCUUUAAUUAAUACAUCAUCUAAGAAAGGCAUUGUUGUUCUUAGAAUAAAAUUUCUUAAUACCUUAUGCAUUCUAAUCAUUAUGUGUUCCAUAGAAUUUGUAGCUCUUUGUAGUAAUAUACAUAUUCUAACCAAUCUUAAUGGUAUCUUUAUAGUUGUUAAAUCUCUAUUUUAUAUUGCCAAUUGAAAUUGAUCAUAUCCUAAAUAAAGAUCACCUAUUGAAUAGAUUUCUCUUCCAGCAAAUGCUUUUAUAAAUUCAUCUACAAUCAGACUUGGAUCCAUAUUUCUAAUAGUUUCUUUAUUCACAAGUUACAUACCUUAUAUAAAUCUCAUUAUUUCAUUUUUUUUUGGCAUUAUAAAUCAUUGAUUAGAAUAAGGUACCAUAUAUGGUUCCAAAAUUCUCAUUUUUAUCUUUUCAUUGAGUAAAUCUAUUAAUUUAGAUAAAUGUAUUCUUAGUACUAGAAUUGGUUGUAAAUUCUAUGGUUCAUGAGGAAUAGUAAAAAUAAUCAUAGGUGCUACAAUACUUGGAUCAACACACCCAAUUUCAUGUGCUUCAAAUACAAAAGCCUUUCUAUGACAUGAAAGCAUAUUCUUAAAAUAUUUUUCUUCAUAUUUUAUCAAAAAUUCAUUACAUCCAACAUUUAAUCCAUCUAAUGUAGCAUCUAUAAAUUCAUGACUUAUCUUCCUCAGAUCUCUUAAAUUUGGUUGUAUAGAUGCUUCACUUAUCUUUUCUUCACAAUCUGAUGGUAGUGGCAAAACCACUGAUUUGACUUUUUUUGCUACUAAUUUAUACUUAGUUUCAACAUGUACCUCUUGGUAACUUAAAACUUCUAUAAAUCUUUGAAUUUUAUUAUAAAAUUCUUUAGCAUAUAAAUUAAUAAUUCUAUUCUCUCCUUGUAACAUAUAUUAUAAUAAAUAAUAUAAUUCUUCUAUAAUAUCUAUAAAACGUACUGCUUCAAAUGCUCUUGAAAUAAAUUUAUUUUCAAUCAAUUCUCUAUUUUCUUUUAAGUUUUGCUCAAUAUUUUUAAUAUAAUAUUUUUUCAUCUUUUUCAUCUUGUUAAGUCUUAAAUGACAAUAUACAAUCUUAUGCUAUUCUAAUAAGUUCAGUAGAUAAUAUCUCUUCUUCUAAACUAAGCAGAAGCAUUUCUCUCUCUAAUCCAUUGCAAUCCCUCUUUACAAUGGUGUAUGGUAAAAACCUUCAAGGUCUUCAAAUUUCUCAUUUGAUAAAGGCUUCUUUCUCAACUUAUCAUGAUUUUUUUCAUGAUUAGUACAAAUAAUUAAUAAUUGAAGUACUUUCAUUUCAUCUUAGCUUCUUAUUCUUGCAUAGGCUGAAUCAUCAUCUAUUAUCUUUGUUUCUAUUUGUGUGGCAAUAAUAUAUGAUUAUCUCAACAUAAUAGGAUAUGUAGACAUAUCUUACAUAAAGAAAUUUUGUUCAUGAAUAACAUCUCCUAUCAUCAUCUUAAUAUUUAUAUAAACUCCAUACAAAUCUUCUUUUGAAUUAUUUGCUAUUCUUAUCAUCUAUCCAUGUUCAAUAUUAAUAGGCCACUUUUUCUUGUUAUAUAAUUUUUUUAUAUCAAAUUGAUUUCAAAACCAUGAUCAAUCAAUGUUACAACUAGUUCUUUUAAAUUUCUCAAUUUUAUCAAAGUUUUCAUAAUAGUCCUUGUCCAAUGACUUCUAGUAUAAUGACUAGAAGCUUGAAUGACAUCGUUUCUUUCUAUAAAUCUUACUUGUAAGACAUCUCCAAAAUUUUACAUUUCAUCUUCUUCAUCUUCAUUACUUUUUGAUGCUCUUGUUUCUUAUAUAUUUGAUGUCAUAGUAUCUCAUAGAUUGUUAUUUUUUCUUUAUUAUAUCAAUAAUAACUUCAUGAAAUUCACGCUUUGCAAUUCCUAGAAUUUCACUAAUUGUGAAUUCAAUCUUUUUCUUUAAAAUCCGCUCUUCCAAUACCUUCUUCAAGUCUAUAGCAACUUCAAUAUUUCAUUGUAAUUUAUAAGCAAGAGACUUUACUUUUUCUUUUCUAAUUUUUCUUUAUUUUUUGUAGAAAUAUUCUCUAUUAUCUCUUCAUGUAUAGGAUUCUUUUGUUGUCGAGUUUUUUUCUCUUCUUAUAGUUCAUUUUAAAGACCCUUCAUUAUUUUCAUCCCUCCUUUUCUUUUCUUCUAUUAAUGCUUCAUAUUCACUCCUUGCAAUAUGAACAUGUAUAGAUAAUCAAUGUAGUAGAUCAUUCCACUUAAUAAUUUGUCAAAUGUUAUUACCAAUACGUUCCAAAUCAUCUCCAAUAAAUUUUUUCUUUUCAGCAUAAGUCAUUGCACUUGUCCACAAAGAAUUAGAUUCUUAUGAAAAUUCAAGAUUUAUAUUUAAAUAUUUAUUAGGAUUUGCUUCUACCCAAUAUAUUAAUGCUUCAUUGCUUGAAAUUAUAUGCACUUUAAAAACAUCUCCCAUAGAUACCUUCAUUUUUCUUUUAUCAAAAUUUGUCUCUAAUUUUAUUCUACUUUCUUUUAAAUGUAUUAUAUCAUCUUUAAAAAAAAAAAUCACUUUAUGAUGCACCUCUAUAAAAUUUUCACAUUUCCUUCUUGAGUAAUCUAUGCUAUUACACCAGAUGCACCUAUGCACUACACCUUCUAUUGGCUUUAAUCUUUGUCUUCUUGAUAUUCUUGAUGAUUGGUCCUUCUCUUAAAGUUUUUUAAAUUUUAUUUAUAAAUCUCUCAUCCCACAUGUGAUUUCAUUGAUGCCUAUUUCUUCUUUCUUUGAUGUAGCCAUUGAAGGUUGAAUUAAAGAUGUUGAGUAGAUAUUAGAUAUUUUUAUAUUAGAUGCUUAUAAUGGUCUUUGAAUACUCACCUUAUUUUUUAUUUUUUUUUCUUUUUUGCCAACAAUCUUACUAUCUCUUCCACUUCCUUCUAUUUUGUUGUCAAUCCUUCAUCUUUUUUUUUUAUCUUCAAGUAAGAUUUCUAACUUCUCUUGCAACUUUCCAUCAUCUACUUAAAAAAAGAGCUCUACUUUAUCUGGAUUCAAUAAUUGUCUUUUUUUUUAUAAAGAAGAAUAUUUCUUUUGAAACUUCUUUAAUAAUUUUGUUGCUAGAAGAUCCUUCUUUGGCCUUUCAACCCAUUCAAAAAAUAAUUUCUUUAUAAUCUGAUCAAUAUCUCAUCCUUCAAUGCUUAAAAUAAUUUUUUUCCAUGAACCUCUAAAAUAUCUUAUAAUAGAUCCUACAUGAUUUCUUAUCUGUAGUGUAGUAGCCAAUUCAAAUAAUUGCACCAUCUCUCUUUCUGGAACAUGCUUCAACUCUACUUCUUUUACAUAGCACCUUAAAUAUUUAGUAAUGUCUUUUCCUUCAAAUUGAUUAAUUUUAUUUAUAACCACUUCUAAUUCUUUAUUUGUUAUAUCUUCUUUGUACUCUUUAACUUAUUGCUAUUGCAUGAUUAAGGCAAAAGUAUCAAACAUGCUUAUAGAAUUGGAAUCAAAAUACAUACCUUGUUCUCCACUAAUAGCUCUACUUGUAGCUCUAGUCAAAGUACCAUCCAUAGCCCCUCCUUCAACUCUCUUCUCUUCCUUCUCCAUAAUUCAAAUAAUCCAAGGAAUUUUUUUUAAAUACCUUUUACUUCAAGCUUUUCAUGUCGAAUUCACCAAAUAUAUCAUAAUACAUGAAGUAUUACUUGAGAGUGUACUGAGCACUUGGCUGUAGAAGGUAAAAUAGAAAUUAUAAUAUUAAAAUCUUAAUUCAAAUAAAAUAUUAAAUAAACUCUAAUUAAACCUUAAGAAUGCUAAAUAAGAUUUAAUCAAAUUAAAAAAAAAAAAAAAACCUUAAAGAAAUUAUAAAAGAAAUAAUAAAAAAUCUUAAAAGGAUUAAAAGAUAAUCUAUAAUAAACCUUAAAAGAAUCUUUAAGAAGUUGUGGUUAUUGUUUUACUUAUUCUACAAAUUUCUUUUUAAAAUAAAUCCACUCCAAUGGAAUUGCUUGCCUCCAAUUCCUAUUUGACACCACCUUUUGUAUCCAAUGCUCAUACCAUGCAAUGUAUUUGCAAAAUGUACUUCAAUAAAGCAUUCUUAAGAUAUAUGCUUUCUGGUAGUUGGCCCUAUAGAAAUGCCAAUUGAUUGAUAUCUAACAAAAUCUAGACUUCAUUCUCUUCAUUCUCUGCCAAAUUAAUCGAAGCCAAUUCUGGUGCAACUUUUGGAACUAUCUCUUGUACCAAUAUAUGACUAGAUUCCUCAAUUUUGUGUACUACAUUCCUUGAAUUGAUAGUCAGUGCUAAUAAAUUUUAUUCACCUUGUUGAGGCACUAGCAAGGAUACAUUUCUCUCUGCUACUGGCAUUGCUUGACUCAAUGUAGAUGCAAUCAUAGCAUACACAUAAUUAGAACAGAGCAACGCUGUAAACUUUCUUAUUUUUUGCUUGGCUCCCAUUUCCACAUGAAUAUAAGUUGCUACAUAAGCUACCUAAUUGAAUACCAUCCUGUCAAGCAUCCCUAUUGCUGCAAACAUUAAUUGUCUUGGCAUAUACAAGUUAUGUUGAUAUAACCCUAAAUGCCUCAAUAUGAAGCACAUCCAUUCCAUGAGCUCUGGUAUAAUUGCCUUAGCUGUCUACCAACCUUAAUUCUUCUCAAAUGAUGACAUUCUACCUUUGAAAAAUACUCUUGGAUUGAAAUCGCUUAAGUCUAUCACCUCUAGUGCAAACUCUCUAAUUGGAAGAUACAACACCUUUUCUAGGAUCUUCUCAUCAAUAUCAAUAAUGUACCCUUAUACCAUGCUCCAUCUAUCCUCUACGUUAUAAUUCGCGAUGUAUUCUUCUACUAAUGCUACAUUAAUUGAUGCCAAGCUAUCUAGCCUUCUUAAAAAAUUGAAAUAUUUAUACAUUUCAAAAAUCUCGUAUUCUUCUUGGCGUCCAACAGAUCUUCAAUUUUAUAGGCUCCAAAUUAGUAAUGAUUACUAUGGAUGAUGGUUCCAAAUUGUAUUUAGCUUUCACAUUUUGGCCACUUUCUUCUAUGUCCAUUGUCAUAUUACGUGUUGUUUUGCUCAGGAAUGCACUGGGCACCUAGCUGUGGAACAAGAAAUUGUGUUUCACAAGUAGCCAAGAAAUCCUAAUAGGUUUCAUCCAUACGAGAAGAAUAUAAUCUGAAUUUCAAUUCAAAAGUACUUAAAACACUCUUCUUAGUAGUCUUAACUAUACAUAAAUCCCAAAUACCUUAUUACUUUCAUAUUUAAGCAAUUUAGAUUUUUCUUGUAAAUCCCAAUUCUAAUCAGUGAGCUUUAACAAGCUAUAACAUCCAAUUCGACCGUCCACUUGAUGUGGAAUUUUGCAUGCAAUUGUCAAUAUAAGUCUUCUAUAUGCUCAAGAAUUUUUAGUCCAAUCCAACUUAAAAAUUAUGAGAAAACCUCCAAAAAUUGUAUUGAUGUCACUCGGCUAUCAACUUGAAAAGUGAAGUAAAAAUUCCAGCAAUGAUUUAUCCCUUUUCAAUUAUUAACUUUGUCUCAAAAUUGAUGUGUAGCUUGAUCUUCAAGUCCUUCAACAUCAUGCCAAUUUUCACCUUAAUCCAACUAAUAGAUCUUUAGAUAUCAUAGAAAUCCUACCCAACCUCAAACUGCCACCUUCCAAAAUCCUCUUGUGCUAAAAACUAGAUAUCUCUAAACCAUCCCGUUAGAUUAUCACAAAAUUUUGUAUACACUUAGUACACUCAAUAAUCUAAAUAGUACCAAGUUUUCAACCAUAGAUGUUACACCAAUUGCACGAAAUAGCCAAAAUUAUUAGUCCUAAUUAUAUUAUAUAAAACCCAAAUCAUUGAUACAAACCCUGACUUUGAACAACAAUUGCUAAGUCUUCCAAAACCCUUUCAAAAAAAUUCUUAUGUAUUUGGAAAGAACUUCAAGAUAGCUCUAAAAUCUUAACCUUUGAUCUUUGAAUGAUCCCCUAUUUUGUCCUAGGCCGUCAUUUUGGUGGCUAGAGGUUUGAUUUCAACCCUGUUUCACAAAUAGUCAAUCUCCAGGUAUCAAUCUAACCUAUUGUAGAAUAGGUAAAUAAAUUUUGUCGUAAGCUACUAGUUGGUUAUUGAAAACCUUGACAUUUAGACUUAUGGUUAGAUAGUUUAGUUGAUAAUAGUAGAUUGUUAGUGGAAUAAAUGGUUAAGAAUUCAAAGGGUCAUAACCUUUGGAAUCUGCUGGCCGAUGGAUCAUCUUUUUUGUAGGACAAAGAGGUUGAGGAAAGAGAGAUCAAAGCCAGACUGUGAGAGUCGUAAGCCAAGGUAAGCUUAGUGCUACCUCUUUAUUUUUUUUAUUUUUAUUAUUUUUUUAUGACAAAUUGUAAUUGAGAGAAGUAUUGUUGAAACUAUGAUUAGAAUAUUGUGGAAUAUGGCUUAGGACUGACCGUUUUAGAGAAGAUCUAUGACCUUGAGAAUUGAGAUUAUCGAAUUGUAUUUUGUUAAGUGAAGAUAUUUAAUUCUGUGUGAUGAAUUGAGAAACUGAAUAUAAUAAGAAAGCUAGAGAUCAGUAAUUAAAUAUAUAUAAACCGCAAAGGGAGUAAGUGGGAGAUGAAUUGAUAAGAAUAUGGAAGUAUUAUUGAAUUGAUAGUCGUAGAAUAGAUUAUGUAUUGAAUUAAGAUGGAAGUAGUAAGCCUUGGUGUUUUUUAGUUUGAUAAUUGAUUUUAGAUAGCUAGAGUACAAUCAAUUAUGACUUUAAUACAUCCAAUUCAUAUAACCAAUCUUUCCCUGUGUUCGAAUCCACCUCUAUUAGUUCAAUUGCUUUGAUAUAUCAAAGCUUGAAUGCAACGAGAACAACAUUUUGGCACCGCUGCCGGAGAAAUGAUAACAAUAUGAAAUAUUAGAAAUUGAUUGUAUGAGAAGAAUGAAAGAUUAUGAGUAAUAAUUAUGAAGGGGAGGAUUAUCAAAGAAUUAAUCGAUUAGCAAAAGAAAGACAGGAGUGAUUACGUAUAAGAAAUCUCCUACGGAAACGAAAAAAAAGAAUUAUAUGUCCAAAUAAAACCAAAGGAAGAAAAAUUCAAAUUUAGAUAGCAAGGAGACUAGUGAUAACACCAAUGGUUGCGGGAGUGCUAGAAGUAUCAAUUGCAGUACAAAUGGGAGCAGUAGGAGACCGAACUACAAGUGUGGCACUAUUAUCUACUUUUAGUGGUUGUCGAGCUUUGAUCCCAAUUACCAUAUAUCUCAAUUUUUGACAACUUACAUGGCUAAUAAUGGUAGAAUUGAAGACAUUUGGUUAAGAUGGUUGCGAGCAACUUUAAAAGAUACAGCUUUUAAAUGGUAUAAUCGACAACGAGUGGAUAGAUUUCUCAAUUGGGAGGCCUUAAGGAACGCCUUCCUAAUCCAUUUUAGACCAAUUGGAUUUGAAGAUUGGCUUUGAGAAAGUUUUAUGAAUAGCAGGAUGUUUGUGGGGGAAUCAGUAGAGUCCUAUUAUGGUCGGGUCACGAAUAUACUUUGUAAAUGGUCAAAUAAUCAAAUGCCAGAUGUGUUUAUAUUGUCAAUAUUAAUUAAUGGUUUGCAUCCACCAGAAUUAAAAAUGUUUGUAAAAGAGGCUCGACUAGCUACAAUAGAGGCAUCAUUGGCACAAGCAAAGGUGUCGGAAGAAUGUCAUUAUGACCAAUUAUUAAUAGUGGAGGCCACGAUGAUUCGAAAUUCAAGAAGCCAACAAAUACAAUCGAGAAAUGUGUCGAUGGAUAAUUAUCUACAAAUGGCUGAUUCCAACAUGAAGAAUGUUAUGUUGCAAAAAUCAAUUAAUGCUAUACCACUCCAAGCAAUAGUGUCAAUAACAAAGACACCUUAUUUUACAUCACCAAUCUAUCAGCAAUCGGAGUUGUUCACAAAUGUGACUGUUAAAGAUCCAAAUGAAGCCUUGUUAUUAAAUCUAACAAAGAAGAUGGAAGAAUUGGCUGUAAAUUUGAUUAAAGAUAAGGAAAAAUGACAUAAGCCUUGUAAUACGAGACCUAAUGUAUGGUAUAAUAAUUGUAAGAGGCAAGGUCACUUUGAUAUGGAAUGUCCAUCAUCCAGACAAACGGGUGUUCAAUGUACAUUUAUUGGAGGAAAACACCCUACCUAAAACUGCUGGCAUUUACAAAGGCAACAAUAAUUCAGUAAUCAGACCAUGAUCCCAUCGACUCAGUGAAAAGUCUAUCAAGUUCAAAUAGAAAAUACGUAUGGAUGGAAUGAAAAUCGAUCUAAUCGAAAAAAUUGAACAUUCAAUAACUUUCAAAGUUUCAAUUUUAAUCAGGGGUCUGCAUCAAACCAUCAGAACUAUGGGAAGGAGCAGUAGAGGUAUCAGCAAUAUGUUCGAUCAGCGUCAUUGAACCAAAUACCCUAUGUACAAAUGAGACAACCAGGAUCAUUUUCUAACCCUAUUUAGAACAAGCUUAGUAGGUAUAUAUUGGUGGAGACACCCACUAUGUCAGAUGGAGGUGCAAGAAGACCACUUUGCUGUUUCCGUUGCAUAUAGAUUGCUCAUUAUGCUAGUGAAUGUCCCAAUCCCAGAGCCAGUGAUAAUUAUGUGCCAGUGUGUAUGAAUUGCAAGCAGUCAAGAUAUACUUAUCAGCAAUGUAAUGCUCUGUUCAAUUUCAAUAAUCGAAACUAGCAAAUCCAAAGCCAAAGAAAAAUGGAGGACAUAAAUCAAGGUCUCUAAGAUUCUCUGAUAAAUCGGAUGGAAUGUGCCCAAGCCAUUCUUAUCAGGAGUCAGAAAAAAAAGAAAGGACCAAUUCAAUAUUUGGAUAAUCCUGAAGCAAAAGGCCAAUUAGACCUAAUUAUGGCGACAUCCAAUCCAGGUCUUGAAAUGGGCCCCUUACUCAGUAUAAGACCUAAAUCGGUUGUGCACCCUAAUGAGGUACCGAUUACGGAGGCUUUGAUUCCAUCUCAAGCUAUUCCGUUGUCAUAUUACGUGCUUUCCUGCUCGAGAAUGCAUCGGACGUCUGGCUGUAGAAGGUAGUAUAGAGAUUCGCCAAUAUUCAAGCAGUUUAUCGAUUUUUGACUAUUGGAAUAUAAACAACUACAAGAAUACACCGUAAAUCUAUACGGAUGCCCUUUGACUGCUUGUCGAAGUCCUUUUUGCCCUAGCCGAUAGGUCUCUAGACGUUAUAGAGAACCCCGAACAAUCCAAACUGCUAAUCUUCGAUACCGCUUUAUACUCACGAUCUUGUAUCCACUGACUGUCUUGUUAGAUUAAUCCAAUAAAUUUCAUUCACUCCGCAUACUCAACCCUAUAGGCACCCUUUUAACUCUUCAUCACAAACAUAACUCGAUUUCACAAAACAGUCAAGAGUAAUCAAACCCACUUCAUUAAAAAUCCCGAUUCACCAUUACAACACUGACUUCAGCAACAAUUGCCUCAGUCUUCCCAAAACCCUAUGAAGAAAAAAAAAUCCAAUUCUCUGUCUUUUUUCUCCGCCCGAAGCAUGAAGCUAGCUCUCUGAUUCUUCAAAAAACUCCCCCAAAAACUUCUUCUCUCUCCUCUCAUUUCUUAACCUUAAUUUUGAAUUUCUUCAAUCCUCCGUCUUGGAUCCGGAAUUGGCUCUUGCCGUCAGAGCUUGAUCUGAAAUUGACUCUUGCUGUCAAAGCUUUCUCCUCCGUUUUUACCUUUAAGAGCUCCUUUUACCGAAAGGACGUUUCCGAAAUGACACAAAAGACGGAACAGCCUGAAACGGAAUUGGAGCCACGUAAUCGGGACCACAUUGAGUCGCCCGACCAAUUCAGGUCUCAUAUUGGCUAAGAGUCCAAUAGUAAGACCCGGAUGUUCCCGAAAUUGGAUCAAAUUGGUCUUUCACGUCAGAUUGGCUGAGGCCCGUAGUAAGACUUGGAUUUUCCCGUAAUUAGACUGCAUUGGAUUGCCCGAAUAAUUCAGGUCUCAUAUUGGGUAAGAGGACCCGGAUUAGAUUCUUGAAAUUGGAUCCAAUUGGCUCUUCGAACUAGGCUCACCCGUCGUGUGAAUUGGUCCUUUCCCUUCCUGCUGACUCCCGUUAUUGGAAUCAAACGGAGCAUUUCAGUAUGCCCCGGCUGAUUGUAAUGGGGUGACUGAACCUGGCCACUCAACAUUUGCACUGGAGUUGGUCGUUGCUCCCAAUAUUCGAGGUAACUGAACAUUAAUAAAAGUCCCCUUUCUUUAUAUUUUCACGAUAUACUCGUGUUACAACACGACACCGUUCUCUACACAGUUUUGAGAAACAUCCUUUUCAUUAAAAGAUCCUCUCCGAGGCGUGAAUUCCAAGGAACCAAUAUCAACUCAAUUGAGAGAACAAUCUUACCCGUUGAAAGAACCGAUUUUACAAGCUCCAUCAAAUUUAAUUUGAAUAGCUUUACCAAUAUAGAGAAUACCAAUAUACCUAUGUUGGUGUCUAGGACUGGGAAGAAGAAAUGGACAUUGAAAAUUACUACUAAUACAGAAUCAUAUGAUAUUCUAAAAGAUUUGGGCACCAUACAGUCCACGAUUUCUAUGAAGCAACUAUUGGCGGUAGCACCUGAGUGCCAAAUUAUCUUGAAUUCUUCAUUAAUUCAUCGUAGGUCUCGAAAUAAAGAAAUCCGAGAAGUAAGUUUGAAUCCCGAUCUGGGUGCAUCAAUGAUUGAUGUCUCAAUUGAUGGAGUAUUACUAUCAAGAGUGCAAGUAGACGGAGGAUCUAGUGUAAAUCUUAUGAAUAACACUACAAUGGAGGAGCUGGGUUUGCAUCACCUAUUCCCUACUACAGUAGUUUUGAGAAUGGCUGACUCUAGUCGAGUUAAACCUAUGGAUAUUUUAUGAAGUAUUGAUAUAGUAAUUCUGGAGAUUACCUACAAAAUUGAUUAUAUUCUUUUUCGAUUGCAAAGUUCUAUAUUGUCAUACCCAAUUUUAUUGAGGCAAGCUCGGUUGUAUCAAACUAAAGCUCGAAAUGAUUGGGGCCGUGGUACAUUGACAAUUGAGAAAUAUAAUGAUAAAAUUAUACUUUAAAUGUACCUUGUCCAAUAUCAUGGAGAAAUUCAAUUGGCCAGUUUAGAAUUCAUGUCAGAUUGUGAAGAUGAGUCUAUAGAAGAAGAAAUUGGUACACUUGACCCAAUUUAUACUGAUACAAGGUAAGUUGUUGAGUACACUAGAAUGAAAUACCAGUGUAGGGGAUCGAGAGAGUUCUUAGUUCCUCUAGAUGUUAUUGACAAUUUUGAUCAUAUGAUUGCAUAUUGGAUGAAUAGACAGGAUGUUAAUCACAUUAGUACUAUGGAACUGGAGUUAGAAAGUUCUAAUUUGUCAGAUUUUAUGAAAGAUUUUGAAAUAGAGCAGAAUAUUUUUUUAGAGACUCUUGAAAUUCCACAAUGUCAAUCAAUUAAUUUAGGUACAAGGAAGGCUCCCCAAACCAUUUAGAUUUAUGACAGUAUAAAAAGCAAGGAGAAAGAAAUUUGGGUGGAUUACUUUUUAAUACAUAAAGCUACUUUUAUAUAGUCGUAUGCAGAUUUGAAAGGAAUUCCAGCUAAAGUUUGUGAGCAUCGAAUUAUAUUAGAGGAGAAUGCUACACCAAUACGCCAAAGAUGACAUCAACUUAAUCUAAAAUACUCACUUAUAGUAAAAGAAGAACUAAAUAAACUCUUGGAGGUUGGAUUUAUCUAUCCAUUUCUUUUCAGUGAAUGGAUUUCACCAAUUAUUAUGGUACUGAAAAAGAAUGAAAAAGUUUGCAUCUGUUAAGAUUUCUACAAAUAAAAUGUGACUACCAAGAAGGAUUAUUUUCUUUUACCAUUUAUGGAUAGUAUAUUGGAUGUUGUCACUGGAUAUGAAUAAUAUUCAUUUCUUGAUGGAUUCUCUUGUUACAAUAAAGUAAAAAUUGCAAAAGAAGACCAGUUAAAAACUACUUUUAUUACGGAUUGGGGGACCUUUUGAAAAAUGGAGAAUUGAUUUUGUGGGACGAAUUGCACCAGUCUCGAGAAAUGGACAAAAAUGAUGUAUACUGGUAGCAAUAGAUUAGAUAACAAAAUAGGCUGAAGCUGUAGCUAUGAAAACCGAUAGUACAAGUACAAUAGCAACCUUUUUGUAUGAAAAUAUUAUUAUAUGGUUCAGUUGUCCACAAGAAUUGGUUAGUGAUCCAGGAACUCAUUUUAUAAAUAGUACAAUCGAAGCACUUAUGGUUAAAUACAAGAUAAAACAUCAUAAGACUACAUUGUAUCACCUUAGAGCCAAUGGAUAAACGGAAAAGACUAAUAGAAUUUUAUGUAAAAUCUUAACAAAAAUAAUUUCAGGAGUGGGAACAAAUUGGGAUACUAAAUUGUUUGCAGCUUUAUGGGCAUACCACAUUACGUAUAAAAUUACUACCAAUACUAUGCCUUUUUAAUUGGUUUAUGGCCAGAAAGUAAUAUUACCUAUUGAAUUGGAAGUCGAAAGUUUACGAAUUGCUAUAGAUAAUAGAUUGGAAGAUCAGGAUUCAUUACGGCACCAUUUGGAAGAAUUAAAAAAAUUGGAUGAAACUAAAAUCAAUGUAUUAAUGAUAAUGGAAACUACACAAAAACGAAGGAAGACUUAUUAUAAUAGUAAGCUUAGACCAAAGGCUUUUAUGCUAAAUGAUUUGGUUCUUUAUUAUGAUAGUCAAUUUAAAAAUUUUCCAGAAAAAUUUCAAGUUCGAUGACAUAGGCCAUAUCGAGUUAUUGACGGAUUUCCAAAUGGUUCAAUGUAAUUGGAAGAUUUUAUGGGUACUAAAUUUACGACACAGAUCAAUGGCAAUCGGCUUAAAAUUUACUAUACAUAAAUUCGGGACAGGUUUUUUGUUACAAAAGGAUGGAGAGUUGAUCCAAUUGAUUGGACCAUAGUUAGAAGUAGGAGGAGGGCUCUUGACAAGCAUCGUAUUUUUUUUUUGUGGUUAAGGAGAAGUGGAUGGCGGAAAAGGAGAAGAUGGCGAACAUGGUGUCUGAGAAAGCAAGAAUGGAGAUCGAUUGGAAGGAACGACAAGAGCGGCUGCAGGUUGAAGUUACGAUGUUGUAGACUAAACUAGCUGCAUUAACAAAGGAGGCCAAUAAUUUAGUGCGGACCAAUAUGCCAAUUUCAGCGACAACACCUUCAGAGAUAUACGCUGCUACGUCUUUAUAAGUUGAGGCUAAAUAAUAUUUGUGACGACGCUCUACAAUUAAGAGGGGCUAUGUAGAAUAGGUAAAUAAUAGGUAGAAUAGGUAAAUUUUGUGGUAAGUUAUUGGUUGGUUAUUGACAACCUUGAAAAUUAGACUUAUGGUUAGGCAGUUUAGUUGGUAACAGUAGGUUGUUAGUGGAAUAAAUGGUUAAGAAUUCAAAGGGUCAUAACCUUUGGAAUCCAUUGGUUGACGGAUCAUCUUUUUGGUAGGAUAAAGAGGUUGAGGAAAGAGAGAUCGGAGCUAGAUUGUGAGAGUCGUAAGCCGAGGUAAGCUUGGUACUACCUCUUUGUUUUCUCUGCUUUUAUUAUUUUCUUAUGAAGAAUUGUGAUUGAAAGAAGUAUUGUUGAAACUGUGAUUAGAAUAUUGUAGAAUAUGACUUUGGACUGACCAUUUUGGAGAAAAUCUUUGACCUUGAGAAUUGAGAUUAUCAAAUUAUAUUAUAUUAAGUAAAGAUAUUUAAUUUUGUAUAAUGAAUUGAGAAAAUGAAUAUAAUAAGAAAGCUGGAGAUCAGUAAUUAAAUAUAUAUAAACCAUAAAGAGAGUAAGUGGAAGAUGAACUGAUAAGAAUAUAAAAGUAUUGUUGAAUUGAUAGUCUUAGAAUGGAUUAUAUGUUGAAUUAAGAUGGAAGUAAUAAGCCUUGGUGUUUUGUAGUGCGAUAAUUGAUUUUACAUAGCUAAAGUAUAGUCAAUUGUUACACUAACAGAUCCAAUUCAUAUAACUAGUCUUUUCCCGUGUUCGAAUCUACCUCUAUUAGUUGAAUUACUUUGGUAUAUCGAAGCUUGAACACAACGAGAAUAACACCUAUUCUAAGGUGUUUUUAGCACAAAUCCACUUUCAAAUUAAUCCUAGUAUCAACUAUACUAAUUAUUUAUCUCUUCCAACCUGAUUUUAUUAAUUUAUGGUCUUUCUAAGAUAGUAGAAGAGUCUCUAUAACCUAAAAGGUAAAAUUACUAAUUAACCUUCAAUCUACUAACUAUUAAGAUAAGAAAAUAAUAUAAGAAGCUUUUAUGAAAGCCAUGUUUAGAUACCUCAAAUUAUAAUUGAAUUAAGAUAAUUAGAUAUUAAUUAGAAAUUCAAUUUUAAUUAUAAUUUUACUAUAUAGUUGUAUUAUAUCACGACAUCCAUCUCUUCUUAAUCUGCGCAUCCUCCGGCAUGUGCCAAAUGAACCAUAUGUCAUAAUUGGCAUCAUACCAUCUCUUCAUUUUCUUUGUUAAAUCCUUCAUUUCUAUUUUCACCGUCCUCUUCAAAAUAAUUAUCUUCUUCAAAAAUAUCAAUAUCUUCAACAUGAUCUUCUAUAUUGAUUUCUCUAUCUCGUCUUUUAAAAAUCUUCACUUGCUUCCCAACAAUAGGUAUUUUCAAUUUGGUACCAUAUAAUGAAUAUGUGGCAUUAUUAUGAACCAUUACUACGACAUAUGGUCCAAACUAACGUUUUGAAAAUUUUUGCAAAGUAUUAUGUUGAUUAUCGAAACUGCUAUCAUAAAUAAGUAUCCAAUCAUCUUUUUCAAUUACUCUAGGCCUCAAUCGAUGUUGCUUAUCAAAUUGAGGCUUAUUUCCUAACCUUGCCUUUUGUAACCUUUGUAAUGCUAAUUCCACAUCUUUCAAUCUUUGUUCAAGUUGUCAGAUUCUAAUGGCUAACAAUUCUUCUCUUGUCAAUCCAUCUUCCCAUGGUAGCAUACUCCAAGUUGGCACAUUUUUUUCAAUUGGCAUAAUUGGUUUUUGACUUGUCAUAAGUUCUACUAGCAUAUAUCCUGUCACCGAAGUAUGUGUUAUUCGAUUAGUCCAUAAUGCAUAACGUAGAAGUCAAGGCUAUUCUCUCACUCUUCUAUUGCAAGCUUUAAUUAAGGCUUUUUCAAUUGGUGGAUGCCCACGUUGACUCUUUGCAUUCCCUUCUAGAUUAUAAGCAAUAAUCAAUGAUAAUUUGAUCCCACAUCUCUUAAAAAAAUCACGAGCUUUAUGUGUAUGUAAUUCUUCUCAAUUUGCAGUGAUCUUUCUCAUACAUCCAUAGUGACAAAUAACUUCUUCAAGUAAAAAUCUGUAAAUUCCCUCUCUUGACUUUGUUCUUAAUGCCUUACCUUCUACUUGGUUUGAUAAAUCUUUACGAGCCAAAACUAAAUAUCUCAUUUGUCAUAAUCUCAUCAGUAUAAUAACCAAAUCCACAACCCAUUUAAAAUGAAUAGCCAAAGGAUAUGUCAGAUGCAAUCCAUCUCGAUGUUGUAUAUUUGAAUAUAUCUGACAAGUUACACAAGAUUCUACAAAUAAAUUUAUAUCUCAAUAUAUAUUCUUCCACCAAUAUUGUUCCUUCAUUUUAGCAAAAGUAGCCCAAAUUCCUUUAUAUCCCACCCAUAGAUUCUCAUGAAACUCCUUGAAUAGUCUUUGUUGAUCUUCUUUGGUACCUACUAUUCAUCUUGGCAUUCCAAUUCCUUUCUUUGGUCUCUUCCAUAAAAACCCUUCUUAAAGCAAAAAUCCAUAAGCCUUCUUUCUUAUUUGAUUAAAUUUUUUUGUUGACCAAUUUUCUUGUUUAAUCAAGGUAUUCAAAUAAAGACUAAUUUUUAAUAAUUCUCCUUCAUAAAGCUCUUCAAAAAACAUCUUGUCUUCCUUAUUAAGAUUUGAUACUGAAUAGAAUUUUGUUUCAACAUCAUCAAUAUCUUCAACCAUCUUGUCUUCUCUUUCAUAUACUACUCGAGAUAACAUAUCUACUACCGGAUUGUCUUUCUCCACAAUAUGCCUAAGUUCUGGAUUUAGUGAUUUGAUAUAAGUAAUCUAUCUCAACAUUGCAAUAUCUGAUGUUGUACAAUUGGUAAUUAUUCCAAGUAAAGACAAACAAUCUUUUUUAAUUAUCACCAUAGCUCCAAUUAAAUAAUUCUUUUCAGCUUUUAUAGCUGAAACAAUUCAUCAUAGUUCCAUUUUCACCUAUGAAUAUGUACAUUGGCAAGUACUUAAAAUUUUAGCUCCAAAUCGUACUACAAAUCUAUAUCCAUUUGAGUCAUCUUGACCUAUAGCCCAUCCAAUGGCAAUCGGACUAGUAUCCACAGUAAGAAUCAUUAGUCUAUUGCACUUAUAAUCAACCUUUCUUAACAUUGGACGUGAUAUCAAUAAUUUCUUCAAUUUUUACACUACUUUAACAUACUUUUAUUUCCAUUUAAAUCGAUAGCCCUUGUAUAACAGUUCAUAUAAUGGAUCCGCUAUAUGAGCAUAAUGAGGGAUUCAAAUAUGAUAAAAUAUACAUACACCUAAAAACCUACAAAUCUCUAUUAAAAAACUACAAUCCUCUUUUAUUCUCACAAUCGCAUCAACUUUAGUCGGAUCUGGUUUUCUUCCAUAAAAUCUACAUAAAUGUCCAAAAAUCACAAUCUCUUGUACUCCAAAUAUAAAUUUUGUACUUCAUAAUAUAAGAUGAAUUUGUCCAAAUUAAGUCAAUAUUUUUUUACAAUCUUAUAUAUGAUCAGCAACAUACUUGCGACAUCCCUUCUUAUCUAAAGUUUCAUCCUUGUCUUCUUCUUUGCACCCCUUUAUAGGAACAUCAUCCAAAAAAGGUAUAGUCUUCUUAGGAAUAAAAUGUCUGAAUAUCUUAUUCAUCCCAUUCAUCAUAUGCACAACUGAGUUGGUUGCGCCUUAAAGAAGAGUAUACAUUCUAACUAAUCCAAGUGGUAUUCUCAUUGUUGUCAUAUCUCUACUUCCUUCUACAAGUUAAAAUUGGUCAUAGCCCAAAUACAAAUCAUCCAUUGAAUAGAUUGCCUUUCCUACAAAUGCCUCAAUAAAUUCAUCUACUAUAGGGCCAAUUCCUACAUUUCUGAUAGUUACUGCAUUCAUUGGUUGCAUAUCUUGAAUAAAAUAUAAUGACCCAUUUUUCUUAGGCACUGUAAACCAUCGACUAGAAUAUGAUACAAAAGAAGGCUCCAAAAUCUUCAUCUUUAUCUUUUCUUUUAAUAAUUCCACUAAGCUUGGUAAAUGUGUCCUUGGUAGUGGAAUUGGCCUUAGAUUCUAAGGUACAUGUAGUACAGUGAAAAUAACCAUAGUUUGGUAACUUUCGAUGCUUUAAAAGAUUCAAUCAUACCAUAAACUUUUUUUGAAUGAAUUGAUAUAACUUUAUCAUUAUUACCUAAUCCAAUAUACACAAUCAAUUCCAAAACAUCUUCCAGUUCAUUUUCUUCAUAAAUAUCAAUAAUCUUUUUAUUAUCUUCUAAUAUUCCUAACCUAUACAAUUCUUUUUCAAUAGUACUUAAUUUCUUCAUUUUUUUUAUUUUAAAAUCAUCAAUCUUUUUAUACAUAUUGCUUCUAUUUUCAAAAAUAUUAAUAAAUCUUCUAUUAAAGGUACCUACAUCUUGUGAGAGUACCUCUCUUUUUAUACCUCUAUAAUCUCGUUUUAUAGUGGUACCUCCAAAAAAUCCUUGAAUUCUUCAACAACCCUUGGCAAUAGAUUUUCUUUCAAUUUGUCUCAAUUCUGCUCAUGAUUUGGAAGCACAGUCAAAAACUAUAUUGCCCUCCUUCCAUCCUCACUACAAAUUCAUGUGUAAGCUGAACCAUCAUCGAGUACCUUUGUUUCUAUCCGAGUUUUAAUAAUAUAUAGUUGUCUCAAAAUAAAAAGAUAAGAUAUUCCAUCUUAAAUAAAAAAAAAAUUGCUCCAUUGUAACAUCACCAAUCCAAAUUUUCACAUUUGGGCAAGCACCAUAUAACUUCCCUUGUAUAUUAUUAACUAUCCAUAUUAUCCAUCCAUGCUCUAUAUCAAUUGGCCAUCUUUGCUUCAUAUAAAGAUCCUUAGACAUAAGAUUUAUUUCUGAACCAUGGUCAAUUAAAGCAACAAUUGGCUCAUCCAUAUCUCCAAUCUUCACUAAUCCCUCUGUAGUUGCUCUAAUUCAAUACUUCUGAGUAUAAUGACUUAAAAUCUUUCUAUCUUUAUUACUUUGAUCAUCAAAAUGUAUCCUUUGAUUAUAACUCCUCCCUUCAUUUGCUAAUUGUUUGUAAUAAUUAUCAAGUACAACUUUUUCACCUUCAAAUAUAUGUGCAUCAAUAGCAUGAUUCAAUCUAUCUUCUCUCAUUAAUUACUUCUUUUGUUUCAUACUGUCAAUAAUGACAUUAUAGAAUUCUUUCUUGGCAAUUCCUAAAUUUUUUUUCAAUGUAAACUCAAUCUUAGCAUUGAACACACGUUCUUCAAGCACUCCCUUUAAAUCUAUUGCCGCUUCAAUAUCAAAGAGUAGUUUAUAAGUUGUCAAUUUAUCUUUAUCUUUUAUCUCCUUUACUUUUUCUUUCGAUAUUAUUGAAGUAUCCUUUGUGGGCAAUUCUUAUAAAGCCGCUGCACGAGCUUUAUCUCCUCGAGUUUACUUCUUAGAAGAAUUUCCUUUUCUUGAAUCAUCAAAAUUUCUUCUCUUCUUUUCUUCCAUUAAAGCUUCAUGUUGGCUUUUAGCAAUAUAUGCAUGUACUAACAAAGCUUCUAUAAGAUCCUUCCAACCUGUAGCACCAUAAAUUAUUGCAACAGUUCUCAGUAAUGCUUUCUAUCGCAUCUGUCAAGGACAAGAACUCGAUAAAAAAGAAAUACAGACAAAAGAGCAUUCACUCAAAGAAAGAUAACAAAAUAUAAAUAAACAAGUAUGUAUAUUGAAAAAAAAAUUGAAAUGGCUAUUGCCAAAAGACAAGAAAACUAGAGAUCCUUGAAACUAGACUAAAAGCAAGAAAGGAGUUGACAAGAGUGAAGAGGGCUUCACUCUUGCCUCUAUAUAUAUUAUUUAACUAGGGGCUAUGUGGUGACGUUCUAUAAGACCUCCAAUAUGUGUUGACUUUGAAGGACACAUGCCUUGACUUACAAGGUAAGUUUUUUUAUGUGUGGGCCACAUAGUUAGCUUGAUCUUCAAGCUAACAACAUGUGUGGUACAUGGCCAACUUGUUGACCACAUUUCUAAUCCAAAAAGUCAAUUAAAGACACCUAUGAAGUCAAAGCAACGUCUAUGAAGCUUCUAAAAAGCUUUCAUAUUAAAUACUAUAGAAUUAACUUAUUUUUACCUACUUUUACUUACUUCCACCUAUUUAUAUAUAUAAUUACUAGCUUACAUGAGUAUGUCUGUGACAACAUCUUCUCUUUUUACAUUGUAGAAAUAGCAAAAGACCAAAGUCCACUUGAUUGAAUAUUUCUGACAUAAUUUUGUCUGCCAUCAUUAUCCACCCUAGUUCCAUAACUUGCAGCUUCUAUUGCCACAAUUCCAUGUGUUGUUAAAUAAUCUUUAAUCAAUGCUUUUAUGCCUCCUUUACCAAAGUUGGUUUUGGAGAAGAUCACGAGUAUCUUUCAAUGCAACCUUUCCAUCUUUUCAAUAAACAAUGUCUUGUUGUACUAUCUCAUUAAAUUCACCACAAUCUUUUCGAGAAUGAGAAUCAUCAUCACAUCAAAUACAUCUUUGCACAUAUCCUUAUUUAAAAGUAGCCUUUGAACUUAUUGUAGAAGUCUUUUCUUCAAGCCUUGCAAGUUUGAUUUUAAGAUCUCGCAUCCCUCAAAUAAUCUCCUCAAGUUCCAUAUCUUCUUUCUUUGGUGUAGUCAAUGGAGGUUGGACAAAAGGCACAGUCAAUCUUAUAGUAGGCAUUGGAGUCUUUGAAACUUGUUUCACUUAUUGAGUACCAAACUCAUCCUUUCUCCUUUCUUUUUUUACAAGUAAUCCAAUAGCAUCUUCAACAGCUCUCCACUUUGUUGUCAAUCCUUCUUUUUCUUCUUUAUCUUCAAGAAGAACCUCUAACUUCUCUUGUAAUUCUUCAUUAGCAACUUGAAGAAACAAUUCAACCUUACUUGGUCUCAAUGUUAACUUUUCCAUUUUUGAUAAUUGAAAAAAUUAUCUUUCAAAUUCUCUUAAUAAUUCUAUAGCUUGCAAAUUUUUGUUAGGUUGCUCAAUCCAUUCCAAGAAUGAUUUCUUGGUAACUCGAUUAGUAUCUUCCAAAAAGUACUCAUCCUUCAAUGCAUGUAAAAAUACCUCCCAUGAACUUUCAAAUUGCUCCAUAAUAGAUCUUAUAUGCUCUCUUAUCUCUGAUACCAUAACAAAUUCAAAUAAUUGAAUCAUCUCCUUCUCAGAAACACAAUUCAAUUCCAUUUUUUGCACAUUAUAACUUAAAUAUUUGAAAAUAUUCCUCCUAUCAAAUUGAUCAACCUUGUUAACCACUACUUGUAAUGCUUUGGUUGCCAAAGCCUCUUUGUGAUCAUUACCUUAUUGCUGUUGCAUAAAUAAUAUAAAUGCUUGAAACAUUUUUGCAAACUUUGGAUCAAAGUACAUACCUUAUUCACUGGUAGAAAUCCCACUUGAAGUUGCGCUUGAAGAUCUACUUGAAGUUCCACCCAAAGCUCCAUCAAAAAGUCUAAAUUCAACCUUCUUGCCUUCUUCUGCUAUUAAUUUUAAAUAAUAAAAAUUACAAUCCAAUACCUUCUACCCCAAACUUUCAUGUUGGGUUCACCACUUAUGUUGUAUUACAUGUUUUGCUUAGGAAUGUAUUGGGCAUCUAACUGUGGAAGGUGAAAUUGUGUUUCACAAGUAGCCAAGAAAUCCUAAUAGAUUUCAUCCAUACGAGAAGAAUGUAAUCUGAAUUUCAAUUCAAAAAUGCUUAAAACACUCUUCUUAGUAGUCUUAACCAUACAUAAAUCCCAAAUACCUUAUUACUUUCAUAUUUAAGCAAUUUAGAUUUUUCUUGUAAGUUCCAAUUCUAAUCAGUGAGCUUUAACAAGCUAUAACAUCCAAUCCAACCGUCCACUUGAUAUAGAAUUUAGCAUGCAAUUGUCAAUAUAAGUCUUCUAUAUGCUCAAGAAUUUUUAGUCCAAUCCAACUUAAAAAUUAUGAGAAAACCUCCAAAAAUUGUAUUGAUGUCACUCGGCCAUCAACUUGAAAAGUGAAGUAAAAAUUCCAGCAAUGAUUUAUCCCUUUUCAAUUAUUAACUUUGUCUCAAAAUUGAUGUGUAGCUUGAUCUUCAAGUCCUUCAACAUCAUGCCAAUUUUCACCUUAAUCCAACUAAUAGAUCUUUAGAUAUCAUAGAAAUCCUACCCAACCUCAAACUGCCACCUUCCAAAAUCCUCUUGUGCUAAAAACUAGACAUCUCUAAACCACGCCGUUAGAUUAUCACAAAAUUUUGUAUACACUUAGUACACCCAAUAAUCUAAAUAGUACCAAGUUUUCAACCAUAGAUGUUACACCAAUUGCACGAAAUAGCCAAAAUUAUUAGCCCUAAUUAUAUUAUAUAAAACCCAAAUCAUUGAUACAAACCCUGACUUUGAACAACAAUUGCUAAGUCUUCCAAAACCCUCUCAAAAAAAUUCUUAUGUCUUUGAAAAGAACUUCAAGCUAGCUCUAAAAUCUUAACCUUUGAUCUUUGAAUGAUUUCCUAUUUUGCCCUAGGCCAUCAUUUUAGUAGCUAGAGGUUUGAUUUCAACCCUGUUUCACAAAUAGUCAACCCCCGGGUAUCAAUCUAACCUAUCCUAAGGUGUUUUUAGCCCAAACCUACUUUCAAAUUAACCCUAGUAUCAACUAUACUAAUUAUUACCUCUUUUAAUCUGAUUUUAUUAGUUGAUGGUCUUUCGAAGGUAAUAGAAGAGUCUCUAUAACCUAGAAGGUAAAAUUACUAACUAAGCUUCAACCUUCUAACUAUUAAGAUAAGAAAAUAACCUAAGAGGCUUUUAUAAAAGCCAUGUUUAGAUACCUCAAAUUAUAAUUGAACUAAGAUAAUUAGAUAUUAAUUAGAAAUUUAAUUUUAAUUAUAAUUUCACUAUAUAGUCGUAUUACAUCAUGACACCAUAGCUCUCUUUGCACUCUCAAUCACCAUGACGCACUCUCUUCCAAGCUCUAAUUGACAAUACUACUCUCCAAUAUUCCCGAAAUACAAGAAAUUAUAACACAAAAAAACAACAAUAGAAUGCAACACCAUAGAAUCACCAUAAAUGGGUGCCUCACUCUUAUUCUUUUAUCUAGUGAUAAUAACGAUAAUAUGUUACCCAUAUUAUCCAUUUUUUUUGCCAUCCCAUUUGACCUACAACUAAUUACAUCUCUAACUAUCCUUUCAGCCGUGUCUUUAUCCUAGUCCACAUAUACCAAUAAGUAUAGCCCUAAGAAAAAAAUUGAAAUCCGUCCCAGAUUUUAAGUAUAAUAUAGCCAUAAUUGGUCUCCAUUAAUAUGUAUAUUGAAUUGAUGGCCCAUAAAAUCUUCUAAUUGGAUUGAUCCAUUGGAUAAUCCUUUAACAACCUAAUAUGGACCAUGUUAUCGGAUUUAAAAUUUUUCUAAAAAAGUAUUAAAAUGACUAUAAUAAAGCAAGACCAAAUCAUUGGACAUAAAACUCUUAGGUUGCAGUUUACUAUUAUAAUAACUCUUUCAUUGUUUCUAGGUAGCUUCCACCGUUAAAAGUAUAAUAGUCCAAAUUUCAUCCAAUUCUUUCAAUUUCACCAACCGGUAGUACAUGGACUCUUUAUCACUCAGUCGUUCAUCAACUGCAAUCUGUAAACUAUGGACUUCUAAUUUGAUAGGUAAGAGUACUUCUUGCCAAUAAACCAAUUUGAACGGGGUGGAAUUGGUUGUCACUUUAUAUGCUAUAUGAUAUGCCUAUAAGGCUAUAAAUAAUUUGGUAUACCAAUCCGUGCUUGCCUCCAAAAUAGUCUUAGUUAAUAUCUUGUAUAAAAUAUUGUUGAUCUUUUUCGUUUGCCCAUUGGCUCUAGGAUCAUAUAGAGUUAUUUUUCUAUACUUGAUUUCAUAAAUAUCUGUCAAAGUUCUAAUUGUAGAAUUAAUGAAAUGAGUUCCUUAAUUACUAAAAAAUUCUUUAGGACAUCCAAAUCAAGUGAUAAUAUUCUUAUAUAUAAAGUGGCGACAGUGUUUGUAUUAUCAUGUCGUAUUGCAACAGCCUCUACCCAUUUGGUUACAUAGUCUGUGGCAACUAAAAUAUACCACUUUUGUCCAUAUUGCGAUGCUAGUACAAUUGGUCUAAUAAAAUCAAUUUUUUAUUUUUCAAAUAGUACUUGGGCUAAAAUUGGUACUAAUGACAUGGCAAAAGUGCGAAUUAGUUGACCAAUUCUUUAACAUGGAUCGUAGUGACAAACAUAUUAAUGUGCAUCUGAAAACAUUGUUGGCCACCAAUAUCCGACCAUUAAAGCUUUUUGAGCAAUACUAUCAUUGACAAAAUAUCCAACAUAACUAUCCAAAUGGCAACCAUCUAAUAUCGAUUGUACUUCACUUUCAAAGACACAGCAUCAUAAAAUGCCAUACUUUCCUUGCUUAUACAAAGCAUCACCAAUCAUUGUAUACAAUGCACUUUUCAAAAUUAAGUAUUUUUAAGUUUUUUGCUAAAUAUAGGUAGAAAUAUUUGAAAUAUCAAAAAUUGAAUUAUUUCACUAUACUUUGGCAAAAUCACAUCCAUAAUAAAUAAAAAAAUGUCAAAGUACAUCAGGAAUAAGUUCAUUGCAUAGGAUAUUGAACAACUGAGAUAAAUGGUCAACAUUAGUAUGGUUCUUUCCAGAUCUUACAAUAAUAGUAAAAUUAAAUUCUUAUAGUAGUAAUAUCUAUUUGGCAAUACAUCCAUUCAACUGAGGCUUAUUAAUCAUGUAUUUUAGGGUAUUAUGAUCCAUAUAAAAUACAAAUGGAUAACCUAAUAAAUAAUGCCGAAGUUUUUGAACCGAAUAUAUUAUGUCCAAAGCUUCUCAUUCAGUAGUAGUAUAAUUUUGUUUGACAACCACCAAUUGUAGACUAGCAUAAUAUAUUAGAUGAUCCAUUUUUUUUUCAUCCUUCUAACUUAACACAAAUCCAAUAGCAACAUUGGAUGCAUCAAUAUACAUAUAAAAUAGCUUUGUCCAACAAGGUGCCACUAAUACUAGGACAGAUACCAAUUUUUGUUUCAAUUCUUCAAAUGCCAUUGUACAGUCCUUGGUCCAAAUUGGACUGAUCCCAUCCGAUAGAGGUUUCUUUAAAAGAUUAGUUAGAAGUUGAUAAAGGACUGUAAACGAAUGAAUAAAUUGUUGAUAAUAAUUGAUAUGGCCGAAAAAAUUACAAACACCCAACAUUGUCUCUAGUCUUAGCAAGUUCAUUAUGUGUUGAACUUUAUGUGGAUCAGUGGAAAUACCAUGUCUAAAGACUAUGUGUUCUAAGAAUUUUUCAGACGAAAUACCAAAUUGGCAUUUAUCAAAGUUCCAUGAUAUCCUGUAUGUAGCACAUUGAUCCAAAUAUUUGUCUAGGCAUUUCAAAUGAUCCUCUUUUAUAUUAAAAGUACAAAAGUCAUCUAAAAAUAUUUUCAUAAAUAUUUGUAAAUAAUCUUGAAAUGCUUGAGUCAUCAUCCACUGAAACAUAGUUGGAAUAUUACAUAAAUCAAAUGCCAUAAUGCAAUAAGCAAAUGUUUUCCAAUCUAUAGUAAAAGUAGUCUUUAGCUGAUCUUCUUUUACAAUUUUAACUUGAUUAAAAUCAAAAAAUCCAUCUAGAAAAGAAUAACAUUCAUGCCCUACUACAGCAUCUAAUAUACUAUUUGUAAAAGGUAAUAGAAAGUAAUCUUUUUUGGUAGCCACAUUUAGUUUUUGGAAGUCCUGGCAAAUUUUGAUUUGUCAUUUUUCUUUGGCACCAUCACGAUUGAAAAAAUCCACUCACUAUUUGAUACCAGAUAAAUAAAACCAACCUUAAUAAGCUUAUUUAAUUAUUCCUUCACUAUUAAGAAAUAUUUUGGAUUAAGUUGAUGUUGUCUCUGAUGGACAAGUUUAGCAUUUUCUUCCAAAAUAAUUUGAUGCUUGCAGACUUUCGUAGGAAUACCUUUCAAAUCAGCAUAAGUCCAAGCAAAAGUGGAUUUAUGAUAAAUGAAAAAUUCUUUCCAACAUGUCAAUUCCUGAUCUUGAAUACCUUUGUAAAUUUUAAUUGUCUGAGGUUUUUAUUUGUUGCCAAGUUAAUAAUUGGAUAUAAAGAUUCAGAUGCCUUUUUUUUGUUUCAACUCCCUUGCUAGUUCUAGUCCAUUCUUGGAGUUUGACAUAAUAAAGGUACUCAAUUUUGAUUCCAGUGCAGUGAUUUGAUGUACAUUAUGUUUGAUCAUCGAAUCUGUAAUAACAUGAUCAAAAUUUUCCAUAUGUAGUGGAUAUAUCAAAUAUUCUCCAAGUCUUCCACAUUGAUACAUUAUCCCAUGGUGCUUAGCUAUUUCAAAGGAUGUUCCUUCUUUUGAUACGAUGACAUCUUUAUCAGAACUGAGGUCAUCGUCUGAUGUCAAUUCAGAUGCUGACAUUUGAGAUUCUUGAUGAUAGUGUACCAAGUACAUUUGUAACACCAUCUUGUCGCCGUCUUUUUUGAUCUUCAAAGUGCCAUGAUUCGAAUUAUACUUGGCUUUUUCUUGAUAAAGCCAUGGUUAUUUCAAUAAAUUGGAUAUGAUAAAGUUGAACGUUGUAACCAAAAAAUGAUAUGGUCUAUUUUGUAUUCAAUACUGGUAGUUAUAAUUUGAAUAUUUUACAAGAUAUUCAUGGAUUUAACGUGGCUAUGAUCUGCCAUCUGUAAUACCAAUAUUGUAGGUAUGAAAUGUGCUAAGUUCAAAGCAUCUUUUGUAUGUGCAUUCAUUAAAUUGACGUUGGAGCCACCACCCACUUAGACUCUAGAAAUCAUAAUACUGUCUAUCAAUAUGUCGAUAGUUGGUGCACUUGGAUCAGGGUUCAAAUUGACCUCAUGAACUUCUUUACUGCAUUGCCUAUACCAUAUUAACGAUGAAUUCAAUACAGAACAAUACUCCAAUGCUACUGCUAGAAGUUGCUUCAUUGAAAUAGAAGACUAAAUAGCAUCCAAAUCUUUUAGAAUGUCAUAAGGCUCUAUGUUUAAAGAAAUUUCUAAUGUCCACUUUCUUUUCAUUUGUUUCAGCUUUAUGCCUUGAGGUAAUAUAGUUUUCUUUCUUGGAUUUAGAAUUGAAACAAUUGAAAGAGCUUUCGUAAAAUGUUUGUCCAUUAGAAGAUCUUUUAAUGGAUAAGAUGUCUCUUGGAAUUAUACAAAGGAUGAAACUGGUUUAGACUGAGUCAAGACCUUGAUGAUUGGGACCUCAUUGGGUUGCGUAGGCAGACCAGGUCUCAUCAUUGAUAAGAUGUCUAUUAUAGGAACUACAUUUGACGUCUCCAUAAUUGGGUUGAAUCGAUUCUUUGCAACUAGUUCACCCAAGUGUUGAAUUGGUUUUUUGUCCUUUUGCUGGCUCCUAGUAAGUACUAUUUAGAUACAUUCCACCUAAUUUAUUGGAAAAUCUUAGAGACCUCAAUUAUUAUCUUCAAUCUUAUUUUUUAGUUAGAUUUACUGAUCAUGGUUAUUGAAAUUGAACGGAGCAUUAUAGUGCUGAUAUGUAUGCCCCGAUUGCUUAUAAUUUCCACAAACUAGAGCAUAGUCAUCACUGGCUCAAAGAUUAAGAUAUUCACUAGCUUAAUGAUUAAUUUGCCUAUAAUGGUAACAACAAAGUGGUCUUCUUCCACUUCCAUCAAGCAUAUUGGGUGUCUCUAUUGAUAUAUACUGAUUGGACUUGUUCCAAGUUGAAUUGGUAAAUGAUCCCGAUUGUCCCAUUAGUAUAGAAAAAACUGGAAUCGAUUGCGGUGAUAGAAAAUAUUAUUGAUAUCCUGGCUAUUCCUUUACAUAAUUAUGGAAGUUUGAUGUAGAACUCGAAUUAUAAUUUGGACCUUUAAAGUUAUUAAAGGCUCAAUUUUUUCUAUUUGAAUAAGUCAUGUUCCAUCCAAAUGUAUUUUUUGUUUGAACUUGAUUGACAUUCCAGUGAGUGGGUGGGAUCAUGAUCUGAUUACCAAACUAUUGUUAUUUUUUCCAAUUCAAAUAAUUAACUACCAAAUGCUUUCCUCAUUGUAACAUAGAAUGUACAUUGCACCAUCAUUUGUGGAAGAGAGGGGCAUUCUGUCACCAAAUGACCUUGGCCCUUAUAAUUACUGCACCAUACAUUGGGCCUAGUAUUGGUAGGUUUUUGCUUCUUUACUUUAUCCUUUGUCAUAUUGACUGCCAUUUUCUCUAUUUUUUUAGUCAAAUUUAAUAACAAGGUUUCAUUAAAAUCCUUCGCAGCUGAUACUAUUGACAACUUUAUCUUAGUCAACGAUUGUUGCUGAUAAAAGAAGUAUGGAGAUUACAAUGUUGCCAUGCUUGGUGGUAUAGCUUGCAAUCGUAUCGUAUUUUAAUAUGACUAUAUGAUGAAAGAUAAUAAUAUGGAUCUUAUUAUAAAAGAAUCAAGUUAAAAGAUAAAGUAAAAAAAAAUAUGGAUAAAAGAUAGGAAGGUACUAAAACUUUUAGUAGUAAUGCUGUUCUUUUAGAAAAAUAGCUUCUAUUUACUUUGUAGGACCAAAAAUAAGGCAAAAUAAGGUAGAUAGGAAAAAUAAAUGAUAUAGAUAUCUUUAGGAGGAAGUUAAGAGUAAAUUUUGGCAAAAAUUAUCUAAAAAAAUUAGAUAUUGAUACUCGAGGAAGGCCAGUUAUCAACUUGGAUCAAAAUCAGAUCCUAAGGCACAAAACCGAGUCUUGAUGACAAAUCGAGGACAUUUUUGCAAAUCAAAGAGUGGAGUUAGAAAAUAGACUUAAUAAGGUUUCAAUUAACAUUGAUUUUGGGCGAUUUGGAUUUGUAUUGACUUUGUAAGAGCUUUACAAAGUCAAGGUUUGUUUCAGAUGACUUGGAUUUUAUGAAAUAAAAUAGGUUUUAUAUUUUGGAUGAUUUCAAGAGUUUUGUAACAGAUCUACAGGUGAAAUUUUGUGGGUUAAUGGUCAUUGAAAAAGAUGGCCAACCAAUACCUGAGCACAUUUUUGAGGUAAUUGUCUAUUUGGUAAUUUCAAUCUUUUUCAAAAAUUUUAUGCUUAUUUUCAACUUAAUUUUUAAGAAAUAUGCAAAAUUCGAUUUAAGAUCAAUGGUUCAUUCAUUAGUUAUUUAGGUUUAAAUCUAUUGUAGAAAUUACUAAGGUUUGGUUAGGAUCUGAUUUAGGAUUAGGAUUUGGUUAGGGUUUGAUUUAGAGUUAGGAUUUAGUUAGGAUUUGAUUUAGAGUUUAGGAUUAGAAUUAAGAUUUGGUUAGGAUUUGAUUUAGGGUUAGGAUUUGGUUAGGAUUUAAUUUAGGAUUGGUUAGGAUUUGAUUAAGUUUUUAUUAGGAUUUGAUUAUAGAUUAGGAUUUGAUUUAGGAUUUAGGAUUUGGUUAGGUUUUGAUUUAGGAUUAGUAUUUGGUUUAGGAUUUAGGAUUUUGUUUAGGAUUUAAGGUUUGAUUAGGAUUUGAUAGGAUUUGAUUUAAGAUUUAGGAUUUUAUUUGAAUUUAUUUAGAAAUUAAGAUUUAGUUAGUUUUUGGCCUAAAGUUGAAUGAAGUCCAAUAAGAUUUCAACUAGGAUUAAAUUAAGAUUGAAUUGAAAUGUAUUUGAGAUAUGUUUGUAAUCAUUCUAAUAUUUUUUUAAGAUUUCUUAUUGUUUCUUUGGAAUGCCUUUGAGGUUUCUCUGAAUUUGAUUAAAGCUUAUUUAACAUUAUUAUUUUUCUAUUAGAAUUAGGAUUUUGUUGUUGAAAUUUCCAUUCUACCUUCUACAACCAGGUGCCUGGAGCAUUCUCAAGUAAGACUUCACAUAUUAUGACAACAGGGUGACAUAAUCUAUUCUUUGUAUAUUGGCACUUGAAUUGGCUCAUGUAUCAAACAUUCUUGAAUAACUAAUCACUACUCCUUUCCAUACUAAGAUUUGAUAACCUCCUUGAACUGGAAUCAUAGUAGCGCCAAUAAUUAAAAAUUGAUCAUAAUGGCAUUUCUCUCAAACCUUGGUUCAAUUAAGAAAUGUAGUUACUAUAUUUGGUUGAGCUUUUUUUAUAAAUAUUUUUAGUUUGGGUAGGUGUAAUCCGUUGUUUAAUAUAGAUAAUACAAAAGCCUUUGACAUUUGAUAAUUUGGCCACUCGCGGAGUAUAUCUACUACAUGGCCAUAGUACGAUUCCACUACCUCUUGAAGACUCAUUUUGCUAUUCAUUGAUCUUUUUAGAAGUCGAUCUUCAAAAUCCAUUGGACAAAAAUGGAUUAAAAAUAUAUUUUUUAAUGCUUUCCAAUUAAGAAAUUGAUCAACGAUUUAGCAGUUAUACCAUUCAAACAUCAUAUCUUUUAAGGUCAUUGAUAGCCAUUGCAACCAAAUAUCUUUAGUUUUGCCAUUAUUGGCUAUACAUGCGGUCAAGAAUUGAGACAAGUGUUGAUCUAGAUCUACACCUAAAAAGCCCUUAAAAGUACAUAAUAGAGCCAUGCUAGUUGUACAAUUAUCUACGUCACCCAUUUGAACUACUAUUCGAAUUGUUAGACCACUUGUUGUCAUUAAAGAGGAUAAUGUGCUACUUACUCUCUUAUUAAAAUUACCACUGUCUUUCCCAAUUAUCUUUUUCAAACUUUCCAACCUCUUCAUUUUUCUAUUAUUAUUCUUGAAUAAAUUAAUUGGUUGAAUUAGAGGUAAAAAUGGUAGAUUUUGAAAUAUGCUAAAUUGGCCCUUAUUGACAAGCAAUUUAUGCUAUUCUAUAGAACCAAUUUUAAUAGAAUUGAUAGUUUUUGCUAUUGAAAAGAUACUCAAUGGAGUACCUAAUUCUUUUAUAUUUCUUCCACUUAUAGUUAAUGAGCUCAAGAAAUAUGUUGGACUAUUGAUAAAAUUUUCCACAAGUUCUCUUGGCAAUUUUCUUAACAGUAUAUAUGUCUAAAAUAUUAGAGGUCGGUCAACUUUUAGAUAUCCUUGGAUAUGCCAACAGGCAUCCAACCAUGGCUUAAUCCAACUUUAUUGAUGCUUUCUUUUUAAUUUGCGUUCUUGCUCAUUUUGCAAUAAUUUUCUUGUUUGCACUCUCUCUUGUCUUUCUUUUGACUAACAUAUUUUCUUAAUUCUAAUAUUUUUAUUCUUAAUAAUUAUAAUCUUUUAUUAUAUACUGCUGAAUUUGCUUCCUAUCUCCCAUCUAACUACACAAUUCUCUUCACUUUUGAACCAAUUUCAAUUUUAUAACCUCUUUGGCCAACAUCCAAAACUACUCGUUCAGCCAUUAAUUCCUAAUACUCAAUACUAUUGUCGUUUCCUAGCAACGACGCCAAAAUAUAGUUAUCGUUUUACUUAUUCUAUAAAUUCUUUUUAAAAUAAAUCCAUAGAAGAGGUUUCGAAUACAGGAAAAGACUAUUGCAUGAGCUUACAUAUUAGGAUCACACAAUUAACCAUAAUCCGAACUAUUAAAACACCAAAAAAUACUAUAAUACUUUUUCUCAGUAAUAAUACUCCUUCAUCAAUUGAUAACAAUAAUGUGCAACCUUGUACUCUCAAAAGACCACUCAAAUCACAUAAAUUCCAUAUAACUUCACAAAUAAUAGACUUCACUCCAAUCAAUCUGAAUUCACACAAUUUUUGUAAUUACAGACUUACUCUGUUGAAACACACAUAACUCUCAAUAAACAACAAUCAUAAUCUUCUAUCUAUAAUCAAUCUUCCAAUAACUUUUCAUAUAAUUCAAUUACACAGUACUCCAAUUAUAUAAUCAAUAACUCAUAAAUCAAUCUCUGAUUUAUUCUACAAAUUCACUUCUCAGUAUUCAGAAACUAUCUAUUACUCUUCAACAACAAAGAAACAAAGAGGUAGCACCAAGCUUAUCCCGGUUCAUGACUAUCACAAUCUAGCCCUUACAAUAUCUUCUUCAACUUAUGCUUUAUUUCUGAAAUUCCAGAGUCUAACCGUUAUUCUCUACUUAACUAUUUUUUACAACUAAUUCAAUCACCCGUCCUACUUAAUUGACUAUUCUAGGAAUAAUUAAUCUACUUAAACAUUUUUUACAACUAAUUCAAUCACCCAUCCUACUAAAUUGACUAUCCUAAGAAUAAUUAAUCUACUUUAUCAAUAUCUUAUAAAAAAAAAUUUCUAUCCCUUCUAUAGAAAUUCUAAAAAAUAUAAAAAUAAUAACAAUAGAUCUUAAAUAAAUCUUAACUAAGUUCUAUUUUAAUCUUAGUUGAAAUCUAAUAGGCUUUAAUCAAAUCUUAAAUAAAUCCUAAAUCCUAAAUAAAACCAUAAUUAAAUUUUAAAUCCAAAACCAAAUCCUAAAUCCUAAAUCAAAUCCUAACCAAAUCCUACAUCCUAAAUCAAAUCCUUAAUCUUAAAUCAAAUCCUAACUAAAUCUUAAAUCUUAAAUCAAAUGUGAAACAUCAAAUUUUCUCACUUAUUAUUUUAGAAUAAAAUAUGUAUUUAUAAUACUUUAAAUUACAAUAUAUAGUGAAUAGUGUAGAAAUCCUUAAAAAAGUAGAAAAUUAGAAUGUUAGUGGUGGAAACAGAGUCUUAGUAAGUCUUGGAGGUAAUUAUCCUUGUUGAUUUAGUAUUUUUAUUUUAUUGUUGAAUAUUAAGGAUUAUUUAUUAAGGCCAAUAUUUAUAUUAGUCUCCUAUCUAUAUGUACUACUUAUAAAAACUAUAAAUAUUAGUAGUUACAAGAAACAUGAGAUGAACCUCAUGUCAUUUUAGUUAUUGAUGUAAGAAAUAAGAUUUAUAGUGGAUUUAAAUUUAUUUUUAUUAUUAUAAAAAAUCAUCAAGAUAGGAAAAUAUAUCCUUAAAUGGAUUUUAGUAUUAUAGAAAUAUUAUAAAAUUUAUUUAGAAUUUAUUUAGAAUUAUUUAGGAUUUUUUAGAGUAAUUUUAAAGAACUUGGUAAAAAUAAAUUUUACCACUUUGGGAGCCUUUAUGAAGUAAUGGAGCAAGAUUUGAAAGCCACAUAAGUUUUAUAGGGUAAUUGGGUUUCUUUGAACACCAUGGUAAGGUCAAAAUUACAAAAAUGUUGGUCCUUCUAUUAGAAAAUAUGAAGACCAACAGUUUGUGUAGUCCUUGUAUGAAUGGGAGUACACAAGUCCCAUAUGGGUUAUAGCACCUUGAAGGUAGUUAGGAGGAUAAGACUAAGGCCUAGUGGCAUCUCUUAGACAUCUUUAUAUACUACAUGUAAGCGUUGGUGAGGUUCGAAUCUUUGAUCUAUAAGCAAGUUAUUUUUGAAGUAAAAUAUUUUCACUUCACUUUUCAAUUAUUUACUUCAUAUCUUUAAAACUUUAUAACUUACUCAUAUUAAUUCGGAUUUACAUGUUUUUUAUGUCAUUGGAAAGAUGAUAAAAUAAAAUAUUUAAAAAUAUAAUUUUUACUUUUCACUUUUAUUUUAUUAGAUGAAAAAAGAGUAAACAGAUUGUGACUUGGUUUUGGAUGUUGUAAUUACUUCAUAUCAUCAAUUUCAAUUGCUUUGAGAUUGUUCUACUUUUAUUCUUAUUAUUUGCUUACUUCACUUUACAUCACCAAUUACAAGCAACUCUUAAUUGAAGUCACCUUAUAACUUAGGUUGAGGAGUGAAAAUUUAUAUUCAUACUAAAUCCUAAACUAAACCUUAGAUAAUUUUUAAUAAAUUCUUAAAUCCUAAAUAAAAUCCUAACCAAACCUGAACUCUAAAUCAAAUUCUAAUCAUUCCUAAAUCCUAAAUCAAAUUCUAUACAAAUCCUAAUUAAAUCCUAAAUCCUAAAUCAAACCCUAGCCAAAUCCUAAUCAAAAUCUAAAUCCUAAACUAAAUCCUAAGAUAGUUUUGAACCUCAAUAUCUUUUGAUUAAAUUGUUGAUAUUAUUUAAAAUUUUACAUACCUCUUAAUUUCUUAGUUACAAAUAAGUGUAAUAAAUUUGAAGACAAUUACACUUACCAAAUAGAAGAAAAAUCCUAAAAUUUGCUCAAAUGUUGGCCAGCCUUCUUCUCCAACCUUAAUGCUGAUCUACAAGUAUUAAUAUCUCCUCUUUACAUUAUUAAAUUGAUCUCAAAUUUCUUAGAUAUAUAUAAAAAUAAUUCUACUAUCGACAUAUGUAACUUAUACUUCAAUCUAAUUAAUAGAUUACAAGAAAUCUUAGAAAUCUUUAUUGAACCUAAAAUUCUACUUUCUAAGAUCCUGAUCCAUUGAAACCUCAAUAAUCCUCAAUUUAAUUGUUAGAUCAAGUUAAAAUUCUUAACACAUACUAAGUACAACUAUAACCAUUGAUCUAUAAAAUUUCACUUGUAGAUUUGUUACAAAAUUCCUAAAACUGCCCAAAAUGUCAAUCCUCUUUUAUUUUACAAAAAUCCAAGUCAUCCAAAACAAUCUUGACUUUACAAGGCUCUUAUAGAGUCAUUACAAAUUCAAAUCAUACAAAAUCAAUGCUUAUAAAAACUCUAUCAAGUUUGCUAUCAAAUCCCACUCUUCAAUCUCUAAAAGAAUCCUAGAGUCGCCAUAGGUGUAUAGUUUUGUGCCCUGGGAUUUGAUUUCGACCUAGGUUGAUAGUGGAUCCUCUCUGGAUAUCAAUUCUUGGCUUUUUGAGGUAAAUUUUUCUAAAAUCUACUCUUAAAUCCUUCUUACAUAUGUCUAUAUCAUUUAAUUUUCUAAUUUACUUUAUUUUAUAAUAUUUAUAGCCCUAUAAAAUAAAUAGAAGCUUAUUUUGUAAAAAUUAAUAUUAGUACUUUUUAGUUUUAUUACCCUUUUGACUAUUAUUUAUAUUUUUAAGAUAAUUUUUUUGAAUUAAGAUCUUUUAUAAUGUAAUAAUUUUUACAUUCUUUUAUCCAUUAAUUGUGUUUGAUUUCAGGACUUCUUGAUUAAUUCAAUCAACCAAAGAUCUAUACAAAAAUAAAUCUAGGAAGAGCAUACAACUUGGUUUGCAUCUAAGAAAAAGAUGAAUAAAAGACGUUAUUCUAAACUAAGUUUGGAUAUUUCAAAAACAAUGUCAUGCUUUUUAGAUUCAUAAAUGAAUCAAUAUUUUUUCAAUAUCUCAUGAAUGAUAUUUUUUGUAAAUUUCUUGAUGAUUUUAUUGUUUGCUAUUUAGAAAAUAUUCUAAUAUAUUAUAAGAAUAUAAAAAAAUAUAAACUUCAUGUUUAUUUUGUGUAAAGAAAAUUUAGAGAUACAAGAUUAUAUGCUAAGAUAGAAAAGUAUAUUUUCUACUUUAUUCGAAUUGACUUCUUAGAAUAUAUUAUUUCCAAAGACGGACUAAUGAUGGAUCCAAAGAAAAUCUAGAUUAUCAUAGAUUUGAAGAUUCUAAGAACAGUAAAAGAUGUGCAAUAUCUUUUAAGCUUUGCUAAUUAUUAUUAGAUCUUCAUUAAAAACUUUUUUAUUAUUAAUUCCUUCUUAUACAUACCUAUAUCAUUUAAUUUUCUAAUUUAUUUUAUUUUACCUUAUUUAUGGUCCUACAAAAUAAAUAGAAGCCUAUUUUGUAAAAAGAAAUAUUAGUAUUUUUUAAUUUUACUAUUCUUUUGACUAUUAUCUAUAUUUCUAAGAUAAUUUUCUAUAAUAUUUUGAACUAAGAUCCUUUAUAGUAUAAGAAUUUCUACAAUCUUUCACUUAUUAGUUGUACUGCAUCACAAUAAGAAGAGGUAUUGUAUUGAGUAUAAGAUAAUCGCUUCUAUUGCAAGCAAUCAAAAUAUGAACUUUGGAAGUCAAAAGUCACCUUUUUGAGGCAUGUGGUGUCUUCCAAAGGCAUGUGUAUCGAGUAAGAUAAGGUGAAAGUAAUGGAGGACUAGCCAAAUUCCAAAGAUACUUUUGAAGUUUGCUUGUUUUUAGGCCUUAUUGGAUACUAUUGCCAUUUUAUUUAGCAAUUUGCUUAUAUUGCUAUCUCAUUGAUAAACCUAUUGGAAAAGGGUGCCUUAAUUCAAUGGAAAUUGGAGUAACAAAAUACCUUUGAUAAGUUAAAAGAUGUACUCAUUAUUGCUCCAAUAUUCCAACCAUAUGAUCCUAAUUUCCUUUGUACGCUUGACAUUAAUGCUUCCAAUUUUGCUAUUGGAGCUGUCCUUCAAAAAGAUUUUAGUAGGGACCUUUAAUCUAUAGUAUAUAAAUUAUGUAAGCUUAGAAUACAAAGCACAACUACUAUGCACUUGAUUUAGACCAAUUAGCAAUUAUACAUGCUACAAAGGUGAGGCGAUAUUAUCUAUUAAAGAAUCCAAUGGUUGUUUGGAGUGACCAUUGACUCUUACUAUAUGAUUUGUAUAUGAAAAUAUGAAAUUACCGUAUCAUCGUUGGAAAGAACAAUUGUAAUUUUUUGAUAUUCAGCUUGAAUACAAGUAAGGAUAAAAACAUACUACAUCAAACAGUUUAUUACGGAGACCAAACUUGAAAGACAAAUCAGAAGAUAAGGCAGAAGUUGCUACUAUUAGUAGUAUCAUUUCACAUCUAACCAAAAAGAUAGAAUGGAAGAAAGUUAUACAAUGGAGUGCUUAUUUCAAGAUAGUUAGCAAUCGACUAAAGAUAGACAAUAUAUAAUAACAAGAUUAUACUCUUAGUAAUGGCUCACUCUAUUUCAAGAAGCAAAUUUAUAUACCUAAUAAUACUAAACUCUAGAUGGCAUACUUCAAGAGAGACAUGACAAUCCAAUAUUUGGACAUCUGAGAUAAGAAGAGACUCUAGAACAGAUCUCAAGGACAUGGUUUUGGGCAAGUUUGGAUUAUGAUGUUUGAGCCUUUGUAUGCUCCUGCAAAUCAUGUCAACAUAAUAAAGCAUGCAACAUAGUGUUUCUUGGACUAUUGUUGCCAAUUCCACUACUUACAACAGGUUAAAAGCAAGUGACUAUGGAUCUCAUUAUGUGUUUGCUAAAGAUGCUUCAUAACCAUACUGCAAUUGCUAUCUUUGUGGGUCAACUCUCAAAGCUACUUUACUUGGCUACGAUGUACUUGGAUAUUGAUGUCUCAAUGCUUGCAUGAAUCUUCUUUGAUAUCAUCUUUUGAUACUAUGGAUUACCUUGUGUCAUUGUUUUAGAUCGAGAUCCACGCUUCAUGAAAAAAUUUUGGCAAGAUUUGUUUAAACUAUUAAAUACACGACUUGUAAUAUUUACAAUCUUCUAUUCUUAAAUAAAUGGACAAAUAGAGUAUGCAAAUCAAACUUUGGAGAAUAUGCUACGGAUAUUUAUAGUGAUUUAUCAUAAUGAUUGGAAUGAAUACUUGAUACCUUUGGAGUUUACUUACAAUGAUAGUAUUUAAGCAAGUACCAAUCAUUCACAAUUAUUUUUGAAUAAUAGUCAGGAUUCCAUUACGCCAAUAAUUUUUUAUCAUUCCAUUGACAUCCAUAAUCCAAGAAUAGAGGAAUUUAUCCAAUAGCUUACAAUGGCCUUACAAGAGGCAUGGCAUUGCUUCUUUACUGCACAAAAUCAAAAAAAGUAAUAUGUGGAUUACCAUUGGCAAUACAAGACCUUUUGAGAAGGUAAUUAGGUGUUACUUUCCAAUGCCAACUUGUCACUUACUACAUCAACCCAAAUCCUUAAACUAACACCUCGAUGGCCUAGACCUUUUUUCUAUUUUCACAGUGAUUUUUAAUAUUGCAUAUUUCUUUGAGCUUCCGCCACAUAUUCAAGUCUAUCUAAUCUUCUAUGUUUUGCAACUGAAGGAAUUUCAUACUGAGCCAAAGCACUUUUUGAAUCGACAUCAACCACCACCACUACUAGUUGUAGUUGAUGUUCAAUAAGAAUAUGAAGUAGAUAGUAUUUUGGAACAUUGCUAUCUUUGUCAUGGCAGUGGACUUCUACAACUAUACUACAAAGUUCUUUAGAAAGGUUAUUCUAUUCAUGAUGCAAUGUAAAAACCUGCACAAAAUCUCACCAUUACCAAGAGACAAUUAUAAGACACCAUUGAGAACAAAAUAAGGAGGAGGAUUCACUAUAACAAGGUAUGGAUAAGUUAAUUAUAAACAUAGAUAGAACCAUGGAAGUUUUUAGAAUUGGAGUUAAGUUAGUGGACCAUAUAGGAUCUAUUAUGGAACAUUCUAGAAAGAAUUUAGGGUGGUUAUUUAAAUGAGAUCUAUCAUGGAACCUUCUAAAAAAAAAUUUAAGAUAGUUCUCUAGAUAGGGUCCACUACUUAAGAACAUUUUAGAAAGUUGAAGGUUGUAGGAUAAGAUAUAAAUAGAAUUAACCAAGGAAUUUUGGGGCAUUUCGUCAUAUAUGGCUUCAAAUCCUCUCUCUUAGUGUGAAUCCCACAAAUUGAUCAAAAUUGGUGGAUUAAUUAAAAACAUAAUUAAGUCAUUCAAUUAUAUAAAUUUUAAGAUUAAAAAGUCUUUUUAACUUUUCAAGUAUUUAUUAUAAUUUAUAAGUAUUUAUAAGUUGUAAACAUCUUAUUAAAAGAAAAGUUAUGAAAAUAGAGUCUUAAUAAGUCUUGGAGGCAAUUAUCUUAGUUAGUUUAGUACUUUUUUUAUUAUUAAAUAUUAAGAAUUAAUUAUUGAGACCAAUGUCUUUAUUGGCUUCCUAUCUACAUUUAUUACUUAUAUAAUCCUAUCAAUGAUUAGUUGGUAGUUAGAAGAAACAUAAAAAAGAACUUCAUGUCUUUUUAAUUAAUUAUAUAAAAAAUAGAAUUUUUGGUAGAUUUAAAUUAAUUUUAUUACUAUAAAAAAUCACCAAGAUAGAAAAAUAUAGUUUAAUAUGGAUAUUAGCAUUAUAAAAAUAUUAUAAGAUUUUUUAGAAUUUAUUUAGAAUUUAUUUAGGAUUUUUUAUGAAUUUUUAGAGAAAAUUUCAUGACCUUGGUAAAAUUGAGUUUUACCACCUUGAGAGCCAUUAUGAAGAAAUGAAGUAAGAUUUGAAGAAUAUACAAGUUUUUGAGACUAAUUGAGUAUUUUUAAACACCAUGGUGAAGUCAAAAAUACAAGAAAAGUAGUUUUACUAGUAGAAAAUAGAAAGACCAGCAACUAGUGUAGUCCUUGUAGGAAGAAAGGUGCACAAUUCUCAUAUGGAUUGUAGCUCCUUGGAUAUAGGUAGGAAGAUAAGACUAAGGCCUUAAGGCCUCUUUAAACAACCAAUAUAUAUUACUUGUGAGCCUUGGUGAGGCUCGAAUUCUUGAUUUCUUAAGAAAGUUAUCUUUGAGAUAAAAAUUAUUCACUUAUUUUUUUUAUUAUUUACAUUCUAUCUUUAAUCUAUCAUAAAUUACUCAUAAUAAUUUGAAAUUAUAUGAUUUUUAUAUUCUUAGAAAGAUAAAAAAAAUUACCUAUCUAAAAGCAUAAUUUUUAUUUUUUACUUUUAUUUUUUUUGGAUAAAAAUAUAAUGAAUAAAUUGUGAUUUAAUUUUGGAUGUUGUGAUUACUUGAUUUCAUUUCUUUCACUUGUAUUUUGGUUAUUUCUCUUGAUUUUUGGCAAUUUCUUACUUCACUUUAUAACACCAAUUACAAAAAACUCUUAAUUGAGGCCAUCUUGUAAUUGGAAUUGAGGAGUAAAAUUUAUACAUACACUUAGUAAAGUUUGGUUUUGCAUCAUUUUAUUCAGUUUUGUUUUGUUAUAUUUCUAUUUACUUAAUUUUUCUUUUAUGUCCUAUUCUAUUUAAUUUUAUUCAAUUAUUUUUGAUCUAUUUUAUCUUAUUUUAUGAUGAGAUUUUAUAUUGCUAUAGAAUAGAAAGAUCUUGGAUUUUUGAAAUAGUCUAGUCUUGCAUCUAUAACUAGGUAUUACUCUUCAAUGCCAACUUUUUACUUGUUAUACUAAUCCAAGUCCAUAAGCUAACACCUUAGUAGCUUGAACCUUUUUACAUUUAUGCAGUGAUUUUUAAUAUUGAGUAUUGCAUCAAACUUCUACCAUAUAUUUGAGUCCAUUCAAUCUUCCAUAUUUUGUAGCUUAAGGAGUUUCAUAUUAAACCAAGGUGCUUCUCAGACCAACAUCAAUAACCACCACUACUGAUUAUGAUUGAUGAGCAAUAAUAGCCUAAAAUAGAUAACAUUUUAGAGCAUUGCUACUUUCAUCAUGGAAAUGGACAUCCGCAACUUCAAUAUAAGGUCCUUUGAAAAGGCUAUUUCAUAUAUGAUGCAAUGUGAGAACUUGUACAAAAUCUCAUCUAUUAUAAAGGAACAUUUUGGAAGUACUAAUAAGAGCAAAACAACGACAUUCCGCAUUAGUAGAAAGAGAUUAAUUGUAGGAGGGCAUGGAUAAGAUAAUUAUAUUAUUGACGCAUAGAAAUAGGUAAUUAGAGCCGUUUUUGAAAAGUUUCUAGAAGUUUUAAGAAUUGAGGCUAGACUAGUAUCAUGGACAUACACAUGUAAGUCAAUAAUUACAUAUGUAAAUAUAUAGAAGUAAAUAAAAGUAGAUAAAAAUAAGUUAAUUCUAAAGUAUUUGGUCUCAAAGCUUCCUAGAAGCUUCAUAGAUACUACUUUGACUUUAUAGGUAUCUUUAAUUGACUUUUUGGAUUAGAAACAUAGUCAACAAGUUGGCCAUGUGCCACACAUAUUGUUAGCUUGAAGACUAAGCUAAUUAUGUGGCCUACAUGUAGAAAAACUUACCUUGUAAGUCAAGGCAUGUGUCCUACAAAGUCAAUACAUAUUAGAGGUCCUAUAGAACAUUGCCACAUAGCCCUUAGUUAGAUAAUAUAUAUAGAGACAAGAGUGAAGCCCUCUUCACUCUUGUCAACUCCUUUCUUACUUCCAGUCUAGUUUCAAGGUUUUUUAAUUUUCUUGGCUUUUAGCAAUAGCCAUUCCAGUUUCUUUCUUAAUAUAUAUAUCAAGUUAUUUCUAUUUUUUCAUCUUUCUAUGAUAGAAGUCUGACUUGUUUAUUUAUCUUUAUCAUAUUCUUGUCUUUGACAGAUUGACAAGAGUACACUAACAAUAUCAGAGCUUUGUCUAAUCUUGAUUAAGAGUGAAUUACUUCUUUUUCUUGACAAGACAUAAGCAUAUAAGAAGUUGCGGAUUACCCUCUUCUAAACUGAAAUUGUCCUUAGUAUUUUAUUUGUUCUCAAGUCCUCUCUUCUAUUUGCCUUGAGCGAUAUUAGACAUCUUCUCUUUUUUAAGUAUUAUCAUGACAGAACUUGCUGAAAUAAAGAGUUCAUUGGUACAAAUGCAAGAGCAAUUCAGGCAGUUAAUGCUUACGAUGCAUCAACUCAAUUUACCACCACAAGAAGCAACAAGAUUGGCAAGAAGUGAAGAUAUAGAAAUAAUUGGAGCUGCUUCAACAUCUGCACCAAAUUAUGUCCCUCAUCCUAUGGUGGAACGCAUUUCCAAUGUUAGAGAACCAAGAAUUACCCUAUCUGAGAAGUUUGAUGGCACCAGAUCAAAGUUUAGAGGAUUUAUCAAUCAAGUACAACUUGUGAUUGAACUUCAACCCCAAAGCUAUCUAACUCCAGGAUCGUAAGUUAGAUUCAUUGAUAUGCUUCUUUCAGGUUUAGCAUUAUCAUGGUUUUCAUCUUUUCUUGAACGAAAAGAUCCAAUAUUGGAUAAUCUAGAGACUUUUUUGGCAGAGUUUCGAUCCAUAUAUAGAGAACAUAAUGCAAUUCAUAUUACAACCAAUAAGAUCCAUAUUUUACGACAAGGCAAUUGAUCAGUAAUGAUGUAUGCUUCACAAUUUUGACAACUUGCAACUGAUAUCAAGUGGGAUAAUGCUGCAUGUAUUAGCUAAUUUCUCUACGAAUUACAAUAUGAGGUAAAAAAAUUAAUGCUCAACUUACCUGAUUCUCAAACAUUGAGUCAAGCAAUUGACUUUGCUGUGAAGUAUAACAAUCACCUUUUUGAAUUUUGAUUUGAGAAUCGUAUAAGUAGACCUCAACGCAACUAUAAUUCAAUAGCAAUACCAACAUCUCUUCAACACAUAUAUUCGGAAGUAGAGGAUAUGUAAAUUGAUGCAAUACAUUCCAAAUCUCUUACUAAGCAAAAAAAGACUCAUCGUCGUCAAGAAGGAUUGUGCUUAUGUUGUGGAGAAUCUAAGCACACUGCUCAACAUUGCCCAAAGAAGCGACACAACUAUAAAAUGAGGAGUACGGUGAUCAAAAAAGAUAGUAUGUCAAAAAACAAAUUUGUCCAACUACAAUAGGAACCGUGCGGCUAGAACCUUAUACAAUACCUAGUGAAGGUCCUAUCCUCUCCUCAGAAUCCUAUCCAUGUUUUACAAUAAAUAUUAUUCUAGGACCUAAAUAUCUCAAAGCCUCUGCCUUGCUAGAUUCAUGAGCCUCAGCAUGUUUCUUAGAUGAAAAAUUUACUAAAAGACAUAGCAUAUUUUUAGUAAAGAAAACUAAACCUAUUCAUGUAGAAGUCAUAGAUGGUUGUCUGUUAUCUUUAGGAGAUGUUAUUCAUGAAAUCCUUCCUAAAGAAAUAGCAACUAAUGUUCAUAGUAGCUUUAUAAUAUUUAAUAUCAUUAGAUCUCCUUCUAAUUCAAUCAUUUUAGAUUUAUCAUGGCUAGAAAAAUAUAACCCUAAAAUAGAUUGGACUUCUCAUAGUCUUGAAUUUUUCGAAAGUAUCACUAAGAGUGUAAUUAAUCAAGUAGAAAGUCAUAAGUCUAGUAUAAUUAAACUUAUAUUUGUAGGUGCAAGUACUUUCUUGCAUGUUGCAAAAGAAGGAUCACCUUGUGUCAUUUAUGCCACACCUGUUUCUGCUGGUGGAAAGACUUCAAGUGGCAUUCCAAGCCAAUAUCAAGAUUUUUAAGAUGUAUUUGAGAAAAAAAAAUGCACUUAUUCUUCCACAACAUUGUUCCUAUGACUGCUCAAUUGACCUUCAAGAAGGAGUACAACUGCCAUUUGGACCAAUCUACAAUUUAUCUCAAAAUGAAUUGGCUGAACUCAAGGAGUAUAUUGAAGAGAAUUUAGCUAAGAACUUCAUAUGCUAUUCCAAAUCUCUAGUAUGAGCUUCAAUUUUAUUUGUGAAAAAAAAAGAUGGAUCAUUGUGGAUAUGUGUUGAUUAUUGAAGAUUCAACAAAAUCACUAUCAAAAAUAGGUACCCACUACCUUUGAUAUCUGGACUUCUUGAUCAGUUGAAUCAAGUUAAGAUCUAUACAAAAAUAGAUCUAUGGAGAGCAUACAAUUUGGUACGCAUCAAAGAAGGAGAUGAAUGAAAGACUAUGUUUCGAAUAAGGUAUGGAUAUUUUGAAUACAACAUCAUGCCUUUUGGACUUACAAAUGCACCAGUAGCAUUCUAACAUCUAAGGAAUGAUGUCUUUUGAAAGUUUUUAGAUGAUUUUAUUAUCUGUUACCUAGACAACAUCUCAAUUUAUUCUAAGAACUCAGAAGAACAUGAACUUCAUGUUCGCUAAGUAUUACAAAAACUAAGAGAUGCAAGAUUCUAUGCCAAGAUAAAAAAGUGUAUUUCAUACUACUCAAGUCGACUUCUUAGGAUACAUCAUUUCAAAUGAUGGACUUAUGAUAGAUCCUAUGAAAGCUCAAGCUAUUAUGGAUUGGAAGAUCUCAAAAACGAUAAGAGAUGUCCAAUGCUUUUUGAGAUUUGCCAACUACUAUCGGAUCUUUAUCAAAGACUUCUCUCAAGUUGUAGCUCCACUUACAUGUUUGACUUACAAAGACAAACUUCAAUAGAUUCAAAAAGCAGAAGUAGCAUUUGAAGCUUUAAAGACAGCCUUUGUUCUUACAUCAAUUUUGUAUCGCGUUGAUUUUUCUAAGCCAUUUUUUAUGGAAACAGACGCAUCAAAUUUUGCUUUGGGUAUUGUAUUGUUACAAAUGAGAAUAGAUGAUAAACUUCACCCAAUAACUUUUUAUUCCAGAAAAUUUUCAGCAGUCGAGAUCAACUACGAGAUCUAUGACAAAGAACUUCUUAUAAUCAUGGAUUCAUUUCAAGAAUGGUGUCAUUAUCUAGAAGGUACUUUUAGCCCAAUCACAGUGUAUACAGAUUACAAGAACCUUGAAUAUUUUAUGUCAACACAUGUUUUGAAUCGUCGCCAAGCCCGUUGGAGUAUGUCUUUGUCAAGAUUCGAAUUCAAGAUCACUUAUCGACUAGAAAAAUAACAAGGUUUUUUAGAUAUACUCUCUAGACAAUCUUAUCUUACAGCAAAGAAAAGAGAUGCUGAUUUUGAUCAACAAUAGAUAAUUCUCUUAAAGCCAAAGCAUCUUCAUCUUCGAAUAAUGAAAUCAACACUAACUGUUGAUUCAACUUUCAUUAAGCAAGUUCAGCCAAGUAUGUCUUCUAAUCCUCUUAUUCGUGAUAUUAAGGAAAAUCCUUCAAAGUCUCAUGAUACUUCCAAGUUUGAAUUCAAGAAGAAUCUACUAUAUUUUGAGGGACGCCUAAAUAUUCUAGAAGGUGAAGCUCGAUUACGUGUUCUUCAAGCUCGUCAUGACUUUCCAACAGCAGGAUAUUUUGGAUACAAUAAAACUUUGGAACUAAUAUCCAAGGACUUUUGGUGGCUCCAAAUGUGGAAAGCAGUUAAAGAUUUUGUAUAAUCUUGUGAUAUUUGCUUGAGAUCAAAAACUCCUCAUCAUCGACCUUACGGACUUUUUCAACCAUUACCCAUUCCAGAACAACCAUGGUCUUCUAUUUCUAUGGAUUUCAUCAUGGAUCUUUUAAUCUCAGGUUCUUAUGACUCUAUAUUUGUGAUAGUAGAUCAUUUUAUUAAGAUGGCACAUUUUGUACUAUGUAAAAAAUCUAUUACAGGUAAAGAAACAACUUAGCUCUUUCUUAACAAUAUCUAUUGCUAUUAUGGAUUAUCCAAGGAUAUUAUAUCAGAUAGGAGAACUCAAUUUGUAUCAAGAUUUUGGCGGACUCUUUUCAAAGUCCAACUUAAAGUAAAUAUAAAACUAUCUUUGGUAUUCCAUUCUCAAACUAAUGGACAAACGGAGCAUGUUAAUCAAGUUUUGGAGCAGUAUUUAAGAUGUACCAUUAACUACCAACAAGUUGAUUGGAUAAUUUUUUUGCCAUUGGCAGAGUUUGUUUACAAUAAUAUGGUACAUUCUUCUAUAAAAUAAACACCUUUCUUUACUAAUUAUGGUUAUCAUCCACGACUUGAUAUUUUUGACUUUUUAAAAGUUGAUAAUCCUAUUGCAAAAGAUUUGGCAAUUCAUUUGUUAGAGCUACAUGCAAUGAUGAAGGCGUAGUUAAAACAAGCUCAAGAACAAUAAAAGGUCAAUGCGGAUGUCUAUCAAAAUGAACAACCACCAUUCCACAUGGGUGAUAAAGUAUGAUUACUUUGUCACAACAUCAAGACCACUUGUCCUUAUGACAAGUUGGACUAUCAAAAGCUGAGACUAUUUUCUAUUUCUAUACAAAUCAAUCUAGUUGCAUAUCAUUUACAUCUAUCGGAGUCAAUGAAAAUCCAUCCAUUAUUCCACAUAUCUCUUCUUGAACCAUUCAAGAUAAUGGACAUACCAAGAAGAAGACAAGCUCUAUCUCCUCCUAUAGAAGUAGACAAUAAUGAAGAAUUUGAAGUGGAAGAAGUCUUAGAUUCAAAGCGACGUCAAAAUAAAUUAAAAUAUCUUGUCCAUUCGUGCGGAUAUGAUAUUAGUGAAUGCAUAUGGGAGCUAGUAAAGAAUCUUGCAAAUGCAACAAAGACGGUGGAGGCUUUUCAUCGACAACAACUAUCAAAAUCAAGAUGAAAACCUUCUUUAUAAAAGAAACAAGAUCUAGACAAGAUAUCAUUCUACUUUCAAUCCUUGUUUGUAGCUUCUUUUUAGUUGUGAUGCUCAAGAGAUGGAGAAUCAACAACCAACGGAUUCGACUUAAGAGCCUUUGUUUGCUGACCUGCCAAAUGAGAUAUUACGAUUGUCUCAACCUUUAAGAUGAUGCAAUCGAGAUGAAGAUCUUUAAGAAAGACAUGUUCUUCCUCAAAUAGAUGGUGAAAUACAAUACGUACAAGUCCCUUACAAGGUCUUUUUGCCUCGGUAUGGAAUACUACCGAUAGUUGAGAGGCCCUAUCAAUUAUCUUCGAAGAGAACAAAGAUCAGAGUAUGUGGCGAAUAUAAUUCAUCAUAUCGUAGAUUUUCUCAACAUAUGAUUACCGCUCCUCAUGGAACUCGUCCCUAGAAGGGGAGGUAAUGUCACGGAUAUACACAUGUAAGCCAAUAAUUACAUGUAUAAGUAAGUAAAAGUAGGUAAAAAUAAAUUAAUUCCAUAGUAUUUGGUCUGAAAGCUUUCUAGAAGCUUCAUAGACACUCCUUUGACUUUAUAGGUGUCUUUAAUUGACUUUUUGGAUUAAAAACGUGGUCAAAAAGUUGGCCAUAUGCCACACAUGUUGUUAGCUUGAAGACCAAGCUAACUAUGUGGCCCACACAUAGAAAAACUUGCCUUGUAAGUCAAGGCAUGUAUCUUAUAAAGUCAACACAUAUUAGAGGUCCUAUAGAACAUCGCCACGUAGCUCCUAGUUAGAUAGUAUAUAUAGAGACAAGAAUGAAGCCCUCUUCACUCUUGUCAACUCCUUUCUUGCUUCCAGUCUAGUUUCAAGGGUCUCUAGUUUUCUUGGCUUUUGAUAAUAGCCAUUCCAGUUUCUUUCUUAAUAUAUAUAUAUCAAGUUAUUUCUAUUUUGUCAUCUUUCUAUGACAGAAGUCUGACUUGUUUAUUUUUCUUUAUCAUAUUCUUGUCCUCGACAACUAGUGGUUUAUGUGGGGCCUAUUAUAAAAUAUCCUAAAAGAAUUAAAGGUAAUUAUCUAAGUAGAGCCUACUUUUAAAAUCUUUUAGAAAAACGAUUGUUUUGGUGAAGCCCACGAUUAAGGACAUUCUAAAACAUUUCAGGAUAGUUGGACAAAAUAUAAACAAGACUAACUAAGGCCAUUUGGAACAUUUGAUUAGGUAUGGCUUUAAUUCCUUUUUCUUAGUAAAGUUUGAUUUGUAUUUUUUUUGUUUUAUUCUAUUUCUUUUUGAUCUAUUUUAUCUUUCAUGUUUUAUUUUGUUUGGUUUUGUUCAAUUUUUUUUGGUUCUUUUUAUCCUACUUUGUGAUGGAAUUUAUAUUUUUAUAGACAAAAAGAGUUUUAGAUCUUUAAGAGAAUUUAGUACCAUUUUAUUAGUAAUAAAUAUUAUUAAAAAAAACUUAGUUGUUUUUUUACCUAAAAUAAUUUUUAUAUAUGAUUAAAAUGUGCCAUUGUGGUGACAUGAUUUACAAUCACAAAUAUAAACUUAUAUGAACUUAAAUAUUUACAAUCACAAAUAUAAACUUAAAUAAAAUCCAUAGAAAUAAAUAACCAUAGUUAUUUUAGCAUAAGAAAUGGUUGGAGAAGUCCAUAAAGUUAAUAACAAGAAACUUUUGACCUUGUCUAAAUAUCAAAUGAUUGUAAAAAGUAUUUUUACAUUUGCAGCUACCAAAAAUCUCUAGAUAUUAAUUCCAAAAUCCUAUUGUAUCCAAAAUAUCAUGUUGCUUAAAAAUUGUGAUAAGCUUGAAGAAUAUAUAAAUGUAUUUCUCUUUUUGAAACAUACAAGUGAUCUUCAAAAUAGUGUAGAUUGUUUUUAAACUCAAAUUUGGAUGUAUCAUGAGAUAUAAAAGAGUUAUUCUUAAUAUCAUGAAUUAGAGGAUCAAAUGACAUACUUGAUUGAAUUUGCUUAAGAAAGAUUGAAUCAAUAAUCAAUGUUGACUUUAUUUCUUAAAGAUGAAAUUAUUAGGACUUUAAGACAACCAUUCUUUACUGGUUAAAAGUUACAUGUUCUUCUUUUGGUGUAAGCUAAGAAUGUUUGAGAAUUACAUUUGACAAACUUUGUGAUUUUGUAAGUCAAUAUGUGAUCUUGAAAUCUUUAUAAUAAUAUACUCUAAUAAGUUUGGCAAUGAUUGAGUACAAAUGCUAACAUGAAGUAUUCAAGGUUCUUAUAAUCUAUAUAUAUGAUGACUUAAUUGGAAGCACCUUCUAAAAAGUGAUACAAUUUUUGAAAAGAAUCUAUAAUCGUAAGAAGUUUUUUAUUAUAGAUUUUAUAGUUGAUCUCUAUUACUAAAAAUUUUAUGGAUUAAAAAGCUACUCGAUGGAGUUUCUUACCUAUUACUACUUAUGACAAUACUAGACCUAAGAUAAAAUCUAAUACAUCUAUUUCUAUAAAAAAUACCUUAAAAAAAUUGAUACAAAACAAGAUUAAUAUAGAAAUAAAUUAUUUCUUUAAAGCAUCAAAAGUUACUUUGAUUUCUUUAUUUCAUUCAAGUUUGUCUUUGUAAGUCAAACAUAUAAGUCAAACUACAACUUUAAAAAAGUUCUUAAUAAAGAUAUGAUAGUAAUUACCAAUGUUUAAAAAACAUUACACAUUGUUUAUUGUUUGUAAAAUCUUUCAAUUCAUAAUAGUUUGGAUCUUCUUUAGAACUAUCAUGAAAUCUUUGUUUGAAAUGAUAUAUGCUAAGAAGUCAACUUAAAUAGCAUAGAAUACAUACUUUUUCAUCUUAGGAUAUAAUCCUAUAUCUCUAUGUUUUUGUACUACACAUUGUUGAGUUGUCAUUUGGCUAUCAUGUGAAAAUAAUGGAUUUAUAUAUUUAAUACAUAAUAUACUAGAUAACAUGGUGAAAGCCAUAUUAAUGGAUUUUUUUUUGGUUAUAGAAUGUGGAUAGAUUAUUAGCUCAAAAAAAAAAAAAAAAAAUUAUAUAAAAGGGCUUCUAUUAGAAUUUAUAUAACUUUAUUUUCUUUUGAUGUUGACUUUGAAGUUGAUCUUAUUAGUAGUAAGUUUUAAAUAUUUAGAUUCACCUUAGUUAGAUAUUAGUAACCUUUAAAGUCUUAUUUUUUUCUUUUAUAUGGUGUUUAGAACAUAUAUUGUAUACAUCUUGUAAAAAAAAGAAUUGGAGAGAGAUUUUGGUAGCAAAAAGAGAGUUUAGGGCAUCCAUAUAGAUGAAUGGAGAUGGAUGAUAAAAAUCUCUAUUCCUAUUCGUCAAAAAUCAUGACCAAUGGACUUCAAGGAGGCUUCUUCAAGCCAUAUUAGAAAUUAGAAUUAGUCUUUUAGGGUCAUUUGAGCUUCAGAGGCUAGAAUCAAUAAUUUUAGAUUUUUGGCUAUGGUUUUGGUACAAAUUUUUUGUGAUUUGGAAUUUAUAUGAAAGAAAUAUGGACACUCAAAGUUAAGGUGUUGAUUUUGUACUUACUGUUACUCUUUUGGAUAAGGCGCACACGUACAAAAAGCAAUAGAGGAUUGUGAUUGCUCGAUUUAUUUAUUCCGAAAGAAACCUCUCAGAAUAAAUCUAUAUAAGGGGUUUCGAACAUGAAAAAUGACUAGUUGCUUAAGCGUUCACGUUAGGGUCACAUAAUCAAUUACCUCCUGAAUGUAUCGUCUUUAUUUCCAAUAUCUGAACACACAAAGAAACUAUAAUCUCCUCCUUCACCUUAUCGGUCUCUUCUUUACAACAAUUCAUUCAUACUAAUAACUGCUAUUUCUACUAAUAUAUUCACCCUCAUAAUCUCCAACUGUAAUACUAUGCCCUCACAACUUUCAGUACACAAUUACCCUUGUUCCAAUCACUGGAAUUCUUCACACAGAACUGCCAUUCACAUUACGGUGUUUCACGCAAACACAGACUCAUUCUCUCUACUGAACUACAAUCAGAUUUCAACAUUCAAUCUUUCUUCUUCUCAAAUAAUACCAAUCACAUUUCCAUUCCAUAAUUCACUUCACAAUAUUCAGAAACUUUCAAUCCUCUUAUUCAAAGAAAAUAACAAACAAAAGAAAAGAGGUAGCACCAAGCUUAUCUCGGCUCACACUAUCACAGCGAUGGUCCUUGGCUUACGACUCUCAUAGUCUGGCACCCUAAUUAACUUCUAUAACUCUUACAUACUUUCCCUUGAUUCUCUAGAAUCUAACUGUAAUUCUGUAAUUAACCACUUUUAAUAACUAAAUCACUCAUCCGUCCUCCUGAAUUUCUUAUUAUAUGGACUAUUAAUAUAUUUUACCAAUAUCUUUCAAAAACGAAUUAAUAUCUAUUCUACAUAGCCCCACUCCUAUUUAUGCAGCAUCCUCACAAAUACUCAAUUGAUACCUAUCUAAAAAUUAUCUUACAAAUUUCCACAAAAAUUGUGAUCCUUCUGACCUAUCUAAUUAAUCAAUUGCCACAGUAUCUGUUAUUGGUUCCAUCGAUUUUGGUUCCAACUGCAAAUCUUCAUCCUCCUCCAAUCCUUCUAUUGGCUCCUGCCUCAACUGAGCUGAAAGGUCUUUAUUGUACUCGCCCAGUUCACAGACUUGAGCUUCCAAUUUCAAGAUCCGGACAUCUCUCAAUUCCAAUUAUUGUUGCUACCUCAUCCAUUCUAGAAUAUCUUCAAUCGACACUUGUGACUGGCUUCUCACUAUUAACUCUUAACUGGAACUACUACUCUUGAAAACACAAGAAAUAUAAAAAAAUGGUACUCCAGCCAACUCAAAACAACACCACAGAAUGACUUUAACUGGUGCCCUACUCCUAUUCUUUUACUACUUAGUGAUAAUGACAACAUGUUACCCAUAUUGUCCGUGAAAGGUAAUGAGAAGUAAUCUUUCUUGGUGGCUACAUUUAACUUUCAAAAAUCUUGACAUAUCCUGAUUUUUCCAUUCUUCUUCCGUACUAUCACGAUUGAUGACACCCAUACACUAUACAAAACAGGAUAAAUAAAACCCAUGUCGAGAAGUUUAUCCAAUUUUUCUUUCACUAAAAGGAAAUAUUUUAGGUUAAGCCGAUGUUAUCUUUGAUGAACUGGCAUAACACCUGCUUCCAGAAUAAUCUGGUGCUCACACAUGUCAACUGGAAUCCCUUCCAAAUCCGCAUACGACCACGCAAAGGUAGAUUUGUGAUAGACAAAAAAUUGUUUUCAAGCAUCCAAUUCUGUACCUAUAAUACCGACAUAUAUUUUAAUUAGCUGUGGCAUUUUGUUGGUGCCCAGAUUAAUAGAUUGACACACAAGGUCUUCAACAACCUCUGAUUUAAUUAUCUUCUCCUGAUCUGAAUAUCUUGUAUUAUCCGACAUAUGAAAACCACCCAAAUCUGGUUCCAAUGUACUGACUCUAUUGAUUGUGGGAUUGUUCAUCCAUUUGGCAAUAGCAUGAUCUGAGUUAGUCGCAUCCUCCUGAUGCAGUAAAUAUUUGUCGGGACUUCCACAUUGGUAGACUCCUGCCUUUGCUAUUGAAGUGUUUUGUCCUACCGCAAAUUGCGGUGAACCUAUAGCAUUGUCAUCUACCUCAAUCGAUUGACUCUCAUUGUCUGAUGUAAAUUUUGAUUCUAGUAAUUGAGAUUCUCCAUGAUAUUGUACCAGGUACAUCUAUAAAACAAUCGGUUCACGACCUUUUCCAAUUGUCAAUGUGCCUCGGCUCUAAUCGUUCUUAGCUUUGGCUUGAUAAAGCCAAUGUUUGCCUAAUAAAAUGGGAUUCAAUAAUAUAGAACUCUGUAAUCAGAAUACAAUAUAAUUGAUUUUGUAUGUCAAUCCCACGAUUAUAAUGGAAAUAUUGCGUAAGAUUUCCGUUGGCUUUACCCGACUAUAAUCUACCAUUCGCAAGACCAAUGUCGUAGGUAGCAAUUGCUUUAGAUCCAAGUCCUCCAUUGUAUCCGCAUUCAUUAAAUUCACACUGGAGCCACCAUCCACUUGUAUCCCUGGAAUUAAAAUGCCAUCGAUUGAUACAUCAAUUGUUGGUGCUCCCAGAUCUGGGUUUAAGCUAACUUCAUGAAUUUUUUUAGUGCGAGAUUUUCGUCGUAUUAGCGCUGAAUUCAAUGUAGAUUGACAUUCUGGUGCUACAGCCAAAAGUUGCUUCAUUGUAAUUGAAGGCUAAAUAACAUCCAAAUCCUUCAAAAUGUCGUAGGGUUCUAUAUUGAGAGUAAUUUCCAAUGCUCUUUUGCGUUUCAUUGAUUUGAGUUUAACUCCAUGAGGUAAGAUAUUCUUCCGCCCUAGACUCGGAAUUGGAACAGCAGCUCGGGCUUCCUUGGAAUUCCUGCCUUCGAGAAGAUCUUUCAAUGGAUAGGACGUUUCUCAGAACUAUGUAGAGAUCGGAACUACUUGGAACGGAACCGAAGCCUCCAUAAUUGAGACCUCAUUGGGUUCUACUACCGAGUCAGGUCUCAUAUUGGAUACGAAGCUCGUAACUGGACCUGGAUUGGAUGGUUCCAGCAAAUUGGCACGUAAAAUUGAAUUGGAUUCCUCAGUCUGUUGAGGUCUCAAUAUUGGGAUACGUCUCAAUAUUGAUAUUGGUUUAUUUAGCCCCAUGGAUGACGCUACUUGCUUUCUUGUGAUUGGUUCAUCCACAUCCUGAAUUAGAUUCUUGUCUUUUUGUUGGCCUUUGGUAAGCACUACGUUCACCACCUUGACAUGAUGUACUGGUGCAUCUUGUUAAACAGGGCCUUUGUCCUCCGUCGGUUGGCUUGUUUGUAUUUACUCGUCUUAGUUAUUAUAAUUAAAGGGUGCAUUAUACUGCUGAUAAGUGUGACUAGACUGCUUAUAAUUUCCACAUAUUGGAACAUAGUCAUCAUUGGCCCUUGGAUUAGGAUAUUCACUUGCAUAAUGUCUGAUUUGUCUGCAACGAUAGCAAUGAAGUGGUCUCCUACCAACUCCUUCAGGGAUAUUAAGUGUCUCUACUGGUAUAUAAUGGCUAGGUCUGUUCCAUGUCGGAUGAGUAAAGGAUCCUGGUUGAUCCAUUGUUUUUGUAGACUCUGGCAUUGGCUUUAUCAUGGAUAGAUAUUGAUGGUAUGCUAGUUGAUUCAUUACCAAUCCGUGAGUAUUGGAUACACCUUCUUAGUAAAAUUCAGAGUUUAGAAAAUUAGAAUAAUUCUUGUUUUGUUUAUUCGCUCGAUUUCCAUUCCAACCAAAUCUAUUAUUCGUUUGUACUUGAUUGACAUCCCACGAAGUUGGUUGAGUCAUUAUCUGGUUACUAAGUUGUUGUUGCUUUCGUAAAUUCCAACAAUUGGUGGUAAUAUGCUUACCUCUGCAAAAGGUAUAUUGUACAGUCAUUCGGGGAGGUGAAGGACAUUCUGUUACUAAAUGACCUUGCCCCUUACAAUUACUGCACCAGACAUUGAAACGCAUAUUGGUUGAUUUAUGCUUUUUUUUCUUUAUCCUUGGCUAGAUUCAUAGCCAAUUCAUCCAUUUUUUUCAUCAAUGUUAACAGCAAUGACUCAUUGGAAUUCCUUGAUACCAAUGCAUUUGGUAAUUUCUUUAUAGGUAUUGAUUUUUGAUACGCAAAAUAAGGCACAUACGGAUGUGAUGAUGAUGGUGGUACAGCUUGCUAUGGAACGACAUCCACUAUUUCCUGUAGAAUUGUACCAUAAUCAUUCCUUCUCAGAUAACUUUCCGAUGCAUCAUUCCAAUUUGUCAUUUGAUAACCUCCUUAAGAAGGAAUCAUCGUGGCUCCAACUGUUAAGUUCUGGUCAUAGUGACAUUCUUCCCAUACUUUUGCUCGCUCAAGAGAUGAUGCAAUGGUGGCUGAUUGGGCUUCCUUUACAAACAUCUUCAAUUCAGGUGGGUAUAGUCCAUUAACCAAUAUGGACAACACAAAUGAUUUUGGUAUUUGAUUAUUUGGCCAUUUUCAAAGUAUAUCUGCUACACGACCAUAAUAUAACUGUACCGCUUCUCCUAAUACCAUUCUAUUGGUCAUUAAUUUUUCUCUAAGACGUUCUUCAAAACCAAUUGGUCAAAAAUGGACUAAAAAUGCAUUUUUCAAUGCCUCCCAAUUGAUAAAUUGUCCCACAGGUUGGCGGUUAUACCAAUCAAACAAUGUAUCUUUCAAUGUCACUAGCAGCCAUCUUAACCAAAUAUCUUCUAUUCUUCUAUUAUUGGCUAUACAUGUCAUCAAGAAUUAUGACAAAUAUUGAUCUGGAUCCGCACGUGGCAAACUCCAAAAAGUAGGUAAUGGUGCGACACUAGUCGUACGAUUGCCUACUUCACCCAUUUGUACUACAAUCAGAAUGGUUGGUCUUCCUAACGCCAUUGAAUUUCUUAUUCUACAAAAUUCCGUUUUAAAAUAAUCUCUGCUUUCCCUUAUUCUAAUUUCCGAGCUCUCAGUGCUCCUCGAUUUAUUGUUAUUUUUUGCAAAUAGUUUUAUUGAUAGAAUUGUAGGUGAAAACAUUGGAUUUUGAAAUACAAUAUAGUUAUCUUUAUUGGCGACCAAUUUGUGCCAAUCUGAAGAGCCCCUAUUGCUUGUUUCAGCGGUACCUCCUACUGAAAAAAUACCCAAUGGAGUACCAAAUUCUUCUACGCCUCCUUCUCUUUCAGUUAACGACCUCAAGAUUUCCACUGGAAUGUUAAUGAAAUUUCUUGCGAGUGUUCUUAGCAGUUUUUUUAACGGUACAUAUGACUGCAGAAUUAACAGUUUGUCCAGUUCUUGAUAUAUUCGGAUACGCCGAUAAGCUUGCAACCAUGGUUUAAUCCAAUUUUGUUGAUGCUUCUUUUUAAGAUUACGUUCUUGCUCCUCUCUAAGCAAGUUCUUUCUUUGCACUCUUCCCUGACUUUCUUUCAACUGAUUUAUUUUCCUCGAUGCAAUGCUCUCGUUCUUAUUAACCAUAAUCUUACUUCAAAUACUACUAAAAUCAUCUUUCAUUGCCAAUUUUCUCACACGUUUGGUAAUUAAUUCCUAACAUUCAAAGCUAUUAUCACUCCCUGAUAGCGGUGCCAAAAUGUGAUUACUCGUUUUACUUAUUCCGAAAGAAACCUCCCAGAAUAAAUCCGUAUAGGGAGAUUCGAACAUGGAGAAUGACUAGUUACUUAAGCAUUCAAGUUAGGGUAACACAAUCAAUUAUCUCUUGAAUGUAUCGUCUCUAUUUCCAAUAUCUGAACACACAAAGAAACUAUAAUCUCCUCCUUCACCUUAUCGGUCUCUUCUUUACAACAAUUCAUUCAUACUAAUAACUGCUAUUUCUACUAAUAUAUUCACCCUCAUAAUCUCCAACUGUAAUACUAUGCCCUCACAACUUUCAGUACACAAUUACCCUUGUUCCAAUCACUGGAAUUCUUCACACAGAACUGCCAUUCACAUUACGGUGUUUCACACAAAUACAGACUCAUUCUCUCUGCUGAACUACAAUCAGAUUUCAGCAUUCAAUCUUUCUUCUUCUCAAAUAAUAUCAAUCACAUUUCCAUUCCAUAAUUCACUUCACAAUAUUCAGAAACUUUCAAUCCUCUUAUUCAAAGAAAAUAACAAACAAAAGAAAAGAGGUAGCACUAAGCUUACCCUGGCUCACACUAUCACAGCGAUGGCCCUCGGCUUACGACUCUCACAGUCUCGCACCCUAAUUAAAUUCUACAAUUCCUAUAUAUUUUCCUCUGAUUUUCUAGAUUCUAAUCAUAAUUCUAUAAUUAAUUACUUUUAAUAACUAAAUUACUCAUCCAUCUUCCUAAAUUUUCUAUUAUAUGGAUUAUUAAUAUAUUUUACCAAUAUCUUUCAAAAACGAAUUAAUAUCUAUUCUACAAGGAUCAAUGACUAGGAUUAGAGAGAGCACUCUCUUGGCUACAGUUUUAGCAUACUAUUUGAUGGAUUUCAAGUUUGGAUGAAAGAGAUAUUGGAGGUUGAAGUCAGCACUUGCAAAUUUAAGGGUAGUAAGUGACCUGAAUUGCUAGUGGUUGUAUUUUGAGCUAUAUCUUGUACAAUUUGAUAAGAUUUUAGCUAAAACUUUCCAAGAAUGUAUAUUUUUAUGUAAUCAAACCUAUGUACAUAAGUUUUGUGGCAUUUGGAUUUUGGAUUUUUGAGAUAUGAGAAAAAUAGUUUUUGGGUGCUUGUAGAUUAGGGUUUAGAGCACUUGCUAGGAUUUCUAAGUUUCCAAAAGAUCCGUAAUAGAUUUACAAUUUAUUUUUUUGUGGUGAAGCUUAAGGAUAUAAUUUAUGUCAUAAAAAAAUUUAAAAAAAAAUAAACAAUUGGAUCAAGUGAUAUAAAUUUUUAAAAUUUAAGAUAAAAAUAUCUUUUGUGGGAAGAAAAUGUUUUAAAGAAUUUUAUUAUAUUUUGAACUUUUAUACAAAUAAAGAGAUUUUUGGAAGUUAAGACAUCAUAUAGAAGCCAAAGCUAAACUCUCUACAGCUACAUACUCCAUAUAUUCCUAGAUUACAAAUCAUGCUAUACAACAUCAUCAAAUAUAAAGUUUAUGUUCUUUUGUGUUCUUAGAGUAGAUUAGAUUUUUGUGUAAAUAAUAUACAACAAAAUCGUUAAGAAACUUUAAAAUAAUGUCAUUUAUAAAAUUUUGAAAAGUGACUAAUUCUUUCACAAAUCUAGAAGGUAUGAUAUUAUAUUCAAAAUAUCUAUACUUAGUUCAAAAAGUAGUCUUUUAUUCAUCUGCUUCUUUAAAGUAGACUAUGUAAUAUGCUCCUUGUAGAUCUAUUUUGGUAUAGAUCUUUAUUUAAUUGAAUUAGUCAAAAAGUCUUAAAAUUAAAGGUAGGAUAUAUCUAUUCUUAAUAGUGAUCUUAUUAAGUCAUUGAUAAUUUAAAUACAUCUUCAAAAAUCUAUAUUUUUUUUUACAAAUAAGAUAGAAGUUCUUAUUGGAGAUUUUGAAUAGUAUAUGAAGUUUUUAGCCAAUUUUUUUUCAACAUAUUCCUUCAAUGCAACCAACUCAUUUUGCGAAUAAGUUAUAGAUUGGUUCAAAUGACAAUUGAGCUCUUUCUUAAAGAUGAAUUGAAUAAUUAUAGGAUCAAUACUUUGAAAGAAUAUUUGUACUUUUUUUAAAAAAAUUGUCAUAGAAAUCUUCAUAUUAGCUACAAAUAUAACUCAUUAUCUUUCCACCAUAAAAAAUGGAUGUAGUAUAUAUAGCAAAAGAUAAUCUUCUUUUUGUUGCAUGCAUAAAAGCUUUUGUACCUAUUAGUAAAGAUUUGAAUGUACUAGACUUAUGUAUUUUUACUUGACUAAAAGAAUUUUGAAUAAAACUAUAAGAAAAGUCAAAGUUACAAGAAAUUCAAUCUGUUUGAGGAUUAUAUAUUUUUAACUAUGAUAAUCUUAAAAUAAUUGGAUUGGAGAGAGAUCUUAUCACAUUAAAUAUUAUUACACUAUUAUAAUCUUUAAUUGCUACAUCUAAAAGAAAAUUCUCAUAAUUAAUAUCUUUAGAAGACAAUAAAUGACUAUCUAUGACUUCUAUAUAUAUAAGUUUGGUUUCCUUCACUAAAAUUAUUUCUUCUUGUUAGACAAAGUCUUUAUUAAUAAAAUAAGUUGAAGCUCUUGAAUCUAGUAAAAUAAAGAUUUUAUAAUUUUUAGGUCUUAAAUAUAUAUCUAUUAUUAAAUAAGAUAAGAGAUCUAAAGAAAGAAUAUAACCUUUUAAUAGAUUUGUAUGUGAUUCGAGCCAUAUAAUUUCCAUUGUAGCUAGAGAAACUUUUUUUUUGAUACAUUGUCUUUUUUGGCAACCAUGCUUUUCAUUUUGUAAUUGCAUUGCUUCUUUGGACAAUGUUAAGCAAUGUACUUAUAUUCUCUAUAAUAUAAGCACAAAUCUUCUUGAUGAUAUCAAAUCUUUUUCUAUUCUAUGAGAAAUUAAAAUAUAUCAUAUCAAUUUGCAUUGGUUUUGGCCUUAAUAAAUAAGUUUAUGAAUGCUUAGAACGUAAAGUCAUUGCUUGGCUUAUUCUUCUCUAGUAAAUUUUUUGUUCUUAAUGCCUUUUAAAUAGUUGAUUGUUACAUGUAAUUACUUAAGUAAUAAAUUAUUUCAAUGAAUCUACUUUUAAAAUUAUCAAUGAUAAAUCUUUGAUGUUAUCCUUCAAUUCAUAUCAAAAUUGAUUGAUAAAAGCUUUGUCAUUUCAAUCCAUAGUGCAAGAGAGGUUUUGGAAUUUAGCAACAUAUAUGGUAGUUUAUUGUGAUCUUUCUUCUAAAGAUAAGAGAUUGAUCUCUACUAUUCUUUUUUAUUUUUAUUUUUUUUUUAAUAUGGCCAUAAAUACUUCUAUACAUGAAUUCAAAUUAUAAAUGAAUUAUGAAUCUUUUUCUAUCAAAGAUAAAAACAAAGUGAAAGCACUUCCAUAUAGAAAUGAGCCUAUAAGUUCAACUUGAGUAAAUCUAUUAGGGUAUUAAAAAAGAUACAAUCUUAGAUAGAGCUUGACUUAUUAUAAAAAUCCUCAAAAGUUUGAUUUUGUUCCAUCAAACUUCUUGAAUAUACUAAUCCUUAACUCCGUUGUGCUUGUAGAAGCAAGACUUCUUAGAUUUGGUUAUACGAUUGAUCUACUUACUUCUCUCAAUUACAUAAUUUCUUAGUAUAAUAUCAUCAACAUAUAUAUUUGUUCCAAUAAUUAUCUAUAUGAUUAGGUAGAAAUAGAUAAAUAUAGAUUAUUUUCAUGAUAUCUUCUAGAAAAGCUUUUUAGAAGAUUUAUAGAUAUAAUUUUGAUAUUACACAUAUUUAUAGUUAAUUGAUAGAUUAGAAACUUGAUCAAUAAAUUAAUUAAAUACCAUACAUAUUGAUAGCUUGUAAAACAAGCUAACUAUGUAGUACAUAUAUAAAAAACUUAUCUCAUAAGCUAAAAUAAGUAUCUUAUAAAGACAACACGUGUUGGAAGUCUUAUAAAACAUCGCCACAUAGUUUUUAGUUAGAUAGUAUAUAUGGAAGUAAGAAUGAAGCCUUCUUCACUCUUGUCAACACUUUUUUAAUCUUUCGUCUUCUUUCAAGACUUUUUAAUCUUUUUGCCUUUUGUAAUAGCUAUUCUAAUUUUAUACUAUGUCAUUUUGGAAUGUUUUUUUAGUCUUUUUGAAUAAUACAAGAGUAUAUUGACCUUUUAGUUUUUUAAUAUUCAUGUCCUUAAAAUGUAGACCUUCGACUACUUCCAUAGAUAUAAGAAUAUUUUUUUUGUGGUUAAUAUUAAUUAUGCAUAAAAUAUCCACCUUAAGAGUAUUAAUAAACUCAUGAAGAUUUGUGAUAGUUACAAAUCUAUUCUUACCAUUGCCAAGUGUAGCAUCCAUAAUUUUUUCUAUCACUUCAAAAAACUUAAUAAAUCCACAAAUCAAAUAAAAGAAGAUGAUCUCUAAAUUUUAAUGUCAAAUGAAAAUUUUUAUAAAGAAGAGUGAUCUAAUUUCUUUAAGAAAAAAACCAAGAUUUAAAAAAUAAAGAAUGUUAGUUCAAAGAAGGAUAGUCUACAAUCUUUGAAACACAAUAAUAGAAGUGGAAUAAUUCACUAACUUCUAAAUAUAAGACAAAAAUAAUGAAUUAGUAUUCUUGUUGAUUUAUUAAAAAAAAAAAAAAAAAAAAAAAAAAAAAAAAAAAAAACUCAAAGAAGAUAUGUAAACAAGUAAAAAAUGAAUCAAAGAAAGAUGACAAAAUAGAAAUAAGAAAAUAAUUUUAUUUCAUAAGAAACUUGAAUGGCUAUUUUCAAAGAUUAGAAAACUAAAAACUCUUGAAAUUAGACUAGAAGUAAGAAAAGAAUUAACUAUAGUGAAGAAGGCUUUACUCUUACCUUUAUAUAUACUAUCUACAUAAAAGCUACCUAGCAAUGUUCUAUAAGACCUCCAACACGUGUCCAAUUUACAAGAUAUAUGUCUAACUUAUAAGAUAAAUUUCUUAUAUGUGCGCCACAUAAUUAGCUUAUUUUACAACUUACUAAUAUAUGCAACAUGUGGCUGACUUGUUGGCUAAGUUUCUAACCUAUCAAUCAUCUAUAUAUAUGUAUAAAGAUAAAAACGCAUCUAUGAAGCUUUUAAAAAGCUUCUCUAUAAGAUAUUAUCAAAUUAAUUUAUUUUUAUCUAUUUCUAUCUAUUCAUAUUAACUAGAUAAUUAUUAGAAUAACUAUAUCUAUGACAUUAUCAUCUUUUUUAAAGAUAAGUUCCAUGAGUAAUAGUAAUCACAUGUUGAUGAAGGCUAAGAUGCAAGAAAUUAUAUUUGCCACAUAUUUUGAUCAUUGUUUCCUUUGAAGGUAGUUGAUAGGUCCUCUCAACCAUUAAUAAUGUCAAAUAAAGACUAGUUGAAUAAAAAAAAAAAGAAUAUAGUUUAGAUUAGAUGAAUAUCUAAAUAGCUGAAGACUUAGAUGAAUAACAAUAGAUAGUAUUAAUUUGUCCAUCAAUACUCAAUAUCAUGAAUAUAUCAUUUUUUUUUUUUUUUUUUUUUUUUUUUUUUAUCUUCUAUGACUAUUGAACAAAUAAUAUAUUCAUAUUCCAAAAAAUCACUUAUGAAUUUUUUAUAUCUACUCUUUCAACUCUUUCAAUUAGAGAUUAUUUUGAUAAUAUUAGAUUAAUUCCUAUCUGCAUUAGUAUUUCAAAAAACAAAGAAUCAAUAUUGCCAUAUGAUAAGAAUAUUGAUAAAAAUAUCUUUUUUAUACUUAUCAACAAUACAAAUUAUUAUAGCUCUUCUUGUAUAAAAAUAAUUAAAAUUUCUAUAUUUAAAUAUAAAAGUAAUUUUUUUAAUAAAAAUAUUAUAAAAGAUAUAUAUAAAUACAUUUUUUAGAUUUGAUGAAAAAUACAUUGUCAAGAAGAUAUGCAAGUUACAUCAAGCCUUGUAUAGAUUACAACAAGCACUUUAAGCUUGAAAUAGUAGAAUAGAUAGUUUUUUAAAGAAUUGGCUCUAUAAUAAAACAAAGAAGAUCCAAACUUGUACUUUACCAUAAGAAUUAAAUUAUAUAGAAUAAUCUUCAUGUACAUGGAUGAAAUUAUAGUCAUUAAAGAUAAUAUAGAUAAAAUUAUAAAAUUCAAAUAUAAAAUGAUGAGUAUAUUUAAAAUAAUAAACUUCAAAAAUACUUGAAUAUAUUUUAGAAUUAAACUAUAUUAUGAUAAGACUAUAAUAUAUUUCUACAAAAAAAUAUAUAUUUUUUGAUUUACUAUUGAAAAGAUUCAAUUUCAUGCAUUGUAAACCAUCAAAGGUAUCUAUGAAUCCAAAAAAAAAAAACUUCAAAAAGAAACUAGAACACCUAUUGUUGAAUCUAUAACUGAUUCAUAUGGUAGUAGCAAAAAAAUAUUCAUAGAUACAUAAAUAGAACUAAGUUUGGAAUAUUUUAUCUUGCUUAAGACAUAAGAAGACUAUUUACUUUUAUAAAUAUAAAUUAAAUAAGAAAUGCAGACUCUUAAAAAACUAUAUUCAAAAAAUUAUAUAAAUUAAGCUCUAUUCUAAGAACAUCAUCAAGUAAAUUAAAAUCUUUAAUUUUUUUUUUCUUCCACCAAAGAAAAAUAUUAUAUCUUCUUUAAGAUAGCUAUAAACUUAAUAUACUAUAAGAGAGUAUUGAAGGAAAUAUAAUUCAAAGAAGAUGAAUCCACUCUAUUAUUAUGCAACAAUGUAAGCAGUAUUAAAAUAAUAAAAAAAUCUUUGAUACAUCAUAGGACCAAGAAUUUCAAAAUAGAUCAAUAUUAUAUCUAAGAGAGAUAUCAAAACAAAAGUAAUGAAGUUAAAUAUAUUCUAUUUUAAUUUCAAUAAGUAGAUAUUUUUAUAAAGUUUUUGAAACCAUCAAUCUUUAUUUAAAACAUUAAAGCAAUUGAAUUAAAAAAAUUAUCAAUGGUAGUACAAAAUCCCAAAAAACUACAUUCUUUUAUUUUACAAAACUAAUAGAGAUUACAAAGUACAAGCCUUAUAACAUACUAAUAAGAAAAAAAAAUAUAUCUAAAUUAGAAUGUUAUGAAUCUUUCUACCUCUGUUUUAGUACUAAAUUUUUCAAAAGAUGCUUCUCAAAAUCCAUUUACUUGCACAUGACAUUUUGGCGAGGAUAUAUAGAUAACAACUUAGAAUUCCAACUUAGAAUCUUUUUCAAACUACAUAAAAAUCUUUACAAGAUCAAUGAGUUAUUUGACAAAGAAACUUAAAUCUUAAAGAGCCCUCUUACUAGUCUUGUGAUCUUUGCACCUCUCACUACUUCACAAGAAAUAUCUCAAGUCUUCUUUAAACUCCAACAUGAGUAAAUGAUGCCACCAACCAUGACACCAAAAUUUGUAGUAUCUCAUUGCAAAAUUUGCAACAAAGAAAGGAGAUUGUCCACAUAGCAAGAAUGAAUAGUUUAAACUUUACAUUGAAUAAAGAAAAAAUAUUAUGGUUGACGCUUACAAAUAGACAACCAUGUAUAGCUCAAUUCAAAUAUUAACACUUAUCAAUAUUAUAUCUUUCACCAAUGUUUCCAAACAAUCAAUCACUUCCAUUAAUAGCACUCUAAAUCAUAAUAUGUUAAAAUAUUCCAAUACAUAGGUCAAUUCAAAUAUUAACACUUAUCAAUAUUAUAUCUUUCACCAAUGUUUCCAGACAAUCAAUCGCUUCCAUUAAUGGCACUCUAAAUUAUAACAUGUUAAAAUAUUCCAAUACAUAGGUUAAAGAGAGGGUGUUGGCAUUAUCAAACUGUGUUUACUUCAUCACAUCUACAAAUGCUCUCAUCCAUACUUGUAUGUAGAUGAAAGCUACUGUUAAGCCUCACUCUAGUUGUAUACUGAGAGGGCCCCCAUUGUAUAUAUUGAAUCACAUUGUUAAUAAAGCCCUAUUGAUUUUGAUCAACUUUGGGUGUGUUGAGAAACACCAUCUCGUUUUAAGGUCCAGGCUCAAUGGCAGCGAGAGACAUUCACAGACGUCCUACAAAGAUCUAGUAGCGUUGUAGCUGGAAUGGUGGCUGGCGAGCAAUCGAGUAGGAAGUGUACUGCUCCGCUACGUGGGAAUUCCUUGGUGUGGCAGUUUUUUGGAAAGCUGGUCACAUUUUCAUGCGGCAAAUCAAAAUGUACAUAAUUGUAUUAAGAAAAUAUACAUAAAUAAAAACCAAAAAAAAAAUCUUUCAUUUGCAAUCUUCUUAUUGCCACUUCAAUUGUACAAUUAGAGUACAAUCUAAUUUUUGUGGUGGGCGUGGUUGGAAUAUUGCAUGCCUAUUCUGUGGUCGCAUUCGGACGAGGAUGGGGAUGAACUUGUCAUUUACAUCAACAUCACUUUCCACAGUAUGAGGGAAAAACCUAAACUUGUCAUUUACAUCAACAUCACUUUUGACUUUGUUGUUGCGUUUCUCUCGUUGUGCUCUAUUCUGGACGUCAUCUUGUUGCGUCGGUUCUCGUCUUGGUUGUGGUGGUUAUGUACUCGAGGUGUUCUCGAGCGGGGCGGGAGCAUCAGGAUUGGAGGGAAGGGAAUCCCGUCGGGUUGUGAUGGCAUGAUCGGAACAGCAGGCUCGGGAGCGAGUCCAGGCAGGGACGAGGAUAGGCAACGUGGAAGGGAUCGCAGAAAUCGUCGCACUAGUUCAAGGAGACCCGUAUUGUAUGUCCGAAAUCGUGAAGCUCGCUACGGACGCUUACCUAUGGGGACAUGACUGAUAUAGAUUUGACCACCGAUUUCCAUGUAGCAGCGAUAGCUGCAGUUAUCGUCUACUGAUCGCUUAGGCAUGACGACUACAACUACAGUAUUGUAGUUUCAUUUCGACAAGGGCUUUGUUGACUGUACUCGACCUGUCAGCUAUUUAAACGUCCAAGUUGAGAGUAAACGUACUUCAUUUCCAUUGCAGAUCUCCCAUUCCAGUUCUCUGCCCGUGAGAUCUUCAGAGAGUUCUUUUGCAACUGCAAACAUUGUAAGUUCCAGUUAGUCAGAUUUUAGCUUCUUGGUGGGGAGUGAUUGUGACCUGAAGCAGAUCUGGGGCUUCCUCUCGUAAGGAAAUAUCAAAUUCGGUCAUGGAUCGAUCUGCGAAGAUGGAUCGCUUCAACGCUGCCCUCGUGAUCUUCUUGGCGGCGGCCUUGGUUAUGAGCGCAAGCACCGCAAGUGAGCUGGGCAUCAAUUGCCGAGGCAGCUUUAUUUGCUCUGAAGGCCGCGGAAACGAAGCCAGCAUCCUGGUAUCGUACAUCAACAAUAUCGACCCCAACCGCUGGUACCAAAACGGACAGCACAUCGCUUGCUAUGACGGUUUUUGCGCCUUCCUGCAGAACACGGGCGGUGCGUGGGGAUACAACACCAGGGGUCUCGCACACUUCAUUCCGGAACAUGGCUGCAGGGUUUGCGGAAGCGUGCCCUACUUUUAUCCGUCGAUUAACGAUGUAAGUAAGGGACAACUAACUUUCAACUAUGUUUCGAAACCCAAGUGCCGCAGAGGCCUGUCCUAAGUUUGAAUACCUUGCGAGUAGCAUCGAUAUUUCUGCAGCUACUUUUGUUAUACCGUAAUCCACAAGAUUUGCACCGUUUUGUGUAGCCUUGAAAUUAUUACCAUUGUAGAUGUGCGAUGGUUACAUCUAGAACAGUAUUUCAUGCAAGGCCACAUUUCACUCUCUUAAUAUGAAUAAUGAAUUCUGUUUGGACGUUCUUCCCGGAUGCACUUUUCAAAAGCUAGAUUCUACAAUUGCUCUAUAACGUCAUGUGAACAAGCUGGAAUUGCUACAGCCAGUGAUCAAUACCUGAAAACCCCGUCACCGUGCGCACCAAC
rnacentral:lncRNA from 1 species